rnacentral:lncRNA from 1 species
AGAGCUUUCGUUUCAAACUUAUAUAAUGCAAUUCAUUGGUGAAAAGAUAAUUCAAAGUCAAUCUGCUAUUACUUGUACACAUUCACAAGGGCAGCAAGUCCACGGCUAGAGAGAGUCAUUAAAGUACUAAUGGAUUCUAAGUUGCACAAAUUGUACAAACAACACAGAGGUCGCCAUCAUACGGCCAUAGCAAGCAAGACUAUGUUCUCUAUGAACCCAAGCUGACACUUCCUAACCAAGUAGCAUCCACAGAAACAUGCAUAAUACAGAUUAAAUAACUAAGCCAAUGCACAAAGCCAUGAAACCAAUCAACGAACUGAACUUAGCCAUGUUGUUGCCUGCCCCUUCCACCUCCAAAUUGACCACCACCCCUACGAUUUGGUUUUCUACCUCCACGAUAAUGCUUACCAUGACUAAUGCUUCGGUACGUGUCCCGUUUACCAGUAAAAGAUGCAAGUUGCUGUGGUUCAUAAUUGUGCAUUGUCUGAGACAUGUUUGCUGGAACUGCUUGUUCUCCUACAUUUAUGGGGAGGGAAGCCUGUUGACCUGGUGUAGUCACUCCAAAUGGUAAACGGUUAAAUGCAUUUUGACUCGAGCAUGAAGGUUCUGCACCAAAACCUGACUGCAUGCCUGAUAUAACCAGGUUAGAAGGCAAAUUUUGACUAGCAUUAAUUUGCUGUUGGAACGACAAUAUGUUCUGCGAAGGCAUUUGAUGAAGCUGAUUAAUUUGUUGCACCCAUGGUUAACAUUUACGGGUAACUGAGGAAAGCCAAAACUUAGAGGCUGCUGAAAUGGGAUUGCAUUUGCCCCACCAGAAGUUGCGCUAAAACCAGAGCCCAAGGAAAGUUGGACAAAUGGAGAACCCAAACCAGGCUGAAAAGCCAAACCUUGUCCCAGACCAGAGAAUGACCCAUUGCCUUGAUCUGGUGGUUGAGCCAAAAGGGGCACAUGAUGCUUGGUGUGAUCAAAUGGUAGUUUACUCUCUCCAGAGAUCCCUGUGGGUUAGCUGCAGGAUCUUUCCUCGAAUUCCCGGACCAAUUUCCAAUUGCAAUCGAUCCUUUUUCUGGUUAUCGAAUUUGUCAUCAUUUCUACGCAUAUUCUCAUUUUUCAGUGUUUUACCAUACUCUGCCUCAUUUUCCGAGUUGCACCCUCCCACAUAAUAAGGAUUUCUCACUGUUGGCAUGCCAUUUGUUGGUAAUCCAGGAAAGCCAACAGUUUGAGGCUGCUGGAACGCAAUGCCAUUAGCCCCUCCAGACAACGCACUAAAACCAGCGGUUGAUGCCAGUUGUACAAAUGGAGGAGCCAGCCCAGGUUGACAAGUUGAACCUUGUCCUAGGCUCAAGGAGUGUAACCCAUUGCCUUGAUGCUGCGAUACAACAGCAGGGGGAACAUGAUGGCUACUGUGGUCAACUUGUCGCUUAGCUCCCUCCAUAGGUAAAUGUCUGUUGACUGUAGAAUCAUAUUUCGAGUUCCUAGACCAAUUUCCAAAUCUCUUUUCAUCCUUUUUCAGGUUUCCAAUUUUAUUAUCAUUGGUGCCCCUUUUCUUGUUCCUCUGCAUUUUUCUGUGCUCAGCCUCCUUCUCAUCAUCUGAAAAUUCUUCUUCUUCAAAUAAUUCUUCAUCAUUUGCUCCUGAUGCAUCAUAUCCUUUUGAGUAAAGACUCUUAUCAUUGAGGACAUGAUUUGCAAAUUCUGGAACAAAAGAUAUUGAAAUGCCUGGUCGGAUUCCAGCAGGUACUUCACUUUCUAAAUUGUACCUAACAAUGUAGUAAGGAUUCCUCACUGGACCAAAAAUUUCAUCCACUAACCCAGUGCGGACCUGCUUUCUGUAAUCCACAAUAUAGAGCCCUCAUUGAGAGGAUUAUGUUUUUCAACCCCUUCUACAAUGACUUGAGCCCCCAACAACCUGUAUGCUAGGAGAGUUAGUUAUAAACUAUUACAUAUUUGAUUAAGUCACCAUCUGCAUUUUAUGCUAGAUAAUUAUUGGAAAAAAACAAAGUGAUGCAGCAUUUCACAAUGUGUCCUUUGCAACUAGCUUUUAGAUUGAAUUGCUACUUGCUUCUAUGAUCUCACCGAUAAAACAACUCCAACUGGCUGGAUCUUAUGGUGUGGUAGUAGGGCCACAUUCACUGGAGGAACUGGAGGAAGAAGCUGCAGAAGAAAGAUUUACAAAGUGAACUAAUUGUUUAAAUGUGUCUGCAAUAAUCCAUGAACACAAAAUUUAGAGCAUAAUCAAUAAGAAGAAAGCAGGGUAAAAAUCAAGAAAUUUAGUCCACGUGUCAUACACUAGCCACUUUCUUCAAAGUUUAAACUUAAAUAGCUUGCUUCAAACCCCACAAUUCAAGUUGAGGAUUUUCAACUCUCCAAGUACAAUUUACAGGAUUAAGAGGAGCCUUAAUAGUUAUAAGCAUCAUGUUGUUAAUGGCAAGGGCACUUCUGCGCUAGAUCGAAAAUGAUCAAAGUGGUAUUUAAUAAGUAACUCUGAAGACACAAAAUCUUGGCUAGUUGGUACUAUAAAUAUAAAAAAAUAUAUAUAUAUAUAUAUAUUAUAAUAUUAUAUAUAUAUAUAUAUAAUGAAUAGAGAGAGAGAAUGAUUAUGGUACAGUUCUACUGGAGAAUCUCCAAUUUUUCCCUCCUUGGAAUGUUCUUUUGAUCACCUGUCUUUUUUUUUGUGUUUUGUUGUUUUUCUUUGGAGAGAGAGAGAGAGAGAGGCGGUUAAUGCAAACAUACAUCGAAGCACAAAUGUGACCAAGCUGAUUGAGAAGAAUAAGAUUACCGUGAGUUCAUUUUUGGACUUAGGAGGCCCCAACGUGGAAACGCCACUGCCACCCUCAUCCUCGUCAUAUUCAUCGUCACCGCUCCAGGCCACCAUCUCUUCUGGGUCAGAUGCGACUAUCUCACCCUCUUCCAUCUCUAUAUCUUGUCCUUUUCUUUCUUUGCUACUUCCCCACUUCUCCUUGCCAUCGACUUCAUCUUCGUCAUCAUCAUCACUACUCCCGGAUGAUGAGGAAGAGGAAGAGGAAGAUGAAGAUGAACUUUCAAUUUCACUGUCACUUUCACCCUCUGAGUCACUAGUACUAUCACUCUCAUCUCCUUCACUCGCAUUCUUACCACUCUUUUCUUCAGUAUUAUCUGCAUUCAUCAUCUCACUUGUUUUAGUGGUCUUCGCGCCAAAAUUUUCAACAACACCGAUCUCCUUACCACCAGUACCACUAAUGUUUGCCUCAACACUUUUCACCACAUCACAACCACAAUCAUCCUCACUAUUUCCAUUGUCACAACCCUCUCCACCUUGCUUUACACCAGUCAAACCGCCAAAAACAGAAUCUGGAUCGCUCCAACCUCCCUCCAAACUAACUUUCCCCAUCUCUUCCUCAAUAGAACAUCCCAGGCCUCCCGACUUGAUACCGUCAACCCCAUCUAUCCCCUCUUCAACCUUAAUUUUAUCACAAAACCUUUGACAACCCGUUUCACUACCCUUCUCACCUCCUACCAAUUCAACCUUUCUUGACCCAAAGAUCCCAACUUUCUUCCACCCUCUUCACCAACUAACCCAGCUGAACCUAUUUCAAGACUUUUAUCAAACAUCUCAGAUGCAACUUUUUCUGAGCUAAAACCAACGGAGUUUUCUCCCAAAUCAUUAGCCAUACUCUUACUAUAUGGCUCUGGGUUCUCCUCAAUCCAAUCCUCGAUGUAAUCAAAAUCAAGAAAAGAGUCUAUACAUGAGAAAGAAAGAUCUUCAAGGCCUAAAACUGAGAAAGAAAGAUCGUUUGAGCAUUCUUUUUCUUCUUUUUUAGGGUUGGGACUUUGCAGAGAACCUACCAUGUUCAAGAAAUAAAUUUAGGGCCUUGAGAGUCAGCAUUAGGGAUAUUGAAAGCAGGAGUUUAAGUAUAUAUAUGCGUCUCUGGUGGCUCAGAUUUUGCUGUUUGAAAUUUGGGUUUGCUUGGAGAAAAGGUCGGAUUCUAUUUGCUUAAACCCUAAUUGGCAAGGGUUUUAGAAUGUGGGAAUGUACUGUCUAGGAGAAUAUUGUGGUAGAGAAAUUGACGUACAAACAAACAGAAAAUGGGCUAGGCCCGAUUUUAGAGCCUCGAACAAUUUUAAUUUGGGGCUAGCCCUGUGUGUACGAAGGGCUCGAACAUCAUUUCGGAGAAUGUUAGCUCAUUCUGGGCUAUCGAAUUCUGGGGCAUUUUGGGUGAGACGUGUGGAGGUAGAAACUGAAACGGCAAAUGGGACUUUAUAGUUUAUACCUUUUUUUUAAUCUUUUUGGUCGAAUAAAUGAAACUUUACCUAGUCAUAAAUAAGAAUUAAUCUUUGGGAAAACGUUCAAAACGUCCCUCACAAUUUGCAAAAUAACUUUUUUCGUCCCUCACUUUUAAAAAUGUAAUUUUAUGUCCCUUAUAAAUUCACAUUGGUCAAAUUUGGUCCCUACUUAGGUUUCCGACUAGUUUUUUAUCGGAAUCCACCAUGUGACUUGGAUGUGAUCAUUUUUUAAGGGCAAAAUUGUCAAAUCAAAUUUUAUAUAAUUCGAUUCAUAAUCCCUCACAUUUCAUAAAAAUAAAUUUUUUCUCCCUUACAUUUCACAAAAUGAAUUUUUUCAUUCUUCACAUUUUUCAAAAUGAAAUUUUUUCAUCUUUUAUUGAUUAUGUGUGUGAAUAAUUUUUUUUAAAAUUCAUGUAUAUAUCUAUUUGAUUUCACUUGAACAGUACAAAUAGCAUGUAAAAUCAAAUAGAGAUAUAUUACAUACUAUUCGUACUACUCAAGUGAAAUCAAAUAGAUAUAUACAUGUGUUUAAAAAAAAUUGUUAGUUUUUCAUUUAUAUUCAUUUUCUUUUACUCGAAAUUUGAAAAUAAAGAUGACAUUUAAUCCUAAAUAUUAUCGAGUGUUUAUAUCGAAUUAAAUUUGAAUAGAAAAAGUAAACAAAAGAAAAGUAUGACAAAAAGAAAUAAGUGAUUGGUACUUUCAAAUUUUAAGACAAUCACAAGGCAAGUAAUUUAACUGUUGGUCUUAAAAGUGUCGAAUAGAAAUUUCAGAUUUAAACUGAAAUUUGUUAGCACAAUUAUAGAAUUCAAGUUAAGACCAUUAAUUAGAUGACCUUAUUAUACAACUCAAUAAAUAAAUUAUUACCAAAAGAGAAAGGUUACAAAUAUUGAAUAGGUUCAAAUGAUGAAAUCAUAUAAUAUAUACGUGGGUUUCAAACAAAAUUAUUAGUUUUAAAUCCCUAUAUAUAUAUAUCUAUUGAAUAACAUGUGUAUAGCUACGAUUAGCAUGUUUAAAUGAAAUUCAAUAGAGAUAAAUUACAUGUUAUUCAUAUUGUUCAAGUAAAAUUAAAUAGACAUAUACGUGAGUUUAUAGAAAAAAAGUUAUUCGUACACAUGAUCAAUGAGGGAUGAAAAAAUUCAUUUUGAAAAAUGUGAGGGAUGGAAAAAUUCAUUUUUUGAAAUGUAAGGAACAAAACAAUUCAUUUUGUAAAAUGUUAGGGACGAAAAAUUCAUUUUGUGAAAUGUGAGGGACUAUGAAUCAGAUUAUGUAAAAAUUUGAUUUGACAAUUUUGUCCUUAAAAACUAGUCGGAAACCUAGGUAGGGACCAAAUUUAGUCAAAAACUAGUUGGAAACCUAGGUAGGGACCAAAUUUAGUCAAUGUAAAUUUGUAAGGGACAUAAAAUUAUACUUUUAAAAGUGAGGGACGAAAAAAGUUAUUUUAUAAAAUGUGAGGGAUGUUUUGAACGAUUUUCCCUUAAUCUUUCCUAUAUUAUCAGUACAUACAUUGACAAUGUUGAAUGUAUGCCACAUCAUUUGAAUUUAAAUUGAGCUUUAGUUUAGAAUUUGUAUAUGUGACAUAUAUCUAAACCUGCUAAUAUAUACGCUAUCAGUGUAUAAAAGAUUUACCCCAUAAAUAAUGCGUCCAUAGAAUACAAUAGACACAAAAUUAUGAAAUUGAAAGGUUGGGGUUAGGAAUAUUUGGCAUUGCAUGAUAAAUAACUCUUUGGAUGCAAGAAAAUUAUGUGGUAAUGUUCUUUAAAAACUUUUUCACGAUUCAUCCUAUAUAAUAAAGAAAUAACUACGUGGCCUACCAAAAUUAAAAAAAAAGAAAUAAUUAUGCGACAGAUUUGAAUUAUGACCUCCCAAUCCAUCCAUCAAAGGAGGAAAAAAAAAAGGUGUCCCUCUACUCAAUAGUGAGAAAUGGAAUUCAACAAUAUGGUCCUUGGUGAUAAUGCCAUGGCAAAUUUCAAUGUGAAAUGACAAAUUAUACUCUCCAAUGGAAUGCAAAAUUGUCAUUUUAGAAGACACUUACUUAUUGUCGUAUUAACAUUUUUUUUUGGUCAAAAAUUGUGGUAUUAACAUAAGUGUUAUGGCAAAACCAUUUGCCUAAUACUCCCUCCGUCUCACUUUGAUAGUUCUGUUUCCCUUUUUCGUCUGUCCCAAAUUGUAGUCCACUUCCAAUUGAAGAAUGUAGUUAUAUUUUAAUUUUCCUAAAAUAUCCUUAUUUAAUGUAAGUUGUUGUUACUAUAAACCUACCCCAUUUAACGAGAGUUGAUUCUUUUUUUACCAUCAAUUCAAGUUCCCAUAAAGUUGUACUCUAAUUAAUGUGAGGAUAUUUUAGGAAAAUAGCUACCUAAAUUGAUUGUUCUAACAAAAUUAACUACUUUUUCUUAAAUUGUGUGAAAAAAAAAAUCAAGACUAUCAAAGUAAGACGGAGGGAGUAUAAUUGAUGGCUUGUUUGACAAACCUAUUGGGACAACUUUAUCUUUCAUAAGGGGAAAAAAAAAACUUUAUCUUUGAUGGGCUCCAGUACCAGUUGGGCAUUGAGGGAUUUCAAUUUGCUUAUAAAGAUCAAGAAACAUGUUACCAUGGUCGGUUUUCUCUCCCAUGUUAUAUGUUUAUGCAAACCCUCUUUCAACUUCACUUAAACCUUACACAUUUGAUUGUAAAGUCUCAAUCCUAAUCAUUCCUGCCACUUUAAAGACUGGUUAUGUUUAACUUUGGUAGACAUAUUAAUUAGUUUAGUACCUAUAACCAGAGUGUCAAAGCUCUAAUACCAUAUGGGCAGAGUGUCUUCACCCUUCUCUUUAUUAACUUUGUCCAUGCAUCGUUCACAGCAUUUUCAUUUAUUGGCGAAAGGGAAGGCUUUAAAGUCUGAAAUGGUCUUGAAUUCGGCGCUUCAUUACAUGGAAGAUGAAGAGGGAAGAGAGAGGCAAAGACAAGUCAAAGCACUUUAAUUUGCUUCAAGAAAAGGUCCCUUGAGUUGGUCCAAAUAAUAGAGUUGAUAUCAUAUAUUUUUACUAAUUCGAGUUCGAACCUCUCUUAAGAUAUCCAUCCGUCGUACAGGAUUUGCCUAGUGCGUCUUAUUCCUCCGUGUGAUUGACAGGCUAUUAUACGAGAUAAGAUUUACCUAAUGCACACCGCCAAAUAACAGGUAUGGGUGGUUUAUCAACAGAGAUAAGUCAACUACACUUUGACAUCCCACUUGGAACAUGGUAUAAAUUCCCAGCGUCAAUGAAUGCGUAGAAAAUUUUUGUUGGCUGUUUUUUUUUUCGAUAAUAAAAUGUUACUUAUCUUUUAUGUAUUGCCAAUUGGCCAUAUUACUCAAGGGACUCAAGUAGGUCUGCGACAAUUUCCAAGAAAGGUAGGUCGAUCACUAUUCUCUCAAACUGACACGGUCCAAAAUCAUGCAACAGCAGCAUAAUAAUAAUAAUAUUAGCGGUAGGUUAUCCACACAAGUCGUAGUAUGAGAAGGAUUUCUCAUGCACAUAGCACCGGAAACUAGACGUUUUUUUCAAGAACUUGGCACCUAAAACAUGCUAUACCUAAGAUAUAUGCUACAUGGGAAUUUCCCAUUGUUGAAAUCCUAACAGAAAAUGGGAAAAAAUUAGUAAAGAAACUAAUGCACUUUAGCCUAAGGUUGCUUAAGCUUGAACUGAAAAUGUGCUGACUGAACUAUAUAUAUAGAGAGAGAGACAGAGAGAGAGAGGUGAGGAGUUCAAUAAAACAUUUAUACCCUUUACUGUAGAGAAGGAUAUUUUUAUAGAAAAUUGUUACAUUUCUGUAGUCAAAAGCUUUCAUACAAGAAUUGGCAAUGCCAGAAGAAUGGCAGCCCAUAACUCUGCUCUACGUGCCAGGCCAAACAGUUUGAGCAAACCGAGGAGAACAGUGAACCGUGAACAACCAACCAACACAAAAUUUAUGAUGAAAGCUGUAAUCCUCGGGGCCCUGGCCGUCCCAUGAUGUUGGCACCAUCAUGCUUUAAUAUGGCGGCAGCACUGGCAAGAAAUUCUCAACAUGGAAGAUGAACUGUUUGAUGUUACUUACAUUGAUUGAAUUCAAUGUGCAGCAAAAAAAUACAGCUGCAAUUUCUCAUUCGAAAGGGUAUAGCAUGUGAUCUAUCUGACCCUAACCUAAUUCUCCUCUGUUGCAACAUAGCCUAACAGGUCCACUACAUCGGCCCUGCCAAGAGGGCUGGGGAUUAGGAGACUUGAGAGAAACAGCUAUCAAUAAUUUUCUACAAUCAUUCGAAUCGAGUUUUACUUGGAGCAUGUUGAAUUGAGUUUUUGUCUAGUUCGGAUCGUUUGCUAUAAUUUUUAUAAAUAUGGAUAAAACAAAAUUUAGAAAGAUACUCGAAUUUUUGUCAAAAUUUAUAAGAAUUACAUCAUUCGAAUAGAUAUGAAUAAAAUUCAGCUAGACUUGCCCUGUAUCCAAUACAUACAAAAAUUUACGGCGUAGGUAAUAAUAUUUUUUCCGCAAUUAAGAAUAUCAUGUCGGCCAAGUCGUUACUUUCAUAUUUGUGAUGUCUGUGUAUUGAAUGGUAUCAUCAGAGCACUGAGGCAAUCUAUUUGAAGCGUCAUUCUGGGUAAACGGACCACCAAGUUGCCCCAAGAUUGUGCUUUAGCCAGAAAGUGAUGUGAGAAACCGAAUGUACAAUCCAGCCUAUGGAGGCCAGCCUUGCUUUGAUUGUUGUGAGAAAUGUAUGCCCUAUCCAUUGUUAUGUGGGAUCACUCGGUUUGGAGAGGGAAACACAAGUAGGUUUUACUUGAGUAGAACAGAUUGCUUCCUCGUUAAAAUCGAAUUUUGUUGUCGCUUUGAAGAUUAUGUUGGUACACAAUCUCUAUCAAAGAACACAAACAUAAUAAAUAAAAAUAGUUUGUGGGAUUACUUGCACGUAAAAAGUUGAAUUUUGCUGUCACUUUGAAAUUGUGUUGGUAUAUGAUCUGUAUCAAAGAACACAAAUAUAUUAUUAAAAAUAGGUAAUGAUCGACAUUUCUUGACCCGUGAUGAUGACUGAAAUCGAAUUCAUUUAAUUUUUUUUAUUAAAUAAACUCGAUUUAGAGAGUUAAUGAUGCUGAGCUAGAUAGAUGUGGAGGUGUGUAAUAAGUUGUAACUGUUUUUCCCAAGGGGCCAUAUUUGCCUAUAUCUUUGACUGAUUCCCACUUCCACAGCUCAUACUUUUCGUGUCAAGUGUGUAUGGAUUGCUGAAUUAUUUUACAUAAUAUUUCGCUUAUAUUAUAAGCACAUCUUUUAUCUCUCAUAUAUCAUUUUUAUCGCUCAUAUUUUUAUAUUCUCAAUUAUCAUUUUAUCUCUCAUAUAUCACAUCAUAAAAAAUAUUACAAUAAUUAUUUUAAAUAAUACGCUAGCCAAACAUAUCAUUUCAAAUUAUUGUUUUCUUUCCUAAUAUGCUGUAGUUUGACGUGAAAUAAGAACAACUAGUGCAGUAACACUACUAUAUAGGCAAAAUUUUUGGUAGCUCAUCUACCAUACGAGAGAAAUGUACCAUUCAUUUUAAUUUUCUGUUGUGCAUUUAUAAUGCCUGGAUUCAUCUUUCAAUCCUGCAUUAGUCUAGUGUAUAUUUUAUAGUCUAGCAAGUCUUUCACCCUAAGGUUAGAUUUGUGAUUAGCCUUUCACCCCUGAUAAUGAAAGAUUUGUACAUCAAGAUUGCUCCGGACCUCCAAAUGAGAUUUUUUCACUUCAUUCUGUAUUUUUAUUCAUUUUUUUUAUUCCCUCCCCCUCUAAAUAAUCUCACAGAAAAUGAAAAGGCUUGGUGGCACUUUUUUUUUUUUUUUGUUUAAAAAACUCAAAUAAACAUAAAUAAGCCAAAAUUUUCCCUGAAGAUUACUGAUAAAAUAGUUGAAUCAAUUAAGUUUGUGUACAAGUUAUCAUGGAUCACAAUUCCAGAUAUGUAUUAUUCUGGACAUAAAUUUUUUCAGAAAGUCUUAUGUAAGAUUGAUACUUUCAGCUGCAGACUGAGAAGAAGGAAGGUGAAAGAAAACAGAUGAAACCAAUAAAUAAGGCCUUCUUUCACACCACUCACGGCAAGUGGCAAGUGGCAACAGAUGAAAAUAGAAAUAUAGAAUCAACAUUAAAAAUCUCUCAUAAGCUCAGAAACAGAUUAUUUCCUAUUCUGUUUUCUAGAAACUAAAAAUAAGUUAGUACAUCUAAACCAAUAUCUAUAAUCAUGAUGAACAAUCCAUGAAAAAGAACCUGUCAAAUUCAGUACAAAACACUCAUAUUAAUUAGUGGAAGUAUCUAAAACUGCAGCAACGAUUCAACUGCUCUGUUUUCAGCGGUAAGACCUGAGAAUUGCUCCACAAAAUGUACAUAUUAUAGCCCUCCAAGUCUUCCAGUAAAAGGGUACAUGGCAGAAUCUUGUAGCAGUCUUCAUAUCAGCCACACUAGCUCCUCCCCCGCAUCUUGAGCAAAUUCCGGCCGCCGGUUUGCUCCUCCUCACCUUCCUUGUCUGAUCAACUAGAAAACAGAAGCAAACCAUGAUUUUUCUUGAUUUUCUUGGCUGAAGAGUGAUGGAGUUAUUGAGCGGUUGAGAGAGGUUAUUUGUUGCUUGCUAAAAGGUUUUGUUUUGUGAAGGCUUUUGAGCAGGUGUGAGUUGUGGGGUUGGAGUUUUGGGCUCUAUUUAUAGGCAAAAGAGUAGAAGGGAGGAGUUAGAAGUUGGACAAAGUUCUGUUGGAUCUCUCUUGAUUGACUUUGCAUUUUGUAUAUUGCUAUAUUUUGCGUUAGCUAUUACUACUAUUUAUUUGGCAACAACCACCAGCAAUUGGGCUGGUGGCCACCAUCCAGCCAUUAAGGCUUGGUGGGAUGGGACCUUGAACUCUUGUCUCCCACCAAUUGCCAUAUUUAAAGUGGCCUUCAAAAAAAUUCAGGCGGGUGCAUAAUACACCCGUUUAGUCGGUGGUGGUUCAGUCCCCUCUAGAUUAUUCUUGGACCUCCUUAAAUCCGCCCCCUCUCCCUAAUGUAGGAUAGAUUAGGUUAUACAACAGUUGUCAUCUCCGAAAAAAAAAAAUUACUAUUUAUUUGGCACGUUGAUUGGUGGACAUUUUCGAUUUGGUUGCAUCCAGAAGAAUUCAUAAAAUCUACAUAAAAAAAUUUGAAGGAUAGGGUGUAAUCAAGUUGACUGCUAGGUUAACUAAUUGAGGGGAGGAUCGGGUUAUAGGUUGAGUAGUAAGAUGAAAUGGAUUGUAAAUAAGGGGUUUUAGAUUCAAAACCUCCCAUUAAAAGAAAAAAGGUUGAGUCUACUUGAGAGAAGGGGGUUGGGUUGGAUGGUAAGAUGAAAGGAAUUAUAAAUAAGAGAUUUUGAAUUCAAAUCCUCUCACUUAAAAAAAAUAAUUUUUGAGUCUACUUGAAUUAAAAUGUUUGAGAUCAAGUUUGUCGAAUCCUUAAAGGUCAAGUUUAACUUUAUAUUCUUUUACCUUACUCAAGUUCAACCGAACCAAAUCCAACUCAAUUGAGUUUCUGUGCCGUAUAUUAGUAUAUUUAUAUCAUUUUUAUACAAUUGAUAUGAUAGACAUUUCACACCAAUAAAUUUAAAAGAUUCAAAAAUAUUUAUAUAAGUUUGAAAUUCAGCUGAGCUUAACAAGCGUUUAAGCCUUUCAUAUUAAGCUCAAAACUCUAAUUCAUCAAGUUAUUUGAACUGCUCAAAUUCGAACUCAAACUCGAGUUUUGACCAAAAAAAUUAACAAAUAGUUCAAUUGAGUUCAGCUCAUUUGCACCAGAAGACAGAAUACAUUAAUUUCUUAACAACUAAUUAUGAGUUGAGUGGCAACGAACAACUUUAAUGUGGUUCACUAAAAAACUGAAGAUAGGAAACAGGUAUCCUACUGUUUAGCUGUGUCACUAAUUUUGGAAAGCAAAUAUGGGGAAACAUUGAAAAGGAAAAUCACAUGGGUUGCAUAAAAACAGGCUGGGAAACUUUGAGAUCUAAGAGAGCACAAAAAGGGGAACAAUAAAAAAAAGGAAAGAAUUGUGGACAUGAUAUUAAAAAUCAUUCAUUCUUAAUUUGAAUUGUUUUCAAUAUCUUCUGCUCGGAAAGUGACUGUACAGAUGAAUGUUUGGGCGUUUCAGUUUGUGAUGUUAAUAAAUUGCCUUGGAUUGUGUUUGCAUCUUGUUUGUUGACUCUAAAAUUGAUUAAGCAAUUUAAUUUCUUUUCUCUUGCAAUCGAUCACAUUCUUGCCAGAAACUUUUCAAUAUCAAAGCAAGGCUGCAAAAGAAUCAAGUUGCUUGUGACUCGGUACAGUCAAAACUCGAAUCAAAUUCGUUCAAUAUUGAGUUCAAGUCAAGUUCGAAUCGACUAAGUCAAAUUCGAACUCAGAGAAAUUUAACUCAUUAGUUCGUAAGUUGCUCGAUUAUAUAUAUAUUAUAUAUAUAUACAUAUAUAUAUAUAUAUAUAUAUAUAUAUAUAUAUAUACUAUUUUUUUUAUUUUAAUAGUCAAAUUCUUUCUGAUGAGACUUCCAAUUAGAGGUCUAGUAUUAAGAACCAAAAGCAGCGAAAUAGCAAAAGAUUUACAGGUACAGUAUCUCACUGUCCAAAUGACAAGAAAAUGCAAAGAAGUGCACAUUAAGGUCCUGUUUGAUAGUCCAGUUUAGUACUUAAAUUUAAUGGAUUCAGAUAUUAAUAUAUACAAAUUGUUUGAUAAUAAAAAAUUAACUAUUUGAAUUAAUUAAGUGGUACUGAAUUUUCUAGAUAAAACUUGCUAUUAAAUAAUAAACUAUUCACUUAUCACUGAAUAUGAUAUGUACUCAAAUCUAUUAGAUUUAAUAUUUAAUAAUUUUAGAUUUUAAAUUUUAAAUUUUAGAUUUUAAUUUUCAAACUUUAAUUUUAUCAAAGGCAGCCUAAUUUAUCCAUAUCUGAAGGCUCCAAAAUUUCUUCAAAGUGUCAUCCAACUUAAGUUUAGUCCAGAUUUGUUUCAGGUAGAGACAAAAUCAUUAUGGCCUUGGAUUAUUUCUUAUCACUCAGCCGUACGCGUGGAGUUGUUUAGACAGUUACAUGUUACAUGGUACAACCAUCUUGAAGUGAUAGCCAUGAAAUCUCUGCCUUACACGUGGGCGUCAGAUAGUCUGCUGUAUUAUGUUUUUAUUUUUUUUUUGUCAAACUAGUCUGCUGUAUCAUGUAGGGAGGCCAAAAUUGUUGAAGUGGAAUCCGGGUGGCACCAUUACAUCCUACUGCUGUUCUUCAAUGGCGUCUUCAGAGAGUUGUUAAAAUGCCAUAAAUUUCAAACCCUUUUUGGCAAUUACUUUUGAAGAACAUAAGGGCUCAUGCUUAGCCGUUACUCAGUCUUCACUUCAUAUAUACCAGAAAGAAUUAAACGAGUUGAUGAAUUGUCACUUUCCAGAGUCUAAAAAAUUCAGUAUUGUUAGAUUCAGAUCGGACCGGUCCGAUCGUAAAUCGAUCAGGACCGAUCCGAUUGUAAACCGACCUUUUUUUUUUCGAAUUGAUUUGUAGUACAAAAUUGUUUUAAUAAAAAAAUUGUAAAAAAAGGUUAAUUCAAUGAUUCCGUUUGACUGGUUGAUCUGGUUCUCAAGCUACUCUUUUUUAUUUUCCCCAAACAUAAUUUGAAUUAGCUAAAUUUUAACACUUUCAUUUAUUAAUAGGAAUAAGAAAACAUCAUCUAUUGAGUGUAAAUACCAAAAUCACUCGUUUUUUUGAAUGAUCUCUAAAUCAAGAUGUUUUCAUCUCUAUUAUCUUAUCAAUUUAGCAUCAAUGAUUCCAACUAGCAUUAAUUUGUUUUAAUUUAAUUUUUCAAGUAGUUUUGGAGAAUGGACAUAUUUUAGUCAUGAAUUUACAUUUUAUAUAUAAUUAUUAGGUGUAUAUUUGAUUGCAAGUUUAAUAUUUUUGGAACAUUUUAUAUGAUUGCCCGAAUAUAACCAAGUACUCAAUUUCAAUAUUUCUGAAACUUAUAAAAAUAUCAAAACAAUUAUAACAUUGUGCUGAUAUAAAGCGAAUUUUUGAGAACGGUCUGACCGAUCUGAUCAGUUUACCCCUGAUUUAACCGAGUCGCUAUCCAGUCAGAGUUUAACAAUAUUAAAAAAUUGGAGUUUAGGAACCAAAUAUUGAAAAAGAUAGGCACCUGACAGUGAACGGAUGAGAUGAAAAAUGUGAAGGUUAACAAUUUCUUUGUCGCUAAUCACAUCAUGCAUUAAUGUUUUGUGGAUCAGAGUUGAUCACUCGAUAUUUUGUGGCAGUAAUGGCGUGCAUACUUGUCAAUGCAAUUUGUAAUGAGCGUGAUUAUGUGUUACAUUUCUUGUUCAAUGCAGAAACAGAAGUGGAUUUCAAUCAAUUUCUUCCUGCUUUCUUCUUCAUUCUUUUUCCUUUUCCCUUUCUUAGAUAACAACGAUGACCUCAUUGAUCUUAAAGGGAUCUGGACAUUUGCCAGCUAUUACAUGCAAAUAAAAUCACAAGAAAUGUUCAAAUAAAUUAAAGCCUACAUGGUUAAACUUUUUGGUCAUGGACAAACUGCUCUUCGAGUCUAAAUGCAGAGACAGCUUAAACGAAGUGGCCAUGGACAAUAAUAGAAGCUUCUUUUUUUUUUCUGUCUUUCUUUUUUUUUUUCUUUUUCUAAUCUUGGAGUUAUGCAAAAAUUGUAAAAUUUUCACACUGAAACACUUUAAAUUCUACAAUCAUUAAUCGUUUAUCAUAAGUGUUACUUUCCUGCAAUAAAUGAAUACAUGAUGAUGCUAAGUGAGUCUUUUCAUCAAAACAGUACUAGUACUUUGACACCUGCUCUCCCAGUAAAGCCUUCUAUACAGAUAUAUCCAGUAUCCACUUCUCGUUUGGUAAAUUUAGCAGAUUUUCAAGCCUUAGCAAUCCGAGCACAAUAGGAAAAAUCAAAAUGUACCCAGUUUGUCCUUUUACUCCUUUGUAAUAGCUUCAGUAUUUCAUUUUCUUUAUUGGCCUUCUUCUUCAUUUCAUAUCCUUUUGAAGAAUAAAGUGAUCAGGUAAGUCACCUGUCACGAAUGGAAAAAGCAAGGUUGGGUCGCUCGAUAUAAUUAUCAACCCAAAAAAAAAAAAAAUCAUAUCCAUAAAGACUUUGCAUGACAAGUUGGGAUUCUCUAUAUUUGUUCAUCUAACCGUUUUUUUUUGGGUAAUUUCAUAGACUAAAACUUAAUCCACUUUGUGUGAACAAUUCUAUCAAUCUUAUCAAUAUGUAAUUUCACUGAGGGAAGGGCUAAAUUCAUACCCCUCCAUCCUAAAUCCCUAUCAUUGAUAUGGUGAUGAUUUAUAUUGUUAGCACAAAAACUUUACAAGAUGUGAAUUUAGCCUCUCCUCUUCUGUAAUAUCUAUUUGUUCUUGUUACAAAUUCUAGUUAGCAAAAUGGGCGGGAUAAGUUUGGGUAUGAGAUGGGAUUGAACAAUAUGGGUUUAAGUUCAACCCUACCUAUAAGUAUUUUGGGAUUAAUUUGGGUGAGAUGAGAUCACUUUGGGAUCCCAUCCAAUACUCAAAUCUAUUUCAUGUAUUCAUUUUUAUUGAAUUCUUCUUUUAGGCUUCGAUUGAAUUAAGAAAUUUGAUGAAGGAUUUAAACUCCAUCCAAGUUGCUUUAGUUGCAUAGAUUAUUUAAGAGACAUUUGAGUUUAUAAUUAAUCAAUUAUUAAAAUAUAUUAUAAAUACUAUAAUAAUUUACAAUUUACAAAUUCAAAUACCUCCUAAAUAAUCUAAACAAUUAGAGAAAUUUGAGCUAAUUUCAAAUCCUUCCUAAAAUCCCUCAGUCCAAAUGCAACCUUAUUGUUUUUCAUAUAUAACUUAUAAUAUAUGUAUAUAUAUAGGGAUAAUAUCAGAAACCUCCCCUGAGGUUUCUCUUAAUAUCACCUGGCACCCCUAAAGUUUUAAAAAUAUCACUUACCUCCCUUACUUUUGUUAUUUGUGUAACAAAAUUUUUAAAAACCCUAAACUACCCUUUCACUUGCUAAAUAAAAAUGUUCCUAAACCACUUUGUUCACUUCAAGAAAACCAUCACCUCAAAAGCAAUCUCUUAUAGUACCACUACAUCACAAUUCUAUACCCCAUAAAAAUAUAAAUUUGAAAAAAAAAAAUGGUAUUUGAGAAGAAAUACACUUGCAUUAAUUUAAUUCUAUAUGAUCAAAACCGAUUUCCUAUAAAUUUACAUUUUUUGACAACAUCUUCUCAACCCUUUACUCAAACCAUUAAACUAUACCAAUCAUUAUAAAAAUCAACCCAAAAUAAGCAAAUAAAUCAUACCCCACUUUAUCACAAUCACAAAAAGUAAAAGAUAAACAAAAUUUAAUUUAUUAUAAUUUACAAUAAAAUAUUGCAUAGUCAUCCAAAAACUAUGAGUAAGAGAGAAUGAUGGAGAAAAGGGAAAAAGAAGAAUGUGACUUCCAUUUCUUUUUUUUUUUUUAAUUUUUGAGCUUCAUUUAUUUGAUAUGUUGUGAAUUAUGUGUCAAGUGAGGGUUAAUAUAGUCGUUUUACAAUUACUAUGGGAGGUAAGUGAUAUUUCUAAAACCUCAAGGGUGCCAAGUGAUAUUAAGAGAAACCUCAAGGGAGGUUUCUGAUAUUAUCCCAUAUAUAUGUGUAUAUAUUAUUUUUUAUUUCCAAUGUUUCUAAAUUUUAGUUGAGAGAAAAAAAUUCCGAUGAAAAUGUAAAAAGACUUGUACUUAUGAUUAUUAUACACAUUAUCAGAUUUCUUAAUUCCUUAAAUAUUAUGAGACAAAAAUACUGGUACAUUUGAAAAUUGUAGCUGUGCAUUCUUCUUCUAUCAGGUCUCUAGAGGUGUACUUUUGGUUUGCAAAUUGUUUAGACAAGAAUUAAAUUUCUCAUGAGAUAUUUGGGUCCCAAUGGGUACUCAGGUGUUUUUCCAAAAAUUUCCAUUAAUUGAUAGGUCAUAUUAGGCCAAACUUCAAAAUUACUAAACCCAUCCCACUUAAACUCCAUGUGAGCAUGGAUAGCCCAUUGAGACUUAGGACAAAUUAUCAUCUCCAAAACUGAUAUUUUAUUAACAUUUAUAAUUUAUAUAAUACUAUUUUUCAAGAACUAGUUCACUAUAAUAAUGUUUGGGUAGAAAAAUUAUUUGAAUAACAAUUUAGCACUUUUUUAUAAUAUGAUAUGAUAUAUUUGAAAUAAAAGGUGACCGAUAAUAUAAGAAGUUGAUUGAAAAAUAUGCUUAUAAUGCAAGCUGAAUAUUAUUUGGAAAUAAAAUCCAUAUCCAAACAGACUUAUGUUCUAUGUUAUUUUUGUGAUUCUCAGAGCCUUGAGCCUUGAGCCUUGAGCCUUUGAUCUCAACCAGCCAAAGAGCCGCCAAAUUUUCAAAAAUCUGUUAGUUUCACACUAGCAUGCAAUUACCUUUCCUUCCUCACAUGACUAUUGAUGAAGCAAUUCUUGCAACGACAUUACAGCUCCUUUCUUCUCCCCAGGUCUCCCAGACCCACCUCAAUCCCACCUCCUGCAACCUCCCAAAUCAUCCAUCUCUGCAGAUCUGGUUAUCUUUCUGAUGCAAUUCACCUCCUAAACUGCACACAUUCAGACUUCAGCAAAGUCUCCUCACAACCCGCAAUACUCUACGCAACUCUAAUUCAAGCAUGCACCAAGUUAUCUUCCUUCUCACAGGGCCUUCAAUUCCAUGCCCAUGUCAUCAAAUCUGGCCUGGAAACAGACCGUUUUGUAGGAAACAGUCUGCUGGCUCUGUACUUCAAACUGUGUCCGAAUUUCCGGGACACCCGGAAGGUGUUUGAUGGAUUGUUUUACAAGGAUGUUGUGUCUUGGAGUUCAAUAAUAUCAGGGUAUAUUCGCAUGGGAAAGCCCGGGUUUUCGAUUGAUUUGUAUAUGGAAAUGGUGGGUUGUGGAGUUGAGCCAAACGGGUUUACGUUGUCUGCUGUUAUUAAAGCGUGUGCAGAACUUGGAGAGUUGAGAUUGGGGAAAUGCUUUCAUGGGGUUGUGAUAAAGUGUGGGUUUCAGUUUAAUCAUGUCAUUGCUAGUGCUUUGAUUGAUAUGUAUGGGAGAAAUUAUGAGUCAGGUGAUUCGCGGAAAUUGUUUGAUGAGUUGAUUGAACCGGAUGCAAUCUGUUGGACUUCGGUGAUUUCUGCUUAUACAAGGAAUGACUUGUAUGAGAAAGCUCUUGGAUUUUUUUACAGGAUGCAUAGGAAGGGUGGGUUAUUUCCCGAUGGCUUUACGUUUGGGAGCCUUUUGACUGCUUUGGGAAUUUAGGAUGGUUGAAGCAUAGUAGACAAGUUCAUGCUAAGGCAAUUGCAGCUGGAUUCUCUGGAAAUGUGUUCAUUGAGAGUAGUUUGGUGGAUACGUAUGCGAAGUGUGGAUUGGUUAAUGAAUCUCAGCUUGUUUUUGAUAGAAUGAUAGAGAAGAAUGCAGUUUCAUGGUGUGCAUUGCUUGGAGGUUAUUGCCAAAAGGGUGAUUUUGAAAAGGUUGUCGAGCUUUUUAGGCACAUGGAAGAGGUUGACCUUUAUAGUUUUGGAACAGUUCUCCGUGCCUGUGCAGGUUUGGCUGCUGUCCGCCCAGGGAAGGAAGUCCAUUGCCAGUAUCUAAGAAGGGGUGGCUGGAGAGAUGUUAUUGUAGAAUCAGCCUUGGUUGAUUUGUAUGCAAAAUGUGGCUGUGUUGAUUUUGCUUUCAGAAUUUUUUCACAGAUGCCAGUCAGGAAUUUGAUAACGUGGAACUCAAUGAUCUCUGGAUUUGCUCAGAAUGGAAGGGGAGGAGAAGCUAUUAAAAUGUUUAAUGAGAUGAUUAAACUGGGGGUCAAGCCUGAUCGUAUUAGUUUUGUAAGUGUUCUUUUUGCUUGUAGUCAUAGUGGGUUGUUAGAUCAAGGUCGUCAAUACUUUGUAUCGAUGAAAGAUAAUUACAGAAUCAAAGCUGAAAUUUCACACUAUAGUUGCAUGGUAGACCUUUUAGGUAGGGCAGGCAAGAUAGAAGAUGCUGAAGAUUUGAUAAAUAGUUCAGAAUUUAGAAAUGAUUCAUCUUUGUGGGCAGCUCUUCUUGGUUCUUGUACUACAGGUACAGAUCCUACUGUUGCGGAACGUAUUGCUAAGAAAAUGAUGGAACUGAAACCUGAUUAUCAUUUAAGUUAUGUUCUUUUGGCCAACGUCUAUAGAGAAAUUGGCCGGUGGAACGAUGCUCUUGAGCUCAGGAGGCAAAUGCAGGACAAAAGGUUAACAAGAUGCCUGGGAUGAGUUGGGUUGAAACUAACUCCGGCAUCAGUUUUUUGUCUUAUGAGAAUCCUUUGGAAAUGCCUGCAAGAGAUCUUGUUGAAGAGGAAAGGGGUUCAAUUUUGUCAGUGGAAUCAUAGAAUUAGUCAUGAAAUAUUAUCUCUUUCUACCUUCAUGAAGCCAAGAUAUAGUGAUUCAAGAUAUAUGGUGAUAUCAAUCAUUGCAGUCUUGACUUUCUUGUAUUUGUACGACAUUACGAUCAAGGUGAUAGUCUUGCUCCUCAAAGUGAUUUAAAGCAACUGCCUGAAUAACUACUUUAAGCAUGCUCCGCACCCAGAUUGAGCAGCAGGGUGGAAUGUUCUUCCAUGCUGUGAAGUUUGCCGGAUUGUUUACUUAUAACUGAACAAAUGUUAAGCUAAUCUAAUCUGAUGCUGUUUUAACAUAGCAACCUUUGUUAGAAUUACACUAAUGUAAUAUGGCAAUUGGCCUCCUUUUUUUUUUUUUUUUCCAUUUGUAUUCUUAAUGCACGUGCUGAUUCUGCUGCUACAUAUGAUGAUAAUAAGAUGUACAAAGUUUAUGCUGGCUCUUCCAGGUCUCAAAUAUGCAGAAAUGCACCUUUUGUAUGCAUGUUGAUGCAAAUCUGCUUACCACGCUUGCCCUGAUUUAACUAAGAGUGCAAAAGCCAAGUCGCCGAAUCAUUCAUAUAUCUUUCUUCUUUUAGUUUUUCCGGUCUAAUUAUCGAAAUUCGUUUUAGAAUUGUGUAGAUACUCUACAUCAAUACUCGGCCUUUCAAUUCAUGCUGUUGCUGACACUGUAUAUAAGAUUACACAACCAUUUCGGGGCCCUCAAUAACUGGUUUUUGUUUUCCUAUUGCCUCGUGCAUACAUAUUUUCAUUUCAUUAAGAUCUUCGUCACAAUUCUUGAUAUUAGAAGUCCAUUUUUUAUCCAUUUCUCAAGGACAAAUACAAUUACACAACAUGGAUUUUUCUUUCUGGUGCAAUUAAGCCAAGUACCUGAUUAGGAACUGAAUUAAUCUUCUGAAGUGUCAUUUCGCCAUCCUAUUCUUGAAGUAUCAAGUCAGAACAUGUAUAUUUCAAAUUACAAAGCCUGAAAUAUCAGUGAACUGUGAGUGAUCCACCAGCCGGUGAGAGAAAAUCAUAGUAUAUGUCACUGCAGCUUGAAGAGCAACCUCUGAAAUAGCAGUUUACUUGGCCAUGAUGUCCAAAUGCUGCCAGAUGAAGCACGGUCCAUCUCACAGUCUCUGUCUCCAUCUUUGUUGCCUGCCAAGUUCAGACGAGACCUAUACAACGAAAGCUGUAGGACAGUAGAAAGGAGUGCACAACCAACCCGAAUAAUCCAUAAGAAUUAAAACUGUAUCAAGCACAUUCAAGCUUCCUUGAAAUGACUGUAAAUUUAUCGUUCUGAAGUGAACUAUCAGACAACAAACAAGCAAAUCAUGAAUCAGGCAUAUCCAUUCUCUGUUUAUCAUUCUGAUCAUUUUGCUUUCUAUCUGCUUGACGCGAACAAGAAUUCAUACUAGUCAGAUUUCACAUGCUGUUCAAAUGAUGGAUGAUGUUAUUAAACUUCUUUGAACUAAUAAUGAGAGUUUAUCUCAUGCUCUCAUAUCCCCAUGAAAGCAGUAGCAAUGUAAUCUAACAUUCUUACCCUCAGUAAAGAAUUAAGACAUAGAAGAUCAAUAGUAGGCAAAAUUUUUCUGUACCAAUAACAUGAGGCCACACAUGCCCUUUAGUAGAAAGCAAGCUUACAAGGCAAAUCAUCAGGCAUGUGCAUCAUUUAUCUAACUAGUUUGUGGCAUCAUGCUAGGAACGUGUCAUUCAAAAUUCGAAGUUCAAAGUUCUCUGAUAUGGAAAAUGGUAUCCCAUCAUUAAAGAAACUAUACUCGUGAGCUAUCUUUUCUGGAAGCACAUGCACAAACAAAUAUAUUGGGCUAUUUACACCAAUAUUGCUAUUUUUGUUCUGAAUAAGAUAAAUAUCUAUGUAUUAUCCAUGGAUUACUCAAAAACUAACUUCAACUUCCAACAUAUCUCACUUUAAAGUCAAGAAAUCAAAAUCACAUAUGAGAUCAAACACAAAUGGCAUUCAUGUUGGAAACCAGAAAUCCACCAUAUGUGAUCCCAAAGAGUAAUUAUUGAGACCAAUGUUUUCCAGCAAAAUUCCAACACAAACAGUUCAGAAAACUUCAGACAUUUCAUUAGAAUCGGUUGUGUGAAGAAUAUGAGGUAAGAAGUGUAUGUUUAUUUCAUGCAGCGCCUUGAAUUGCUGUAGGUGUCAUUGCCAUGCACAGGUUGGUCCAAAACCAUGAAUUAGGAUUAAAAAAGGUUUACAGGUGGAAAAGGCUUUGGGUUUUGCACCCCAAAAGUGCAUUUGGUUUGACUGUCAGUUGUUUAUUAUGUAAAAGGUUAAACAGACUAUGGAGAUGCAUCAUUGAAUCUUCAUAUGCAUUUGAAAUAUAGUGUCUGUCGAUGCUGAUGAUGUCUUGAUGUGUCUGAGAGUGUGUUGGUGUGAUUUGGAAAAAGAAGAGGAACAAAAGUAACGACAUAAUCAGAGAAAGAGAAGUCCAUUUCUUGAAAUCUCUACAUUUACAGAAACCUAAUAAAAGCAUCAGUAUUUUUAAUUUUAAUUUCAAAUUCAGAGUAAAUAUAGCAAUGUUAUUGAAACUAACCCCACAUAAAUUUACCACUUAAGUUACCUGCCUAUAUAUUUCUUUGGUUCUUUUAUUCUUUCUGCUUCAUAGUUACCUCACUGAAUGGAAACAUAUUCUACAGAGGAAGAUAGCAAGAUCCAGAAGAUAACUUGCUGUCAAAUUCAAUUAGGAUUAGAUUGUCCAGAAGCUGUACUAACACUGACAUCUUGUCUGACUCAGGUCAAUGAAUUUUUUGCUAAAGGUAAGCACAACUCUUCUGUCCAGUCAUCCAAGCAUGUUUGCAUCCUCUCAGGUUUAAAACAGCUUCAUAUCCCAAUGUCAGACAAUUACAGCAAUGAAUCCUCAGAAGCUUUUCGCAUGGUGAACUUAAUUGUUGUUGCCAACAACAGCUCCUUCAAAAAUAUUUGGAAGAGAAGGGCAUAUAGUACAUUAAAAUAAAAAAUAUAUAAAUUCAAGCUCUUUUUAUGUUCGCAAUUUAACGAGUUUGGUAUUUUUUAACUCGAGUUCGAGGUCGAAUUCGAUAUUGAUCGAAUUUGACUCGAGCUCGUAUUCGAGCCGCUCGCCGCUGCCCUCUGCAUCAUGAUACGAAAAAAAAAGAUAUGCAACUAAUGAGCCAAUUACUGGUGCAAAUGACUUAAAAAACAAAUCCAAACACACAUUUGCCAAAACGAUAGGGGAGUUAGGUACUAUCUGAAGCAACAUGACAAAAUUUUCUCAGUAUCUGUAGCAAGAAAUAUUGGAAAGUGAAAAAGUUCUCUGCAGUUUCAUGUCUGAGAUCAGUCUUCAAAUCCGACUUGAGUCCCUUCCGAAGAUGAAACGUCUCCCCCAAUCAGAUAUUACCAGCAGCCUUGUGCGCCAACUUACUAGCUUGCUGGAUUUGAAACAAAGCAAAACGUGAAAAAAGAAGUCAAAGUGGAACCACAUACAGUUCAGGGGAACAAAGAAAUCAAAACUUGCAGGCACAUAGAUGAUAGUAGUAUUUUUACCUAGCAUAAACUGAAUACCAAAGCCACUGCGUGCUAUGACCUAUGGAAACCCAAUCUCCUGGGAGUUGUGCUGCAGCUUGUUCUCCACCCAGUGGUGCAAAUUGUCCAAAGUGUUUGUACCUUUAACCGUAAAAGUCAGCAGAUAUUAAGCAAAAUAGCCAAGAUAAGGGACCAUUAUUCUUUACUGUUUGGUAAAAAAAAAUUUAUUGGCUGCAAUUGUUGCAAAUCUAUUAUGAUCUGGUUCCAUAAAAACCUUGUCUGAGACAAACAAGCUAGUGUGUUCUUCUCACUUUAUUGCUUCACGAAGGGCAGUAGUUUGAAGAUUGACUGUUAUAUCAACCAAUAAGAGCUUUUGCAAAUUGCAAAAACUGAAAAAAAAAAAAGAAAGAAAAUAUAUCGUCUGAAGUUCUGUAUGUAGAUUAAUCCUUACCUAAAUGGACGGAAGCGAUGCCUUCCUGCUGCUCUGAACCUUAUUGGCCCUUCAGGAUACUUUUCACAGAUAUCCAUGCGGUUGAAGCAGUCAGCAAGAUAAACUCCUUGCUGGGAAGCCACCUGAGUACCGAACAUCAAAAAAAAGAGGAAGCUAAGCUCAGGCAAAUCAGCCACACUACCCAAAAAGAAGAAAAAUCCUUUCCAGUUUCCACUUACCUGUGCUGUUGGAGGAAGACUUUUCAUCUGUUUGUCCACUUCAGCAAGUGCUUGUUUGAAUUUUUCGAUGUUCAGUUCAUCAUCACCGUCUUUACUCUUCAGUAGUUGAAGAAAAUUCCUUAGUUGGUUUUUCUCCAGAUGAAUCUGUACCUGGGGAUACCUUUCAGCAAUGUCUUUGAUAACCCCUUUAAAAUCAUCCACCUUCAGGGUACCAGAGUUAUUCGUAUCGGCUUUACUAAAUAUUGCUGCGAUAUCUUCCUGAUAAAAGAUCAAAUCCGAAGAUUACAGUGAUAUCUUCCUCAGAAAACAAAACAAGUAUCCAAAGAUUUGCUACGUAAUCUUGACCACAGGCCUCGCAUUCUAUGGCAAAUGAUGCAUCUUAAGGAGGCCGGUCAGGGAGGACGAGAAAAUAGCACCUAAAGAAAUGUGAACUGUGACUUAAAUCCAAAGACUAAGGUUGUGUAUUGCUGCUCAUGCUAACAAUUAAGUAGAAAUAAUUGUUGCAUACCAUUACUUUACGUUGGUUGAUUGUGGCGCAGUCACCUAAGGCGUAUAUGCUAUCGCAACCUUCCACCCGCAGCCAUUCAUCAGUUGCCAGAACUCGUCUACUGGUCUGUCAUUCACACAAAGUAAAAAGUUGAGCUUAGUAAUUUAUAUGUGAUAACAGAUGAUAACAAAAACUUUUGGCGUAAGAAAUGUUUGUAGCAUUGUAAUAUCAAGUGCCAAAUCGAAAAAUCAGGCGUACAGGUAUGAAAUCAAAGAGAAGAAUUAGAGAUGCAUGCCAUACCUGACCAAUCUGCUUCAUAAAAUCCAUGAUAACAGGUCGAGUUCCAAUGCCAGUAGACCAGACAACCAUUCCAAAAGGGAUUUCUACAGUUUUACCAGAGCUCCUCUCUUUAGUGGAUAUCUCCUUAUCAGAUACCUUUACAACCAUCGAUCCAGUUUUUACAUCAAUUCCAUCUCUCUGGAACUUUUCUUCAGCAAAUUCAGUAAUUCGCUUAUCAAACCUGGAUAAAACAAAGGGAAUGAACUGUGAAAACAAUCCACAACUGCCAAAAGCAAACAAGGUGAUUUGGAGAAUCCAUAUAACUGUCAGACCCAUGUGCAGGUGACAUGGAAUUGUAAUUUUAACAUGAUCAAACUCCUGCAUUUUGAUUGCUGACAUACUCUACUGAACUUCUGUGCCAUAAGUGAUUUAAACACCCUCCUGUUUUUUGUAGUACAAUCAAGUGUUGAACCAAAAUUUCGUCGUAAAAUAAAAUACAAGGUAAAAGACUAGUUACAACACAGAGCAUGCUGAUACAAAGCAUUGGCUAUGAGUAAACAUUUUGCUUAGCUUCUAAUUCGAGAAAAACAAGACUAGUUUCUUAUCAUAUAUAAUAAUAAUAUAAUGUCAAAUGACUGAUUAGUAUAUUGGCUGUAGGAGGCCUUCCUUACAUGUUCAGAAUGUGAUCCGCAGCUUCAAGAAGUGUUAUUUUGACAUGUUGCUUAAGAGCAGGGUAAAGCUUGGCUAAAUCCUCAUUGACGAAAUCAUGAAGCUCUGCAGCAAAUUCCACACCAGUUGGACCACCUCCAACAACUACGAAAUGCAGGAUCCUCUUUUUCUCUUCUUCACUUACAGUUGGAAGGCUUGCCCUCUCGAAACAGUCUAUGACUGUUCUACGGAUCCUUUGAGCAUCUUCGACUUCCUGAAUUCAUGUCAUUACUUUCACUUCCAACACAAAAUAAUGGAAAUGACACGCACCUACAUUUUGUUCUUUUUCUCUAAAUGGCAUUAUGGCUUGUCAAGUUACCUUCAAAAAGUGAGCAUACUCCACAACACCAGGGGUGUUAAAUGUAUUUGCACGUGCACCCAUUGCUACAACCAGGUAAUCAUAAUCCACUGUAAAUUCUUCUGAACCACCCAAGUUGUUUUCUUGAGUUGAGCGACAGCACACCUUCUUGUUUACUGUAUCAAUCUUGUAGCAUUCAGCCUCCUUGAAGUGGACAUCAAAUUUUUUCUGAGGCAGGAAAGCAAGUAUAGCUGUCAUGUCCUUCAAAUGGUUACAUAGGUUUGGCUAAGUGUAAACACUACUUAUCCACCACUGUAAUUCUAAGAAGAAGCAUAUUGUAUCAAACUUUGCAGUUAUCAAAGAGGUAGACCACUGUGAUUGAAGUCCACAAUUGCAAUAGGUACUUCUACAGAUAAAAAAAUCAUAUAUAAAGGUGGAAUUGUCUUUUUGGCAGACCAUAAAGGUUUCAUUAGGAAUUUAGGACCUGACAGCCAAAGGGAAAAAGGAGAAACAAGGUUUUCUGGUUCUUAGACAUAUUGCAGAACUACGCAUCCAAAGAUUUGGUAUGAAAAUGUCCCCUUUUCAUGUCUUUUUCAGAAUUAAUUAUUAUCACAACAUGGUAAAUGAUCAUUUAUCUCUAUUAAAGAGGACUGCAACAUGAGUAUGGCUUUUGACUCAUGGAAAAGUUUCCAAAUCAUAUCAACCAGCAAUUAUACAAAGCUUUUGUAGCAGUCCAUAGUUUCUAAUUUAAUGUCAUUGCCAACUAUGUAAGAACAUAGAGGAGACAUGCCUAAGAGCUAACACCAUAACCUUUGAAAUUAGCAUUGCCUCCUAAAAAGUAGAACUUAGAACACAAAAAUUCAGUAUGAAAAUCUAUACCUUCCUAACAAUGCUGCGGAUUGGCUCCACAAUGCUGCGUGCUUCAACCGUGCCAUUGGUAACACUUGGUAACAAAGGAGUAAAUGCAAAAUAGUUUCGCGGUGAAAUAACAUGAACAUCAUAGCUGGGAUCUUUCAAGCUUUUAAGAAAGCUUGUUCCAGCCCAUCCAGUUCCUAGAACCACCACUUUCUUUUUCUUGACAUCAUGAGCUGCAUCAGCAUAGCCAAAUUGGAAUGGCCUGGCAUCAGAGAAAGCAGCUACACCCCCACCACUGCAGAAUCCAGAAUUCAAGAAAAAAAAAAGUAUCACAUCUCAGAUAUCUUCAGAACUAUUGUUUGAACAAUUCUUACCCUGCAGAAUCUUCGUAUCUUUUUCUGUUUAAUAUUAAUCUUGUUUGUAGAGAGGAUCAUGGCAUUAUAUUCUAAAAAAAGAAGUGUACUUCAACGAAAAAACUUCAAUGUAAUUGAGGUGCAAAUAUGAAUCUCAAAUUUUCAGCCUCAUUCACUGUGGUACAAGAAGUGGAAACUAUAACAGUUAGUGUAUAUUUCUGUUAAGAACAAUAAAGUAUUAAAUUGAAUACCAAAAAUAGAGUUUCAAAAGGGGUUGAUUGAAUUUUGAGAUGGAGAAUAGUUAAGAUCUAUCAUGGCAAUUAAUAAGGAUUUGUUCGUCUACAUGAAUAUGCACAAUAGAAGUAGAUUCAAAUCCUAAGCUCCAACCUUCAAUUAAAAAAUGCUCAUACAAGCGUAAAAAAUUACCACAAACAGAAGAGAAUAAAUCCUGACUGCAGAAAAGUUACACCUUACCAGUGAAUAAAGCAAAUAAAGACAUAAUUAUGAGAAGAUUUUAUGAUACAUUAUUUUCUUCCAAUAACUUCAUGGAUUGAGUUUUUAUCAACGGUGGAUUUUUUACAUUAAUACGUGUAGAUGUAUGUUAAUUAUGUAAAACAUGACAUUCAAAAUUGAAAUUGGAUUACAUAGCAUAGCAUGCAUCUACACCUGCUCCGGUUGUGUAUGCAUUGUUAUCCUAUCUUGAUUAUGACAGCCUAAACAAUGUUAUUUGCUUAUAGUUAUAGCCAUUGAACAAAAUCAAAUCUUACAUUCAGCAAAAUAAAAAUCAAAUCUGAACGCACUACCACCUACUUUAAACACAGUAAAACAUACACUGAAAACAAUAAUUACCAUCAAUAUGCAAAAGGAAUUCUUUUCCAAGUAAAAAAAAAAAAACGACAAGAGCAAACGACAAGAAAACUUUGUAUAACACGUAGCCUGUUACAUAGGAAUUAUUAGUAACGAAACAAAACAGAGAAAAUAUAACAAAAAAUCCUACAAAAUAUACAUUAUAUCAUAAAACUACACCUUCUAAUAAUUAAAAAAAACAUAGAUUUAGAUUGUAGACCUGACAGAGAGGACAACAAGAAGUUUAGUGACAGUGGGGUGGUCAUGAAACGCCCCUUUGGCUCUCUGGUAAAAAUUAUAGCCUCUCAUCUUUUUUUUUUUUUCCCUUAACUCUCUUUUCUCUUCUGCUACUUCUUCUCUUCUCUUGAGUGAUGAUCAAGAAACCCUUUAAACUCUACUUGCUUAUACAAACAAUCUCCGUAAAUAAUGAAUCAGUAUGAGAAGUUAACAUGCUAGAGGACUACCUCCUUUGGUAGGUUUCUUUCUUGCAGUUUCUAAUGUUAUUAGACUUCCCUUAUGGGAAGAUCAUGGUUUUAAUGUCGGAGUAACUGUCAAGCAAUAUUAAGCAGUCAAACACCUAGGAAUAUGGACACUUGCCCAAUUCUUAUCGAACUACCGGUUUCCUGCAUGCUCUCAGUUUUCUUGGUAGGUAGGUUUUCCUACGCCUGUUUUGUCUAUUACACCACACAAAUUUCGAUUUCUUCGCUGGUUAAUUCUAUUCUUGGUAUAUUCUACUAGUAGUACUAGAGUAUUAGUAGUAUUAGGCUUGUGUUUGCCUUUUUUUUUUUUUCCUUUUUUUGACGACCAACAACUCCUAUUUUGUUUAGAAAUUUGUAAGCAUACUAACACAUGUUUGUAUGGGCUUUCCUGUUGGUCACUUCAUUUAGGUUAAUCUGAUCUUUUCGUUGUUCUAUAGAAAAUGGCCAGAUUGAUUUGGUGUAAACAAUUCAUUGUUAUUUUUUAGUAUUCAUUGUUAAUUUUAAUAAAAAUUAUUAAAAAUUAUUUGAGUCGAAUUGAGCCUUAACGAGUCGAAAAUCUUUAAAUUUAAAUUCGACUCGAUAUUACAAACGAACCCUAAUUCCUAUUCGAAUUCGUUGAAAAUCGAACUCGAAUCAAGUCCUUAACGAAUUGAGGCGAAACUGUUCGUUAAGGAAUUGGUUCAUUUACAGCCAUAUUCUUCUCACUAAUCCACUUUAAUUCAAGUACUAACAUCACACAACCAAUGAAAUAGGUGUGUAUCACUUAAAACAUGAUAGCUUAUAGAUAAUUGCUUGAUUUAAUUUUUUGUUUGAUUAUUAUAAUUUUUUUGUGUUAACUUUUUUAAAUUUACUACUAUUGGAUUUUUUUUUUGUCAAAUAAUGAAUUUACAUUCAUCAGUUCAACUAAAGACAUUUUUUCAAUCACUUGUACACGUAUCGAGUGCAUGACAGCCCAAAAUCUAAUCUUGGAUGCGUAAUAAUGUACACACAAAUUCUACAAGAUAAGAAGACAUGUAAAAUGCUAAAACGCCUUUGUUAUGUAGCAGAACUUAAAUACAUCUAAUCCUAAUGUAAACAAAAAUAUAGGACCUACAAACUAAAAAACCUCUCUAUAGUGUAUACAUAACUCUUCCCUUUGAUUUUAGUCAUUAUUCAGCUUUUAGUAAAGACCUGCUUAAAUUGGAAUUUCUUUUUAGUCACUCACCCAAAUUUAGUAAAGACUUGCUCCAUCGGAAUUACAGAAUUCAGAUUCAAUCAACUCCUCAUAUUUAGGCAGAACAUUUGUACAACUACUCAAUAACGCAACCUACAAGCUAUAUCAUUUGUUAUCAUUGGCCAACUAGUGUUACUCGAUAGGAGUCUCCCUCUAAUUUAUGCCAAAUAAAAAAUUAACUUUGAACCACAACUGUAUUUGAAAUUGUAAUUGUAGGUGUAAUUUGCACGAAAAGCCAAAAGAGAAAGGGAUAAUUUUAGUAACCUCCCCUGAGAUUUCUCACAAUAUCACUCAGGUCCCCUGAAGUUUUUAAAAUCUCACUUAUCUUCCUUGAAUUGGCAUUUAUUGUAACAUUUUAGCCCCUUUGGAGGAAAUGCAAGAAAGAUAAAACUUUUAUUCUAGUACUACUUUCUGUUAUCCUACUUAUAAAGUUUGCAACAACAAUACAAAACAAAAUAAUGUUAACUUUUUAUAAGGUGUAAAUUCCUUAACUUAAACUAUUUAUUUUAGUUGUUUUGGAACAAAGUAAAAUUUACACCUUGACGAAUUCACACAUAUAAAGAGAUUAUUUUAAUUUUCAAUACAACUUAAACUACAUCAUGUAUUAAAUUGUAUUUCCUAAAAAAAUUUCUUGACUUUCAUAUAACUACUGUUUACAAAAUUUUUCAAGGUGUUAAUUACUCACUAAAUUCCUCAUAAGCGGUUGAUCUCAAUAUAGAGAAAUAUAGACCAUUAUUAGUUAUUAAGAGCAAGGGUAAUAUUACUCACUAAAAAACCUCUCUAUUUUGUUUUGAUUUUUUGGUUAAAUAGUUAUUAAGAGCAAGGGUAAUAUUGUCAAUUUGUAACAUUUGAUAAGAAUAUUUAGUCUUGUCAAGUUGAUAAGAGAUAAUAUUAUGAGAUUAUCCCCAAGAAAAAGGUAAAAUAAUUUGACUAAGUGGUACGUUUUACAUAAUAUUUACAGUUGCUGAAGAUAAAAUAAAGGAUAAGCAACUGGUAUUCCAUGAAGAGAUGUGGAAUUAUUAUUGGUGUCGGGGAUCGAAAUUCUGCUCAGCCAUUGUUUUCUACCAUUUUGGGGAUGACACAAAACACAUUUGUAUUGGAGCAGAUUUGUGACAAAAGGAUCAAAGCAAGCCUCAGCAUUUUCCCGUUUGAUCGAUGAUUAGGCCACUGAUAAUAAUUUCUCAUAAAGCAAGAGGCGGCCAUUGCAUGUAGAAUUUGAUACUUUAACCACGAAAAUGUUCAGAUACCAAGGCAAAGAUGUUUUAUUUUUCCAUGCACUGAUAUUCAACCAACACUUAACAUAUGUGGAGAAACUCGUCCAUUCUCAAUCUUCUUUGCAGCCAAAUUCAACAGCAGUGAACCAUAGCACGUUGUCCCAUACAUACCAAUUAAGUGCAACAGCACUGCACAGUUAUGACUAGUUACAUUAUGAAACUCCAAAUGUAAGUGAACUCCUGCUCUGAAAAUUCAAAAGCAAUGCUUUUCUAUUUCUUUUGGCGGAAAAAGAGAGGGGGUGGCCGGCUGGAUGCAGGGAGUUAGGGAAAGAGGUAUGAAGGAUGUACACUAGACGGGGCAAUCAGUGAGAAACUUCCCAGAAACGGGUUUUCACUUAGAGAAUGGCUACAGCCCUUGGAUGUCUGCAUCAAAUGCGACUUGAAUCUCGCCCAAAAAAGAAUCUCCUUGACCAAUCACUGACCACCAACAACCUUGUUCGCCAGCUAACUUGCUUGCUGCAUAUAACACAGAUAUCUGGAUUAGAUGAGUUCAAUGCAGCCCAAAACUUAAAAAACACAAGCAAAUGGUAUUUUGUCUGUUUAAAAAAGUAGUGGUUACCUUGCGUAAACAGAAUACCAGAGCCACUGUGUGCUACGACCCAUAGAAACCCAAUCUCCAGGAAGUUCGGCUGCUGCUUGCUCCCCACCCAGCGGAGCAAAUUGCCCAAAAUGCUUAUACCUGGGGUUGGAAAACACUGACAUGUCAACAUCUACAAAUUCUGACGGGAACUUCUAUCAUUUGUAUCUUUGUCAAUACGGCUCAAAGUCUCAACUGACAGUUGUAGCUGGAGAUUAUCCUUGGGGUCAUUGCAGCACAGUGAAGUUGCAACUAAUUUUUGUAGCCAUAACAUCCAACGCAUGAAUUCCCUCAUAACUGAGAGGUUAUAGUCUAUUUUCUUAAGGAAAAUAACAGCGUUGAAAGGCAGUGCCAGACGUUGAUAUUAAACAUAUUAUUGAUUUUUUUUUGGGGAGGAGGGGGAGGGGGGUUUUGGUAGGCUGUGAGUCUCUCUAAUUUCCUACUAUAUCUGUAAAAUGAUCCUGCUGUUAGAUUUUUCCAGUACACUAUUUAAAGAGCAAAAAAAAGCACAGGCAAAGGUAAAGUUUAAAGUUUAAAGAAUUAGCUUGUGUGGUUUUGACUUAAAUGUACAAGAUAUCUAGCAAUUUUUUGAACAGCUAUGACAUACAACUACCAUCCAGACUCCAUCCUCAGUACCUUAUCCCUUACAAAACUCAUUCCUAUAUCUAUCCCGAGUAUCUUCUAGGAAGAUAGGAAAAAUUUUUCAAGGAACAAAAAAAUCAUACUGCAACAGAAGCUUGCUGGAAAUAACUAUAAGAAUCCUAAACUUAAUAGCAAAGUUGAGCAAAAAGUACAAUAAUUAGUCUGUUGAGACUGACAACCUAUUUCAAGAAGGAAAUAAAAAAAGCUUGGUCUAAAUUUCUCAACGGGAAAGCUUGUUCCCUUUUUAGAGUGCAACCACAUGAAGUAGAACGUGGGAGCAGUCCCAGAAUUAAGGGACAAGCUGAAUCUUAGACCAAAUAGAAGAAUUACUCGACAAAACUGUUUUGAAAUUAGGUAAGGGUCCCUGAACAAUUCUAUCUGUAAUUUAAGUGACACUAGUGUACAAUGCAAUAUUAAGAAAACUCCCCUAUUUUGACCUCAAAAUUUUCUCCUAUUUCACCAAAACCCUAGAGAAUGUUGAAAAUCCACUUUCUAAGUUGAGAUACCUGACAUAGAAAGUAAAUCUUUCCACAAUAAUAAAAGUCUUUUUAAGCCCUUUUCAACAUCUUCAGGUUAUUUCUAAGUCCUUUUAAGCUGAGACAGCAUUAUUUAGACAUCUUCAGGCAAAAUGUAAUCUUCAAGUAAAACUUUCCGUGAUAAUAAGCAAAACAGAAACAACCAAUAAAAAAGCUUUCAGUUGGAACAAGGGAUCUGGCUAUCAAACAUACAUGAGUGAGAAGAAAACCACAAGAGUUCAUUUAGCAAGACCAAGACUUUUGUAAUUAGACACUAUGUAUUAAGUAACAGAAGGUUCAUUAGAUCAUAUUAUACUAGAGUUGAUUUAGCAAGACCAAUACUUUUCUAAUUAGACACUGCAUUAAGUAACAGAAGGUUCAUUAGAUCAUACCAGUAUUUCUUUAUUACAAGAUUCUUCAUUUUCUUUGGCCAUAAAAGUUCUUCUAGUUUCAUGUUGAGGCAAAAAUUUAUGCCAUUGCUUGUUAUUGUGAGAUGGUAAGCACUUUUACCUUGUUUCUGAUAAACUUUGGCUGCUCUAUCAUAUCUAUGGAGAAGAGUUGAUAGUCAAGACUGAACUGGUAUGAAAUGAAAGUUUUGACUAGUAGGCAUUCUGUAAGAAGUAUCAGACCCCGGUCUAAGUUCAAAAGAGUUAAAUUCCCACAUAUACUGUAAGCUGAACCCAGAAUCUCAAACAUUAUACUCAUUAAGUUUAUAACAAACCAUCUGAUAUUGAUAGACUCAGUGUGAGGCUCAAGAAGUAUAGAAGAUUUAACACCCAUUUAUGUUUGGUUUAACAAAAUGGAAAGUGCCCAGUGACUCUGAUGACUAACAAUUUCCCAUGGAAACCACCUAAGACAAUUUUAAUUGGUGGGCAAUCACAAUAAUGACCCUCAUCCUUUUGCCUUGUAUUCUUCCUUAUGGAGAACAGAUUCCACAUUCCUCCAUAUUGUGUUGGUGGUUUCAUGGUACCACAUGCAAUCAUUGAUGAGGUAUUUGUGAUUAAUGGUUCGUAAAUCAAAUUAACAAUUAACUUUAUCUUUCUUUCGCAUUUUGCCAGUGUAGUGAAGCUGAAAUUGAAACACGGAAUUAUGCUACCAGGCCUUCUGAACUCUUUCUGUCUGCUCAGUAAUUACAAUGAUAAUUAUAAAUUAUAGAGGUGUAUACUUGACUGACUGAAAUAGCCAAAUACGCAAAAAUGAUGGUUUUCGCCAUAAGCCAAGCACACAGUCAAACAUUUCAGAAAGCUCCUUUUUAUUUGGUUUUUCAGAUGUGGAAGCAUAGAGGCAGUUAUAAGAAGAAAAGAUUCUCCAAUCAUGAUCAGACAUUAUUAUUUGGUUUGAUGGAAGCAAUCACUAACUGAACUAUGUGAACAAGAUGAUCAAUACAUCAAAUCAGAAGGUAGUUUUUCCUCUUUUAAAGGUUCUGUAGUCCUAUAUGAAUUUUUUUUUAUUUUCUAAUUAUACAGAGAUUAACUGAUUAAUCACACGGAAAUACAGAAACUACAAGCUCUGCAAGAGGCAACACAUACCGGAAAGGGCGAAAUUCAUGACGCCCACCGCUUCUAAAACGGCGCGGGCCUUCUGGAUUUCUUUUACACUUCUCCGAAAGGUUGAAGCACCGAGCUAGAUAUGCACCUUGUUGAGAAGCUACCUAGCAUUCCAAAAGAUGAAUUACAUGAGAAAUAGUGUCAAAAUAAGGCAAAAGCAACACAGAGGAAAUGAAAAUAAGUAACCUGAGCAGUCGCAGGAAGACUCUUCAUCUGUGUAUCAACAUGAGAAAGGGCUAACUUGAACCCUUCAAUAUCUAUCUCUUCUCUAUCAUUACCCUCGGGGUCCUUGAAUAGGUCUACCACAUCAAACAGAUGCUUGCUUUGUAGGUAAAGUUCCACUUGGGGGUAUCGAAUGACAAUGUCCUCAAUCACUUCUCGAAAUUCCUCAAUCGUGAGACUCCCAUUAUUAUCCUUGUCUGCUGCUUUAAAUAUUUCUGAGAUAUCUUCCUGAUAAAAAAACAAGUGAAACUAAGAAUGAACGGCAAGAUAGUAAAAUGAAAGCAAUUUUGUGAGAACCAACACAUUGAUACAUCUUAAGAAUAUAAUGUGGUUCUAUAAUUGCAUGAGAAUGGUUGACCGGUAAGCCCUUGUUAGGCUAUUAUUUAAUUCUUUUUCCUGACUAGACUAAUUGUACCAAUGACUGCAUGCACCUCAACAAAGUUUCACAACUGCCUUGUUUGCUAGUUAUUUUUUAUUAGCUCAAGCCCCAAAAUCUUCACCUUGAUUUUGGGGCACCUCAACAAAGUUUCACAACUGUUAUUGUUGGCUUUCAAAACUCAACUAUAUUCAAAAACUACAGUAAUAACUAGUUCAUGAUCCUUGAUGCUGAAAAUUCUCCGUAGAAACACUUCAUGUUAACAUGCUAAGUUGAUGUAAAGAUAUUAUAUCUGUUAGACUUACUGUGUUUUCUCAGCUAAUUGUUGAUAUGUCAUUAAGAUGAUUAAAACCUGAAAACUGAGCGACCUCAUUCAAGUGCAUGCAUGCCAAACAGGGAGUAAUUUACCAUCAUCAAGUUAAUGGGAGUUUACAACUUUCUUGUCUAACUCAGUCAAAAUUCUAAGUAAAUGAACACAUAUAAGAACAUAUACCUUAAUUUUCUUCUGCUGGAGAUGGGUACAAUCACCAAGAGCAUAAACAUAUUCACAUCCCUUUACUCGCAGCCAUUCAUCAGUUGCUAGAACACGUCUACUGCCCUGCAAAAGGAUUAGCAUUGCAAUAAAUUGGCAUAUAAGAACACCAGUGUAGAACGGACUUACAUUUUUUUUAAUAUGCUCACAUACGAAAUCAAACUCAGUUACAAGGUAGCUUGAUACUAGAAAGAGAAAUAACCAAAACAUAGGGAAGAAGUGAGAGCUUACCUGACCAAUUUGUUCCAUAAAGUCUUUCACAACUGGACGACUGCCUACUCCUGUUGACCAGACAACCAUCCCAUGCGGCAUGGAAAUAUCUUCUCCAUUUGAUUUCAUUUUCAUGUUUACGGUUCUAUCAGAAACACUGACAACCCUCCGUCCUGUUAAAACUUCAAUACCAUCUCUACUGAAUUUCUGCUCAGCAAACGUGCUAAUUCUUUCAUCAAACCUACAUUAAAUGUAUAUUCACAAAAUCAGCUUUCCAGAUAUUAGGUCAAAUCUAAGAGAUUUCAAAAGCAGAGAUAAUGUAUCUUUCCAACUCUCCACAACCAUUUAUUGGCUGCUAUAAAGUUUCUUUCAAACUCAAUAAAACCUAAAACUGGUUAUUCUCUUUCCCCCACCCACACCAAAGCACAGCAAUAAAAACAACAGAUGGAAAGACAUGUUAUAUAGCAUUGCACAACUAUUAACAGACAGGAUAUGUGUCACCUAUAAGUUACAUGAACAAAGAUGAAAUAACCAAUAUAACUACACAAGAACAAUUGAAGAGCACCAACUAAAUGAACAAGUUGUUUAUAGAUAACUAGCCAGUCAAAUCUACCCCCUUAAACAUCCAGAAUAACUUAUUAGGACAUUCAGAGGAAAUAAAUCAUCAAAGUAGUGCCAUAGAAACAAUAGCACAAGCCACUGGCCAGAAUGAGUAGGUAUCAGGCAAGUUAGGUAGUUAAAAUAUAUCCAACGUAGGUUGCCAACUACUAUACUAAGUCUACUUGCACAUGAAAGGGGGAAAAUCCACAUCCUUUUCAACAUUUACAGCUUUGAUUUGGAAUUAUGGCAGGGCUUUGGAAGGACAAAGAACAGAUUGCUAUUAGUCAAAGAUUAUUGUUGAGACAUCCACAAGGUGAGUGCAAGGUCACAAUGCUGAGAUAGGAAUGGUGAAACAAAAUUAUUCUAACAGACAGUUUAGAAUCAUUAGAUUGUGAGUCAAAGGCCCAACAUAGCAUCAGGACUACUCAGUCUAACUUGGAAACUGAAAUGUAGGAAUUUAAACAAACAUAUAUUCUCCAUUACCCUGUUCUCCCAUAGGAAACAAUUUUCAGAAAAGGACUACUACAACAAAAAGGAAGAGGAUAAGGGAGUCAAGAUUUUCAUCAUCAAAUGCAUAAAAAUGCUGUUGCAAUUUUGAGAUAAAUUUGGCAAAUAUAUACAAGUCAGUUGGCACUUGCUAAUCAAUUCUAUAAACGUUUCUGAAGAGUUAUCUCAAGAUAAUCUUGUGAUGAACUAAAUGUUUGAUCUCAUGAACGAUGAAGGCUGUAAGAAUAAGGAAAACUUAAGCUUGUAAUCAAGAUGAUGAUAUUAAAAAAUGUUUAAAGUUUUGUAUAUAUCAUAUACUUGUUUUGAAAUUGUCAACUAUUGCCUUUUCGUUCAAAAGGGAUAAUCCAACUUCAAAUAGGAUGGAAUAUUCAUGAAGAGUUAAGAGUGUGAUAGCAGUUUAAACAGGACAGAAGGAAAAAUAUAAUAUCUCAUAAUCUAAAAAGAAACUUUUGUUGUACAAAACCCUGAAAGAAAUAGUAAAUUUAAUCUUCACAUUAAGCAAAAUGAACAUAAUCUCAACAGUGCCUAGGAAGAAAAGUACAAAACCCAUUUUGAUGCUGUGGCGACAAGGUAGUAUAGAAGGCAAAGACCAAGCAGCUAAAGGAAAUUUGUAAUAAAAAAAUCUACUAGCCUAGAAAGUCGAUAACCUUACCAUAGAUCUCGUCUUGUGUGUGCCUAUUUCUGGUGGUGCUACUAGAAGUAAAACUCAAUGCCUAUGAAAAACUUUCAGAGUCUUAAACUCACCAAUUUUUUGUCUACAAAUGAAUCAGAAAAUUAAAAAUCUCUGCAGGAUCACCAUUUCUAAGAGAUCCACCAUUCAGAAGGUUCAGAGAAAAUAUGCUAGGAAAUAAACUGGGCAAGGCAUAUCUUACGUGUUGAGAAUAUGGUCCCCAGAUUGGAUCACUGUUAUUUUUACUAAAUCUUUAACUCCGGGGUAUAUAUUGACUAGAUCCUCGUAGACAAAGUCAUGUAGCUCUGCAGCAAACUCUACACCAGUUGGACCUCCACCAACAAUAACAAAAUGUAGAUUGGUUUUUCGUUCUUCAUCUGUCAACCCUGGAAGAACGGCUUUUUCAAAGCAAUCAAUUACAGUCCUCCGGAUCCUUUGAGCAUCUUCUACUUCCUGCAUACAGUUCAUGGCUUCUUUAUUAAAGGAGAACUCAGAGUCUAGAAAUGAGAUUCUUCUAGUGAUAGAAUCAUUAAAUACUGUUCCCAAUAAGCUGUUAACUGACUAAAUUAUGCUUGUCUCCAGUGAACAAGUACUCAACCUUCAAAAAGUGGCAAUACUCUGCUACACCAGGAAUGUUAAAAGUAUUAACUUCUGCACCUACUGCUAUAACCAAACAAUCAUAUUCUAGAUCAAAUUCAUCUUUUCCUGCUAAAUUCUCGUCAACAGUGGACUUGCAGAAAACCCUCCUAUUUGCUGCAUCAAUCUUCAGGCAUUCUGCUUCCCAAAAUAGUAUUUCACCAUUUCUCUGUCAUGAAAGGGGAAUUGAUGAAAAACCCAUCAUUAACUCAUCAAUGGGAUACGUAAUUGGAAAUCAGAGAAAGGAAAAAGAAAAUUGUGAGUGAGUUAUAGGCACAGAGACAAUAAUGUCCUGAGACCAAGUGAAGAAUGAUGUAGCUCAGAAACGGACAAACUAAACAUGUAUAGAAACAAGGGAGGGGUGAAAGGAAAACUUCCAGGCAAGAUAAAGAUACAAAAAUUUCCAAUUUCCACCACAACAGCAACCCUAUGGAUAACCUAAAUGUACUGCAUGAAGUUUUCCAAGGAAAAAAGAAAGAUCAACACAAAAGACACUACCAUCUUUGCAUCACCUUUUUUAUCAUGUUCCGCACAGGCUCUACAAUACUUCGUGCCUCAACUGUUCCACAUGUCACACUAGGCAGCAAAGGAGUAAAUGCAAAAUAAUUCCUCGGGGAGACAACUUGCACAUCAUAGGAAGAAAUAUCCAGAUCCUUCAGGAAGCUAGUAGCGGCCCAUCCUGUCCCAAGCACAACCACCCUCUUCUUCUGUGAUUUCUUAUUACCAUGUUCAACAAUGGACAUUUUGCCGUCUGAUUGAGAAUCUGCAUAUGCAAUGAGACCUCCACUACUGCAGAAACCAGUGAAACAUGAGGUUUACAGAUUGAAAAAAGGACCAGAAAAACUUGCAGUCCCUAGCACGGUAAAGCAUAAGAAGAAUGAUACACAUAAAAAGAUAAUCCAUCUCCUAUUCCAUUUACUUGUAGCAUUAUAUAAGAAUACAAAUGAAAGCCAACUGGCAUCUGAGGGAACAAGUCCAACUCCACAAGGAAAUCCUUGUGCAUUAGCUACUCACAAUGUAAAAAUGGCUACCCUGAACAAAUUAUAGAACCAGAGAGAGAAGUUUGUUAGCCAGAUAUUACUAGACUAACCAGAUUAAAAUUUCUAUUCCUGUCAUAGAUGAGUUAAUAAUGCUCCAUUCAUACCCCAAAUGCAAGCAUGCACAACUCCCCCAAUUCCCAGACCAUAUUUUACCUGAAUAUCUUGAUGUGCACAAGAAAAAUCACCAUGCACAGGAUCAAAUUUAUUAAACACUGGACUCAAAAACCAAAUGAGUGAAAUUUAUGAUUCAAGUUCAUGUAGAAAUUCAACAAACUGUAGCUAUUAAGUCCUUUAAACACUAUCAAUCGUCUAAAGAGAUUAUGGAAACUCCUAAAAAAGCAUGCUAAUCAACUGUCAUGGGUUCAUAAUCCAUCAAGUGAAUGCUUCAAUUUUACUACCAUCUGAUUAGCCCUUAUUUCCUUAUAAAGCGGGGAGAAAAAUUGUCAAACUGAAAGACUUAUGAAUCAUAGAUAUGACUAUUAUUGACAGACUCAAGUAUCAAUCAUCCACAUUACCAGCCUGUGAAACAAUAAAUCUGUCUUUUCUUCAAAUAGUCUAGAUCAGAUAACAUAUCAAACAGUAGAACCAUACAAGUACAGUUUUCUGGUCAGCACUUCUCAGCAAGACAACAUGCUCAAUCUUCCAUUCAAGAAUAAAAGAAAAGAACCCGCCAAUAUCACAAAAUCAACAUGUUUAAAAUGGGAAAUUCAGUCAAACUCUGAAUAUCACAUUCGCAAACUUCUCAACCAAACAAGGCAAUAACACAUCAAACAACCAAAGGUACACAAAACAAGCAUGUAAAUGAAUUAAACAAAGAUAAAAGAUCCAUUCUUUCCACUAAAGAAAAAGAACCCAUCAAGGUUUACCAAUAAAGAUUAACAAAAUGUAACUAAAUUCAAGCCAAGAUGAAGCACGGAACCUUAUAGAGCAGAGAAUCAAUAACUUAGAGGCAUAAGGCCGUCCAUGAAAAGCACUUUGCAGGUAUGACAGAACCCUCAUAUUCAAAUCUUCUCCUCCUCCUCCUUUCUUGGCUGAUCAGAAACGAGUGUGUGUGAAAUGAACAGGAGAGUGGGAAGCCUCCGACCAACUGUUUCUUCCAACUUUGUGUGGAUUUUGUCUUUUUCCGUAGCUAAAAGUGCCAGCAAAUUUUUCAAUCAAAUUUUCUACGUAUACUACUACUUACUACUGUAUAAAAUAAACAGCAUUUGUUUUUCUCUUUUGAAUAAUUUUUAAGGUUUUGAGUUGGGAUAUUUGAGUAUUUUAAGGCUGAGUGUGAGAUUAAUGCCGCGUGGCAAUUAUGGUUAAAACCUCCACUGGGAACGCUCUGACUUGACUUUAGGUCUGACCACUGACUUUUCCCCAUUUGGAAUAAGAUCUAAUCUCUCUCUCCCUCCCUCCCUCCUUGCGGUUGUUUGUUACCACUAACGUGGCUGUUGGUGCUAAUAAGUCUUCUCCUUUUGGUGUCGUGUAGACCUGAAAAUUUUAGUAAGAUGGUCACAUUUUUUAUCUUUAAAAACACAAGAUCAAUAGAGAUUUCUUAUUUAUCUCUUUGAUGACUCGAAUUUUAAACUUGUGACAUAUAAGUUUAUUUGUGACCUUGAUUAUAGGUGGAACGUGCAUUUUAUUAAUUAAAUUACGCUUCGUUAUCAAAUAAUAACACUAAAUAAUCAUUUAUGAUGCUUUAAUAGCAAAAUUUUACUAAGAUGGCAAUGCAUUUUUUAGAAUUUGCGAGUAGGAUCAAAAUUUGAGCAGCUGAAUUAACAUAUUCAAGUAGUAUUAUUCAUGUACUAUAAUUUACAACUACUACAUCAUCGAGACUUGAUGAAUUAAUGAGAACUGUGAUUACUGGUUGGUUGUAGUGUUAGAGCUCCAUUUCUAUCUCUUUAGCUACUUUUGGCUCUAUAACAUAGUUGUAUCUUCGUCGAAUUGUAUCAAGUUAUUGUAUUUUCUAUAUUAUUCAAGAUAUAAUCACAUUAUAUUAUUGUAUUGCAGAAAGAGUCAAUAUGUAUAAAUAAAAUAUUAUAUAUAUUUUUAUACAAUAAUAUAAUGUAAUUAUACACCACAAAUUAUAAUAUAUACAAUGAUCGGACAAAACCAGAUACAAAUAUACAAUACAGAUGCACCUGUCCCGUCCCCCUGUCUAGAAAAUGUCAAAAGUUUUCUUUUUAAAUCCAAUUGCAUUUAGCCUUGAAAGGAUGAUUCUGUCAUUUUAACAAAAUUUAAAAAUAAGUUAUGGCAAUAUCACAUGCCAUGUUAGCAUCAUGGACCGUCUACGUUCCAUGUUUUCCUUUUCCCAAAACCAAAAAAAAAAAAAAAAUUCUGUUUGUCUUGGUAUUAAUUUAUUGAUCUUUUUAUUGUUGAUGCUCCUCCAUUUACUUACAAAAUGUGCUCAAACAAGUUAUUUAUGUGGCAAAUGAUAACCAGGUAGUUCAAGGUUCGUAAAAUCUUUGAAACAAAUUACUAAUUAUGAAGUAAUGAAAUAGUAACAGUAUCAAUCAACUUAAGUGUUAAAAUACUUUUGAGUAAAUUUCAAUCGUUGAAUAAUCUAGAAGGAUGGAGACGAGGACAUUGGAAAAAUCAUUAGCUAAUUAUUUUCUUAAUCUCAAAAAAAUCAAAUGUGCUCUUGGUAUAGCUAACCUUCAACCACGUGGCAUGGACCAAACAAAGCUUGUUCAACCAAAUUGAUGUAUGGAGUCAGUUUGUUCAACAUUCACUGUGGCGCAAUCAAAGGGAAAAGAUUGAAAUAAGCAUUUUUAGUACAGCUUAUUAUAGGUGAUGAUAUAGACAAUGAAGUCAGGAAGUUUUAGAGUUAAUCUUGUAUACACUGACAGUAUAUACAUUAUUUUCAUUGGAUACAUGAUAUAUAUAUAAAAUUCAGAUUUUUAAUUUAAAUUCAGGUUAAUUGUCACAGAUUUAGUGAUAAUAAUACAUACAUUGUCAAUGUGUAUAAAAUUAAUUCCCAGUUUUAUAUAGUGUUAUUGAUGUUAGUGUUGGUCCUAAGUUUGUUCCUCGAAAACAAAUAUGUAACAAUUUUAUGUUGUAUUAAUAUGCUCUCUCUAACUUUUGAAUUUUGUCAGUAUGGACUGAAUUUCCCACCAGAGCUUAGUAGAUUGUUAAAAUAGACAUUUGAACGUGCAAUUUUGACUAGAAAAAAAGAAUAUUACGGAACUCCUAUUUCGUUUGUUUCUUUAUCUACUCUUUUUUUUUUUUGUUGCAACGAUAGGAUUCCUAUAACCUAAUCUAGCCUAAUUUAGGGGGAUAGAAAAGAGGGAUCCGAUAUGAAUAUAGGCUCCAUCGAAAAAAACCAAUUAAGGCUGCCACAUAUAAUGGCAAAUUCGUGGGAGGAACGAUUGACCUCCUACACCACCAGGAUUUAAGUAUCUUUGGUGGUGACCACCAGGCCAAAGGCCUAGUGGCGUUUGUUUAUCUACUCUGAUAAUUCAAUUCUGCUGCCUUCAAUCCUUUUUUUUUUUUUUGGCUGCCUUCAAUGCUUAAUACUUCCAUACAUAAUACCAGCAAGUAUGAAAUGGGUUCUCCUAAACAAUGCCAUUUCAAUGAUUAAGCUGGAAUUAGGUGGACGACCAUUUUCACUCGUAGUGAUACUACACGCAAAUGAAGAAAAAAAAAGAAAAUGUAGAAUAACAGUUCCUAUAUUAGUAGACAAUUCCAAAUCAAUAUUAACUUUCAGCUGAACAUAAAAGACAUUAUAGUAUCAUAUUAACAUUUAAAUUCCGGUUAUGAAAGUUUGGGUAGUUUUCGAUCACCAUGAAAGGUCAUAGGAUAGGCUUCUUAAAACUAUGACUCACUUGAAUAUAACAGUUUCUGUAGUAGCAGACAAUUCCAGAUCAAUAUUAACUUUCAGUUAAAUACAAAAACAUUAUAGUAUCAUAUAACAUUUAAGUUUGGAUGAUUUUCGAUUACUACGAAAGAUCAUAGGACAUGCACCUUAAAAUUAUAAGUCACUUACAAAUCCUUUUCAAUAACAUAGUUCAUCUUUACUGACUGAAUCAACAGGACCAGGGGCAUAGAUAGUUAUUAGUGACAAAACGUCAUAAACAGUGUAAUAUUUUUUUGAACGAGGUGUAAUUCAGUACAAAUUACUUGUAAAAGUUCAUAACAAAAACUCAAUUAUUAUACAUGAAAUCCAGAUGAAAAGUAAUAGAAUAUCACACCUCUAUAAAAAAGAUGGCCAAGAGCAAUUUACAUAUAAUUACAAAAUAUUUAAAAAAUAUUAUACUGUUCAAGAACGAUUGAUCUGACAACUAUCCAUACCCCGUGCCAUUCGAACCAACAUUGGUGGAUAUGCAUUGGCAUUCAAAUACUAUAUCAGUCAGACCAGUUCACAAACAAUGUACACUCUAUUAGAUCAUGUUCGUUGUCACCUCAAGAUAUCCUCGUCCGCAAGGUGCUAGGAAUACGGCUAUACUAGCAAGAAAGAACAUAUAGUAAUUAUUAUAGGUUUGUUUGGAUUGUGUUUUAUUUCCCCAAUUUUAUCUGCUUACAUCAUCAUUACAAUUUCCAAUACACCUUUUUAUCUUCCCAAUUACCUUUUUAUCUCACACACAUCACAUCACAAAAAGUGUUACAGUAAAAAUAUUCCAAAUAAAACACAAUCCAAACAAACUAUAGUUUCCUGGUAUUCCCACCACUGUGGAAAAACUUACAUGCUGCAGAAAAGUGUGACAAGGCCUAUGUCUGAUAUUCUUCCAAGCUUGUUGGAACCUUCUACGCUGGUCAAAAAGCCACUGGAAUAUUUUGUGUUCGCGUGGUUGUGCAGGCCUCGUACUUUCCACGCCCCCGCUUACGAAAUACGAUGAAUGACACAAGCAAGGACAACAGCAGGACACGUACCAAACAAAGUCGUAUGCCCAGAAAAGUGAUGCCUUCUAAAAAGAAUCCUUAAAAUGUAGGGCCAUUUUGGAGCUACAAGUUACACGUGAGCAAGAUUUUGCAUGAGAUACAGGAGGAUUUGGUAUUGGGAAUUUCUUUUUCAAUUGUCUGCUUCAAUAUAGUAAUUUUUUCGAACUUUUAUUUCCAAAUGAUGUAGCUUUUGAUCUAUUUAGACAUAAAUUUAUUAAACAAUGCACUCAGAGUACGUUAUUUAAAAAACACGUUCACAGAUCACGUUUUCUUAAAAAUCAUCAAUCUUUAGGCUGGUGGUCACUAACAAAGAUCAAUUGCCACAUUAAAGUAGUUUUGCUUUAAAAAAUUCACAUCCAUCUGAUUUGGUGGUGGUUCAGUCCUCUUCGAAUUACCCAUAUACCUCCUUGGAUCUGCCCCCUUUCCCUAAUAUAGGAUAUAUUAGAUUAUACAAUAGUUAUCGUCUUUGGAAAAAAAAAAAAGAUCACAUUUUUUCAAAACCUUCACUGUUUGGGAACAAGUUUCAAAAAGUUGCAUCAUUUGGAAAUUUUCACAAACACAGUCCCUUAUUUUGAGUAAAUUCCAACGGGUGAAUGUAUGAUCUUAUAAAAGAAAUUGUCAAAGUGAUUUUCAAACUUCUUUUAAAAGGGUGAAAAACAUAUUUACCAAACGUCAUGUAUCUUCAAAAGUUGCAUUCACAAAUUGCAUUAUGUCAAAAGUCGAAUAACUCUUUUCAAAAAGCACCACCAUUGAAAAUUUACUCCUUAUUCCUUGCAAAAGCAAAUUUGCAAUACAAUGAAAAAAUAAACCUAAGCACAUUCAACAGCCCAUCAAAAUAUCCCCCUUUUUCCUUACAAAAAAUUCCUGACAUGCAGAAAGCCAACUACCUAGGGUAGAGAGUAAUUGAAUGGUUAGAUUGAUUUUUUUUCCCAAAAAAAGGAAUGCUUAGAUUGACAAAGAAAUUCCAACAAGAGGCACGGAGUUCUACCACAGGGCAAAGUCGACUAUAGCAUAAUUUAACAAUACAAAAAUCGCCUGCCAUUUAAGCGCUCACUAUUAGCAAAUACCAAUAUUACUGUUGGAGAGAAUCCAUUUAAAAAUUUUUUGAGUCAUUCCUUGACAUACGGUAUUACCAAUAGCAUGCCCAAAAUACCUUUUCCGGCACUACAGAAUUUGGCCAAAGAACAAAGCUAGUAUAUUGCAUCUCGAUCAUGAUUCAGGUAAUACAGAGAUUUGACCGUAGAAUAAGAUCAGUGUUUGUCUACAUCAUUUCAUCUGAAAGCCCAGUGGCAUCUAUACUAAAACAGCAAAUCACAAUACAAUUGACAAGAAUUCACAUCUUCGCACUUUAUAUUUACAUUGGAAGAAAGUAAACAGGUACUCCCAACUUCCCAAAGAGACCUGACGCCCAUUUCAUGCUGUUGAAUGCUGUUAGCUGACUUCAACUAUCUUGUCAUAUUUCAAAAAUGGUGCAUCUGAGAUCAACAAGCUGCACAUUACAUCAUAAUUUGAGAUGGAAAGAGAUGAAAUUAUAAUGUCCUCCAUAAUCUGAUUGUAGUGCAGUGAUUUAACUCCACCCUCAUGGGGUAUUAGAUAGGCAAAGCUGAUAAACAACACUCCUUUCUUUUUGAGUUUUUCAGUUACAAUCACCUUUAGUUAAAAAGGUGUGUGUAUAGUUUAAACUCAAUCAGUGGAAAGAAGAGCCAAUCAAUUUUUCUUUGCAACUUCCAACCCUCGCCGCCCAAAAGCUCAACAAGGUUGUGCCUCAGUAUUACGAAUCAUCACUAGGAUUCUCCAACAUGAGACCAAGCUUAUGGCAUGAGGCACAUAAUAACUCAAAACCAUCUGAAAUGCUUCACUGGCCAUGACUGGCUCAUAAAGCCAGUGUAGGACUUCUUAUUCAAAGACUGUUAGUAUUCAUUAUGCCCCUCAGUCAUCACAGAGCUGUGUUAUUACUAACUUCCGCUUCAGAAAACCUUGCUAAGAUUAGAAAAUUUUCCAGGAUCUCAAUUGACUUAGAUCCACAACUAAAAAUUGAUUAUCAAAUUACAACCUCAGGAAAAAUCCAAUAAUUUCACACUCUGAAGUAAUCACCAAGCAGGUUCUCCCUUAAAGCAGGGAAUUGAGGUGAACCACACCUCAAAUAAGCCAUCCUUGACUCAGCUUUCAGAUCAGAUUAAACAGACAAGUUUUUCAUUCAUCCUAGAUAUUAGUCCAAGCACAUCCAAAAGAAGGAAAUAUAUUCCAAGCAACCAAGCAAUUAAGAUAGAUCACUGGUAACCAAAACAAACAUGCUGGAUAAGAUUCUGGCACAAGACAUGGAAUUUUGAACCAAAUUUAGUGUUGUUAUUUAACUCCAAUCUCGUCAGCAUUCAAGAGAAAGAAGCUGAUGGCAACACAUACUUCUCUGAGUUUUUCAGACCCUAAACCCACAACAGAUUUAGUCGGGUAAGAGUAUAGUUAAACUCAAUCAUACUAAACAACAAUCCACGUUUUCAUUUGUAUGCAAACCAUAGUAACAUCAGCCAAAAAUCCUGUCAAGGGACAAGACAAAUCAUCAAACUACUGUAAAAAUACAAGUGCAUGUUCUUUUACUCAUUUUACUAAACAAACAUGGUAUCAUAUUCCUUGACAACCAUAAUAACAACAUUUUCACAGAUUUCAUCAGAACAAUAUUUCAUUUUUCUUGUACUAUUAAAAAUCAAAGACAAGAAGGAAAAAAAAAAGAUUACUGCCUCAGUUAAAUCCCAUGUGAUCGUGUGCAAUGUAGCUUCACCAAGUAGGUUCUCUCUGCAAAAGCAGAGACUUGGCUCCACUACACCUCAUAUAGGUGGAUUAUAUCAUCAAUGGCAUUUGAAAUACAAAAGAUCAAUCAUAAUUACAAAAAUACGUUCAAUGAAAACGAAUGAAAUAAGAAAAAUUCAAAUCAACGGCUAUAGUCUCAGAUUAAUCCCUUAUAAACAUAGUAAUAUCAUCUAUUGGUGUUAUUACUACACCUGAAAUACUAUCCAGCAACAUUAUUCACAGAUUUCAUCAGAACAACUUUUUCUUAUUUCCUGUACUCUUGAAAAUCAAAGACGAAGAAAAAAAGACCAGAUUUCUGCCUCAGUUAAAUCCCAUAGGAUCAUGUGCAAUGUAGCUUCACCAAGUAGGUUCUCUCUGCAAAAGCAGAGACUUGGCUCCACUACACCUCAUAUAGGUGGAUUAUAUCAUCACAGGCAUUUUUGAAAUACAAAAGAUCAAUCAUAAUUAGAAAGAAUACGUUCAACAAAAAUGAAUGAAAUAAAAAAUUCAAAUCAACGGCUACAGUCUCAGAUAAAUCCCUUAUAAACACAGUAAUAUCAUGUUCUGGUGUAAUUGCUACACCUCAAAUACUAUCCAGCUUAUACUAACUUAUCUUCAUUGACUGCUAAACCAUUUCCACUAUUAACAAAUGCAUAAAUAAUUUGAUUAUCAGAAUUAUUAUUAUAAAAAAUCAAUAAACGAUAAGUAAUUGCAAAAAUGAAAAGGGCUCAGAGGAAUAUUACAGCUCUAUCAAUCAAGAAUUUUCUGAAGCAGAACUGGCAUUAUAAGCUGAAUUUUCAUCAUCCCCGCCGAAAUUAACACAAAGAAUAUGUUAUGCAUCUUAAAAAUAAUGGAUAUCUCAACAGAAUAACACAAAAGAUAGUAAUUUUUUGAUUUGGCUCAUAUCAAGAAAUUCAACCAUUUUUAAAAUUUUGCAUCAGAGAAAUGCUCUCAGAAGCGCGGAUAAAUCCAAUUUAAUCAUCGCCAAAGAAAAACAAUUUUCAAAAUUAAAGCUAAAUUUGAAGACAAUUUAGCGGAUGUUCUUAGAAGUAAAACAACAAGAUUGAAUUUUCCCCACGUUGACACCGCCGGUAAAUUUUCAUAUUUGCCUCCUUGACUAGACCUUUUUUCAUUUAUGUAAAAUCCAGAAAAAAAGCUAAAGGUGUUGAGGCAAGUCAUUCGAAAUUGGAUAAAAAACAAUCAGAUGAAGGCUAAUCAAAAUAUAGCCGUUGCUUUGACACAGAUUCAGCCCUGGGAUGAAAUUAGGUACAUGAGGCUGAACUGCAACACUGAACGGCGACGUUUUAGCACGAGCUUUGGGGCAAUCUUCUUCAUUUAAUAUAGAUUCGGAGCAGCCCGGGAGGCUACGUGCAAUUCUAUCAAUUUCUGAGAUUGAAAAAAAAACCACAAAAAAGAGAAAUUCGGUGUGUGUUCUGUGUGUGAGAGUUGGAGGAAGAAUGGUGGAGGGCGGAUUGAAUGAAGGGGAAAAUUUAGGGUUUUAUAGAAGAGAGAAGAGGAGAGUGCUUUGGAACCCUAACCCCUAAAAUCAGGGUUUUAUAGACAGCAUUGGGUUUUGUUUGGAUCAAGCCCAUCAAAUCAACCCAUUGGGCUCAGGGGUUUAUGGGGAGUGGCAUUCUUUUUCUUUUUUUUUUUUAAUCUGUUAUGUAAAAAUUGUUCAAGAAUUCUUCUAUAAUUAACUUGCAAGUAACUCUAUACAAGAAUUUCUUUCGCAGGUCUAAUUAAGGUAGGCUAUAAUUUUGAAAGAGAAAAGGAGCGUAAAUGAGAGAUUUGAAUUUGAAACCUCCCACUUACAUAAAAAAAAAUUGAUAAGUUAUAAUUUGUAGAAUAUAACAAUGCACACUUAAAAUUUAGCAUUUAUUAGGAUAAAAUUUCUGAACACUAUUAGUAUAAAAGUUUUGCUUUAUUUAAAAUUUUUUUUAAAAAAAUUUCUGAACACUAUUACAAUUUACAUGAUUUUUAUUCGAAAUUAAAUUACUCUUUUGGCCAUGUGGUAAAAAUCUACGCCAAGUGUAAAAGAAUUCAAUAUUUGGUACCAUUUCCCUUGGGUUCUAUUCACCAAGUUUUGUUUGGACAAAAACCAGUUCUAACAGCGCAAGAAUUUAGCAAUGUAAAUACCAGAGGCCGAGAUUUAAAGAAGAAUUGAGGGCAACCACUUUUGACUGUCAAACCAUAUGACAUCUUCUAAAGUUGUGAAUUUAGUGAACUUGCUGUGGCAGAAUAUAGGAAACAAGUUACAAAAGUAAUGGGAUAAUGUGGGGAAAGUACAAAAUCUUAUCCCAGCUAUACAAUUUGAUGAGCAAAUUCUAUGGUCUCAGCGCUGAAAUCAGGAUAAGCAGACCUGUUAGUCAAGCAAUCAUCCAUGUCAGGUGUCUAUAUCCAGCCCAUUUAGCGGCAACGCGGAGACCAAUUGCCAAUGCAGCACAAAGAAGUGGAAUUGGAACUCUCCUAACUGGUCCAGUAACCUCAUUUUCUUUGCCAUCUGAACGUUGCUUUGAAUGUUGAAUGAUGGCCAGUGCCAGAUAUGAGGCCAGCACUAUGAUUCUAAUCCAAGGUUCUCCCACACCAGCUAAAACAGCUGCCGCAGGCAAUGCAGAAGAGACAUAAUCUCUCUUCUUAACAAAACGAGAAAAACUAAACAAACCCAAAAGUAAUAUCCAAAAGAAUAGCUCAGAAAUGUAGCUCCUAACAGCAGCAAGACCGAUUAAUCCAGCUAACGUGAGCAUGUAUGGCUGGCUAUUUACAGAGUCAGGAACAGUCGCUUCAGAGAUAGCAAGUACGGCUGAUGACAGGACGAUAACUGUUGAAAGCUCUGGAAUAGGAGCAUAUGCAAUCACCCAGGAGUAGGAUGCUCGAAUGGUGUAAAAUGUAGUCUCAAUACCUCUAAUCAAGGAUGUAAUUGGAUCCCCUAUAAAAUGGAAUACAAGGGCUAAUGCGAGUUUUAAGAUGUAUCCAAGGAAUUGGAAGAUAGCUGCCACAGCCUUCUUCCAGUUGGACAAUUCCCACAAGACAGUUCUCCAGGCAUAAAGUGCAAAAGCCAAUGCUGCAUGUCAUUCACAGUCAACAAAAGAAUCAGUCAACUCAUAAUCUUUUUUACGCUCAUGAAGAGAACCACUUCUUAAAUCAAAGGCUAACAAAAAAUACCGAAUUAGGAAAAUAUAGGUUGGCAUGGCCAUUUCGCUUUCUUACUUUGGUUUUUAAGUAAAUAGUUGCAAGUCAUCUUACAUUAAGUCCAUUAGAUAUAUAGUCCAUUAUCACAAAAAUAUAUUAAAAUCAGAACACCUAAAUCAAAUUAGCAAACUAGAGUUAGAUAUGCGUUUAACAAAGAAACUGAGAAAUAUAGGCUACCAACAAAUGUUCUCUUGAGAACAAAAAGGGCAAGCAACAGAAAACCAUAAACAAAUCAACGAAUCAUGUUAUGUAGUCGCCCAAUGACUAGAGCUUUCUUGAAUCAGGGUGUCACUUUCACCAUCAUUUUCCAUAUACAAAUUAAAACAUCUCUCCCUUACAGUAGUAACUAAUAGAUCUGAACAUUCUUUACCAUUUGCAGUUUAUAUUUCUUGUUCCUUCUAAUCAAUAAUACCAUUACACUUAUGUCCUUUUUCAUUGAGGAUUUGUUUCUUUCAUAGGCUACUGAAGUUAAUGUAUCCGAAUGCACUUUAUCAUGAAAGAUUCUAACUGAGCUUUCAUGCAAGAUUAUUAACAUAUAUUUACCCCUCCAUUCUUGGACCACAAACAAUGAUCAGAUAAAACUCAUUAUUUUGCAUGCCUGAAAAGUUCCAGAACUGCAAAUGUCUCAAGGUCACCACUGGACUUGAAUAUGAAGGUUAACAUACGAGUUAACCACUUAAUCUACUCAUACAAGGACUUAUAUACGAAAUUUGAACACAGACUUGCAUCAUUCAUGUUGUUAGGCAACACAUAAGCACCAACAAUGGAGGCAUACACCUCUUAAGUAAUGACUCCCAAGUCAUGAAAACUAACAAUAUUUGAGUGAAAAAUAAUGACACAAAUUAGAAGAACAUUUUAAACCAAAAUGAUUAAGAAAAAUAUCCACCUGCAUAAGUUGAGCCUAAAAGACAAAGCAAAAGUAAAGCACGUAGAAACAUUUAAAUUCAUGCUGGUCCGAAAAUUUAACUUAAUGAAGGAAAUCAGAAACGACUCAAUGGCAGCAUUUGAUAUAAAGGUUUCGGAUUUGAAUUACUUUAAAUGACUCAGGGUAAAACAAUCCUACUGAAGCUAACACUUCAGUCUCUGGUCUUGUGACAAAAGAAGAAGAGAACUAAUUGAGUACUAUGAACCCUGAUACUAAGCUAACUCUUGUGAGAUAAUGAUGAAUAUGACUCAAUAAGAGGCAAAAACCUAUCUUAUAACAUGUUGAACCAUAAAAGCUUUCUCCUUGGUUGACUAUAUUCAUUGGUAUUCCCAACAUCAAUUUGGAAAUUAAAGGAACCGUUCUCUCUCUGGAGGUUAGAUUAAUUUACAACAAACCUAACUGGUAGUCGAAAUGAAAACAGGCUUUUUACUUGGUGAUGGUAUUUCUCAUUGCCCUAGAUGUUGCAGCUUGCUUUUUGCUCCUACAUAACAACCUGUCUUGAAAGUCCAGAACAUGUUGCUGAAGUUUCCUGUGCCAUGAAAAGGUCCAUACCUAUCUAGUUGGGCUUAUCCCAAGUCUUUUUUUAUAAAGAUGACCAAUUUAGUGUAAAUUAGACUCACAGUUCCUUUCAGUGUGCAUGUUACCAGUUUUAUUUUACACGCAGUCAUGCUCACCUCAAUGUUCUUGGGAUUAAUGGAUUAUAAAAACUUGCAUCUGACGUAAAAGGUAAAAUAAACACCUCAUGUAGUAAUCCUCGAUGGAAUUUGUAAACUAAUGAGCUUAUACUCAACACUCUUGACCUCUGCCUCCAAGUGAUUUAGCUGGUAUGGUUAUUAUCCCUAGCAGCAAACAUCAUAUAAAGCAUGAGGCAAAAAGUUUAAUGUUCCUAUUACAAAAUAAAUGCCUCUAUUGCACUUCCCAAGAGAAACACUGAGGAAAAAAAUCAUUGCAGCCAUCAAAAGCAACACAUUUGGUCACCAGUUUUUAAAAGUUUACAAUUUGAAAGAUAACAAUAAUUAAGCAACACAAUAUACUGUUGACCAGUAAUGUGUGACUGUUUAUAUUGUACUUGAGGAGGUUCAAAGUUGUUUCAGCCAUGGCAGGAUCAUGACUUUAGCUACAGGGGGGUGAUAAUCCUUGACAUUAUUUUGUGCAAGGUGAUCCGACUCAACCAAUUGUGCAUUUGGCCGAGGAUGCAAGCUCCAAGUGGGUUCUUUUACCUUUGAUGGCUAAACAAGUAAAAAGCAACUCAUCAAUAGGUUGAGUAGUGAAAAUGAGAAUCUUUAUUCCUCUGGGCAUAUGGGGGUGGGUGGUACCAAAGUCCAGGGACAACAAAGUAACUACUUUUAUUUCACCCCUCAACUUUCCUUUCCUUUGCUUUGCUUUCUUGAUCAAUAUCGAAUACGCAAAAGUCAGCCAUAGAACUAUCCAUAUAGUAUAUGAGUUUGUAAUCGCCCUUCUGCUUUGCAGUCAGUUUCCUAACACUUGUGAUCCCAAAAUUCAUCAUUUUACGUGACUGACCAUUAGUGUGUAGAGCAACUGAAUUGGUGCUUUGCUAAGUCACGGCUUCAUACACCCAAUUGGUACUUAAGUGGUAGGACUCAACUCUCAUACACCCAAUGGCGACUUCAGACACAUUCAUCAUCAUAACUAUAAUACAUGAUCAAGAAUACAGUAGCAAAACUGUAUCAAACUAUAUCGGCACAUGAGCAAAUUGACAGUUACAGGACAGUGAAAUCCAUAAUCUAAUUUCUUCCUCUCAACACCUAUACGUCACUAAAAAUCCAUUCUUUAACAUCCAAACUAGUCCUGAAAGGCUCAAAACCUGGGAAGUUGAAAUAAAAGAAGAAAUACCUAUAAACCAAGGCCACCUGAUCGGCUUAUCAGGAGCUUCUUUAGUCAAGGGUCUGAACCUAUCAGGCAUGGUACUCUGCCCUCUAGCCUCCAAUUCAGCUUUAUCCAUUUCCUCAUUCUCCUCAGCCUUAGCAAAAAGCCCAAAACUUCUCUUAUUGUCGAAUGUGACCCCAAGAUUCUUCCCAAAAGGCAGGCGUUUUCCUUGAAGCUUGAAGGGGUUAGCUUUAUCUAAAGAAGGGUAAAAUGGGAUUGAAUGGUUCAGAGUGGGAGUAAAGAAAGAUGGCUUUUGAAAAGAGGGUUUAAAUUUAAAUGGAGUUUUGAGAGAUGGGUUAGGGGAAAAGAGUCUUGAAAGAGUUAUCAUCGACAUGGAUUUUUAGGGUUUAAGGAAUCUUGGAGACAGGUGAAGAAGAGGAAGAAGAAACUUUCAAUCCACGGGUUACCUGGGUCCGAGUACGAGAUUCGGAUUCUUCAUGGCGUGUCGUUCAGGCCUAGUGAUCUAGGCCUUUGAUAAGCCCGAGUAAAAACUGACCUUCAGCCUCAUGUUGGGCCUGUCUAGUUUAACUGUCUGAACAUUAUUCAACAAGGUUGGUCCUUUCUGGUAUGACGCCCACCCAGCCUAGUUUAGAGUUGGCUUAAGUUAAAAUUUAAUAUGUACAAAAUAUUAUGAUGAUAAUAAAUUGGCAUAUUUUCACAUUAACAAGAAAAUUCUAGUUAAUCAUUACAAAAAAAUCUUUGUUAAAGCUUCAAUGAAUCCAAAGAAAAGCUAAUUCAGUAACACAUUGCCUAGAUCCUUCUGCAAAAGAGGUAUCGAGCAGUGAUGAUGAGCGCUAAAAAAAACCCCCCUUUUUUUUUUUAUAAAAGAUUAGGCACAAGAUUGUUAGAUAAUCUUCUCACACUCUUUUAUUCUUUAUGUCAAUUUACAAUUAGAAAAAAAAAUGUUUUUGAAGCUUAAAGUAAAACAAAAUAUGCCUUUUCUUUUCUUUUACUUUUUUUUGGUUUUAAGUUCUUCAAAUGUUUGAAAAUGUAUCAUCAACAUCUUUCGUACGUGAAAUCCCCAAUGGUUUACAAUGUCAAUUUGGAUGGUUCUCAUCGUCUUCAAGAUUCAUUGAAAUUAUGAGAGCUUUGCAAAUAUUUUUAAACGAUAAGGGAGUAAUCUGAUUCUCACACAAAUGCACAAAAAGGUCUCAUAUAUUUUAGCCAGAAAAAAAAAUAAAGGAUAUGUUGCUAACUUUUAUAAAUCAAGUAUUAAAAAAAAGAUUAAUAUUCUAUACACUGAAAGUAUAUACACUUUCACCAUUUGAUGCAUGACACGUAAUCUAAAUUUGAAUUUGAAAUCCAAAUUUUACAUAUUUGUCGUGUAUCUAACAUAAUAAUAUAAAUACUGUCAGUGUAUAUAAGAUUUAUUCUUAAAAAAUUCGAAUUUUAAAGGAUAAAUAAAAGCCGUCGGAUCCUCAUGGACUCUAAAUUAAGCAAGCUUCCUUCGCUAUUAUGAGAUUUCCUUGACCCAAACUGAAUAACCUCUUAGAAACUCAGUGAAACCGAGAUUAUUAAACCAAAGUUGGCCUGAUUAGGCUUUUAAAAAUCGGUUAUAACCGCCAAAAACUAACCAACCAACCAAACAUGGGCUCGUAUUCAUCGAACCACCUCCGUUUGCUUUCCUACACUAAGCUCCUAGCUUCUCACGUCAACGGUGGCCGUCACCAGAAGGCCCUCGGUCUUUUCCACCAUAUCCACUCUUCUCUAUCCUUCGCAUUGGACCCUUUUAUCUUCCCUCUUGCCCUCAAAUCCUGCGCAUCCCUUCACUGCUCUGAUCUGGGCACUUCGAUUCACGCACUCACCUACAAAUGGUCUUUCGUAUCAAACCCAUUUGUGGCUUCUGCUCUCGUCGACAUGUAUGGCAAAUGCAUCUCAAUUUCAUCCGCCCGCCGACUGUUCGAUGAAAUUCCUCAAAGAAAUGCAGUCGUUUGGAACGCUAUGAUUUCGCUCUACGCCCAUUCAAGUGAUAUGUCUGCUGCUAUGGACUUGUUUGAAGUUAUGGAUGUUUUGCCUAGUGUGUCGAGUUUUAACUCGAUUAUAGCUGGAUUUUUGGAAAUGGAUGACGGGUUUUAUAAGGCCAUUGGGUUUUAUAGGCGAAUGCUGAAGUUGGGUUUGGCGCCUAAUUUGAUUACGGUUCUUGCUCUUUUACGUGCUUGUUUGGGUGUAUCCUCGUUGAAUUUGAUUAAAGAAAUUCAUGGUUAUGCAGUGAGGAAUGAAUUUGAGCCGAGUAUGCACUUGAGGAGCGGGUUAAUUGAAGCGUAUGGGCGAUGCGGGUGCCUUAGAAAUGCAGAUUCUGUGUUUCAGCAAAUGAAGGAAAGAGAUGUGGUUGCUUGGAGUAGUUUGAUAUCAGCUUACGCACUUCAAGGUGAGGCAAGAACUGCACUAGAAAUAUUCGCGCAGAUGGAAAUAGCGAAUGUAAAGCCUGAUGAGAUUACGUUUUUGGCUGUUCUGAAAGCUUGUAGUCAUGCAGGAUUAGCUGAUGAGGCACGAGUGUACUUCGCCCGUAUACAAAAUUGUUAUGGGGUGGAAGCAAAUAGCGAUCAUUAUGCUUGUUUAGUUGAUGUUUUGAGCAGAGCCGGUAGAUUACGUGAGGCUUAUGAAGUUAUAAAAGGAAUGCCAGUAAAGGUGACUGUAAAAGCUUGGGGAGCAUUACUUGCGGCUUCCAGAACCUAUGGAGAAGUGGAGCUCGGGGAAAUUGCUGGAAGAGCAUUGCUUGAGAUGGAGCCAGAAAAUCCUGCUAAUUAUGUGAUAUUGGCAAGACUUUAUGCUAAUGCUGGAAGACCUACAAAAGCAGAAGAAAUUAGAAGAGAAAUGAAGGAAAGGGGCCUGAAGGCUACACCUGGUAGUAGUUGGACAAUACACCAAAAUUGAGGUACAAUGUUAAAGGACUGAGGGAAUCUAAUCAAUAGAUUAACUCUGCUGAAGACACUGUGGUUUGACAUUCAUAAGAACAGACUAAGAAUAUGAGGGCCUGAAGUCUCCAAGCAUUGCUCAUGCUGGUCGGGUCUCUGCACUGAGCAUAUGAACUAUACAUUCUUCAAGAUUUUAGUAAUUUACAAAAUGAUAUUGAGGAGUUUAAAGACCUGAAAUUUUAAAAUCUCAUGAUGGCAACUUGUUCACUUUUGCACAACUGGUUUACCGAUGAUGAUCACCAUUUUUUGUAUCCUUUGCGAUUCUGACUCGAAGAAACUUGUAAUUUUUUUGGCUGUAUGCUAAUUGAAUGAUUAGCCAAACAUAUCUGGCCUUUCAUCCUUCUCGAAUGACUUUGCACUGUGGCUUCCUUUUUGUUUUGGCCACAUUUUUUUAAAGGCUCCUAUUCCAAGCAUAUGUUGUUGAUUUUUCUUGACCAGCCAAUAGAAAGGCAGUCAGUCUUGCAUAUCCAAAGGCAUUCUUGUUUUUCUUCUCUGUUUCCCCACAAACACCAAAGCAAUAGGCAAAUUUCUCAGAAUAAUGUUAAAAAAUAUAUUGCAAGAACUGGGUAAUUGGGAAAAUGCGGCGACCAAAAAAAUUUUUUUUUUUAAGGAAUAGGAUGUGCGGCGACGAAUUUGUUAAUUUUGUUGCACUACAGUCCCACGAGGACUAAAGUGCAAAAGAUGAUUUUUUAAAAAAAAAUCUUUUUGGGGGUAAAUAGGGCUGGCACACACGAGAUGUGCGGUGGCCUCUAUUUUUCUUUGGUCCUCACUUGACAAUUGCACUUGUAUGCUUCAAAUUUUGUGAAGAAAAACUAGAAGAAAAGACAAACCAAUUGCAACCUGUUCAAGCAGAUUGUUAUCACAAUUUAUAAGCACUUGGAAAUCCAAAUUCAAAAAGAUGUAAAAAACUGAAGGUGGUUGUCAAUCGCGGGCUGCAAACAGUGUAUACGUUUGGUUCAUUUAUUAAAAAGCAACAACAGCACUGAUAUCUUAUCAGAUUACCCAAGUUCGUGCGAUCAAUGUUCAGUGUUGGCUAAAAUUCUAGUCUUAUAAGGUGAAGUGUUUGCCAGAACUUAUCAAUCAGAUUACCCAGGUUCGUAAAGUAGAUGUUCAGUGUUGGCUAAAAUUCUAGUCCUAGAAGGUGAAAUGUCUGCAGCUAGGAUGGAUGGCGAUUCGAAAAUGUAGUAACCUUCUCCCAGCAAGAGUAGGACGCAACGCCUCUAUCACCAGUUUCUGUGUAAUUUAGCUAAGUCACUGUCGAGUGUUUCAUAUUUCAUACAUUGCAUGCAAAUGAAGACAUUAUCGUUCUCAUCGGUUUUAUCCGAUGCUAUCUCUCACUUUUUGGGUUUAAUUGUUGAAGUAUAUACGUUUGUUUCAUUUGUUAAAAACCAGGAGCAGCACCAAUAUCUUAUCAGAUUACCCAGGUUCGUGCUGUCGAUGCUCAAGGUGAAGUGUCUGCUAGCUACGAUGGAUGGUGAUUUGAAAAUGUAGUAACCUUCUCCCAACAAAAGUAGGACACAACGCCUCUAUCACCCGUUUCUGUGCUUUGUUCUGCAUUUUGUUUUUACUCACCUAUUCCAUUCGUGCCAAAACCCUCAGUUGGAUCAUUAUUUAGCCGAGUGACUGUCGAAUGUUUCAUACAUUGCACGCAAAUGAAGGCAUUAUUUUUCUUAUUGGUUGUAUCCAAUGUUGAUCUCCCACUUUUUGCUCCUACUUGUUGAAGUAGUGAGCUAUGAGUAGAUUGGGACUACAGCGGACAGGCCUUAUCAAUUUUUUCCCCUCUUUGGAAACCUUGUACUGUUUUCUCUCCACAAAACGUAUUUUCUUUUUCUUCUUUGUGAUCUAUCGGGUAAUGGAUUCCGUGAAACUUCUAAGAAGCUGUAUCAUAUGUCACUACUAAAGGUUUAGAAUUUGAGCACGACUUGAAUGGUUGAGCAAGUUCAUGUUACAAAUGAAUUCAGUACUAUGAACACAGGAAAUAGGUUAGCCGUCAAAUGCACGUAGCUCACAACCACCAGGAAAUAUCAUACACGAUAUACUCUGCUGUCUCACUCAUUUAUUGCCUGCUCUUGAUACUACAGUGUGGCCUAAAGAGGAAAUCCUUUGAUGACAGAUGAUUAAGACCUCGAAAGUUUUUUGAAAUGAAAAGAGCGAUUGGGUUGAAAAAAUAAAUGAUUUCUAACCAUCUUGUUAUCCUAUAACAUAGACUAAAAAUGUAAAAAGGAGAGGAUAGAGAAUAUGUUAUGAGUUUAUACUCGUCUUUUAUUACUAAAAUAUUUUGUUUUGACUGCAUCACACUAUGUAUCAUUUGAUAAUCCCAUAUUUUUUAACUUUUGGUUCAAAUUUAAUUGAAAUGGAGGAAAUUCAAAGAUGUUUACGGUUUCAUAGAUCUCAACAACACGGUUUUCUAUAUUCACUUAUCUUUCAGGACUAUAUUUAUGUACUUACUCAUGAUCAUAUUUUAAACCGAUUAAUUUUGUUAGAAAAUCUAGUUUGAACCCGUCAAUGGAAAAGGGCCUGCGUUGCUAAAGAGGACUUCUCUCGGGAAUUUAAGGUGGAAAAGGGAUAGAUAAUUAUACGAAGAUGAGUUUAUACUGCGGGCUGGCGAUGGCCCUGCAUAAUCCUUAUCUGUUGCCGGUAGUGAUUAGUGAAGGAAAUGAUGGUUCUCAGAGCAUACAAGGAAAAAGUAUUUCAUGCAACAGAGGAAUCAAUCACGAGCUUCCAUUAGUGAAAUGGUUGAUAAAAAUGUGGGACGGAAUCAUAAUAAUUUUAGACGAGAAAUUCAAGACAAAAGACCAGAAAAGAAUGGAAAGUAAUAUGCAUUUUGAAGAAGACUAUGAACAGUCAAAUUUUGUUAUUUUUUUCUUUCAUAUUGUUUUCCAUUUGGUUUUCUCAAUGGUAAUCUUUUGUUCUUGGACCUUUUCUUUUUCUUAAUAUAUAAUACUCCAUUUUCUUUUUGUUGUAUUGUUUUAUUGUGAUAUUUUGUCUAUUUCGUUUUCCAUUUUUUAGGUUUUUUGGUUAAAAAGUUCUCUUUGAUUGGGUUUUUAAUUUAUUUUAUAAUCUUUUACAACUCAGCCUUUUUUUUUCUUUGUCAUUUCCCAAUAUCCCACUUGGGAUCCUCGGUGACACAUUUUGAGUGCCAAACCAGUGCCACCUCUAAUAUUAUGCCAAGUGUCCUGUUAUUAUUUGCAUUUUAAUUUUUUAAAAAUUCAAAUUAAUUUAAUUUAACACAAAUUAACUCUAUCCUCUAACACUUUGAACCAAACCAACCAACCGGUCUAAUUCCAUUACCAAUACUUUCAUCAUUGAUUGGCUUCACUUCCUUCAAACCUUUCAAACCCUUCACUGCCGAUUCCUUCUUCCUCCGAUGAAGUCCUUUUGAUUGGCUCAUCUUCACUGCCGAUUGGCUCACCGUCAAAGGCAUCUUCACUGCCGAUUGCCUCACCGGUUGGUUCCCUUCUCUUUCGAGCUCCGGCAAGAGGCAAUUUCAUGUACUUCAUGGCUGAGUUGUAGAAGGAGGAAGAAGAUUGGAUCAACUUCACCGAGGAUCCCAAUUGUGCAGCGUUCUAGGUUCUUUUCCUAUUGCUGGUUUCCUUCCCAGGUUCUUGUAAUUUCUUUUUUGCCAUUUUCCCCAAUUUUUUAUGUGCUCAUUUUCUUGCAGAUGACCCUUUCGGCGAUCCAAAGGUGAUUGGUGACCCCUAUUGCACGAUUUUUGUGGGCCGUCUUUCCCACUCCACCACUGAAGAAACUCUUCGCCAGGUCCUUUUUCUUUUAUUUAAGUUUCAUUUUCUUGAUUUUCACUUUGUUUUGUUGUUUUUUGGUUAUGGCGUUUUAUUUCAAAAGAUUACUUUUUUGAGCUUAUCUGUUGAAUUGGGGAUAUGGGUCUUGUCUAUUUCUUCAGGCUAUGAGCAUAUAUGGAAGAGUAAAGAACUUGAGAUUAGUCAGACACAUUGGUUAGUUACUAAUUUAUCCACUUAUUUAUGCUGUUCAGUUUUUUUUAAUCAACUUUAAUUUCAAUUGUAUUUUCAGUUUUGAGUAUUAUUGUGUUAUAUUUUACUUGUCUGUUUAUGAUUUGUAAAGGAAGUUAUAGUUUUUCUACAAUUAAAUGUGAAGCACCCUAGCAACUAUCAAUCGUUACAAGUAUUUAUGAUGAUAUAUGGUUUUUCUCGGCCUGGAAUUUUGUCUUUCUUUUCUUCGGUUGCUUGGAAGAAAGUAAGAUGAAAUGCUCCAUUAUUAUAGCUUUGUCAUGCAGCAAAUCUUUUUGCUCACAGUUUGUUGCUUGUAGAAAGAACGAAAGAAAUAGAAGUGUACUUGGUUUUGAAAUUGUAACACGCUAGGGAGAUGUUAAGUAGGUACUUGGUUUUGUAAUCCAGUCUAGUAUCAGUUGUAUAGGGAGAACAAAUGUAAAGGAGAAAUAUAGGGAUGGUUGAUUUUUUUAUCAAUUGUAACACCCUUUCUGUUGCAACGUAUAGAAUGAUCCUAGUUAAAUCCAUGACUAGAAUUAGUUGAAUAGUGAUGUUAAGUUUGUGAUGUCUUUGUUUAAUCUAUUUGUAAUUAACCUUAAUGUCUUUGGUUUACUUUUCAUAAUUCAGAGGUGGUUGUUGCAUGAAUUUCAAAGUUUUCGUUGACGUAUUCUAAACAUUGUGGAAUCCUUUGUUUUUCACCCUUUCAUUUUUCUUCUGUGGUCUUUGCCUUGCUGGAAGGAACUUGACUUUUGGUGAUCUCACUGUAGGUAAAACAAAUGGUAGUCGCAACACUUGCUGCAAUGGUUUAGAAAAUAUAACAGCACAAUUUUUGAUAUUUUGCAAUGCAGAAAAAUUGCUGGAGAAGUGUCAGUCUUCCUUCUGAAACAGAGGAAACGAUGGAAACAUGGCGAAUUGGCAUUUGAGAUUGCUGAGGAGUUCGCCUGCCAGUAUGUUAGCUUGCCCUUUGAUUGCCAGAAGGUUCCCCAUAUCGUUUCUGUUGUUGAAGUUUAGUCUAGUUCUAGGUUGUUGAACUUGGUUUGAUGCUAAAUUCAGGCUGUAGUCUUGUUUGGUUCUGUAUCAGCUUAUGCUGUUUGUUGAUCUUCCUGUAUACGAACUACAUUUGGAGUUGUGUGCUGAAAUAUUUGUAAAUAUAAUGGCUGUUACACGUUUGCUUUAUGAUUCAUUAAACGAGUAUGUUAGCUUCGUUUAGCUGGUUGAUUUGGAAAUAUACAUCUUUUUUUAUCUCAUUAUAGAUUCCACGAUAAUUCUUAUGUGGUGGGCAUUUCUAUGUAUUCAAGUGGCAUUUUUAGUUUGAAACUGUGAUUUACUCAUUUGAUGUUGGGAGAAUUUUGGUUUUGCCUGAUUAUACAAACUUUAUGUUUGAUGCAAUUUAGGAUUACUAACUCGAUUUCUCUGGUGAUAUCCACUAGUAUAAUCUGUUGUGAUCAGAUGCUUAUGCUUCUUGUAGUAUGAUCUUGUGACUUAAGUCGGACAAUUGACAAUGUGAAGAGGCAACCCAGUGUAAGUACAUUUUGGCAUUUGUCUGCUAAUAAAGCAUUUAGUCAGCAAGGGCAUCUAGGAAUUAUGGAUCACGUAUUUGAGUGUUAGCUCAGCAUAUGUUUAGGGCUCCAGUACUAUUACUACAAAAAGCAUAUCCUGGGAAAACAGCAACAAUUGGUGGAAAUGAAAGUGGAUUCGACCUUGCUAGUGGCUGCUACUGCAAUUCUCGUUUACUAAUCGUUCGUAAACACAUGUAGUACGAGUCUCUCUCGGGUGGGGGAGGUCUUGUGUUUGGGAUUUCAGAUGACAGAGUUCUCCUUAAAUGACUCGGCAACACAAAGCAAGAAUGCGUGGAGAACUUUGUCCUGUUGGUUCUUUGUCAGAGUAUAGCAUCUAAGUCAAUUAUGUUUCCAAGCCUCUUCACAUUCCACAGUAUCCAAAUGUCUUAUUGAAUUUUGGAAUGGUAACAAAGUGUUCAAAUGAAAGAUCUAAAAACUCACUACUAGUGUCAAUUGAAACAUAUAUUCUUGAUCUAAAAACUCACUACUAGUGUCAAUUGAAACAUAUAUUCUACAUAGAAGAAUGUGCAUUAAUUUUGGGAAGCACGAAAAGUUCCAUUGUCAAUUUCAGUCAAAUUUUCAGGUCUUUUGUCCACUUGAACACUUGCACGAAAUAUCAUUGAUGCAUGGAACUGGACAACCACACCUAUCAUUGCAAUCAACUCCAACUUCUUGUCCCAUAGUGCAAGACUUGUCAUUCAACUCGAACUGAUUUAUUUUCGCUCCUUCGAAACCAUGUAAUUCUUGUGCCUAUGGUUAGAAUUAUAUCACCAAAAAAUUGAACACAUAAAUAAAUGAAUGAAUAAAAAAAGACAAUAAAGAAUCUUUUCUUAAAGAAGUAAUUAUUCAUGAUCACAACUGUAAUAAUUUACCUUGAGCAAGCCGGUCAUGUUCAUGGAACUGAAAGUGCAUAGCUGGCCAUAAUUUUGUUGAUUAACAUCCAAAUUCACAAAGUAUCAACCACAAAAGUGAAAAAUAUUCAUGAACUUUAGUGUAAACCAAAACAUAAAAUUUUUAUAAAAUGAUUUUAUGCAAAUAAGAAACUAAAAAAUUACCGGCGUAGGAUUAUAUGGUUGAACAAAGUUGCUUUGUUGAGAUUGCAAAGACUCUAUCAUACUUACUGGCAUAGAAUAACAUGGUUGGAUAAAAGUUUCUUGUUGAUACCGUAAAGAUUCUACCAUACUCCCCUCAUUUGUAUUUGCCUAAAAAUAAAAAUAAAUAAACACAGUUAUAAAUAGUUUGACAGUAAAUAAUACUUAAUUGUUAGUUUACAUAUAAUGUCGAAUCAUUACCUCUUGUAAUCCAUGCUGUUGCAUACUGCACCUCGUAGAUACAAUAUUUAUAGUAUCUCCUAUAGGCUAAUGAAAAGAAAAAACAAAGAUUGGAUGCAUAAUAUAAGAAAAUAUUGAAUUACAAAUAUAGUAAAAUUAUAAUGUAAUAAAACCUCAUUAUAUGAUGACGCUGGUAACUCCAUAGUUAUACUAUUUUGCAAGCUUUUUUUGGUUGAUCUUCUUCUCUUAGUAGCCUUUUCGAGACUACUCUUCAAUCUCUUGCCUGAAAUAGUCUUCAUCUUUUUUUUAAUACCCUUGAUAUUGAUACCACUUGCAUUAGUAGUGUUAUUUGUGGGGUUGGAAACUUUUGUUGCAUUUGACAUCUCAUUGCUCGACCCCUCUUGAUGUAACCUUGCAUCAACCAAAUCCAAUAUUUUCAAAAGGCCUUCUUUAGCAAUUUUAUAAGUUUCUUCUGUUUGAGCAGCUUUUGUGACCAAUUGAGUAUAUAGUCUACACAAAUCUCUGUAACGCUUCGUAAAAAGCACUUUCGGAUCCAAAUCAUUAUUGAUAUUGCAACAAUUGUGGUCUUUAACAUAUCCAGCUUUUGCUUUAUUGGUCCAUCUCUUUAUUAUGUAUUGACUAGGGAUCUUCAUGAUAUUUCUUAUAUUAAGAACUUUCAGAGAAUGAGAGCAUAAAAUCCCAGAGAAUUCAAACUUCUUGCAACUACAUGAAAUCUGAUCACCUAUUGAAUCAAAUCUAACCAUAUGAUAGUUUUUUCUGCCUUUAGGAGUGAUCUUAUAUUCUAUCACUGUUCCAACCUCACUGUAGGUGAUUAUACCACAAUCAUAAGAUUUACCCCACUCAAUUUCAAACCAUUUGAAUACCUCAGGAGUAUAAACACUUGCAGCUUGUUUCAAAACAUCAACAUCGAAUGGUAGUACUGGAGUACUCAUAUAUGCUCUAAAGUCAGUUUUAAGUUCUUUAUAUCUACGAUCAUCAACUAACCUCCCGAAAUGAUUGAAAAACUCAUGAAAUUUAUUCUUGUAGGUUACAUACCUUUUUAUCACACUAUUCAUGCUUUCGCUCCUUUGAGUUGUUGUCAUAUCUGCACAAAAUGUUUCCCUUCCAUACACCAAUGCCCAUUUUUCUUUAAUCUCAAACAUACGUUUUAACCAAUCAUUGUCUUCAAGACCAUACUUCUUCAACAUAGUAUUCCAUUCAGAUAUAAAGUCUUCUUCUUCAUCAAAAUCAUAUACACAUUUACUGAAAUCAUUUGCAAAUUGUUUAAAACUUUCGAACACAUGACUGAGAUGAAUAGCUGCAUUUUGAAAUAUAUGCCAUAUGCAAAGACGGUGACGUGUUUCAGGCCAUGUAGAAAUUAGUCCUUUAGCCAUUGCUGCGUCCUGAUCCGUAAGUAUAGUAUUUGGUUUUUUUCCUGACAUUGCUCUCGCAAAAGUGUCAAACAACCACUCAAAUGUUGAAGCAGUUUCAUCAUAUAAUAAAGCAGCCCCAAAUAUUGCAGUCUGUUUAUGAUUAUUCACUCCAACAAAUAAUGCAAAUGGACGGCCUUCAUUAUUCUUUCUAUACGUCGUGUCAAAACAAACAACAUCUCCAAAACUUGCAUAAUCUGCUCUCAUUAAUCCGUCAGUCCAAAAAAUAUUUGUAAUCAAAUCAUCCUGAUCCACUUGAAUUGCAUAGAAGAAAUUAGGAUCCUCUAAUUGCAUUUUUUGCAAAUAUUCAAGUACGCCUCCUGUAUCUCCAACUUCCAUUUGUAUUGUUCGUUUAGAACGUAAAUAAUUCCUAUAAUCCUCAGGAAUGAAACCUAAGUUCUCCCGUCCUCCUACUUGUAGUGCCAUAAGUUCAUGAGAAACUUUUGGUGCUAUACCCACAUGGUAUGCCAUAUCAAUUUCAGCUGCAUGAAUAGAAUUUAUCUUUCUAUGUGAUCUGUGUAAAUGACUUUUGUUGGGACUUGAAAGAUAGUGAUUAUGCUCAAUGAUCAACUGACAUAUACGAAACUUACCAGUUUGUCUACUGUUAACCUUCAUCUUCGCCGAACAAUUAAAUCGUGUUUCAGGACGAGGGGCUCUUACAUUGAGAUCUCUUUUAUCCUUUUCUCGUUUUCCUUCAGCACUACAACAAAAGACCCUAUCCAUGAGCUUACCAUUACUAUCUUUGUGGAAGCUACUUCUUUUGAUUCCAAAACCAACUUCCUUUGCAUAUGCUAAGUAAAAAUUAUAAGCAUCUUCUUCACUCUCAAAUUCCAUGCCCAUCUUCGGAAUUAGGUCAAAAGGAAUCAAUGUAUGAAUUUUAUUUAUAUCCUUUAUCACAUUUAAAACUGGUGGAGUGGAAACCUCAUCAUUGGUAAUUUGAUCUACCUUGUCAAAAUCCAAUCUGCGACAGGAUGAUACCUCAGUUUCUAUAGAAGCCUUAGCAUCCAUAUCCUGCAACCUUUCAAGAGUCGUGACACAGGCAAGACUUGCUCUAACGCUUGACCCACUGGAAUUUCUUUCUUGUUUUUGCUUUUCCGGGCUUUUUCCUUUCAACAACCCUCGAAUCCCGUGUCAACAAAAAUCACCUAAAAAUGACAACUAAACCACCUAAAAAUGGCAACUAAGGUCAAAAGCUCCAAAUUAGACAUAUAACAAAACGUGAAAUGCAAGAAGGCAAUGUUUCAGGUCGCAAUAGAACACACAUUUGACGUACAACUAUACGAACAAAAUAAUAGAUUACUUUUGAUUUAAUCAUCAUGUUUUCAAGCUCAGUACAUGCAUGAUUGUACUCCUUAAAAAAAUUCAGAUUUGGUGAAGAAUAUUUCAAAAAUCUAGUCUUUCCCCAUUGUAAGGUGGAAGAAGCAGCAAGGUGAAGAAACCAAUUAAUAAAGAUAACAUUACUCCAAGGAAAUGUACCUUCUCUCAAACGAGGACGUAAAUCUGAUGCCCAGUUUUGCAGUGACCGGCUGAUGCCCAAUUGAAUAGCACCAACCUGACCUGUUCCGAGGAGUGAACAAUAACAAUUAGCUGAUAACAUAAGAAAAUUGCUAAAGUUGAAUUGAUGUACCAAAUAACUCGUCCUAGGCAGGUAGAAUGAUUCCACACACAGCUUGCAUGAUUAAGGAACCACGGGUUUUAAAUUUGGUGAAAAAAUUAAUCCCAUGGUAAGGACUAAAACCUCAAACACCGUCAAAGAAUAGGGUCAAAAGAGGAACCAGGUCCAGAUGUAUUUUACUAUUUUGAAUCUCAACAAGUCUUCUUACUGAAACCUGACUGAAUUAACCCUAAAUUAACAAAAUAAUUUCAUGCAAGUUAAUUGCAAUACAAUAAGGAAAAAAUGUAAGCAAAUUUUGUCCCUCAAUAAUUUAUUAAAGUAGUUGAAUUUCCAAUUCUACUUGUUCACUACUACUACUUGCAACUAGUCAGAAAAGCUAUUGUUACUUCUUGUAUCUUUUUUUUUAAUUUGGUACAUUAGUAAAAUUUAUAACAAUUCUUGAAAUAAUAAAUAAUUUUUUAAUCCCACAAAGUAACUUAUUUUCCAGGUAUAUUACAAUUAGCGUGUAAGUAGUCAAUUUGACCACUCAAUUAAUAUUUAAUCUUUCCAAACUCACAAUUCAAUGUAAAUUUCACUUUAAUGGAAAUUGAAAAUGAAGAUAUAAAAUUGCAUAACAUAAGGUAGGGUGAUAUUGCUUAUGAGUUGUUAAAAUACUUACGAGUUGUUGUCUAUUUCCUAACUUUCUUAAUAUUAAAAAAAUUGAAAUUCGAAAUCAAGAUCAUGGAACAAAUAGUGAUGUUGAUUUAAUAAAUCAAAGCUGAAAAAACUCAAGACUUAAACCGGAUGCAAGGUUGGAUAAUUACCUGAAUGAUGUGAAACGUUCUUUGCUGGAGAAAGCUAGGGAUGGUUGGGCGUUCUUGAUUGAGUACUUCCUGAAUCUUUGUAGUCAAUUUGCUUCAAUAGUCGGCGGCUGCUAUUUUGCGCUUAUUAGGCUACGGUUGAUUGUUCUAAGCAAUCAACGAUGAACGAAAGUAUCUUUUAGGCUACGGUUGCUUGUUUGCAAUUGUUUAGGGGUAUCUUUUUCUUUUUCCCAUGCCAAUCAGAUCUUGAGUGGUUGCUGAACGAAAGUAUUGGUAAUGGAAUCAGACCGGUUGGUUGGUUUGGUUCAAAGUGUUAGAGGAUAGGGUUAAUUUGUGUUAAAUUAAAUUAAUUUGAAUUUUUAAAAAAUUAAAAUACAAAUAAUAACAGGACACUUGGCAUAAUAUUAGAGGUGGCACUGGUUUGGCACUCAAAAUGUGUCACAGAGGAUCCCAAGUGCCAAUAUCCAUUAACAGAGUCUAGGAACCUCACUAACAGGAGGCGAACUAGGGGUGGGCACGGGUCGGGUACCCGCCCCAUUCACGAUUUGGUUGAUCCGACCCGUACCUUGCAGGUCAGCCAUUGUCUGACCCUUACCCGCCCCGCAUAUCAGCGGGUACUUGAUUAUAGGGUAUCCGCUGAGAUAGGGUCGGGUCAGCGGGUACCCGUCCCGCCUCAUUUAUCAUUUAUUUUUUAAAAAAAUGAUUUAUACUAAUUUAAUUUUAUAUUUUACACAUUCAUCUAAGAUUUAAUAAAUUUUUUUUCUCAAAAAAGGUUUCCCACUAAGAAACAAGCAUGUGAAGAGAAUAUAAGAUAAAGGCAAAAAAUUAAAAGAAUUUAAAAUCAAUAAAAGUUUGAAAUAAGUAGCACAAUUUUUAAUAUAUAUGUUCCACAUUAAUUAAACUUUUUUCUAUAAAAUAUAAGAUCAUGACAUCUACAAAUGAAUUUUGUAAAUAAACUAUAUUCUCUCAUAUUUGUAAUGCAAUUUGUUCAAUAAAAUUACUUAUUUAGUUUUAAAUUAUUAUUUUAUAAUGUGUGUAUAAAAAUAAAAAUAAAAAAUAUAUAUAUGCAGGGUGGAUCGGGUACCCACGAGUUUUUAAUUAUGUGACCCUAACCCGCCCCGCAUCUUAGCGGGUACCCGACCCUCUUUUAACCUGAUCAAAUAAUAAAAAUCGGAUAUCUUAAUUUUCAGAUCGGAUCGAAUCGGAUAUGACGGGUUUUCGGGUUAGCGGAUAAUUUUGCCCACCCCUAAGGCGAACAUAAUUUGGUCUUUAUUUUGUAAUAUAUACAAUCCUCAAGGGAAGUAAAUAUAGUUAAACCAAAUAAUUUGGAUGAAAUAGAAGAAGGCACAAGUAUAUACUUUAAGGAAGCACUUAAGUGCAAUUUGUUAACAAAACAAAUAUGUAUAAUCACAAUUUGAUAGACACAAAGUUCGAGGAUAGUCGUAAUUUACCACAUAAAGUGAAACUUAUACAAUUUGGCCCCUUUAGUAUUUUUUUUUCCAGUCUAACAAAUUACAAAAACAAUUUGCAUUUUGGGAGACUCCUCUGGAUGAGUCUUUCAUGACGGGAAUGGUGUGUGUGAAAAUGUAGAAGUGAAUUUAAGUUUAGUUACUGGUUAGAAGUUGAACAUAUGUACUUUAUAGAUGAAAAAUGAUAUGUGGUCAAUUCAGAACUCACCUGGGGCUGAAGAUCUCACAUAGGUUAUGGAAAUAAUUUCAUAUGUUUAUGAAAUAAAUGCAAAAUUUUUUAAAUUAUGUGUAUAUAAGAAAUAUUAUGAAGAUUUAAGUAGCAAUUGCCGAUAUAAUUAAUUUCAUUAUGAUAGUUCUUGUGGAUAACACUAUUUCUUUAAGUAUCGUUUCACGAUUAAGAAAUCAAUCAUACGAUAUUGAGUCUGUCUAACGGUGCCCAAAGAUAUAUUUUAGGUGUAAUAUUUUUUGAAAUGUAAAAUUAAUUAAAGAAAGUAAAUAAAUAUAAGGGAGGAUAAAUAAGAUUAAAUAAGGAAAGUAUAGAAAUGCAAGAAAGGAUAAUAAUUGUUAGUACAUGUAUAUACAUAGUAGGUUAUGUGAAUAUUAGGCGUUAACAGGUGGCUAUUUCAAAAAACCCUACAAUAUUUGGUAUGAAAGAAGAAAAAAAUGAAACAAGGAAUAGAAAAGAAAAAAGUAACACAAAAAUUGAAAAGAAAAUUCCUGUUAAAAUCACUUUGUAAAUAGUUUCAUAACUAAAGAGAUGAUAAAUGAGAUAUAGUCACAAAUUUGAUAAUAGUACUACACUGAUUAUAUCAAAACACCACAGAGGCAUAUGAUUAUAUGAAAUAUACUUGUUUGGUAAAAAGAAAGGAUAUUUCGUUAGAGAAACAUACAUGGUACGACUAAGAAACAAAUCAUUUAGACAGACUCAGAGUAACAUACAUAGGAAGAAAAUAGUAACAUACAUAGGAAGAAAGCAUGCAUUAAACAAAUACGAUAUUCAAGGCAAAUAAGGAUAUUUGUCAUGGUGGAUCUGCAUAAUCAAAGCAAAUAACUAACACUAUCAAUAUCUUAUUUUUUCUAUCUUCCCAUAAACUCCAACAAAGCAGUUUACUUGAUGUAGAAAUUUAAUAACAUAAAUAUGUAAGUACAUAUUUGUUUUAAAACAAUGGCAUACAAACUGGCAUGUACAUCUAAUUAUUAUACUUUUCAAGUUAUUUAAUGAAUCUUAACUUUUAAAUGUUACUACCAAUUAUGCAUAUAUGUCAUGUAUCUAAUCAUGAUAAUAUAUAUACUAUUAGGGUAUAUAACAGUAACUCUUAUUAGAAUAGUCAUUUAUUAUUGAUUUCAAAUUUUUUUCCAAAUUUUUGUGCAUAAAUAACUUUUAAAAUAGCAAGGGUAGCAUUUAACAACCAAAGAAAAAAAAGGAGGAGGGGGGGUACUUGAGCGAAAAAAUAAUUGUUAGAAUACACUGUUUUUUAAUGAAUUUUUAUAUUUUCGCUUCCAAUUUUUUUUACCCAAAUUAUUAUCAGAAUAGCAAAGGGUAAUAUUUUUCCUUACUGUAGCAUACUGAAAAUUGUUUAAACAAUGAGGCAGAGUUUUUCUUUAAUAUUUUAAUGAAGCAUAGGUUAAUGACAUCUCCUGCACAGUUUUUGCUUAAAUUAACAAUUUAGAACGAACCGAUUCUUUUAUAUAUAUAUAUAUAUAUAUAUAUAUAGCUAUAGGAAUACAAAAUUAAAGCUAUUAUUCAUUAAUUAUGAUUGCUUUUAUAAAUAUUUGGUAAUAUAAAAAAGCAGGCCAAUGCAUUCGUAAAUUUAAUCAGAGCAACUCUAGAAUAACUCCCAAAUGUACACGCAGCCCUAGUACAGCACAUUUGCAUUGUAGCCCUAGUACGGCACAUUUGCAUUGUGAUUUGACGGGAGGAAAAAAUAAAAGGGAAGAGUGCCCAAUGCGGCGGGAAGGGAUUAGCCGGAAUUAGCCGGAAUGGCACAGUAAAGAAGGAACUAAUUUGGCGAAAAGUCUGUUGCAGGCUCGACAACUAGAGCUCAAUCCUUCAGCCGAUGUGAUAUUACAUUAUGGUUCCCACUAUAUAACCCAUCUCCUUUUGUUUGUAAGGAAAAUCGUGGGAAAAUGAAGUAAAAUUAGCAAAUUUUUUUGUGUAUGUUUGGUUAACAGGGAAGUUGAAAAUUUUCUUGUAUUUUGCGUUCUGCAAAAUUUGUAGGAUUUUGAAGAAAAGUAGAAAAUUAGAUACAAAAACUUUACUAACUACCAAUAAUUAUCAUUAACUUCCCACUUUUCCUCAAACUUUUUCUUGACAAUCAAACGUAAACUAAAAAACCGUUUUCAAUUUUUUGUACUUCACUUUUCCGUACUUUACUUUUUUCACACAACUUUCCCUCUAUUCAAACAGAGCAUAGAGUUUGGUCUGUAUACCAGUGACUGUUAGCACAAAAAAUCACACAGCAGCGAAUGUAAUUCAAACUUUCAAACCAAGAAAACAAGUCACUCAAAAUAUAUAUGACCAAACAAAGCUGUAAAGCUUUUCUUUGGUAGAGAGAAUUAAACCAACUAUGCUAAUAUAGACAGAUAAAAGCCGUGAGCCUUCGGCCGAUGUGAUGAACCAUAGGUUAAAACUUAAAGGAAGGCAUGAGAGGAAAGAAAAUCUUUUUUCAAUCAAUUCACUAAUUUUUCUCAACUACAAAUGCAGGACUUCAAAUCCUUAAAUAGAUAAACAAAAUAAUACAAUCCAUUAUAGGGAUAGAUGAAAUUAUUUGUGCCUUGAUUAUGGUUGAAUGUAGUUGAUUAUUGUUAUAUCUUGUACUUGCUAGUUUUUCUAUUCUUGCUUCUGUACUUGUGAAUGCUUGAUCACUAUUUGCAAGGCAUGCUAGUUGUUGUUAAUCUAUGAAAAUAGACGACAAUUAUGGAAAUGGAAUAGGUAGAACCUAAGGAGUAAACAUAUAAAAAGUAAUAGUACACUUAGGUGGAUGUUUUUGAUAUUCCUGGUGCUUGAUUAAGUCUUCACUUGUGAUUUCACCACGAAAGUGGAGAAACUACAGUGUUGGCUAAAUUUGGUUCAUUAGCAAAAGUGAGUUCCGAUUGUUUGAAUAAAAUAUAUCCUUAGCAAGACAAGAGUUUUAAUGAUAAUUGACCAUCUCAUCCAUGGUUAGGCAUAUUUAGUGGAUUCUAUGCUCUAAAACACUUGGAUCUAGUUUUUUCCUUUUGCAUUGUUAUAACUUGUUGCUUUACUUUAGCCAGUAUUCUUGUUGGUUUAGAUAAUAGAGUGAGUAAAAAGUCUUAGUAGUUGGUAGGGGUUCUCGUUGGAUCGAUCUCAACUCUUUUAUAUUACAAUAACAACUUGUAUACUUACAACAAACAAGAGAUUACGUAUAAAACUUACAGCGCAAGUUUGAGACUCGUCAAAGGUACAUGAGCAAAGAAAAUAUUUUUCAAUCAAUUCACUGGUUUUCCUUAACUACAAACGUAGGAUUUCAAAUCCUUAAAUAGAGAAACAAAAUAGUAAAACCAUUCUAAUUUUAAUUCCAAAACACAACUUAACCCUAUUUUCUAAACCAAUUUUGAUACUAAUUCUAAUAUAAUUACCAAAUAAUAAAUCCAAUUCUAAAACUAUUAAACUUCUAAAUAGUUUAGUUUAAUUAUUUCAACAGUGACCCUGGCUUUAGAACUUUGUAUACAUUUUAAACAAAUUGUCGUCAAUAGUCGUCAAUAGUAGAUAGAAGAUAUCAAUAAAAGAAUAAACAAAUCUAGCUUCCAUAAAUAUUAGUUAUAAGGGAAAAGAGUCCCAAUGGCCCUCUAACUCUUACUCAGGUAAAGUUUUGGCCCUCCAACAAUUAAAGAAACGGUUUUGGCCCUCGAUCUAACAAAAUGGCAUAUUCGUGGCCCUUCUGUCAAAUCCAGCAGUUAACUAUGACGGGAAGCUUCAUCUCGUGAGAUGCGCGCACAAAUAUGAAGGGCACUAUAGUCUCUUAAGGAUGGUUGACCAAACAAAGAGAGAGUAAAAAGGUAGCUUCUUCUCUUACCUUAAGUUAGAGCAACAAAGUCUGCAGCAAUUCAAAGUUGGAGCUGAAAAUGCGAAGAAUGAGCAGUUCCCCUCUACCGGUGUGCAGAUGUGAGAAAGAGACUAGAGUGAUUACUUCAUGGACUUCAAAAAAUCCUGGACGAAGGUUUGCUGUGUGCGCUGAAGGUUGCUGCGGAUAUUGGGCAUGGAUCGAUGAGGAGAUGUGCCGACGGGCUACAGAAAUUAUACCUGGCCUUCUUCGAAAGAUUAAUGCAACUGAAAAGGACAGAGAUGAAUAUGAAGAAAUAGCAAGAAGAAAUGAAAGAAAGGUAACAAAAUUGAAGGAAAAAGUUAAAGAAUUGGAGAAAGACAUUCGCAGCAAAAAAUGGGUUAAUAAGUUGCUAGGGAAAUUGCUCUUUUUAACAUGGAUAUUGAUUUUUUUAAUUUUGAUGAGUUGGGGCCAAAAAAAGGAAAAUCUUGUCAGUUUUCGACAAAUACAAGGUGCUUGCAAACACCUGGCCCUUACCAAGUUGAAGUUUGCAGGGGAAGAAGAUGAUCCAAAUUGUUCCUUUUAAUGUAAAUUUUUGAUUUGUAGUUGUACGAUGUUUCCGCAAACCUUGUAAUCAAAUCUGUGUUUGUGCUGGUUCUAAUGAAAUAUCUGCUCAUCUCUUUUUAUUAAAUAAAAGUGCUGAAGUUCAUUUGUUCGACUCAAUGAAUUGGUUUGGUAUUGUGCUUAGAAAGAAGGCAUAAUAAUGAUGUAAGAAGGAGUACAUAAAGCCAUAAUGUAUACAUCAUAUUAAUCACUUGUCAAUGAGUAUCAAAAGGAACUGCUAUAAUACAAAGCAGAAUCAGCAUGUUACCAACAAGCAACUGCUAGACAAAAAAAACAGAGAAGAACUGCUAGACACAAAAUGAAUUGUCAUCAUCAGUUUACACAGGAUAAGACAAAAAGAGUUUGUCAAACAGAAAUAAGUCUAUCAUGGCUGAGUUCCUCUUCCAGUGGUUGUUCCUCUCAUUUCUCUUUCACCUUGUCUUCCUCUUCCUCUUCCUCUUGCUCUGCCUCUGCCUCUUCCACUCCAUCUCCCCCUCCAGUUUCCAACUGUGAAUGGGGGUUCUUUACCCAAAUAAGCAUAGUUCGCAUUGAUAGCUCCUUUUUCGGCAUCAGUAAGUGGUUUUGUAGCUGAGUUUUUUCUUCGCUGCGAAUGAUGAUGUUGUUGGCUCUGUUGUGGAUGUUGCUGUCCAGUUUCAUCGUUAGCUUGUUGCAUUUAUUGUUGCACAUUUUGAGAAGACUGACCUGGUUCCUUAUUCUUAUCAAAAUUGUACAUGACACAAAUAAGUACAUGACGGAUGUAAAAUAGUGAAAAAUUAAUAGCAAUUGCAUGCACUUACUGUCCUCUCUUUUUCUACUGAUUGUUGCCUCUGCUGAUUACUCGGUUGAGCUUCGGAUGACUGGUUAGAACCUUGUUGUGCUUCUUCAUUGGAAGGCUUCUUGCACGUAGCUGCAUUAUGACCAACCUCACCGCAUUUUCUACAAUGAAUGACAACUCUCCUCCUCAACCUUCUACCAUGAUCUCUCCCCUCAGUCACAUCCCUUCUCCUAGCCUUUUUAGGCCUACCAGGUUGAGUAACUGGUAUUGGUGGAUCCAACACAGGCAUGGUGGAUGAGGGCCAAUGAUCCUCGCCACUAAUUGGCUGCAAAACAUUCUCAUAAAUCUGGAAGAAGAGGCCUCUGCUAUAAGAACGAUCCAGAUAAGAGUAAGGAUCCUCUUCUCGCAUGAAGAUAGCAGCAAUUGCAUGACAGCAGGGAAUUCCACUAACCUCCCAUAAUCUGCAAGUACAAUAUUUUUUUUGCAUAUCUACUGCAAAUUGGGCCCCUCUUGGACCUUUGACUUGAUAGUCAUGCAGUGCAUUCCAAAUGGGCAUCCACUGACUUGAAUGCUUGACUCUAGUCUGAACAAUCUCAUUAAUUAAAGGUCCAGUGGAGCCCUUGCAUUUCUCCAUUGCAGCGCGUCUUCUUUGGAUCCUCUCCAUAAGAUAUUCCCUUAUAAUUUCCAACAUUGUGAUGAUAGGUUGGUCCCUUGCAUCUUUAAUGUGGGCAUUGAAGGACUCGCAUAGGUUAUUCACUAUCAUAUCACUCUUGACGUGAGUUGGAAAAUAUGCUUUGCACCAAUGUCGAGGAUGAGGAGCUUUCUUGACCCAUUCAUAUGCAUCCUUACCAAAAGUUUGAAGUUCUUCCAUAGCUUUGUCGUACAUUUUCACUGUUGUGCAACAUGCUAUGUUCCAUAUCCUGUCUUUAAGAGCCAAACCAGGAUACUUUUUCUUGAAAUUGUGAUACAUAUGUUGGACACAGUACCUGUUUUUAUAAAGUUAAUUAAGUCAUUGUUAAACAAUUGCAAAACUUCAGUGGAAAAAAAAACUUGAUAAAAAUUUCUUAAUUUUAAAGGAAAUCAUGAUACCUGUGCUCACAUCCAGGCAGAACUUCACUAAGUGCCCUGUCUAGCCCCUAAAAUGAAAUCAUGAUAUAGACUGUUAGUUUCUACCAUCAUUUGAAUCAAAUGUUGAAUUUCAAAGUUUUCUCGCAUACCUUUUGCUGAUCUGAUAUAAAGGUAUAGUGGCACUGAUUUUCGAUUUCCAAGUCCUCACUUAAAUAUUUGAGAAACCAAGUCCACUGCUCAGUUGCUUCUCUCUCCACAACAGCCCAGGCAAUAGGCCACCAUCCAUUAUUCGGGUCUGCAGCAAUGGCAGUUAGUAACUGUCCUCUAUAAACCCCCUUUAGAUGGCAACCAUCUAGGCCUAUUAUUGGCCUACAGCCAUUCUUGAAUCCCUUCUUCAAUGGGUCUAAACAGCAGUAUAACCUCAUGAAUUUAGGAUUACCCCCUGAUCCUCUAAAUGGAGUAAACAUUAUCUCCAUUGUACUCCCUUCAUGUGUCUUCUUUAUCUCAGCACAAUACUCCCAAAGUUUCUUAUAUUGUGCUUCGGCCGACCCCUGUAUCAUUUUCAGAGCCAAUUUUCUCGCAUUAGAAGCCACCCAUUUAGAAAUUUGGGUUUGGUACUCCUCAUGCACUGUUUGCCUAAUCUCCCGAGUUGGCAUGCGAGUAUUGGAUCUAAUUCUCUCCAUAUAUCUAUUUGACAACCAAUUGGCCUUCAAAUUUUUGUUUUUCCAGGCAUGAUUACAGUUUUCAUGCUUGUCAUACAUUGUCUUCACCACCAAAUCUGUUGUGCCAAGUGCCUUUUCAACUGAUGCAAACACAUACCAUGGACAUGGAUCUUUACACCUGGCUCUCACCCUCUUUGGUUCAUUCUUCUUUGUGUACACUGGUUUUCCCAUCUUAAUUCCAUAUUCUUGGAUAGCAGCUUUGAAUUGGGCUCUUGAUUCGAAUUUCAAACCCAACUCGAACCUUGUAUCAAUCCUAAAUUUUUCCCAAGAAAAAUUUAUACUUGCCAGCAUACUGCUCAGGUUCUUCAUCUUCCUCUGAUGAACCAACAUCACUUCUUAGAUGAUCUGGGAUUGUAUCUUCUGCCAAUGUAUCUGCUUCAGGUGUAGAAUCUCUGGUCUGCUGCUGCUGUUUUGUUUUUCUUCUUCGCCUUACUUGUUUUUUUUUCUGUUGUGCUUGCUGUUGUUCUGAGGACUGUUGUGUUUCAGGUUGUUGAGUAGUAGCCUGUUCAGUAGUAGCCUGCUCAGUUGCUUCUUCUUCAUGCUGUGAAGGUCCUCCACUUUGCACCUCUUCUAAUGUGCUUCUACACUGAGUUGGCUGCAAUGUCAAAUCACCAAGAAGAUCCUCCUCUCUACAGUAUUCUACAUCACCACUGAAUCUGUCAUAUUCAUUUUCUGAUCCAGAAUCUUCAUCAUCUCCUCCAUUUCCUUUAUCUUCAUCAGCCUGUUCACACAUCAAUCCUUCUUGUGCUGCAUCUCCUCCCUGCUGUGAAGGUCCUCCAAUUGAAGAACCUACAUGCUGCUGCUCAGGUUGCUGCUCACUUAAGGACCCUUCAUGUUGCUCAGUUUGCUGCUCAAGUUGCUGCUCAGGUUGCUGCUCACUUAAGGACCCUUCAUGUUGCUCAGUUUGCUGCUCAAGUUGCUGCUCAGGUUGCUGCUCACUUAAGGACCCUUCAUGUUGCUCAGUUUGCUGCUCAAGUUGCUGCUCCUGUUGCUGCUCACUUGAGGACCCUUCAUGUUCCUGUUGUGCAUCACCACUUUGCUCACCAAUGUGCUGGCUCUUUGCUGUUCUUCUACUUCGACUCUGUCCUCCAGUUGACCCUCUAAUGAACAGCCUCCUCUUAGGAAUUAAGUGAGAAAAAGAUUCUUCUACUACACUACCCUCCUCAUCCAACUCUUCUAUCAAAACACCACUUUUCUUCUUCUCUGCUAGUUGGAUCACUAUGGGAGACUUGCAACUAUUAAUUUCUUCAGUUGUUAGAUGGUUGCAAUAGACUUCCAUUACCUUGUACUUAUAAGUCCAACCACAAAAUUUGAUAACGUCAUCAUCGGUACAUAACUCUCUUAAACCAUUUCUUAGAUCCUUAUUUGGUUCAAGGUAGUAGUACAUUAUGGCAGUGUUACGAUGUCCCAUUUUUCCCACCAUUUUAUUUAGUUCAAUGGUUGACAUUCUUUCGGCAUUACAAACAUCUACAUAGUCCACCUCUCCAUUAGCAUACCAGACAUACUGUUCCCACAUAAUCCUACCCCCAUGAUGCAUCCGAAUAGUAAACCAUUCAGAAUCAGUCUCUACAAUAGCAAUUAGGAUAAAAUAGUCAACAAAAAACAAACAGAGGCUAACAAAUGAAAUACUGAAUUGGUCAGUAUUCGGCAAAAAAAAAGAAGAUCCUAAACAAAUAAAGUGUCCCUUUUCAGCCAUUAAAAUACAUCACUUUCAAAAUAACCUCCUUUGUCCGACAUUAUCAAUUUACAACAAACAAAGUAGGACCACAAACUGGACCACAAACUGGACCACUUAGCCUCCCAACAUCACCAUUACCCAAACAUAUACACAAAUAAGUCCCAUUACACAUGCAUAUACUAAACAAAUAAGUUCCAGUACACAUUGCCCAAACAUAUAAACAAAUCUUAAACCCAAAAGGGUUAGUAAACAACAAUUUCAAUUACCGUAAACAAGGUACGGAUCAAAAUAGUCAUCCUUCCUCCUUAUUCGCCACUUCAUUUCUGCCUUUACAAUCCCUCCCACGCCGGCAAUUACCACUUUCGCUGCAGCGUCCGAAUUGAACACUCUGAUUUAAGUCGCACUAGGGUUUUACAGCAAAGGGGGUGAAAUUGUUGGAGGGAAAAUGGUUGGUGAAACUGUUUUUACUCUGUCUUGGCCAAGAGACUAUAGUGCCCUUCAUAUUUGUGCGCGCAUCUCACGAGAUGAAGCUUCCCGUCAUAGUUAACUGCUGGAUUUGACAGAAGGGCCACGAAUAUGCCAUUUUGUUAGAUCGAGGGCCAAAACCGUUUCUUUAAUUGUUGGAGGGCCAAAACUUUACCUGAGUAAGAGUUAGAGGGCCAUUGGGACUCUUUUCCCUAGUUAUAAUAACUAAAACAAUCUAAGAGCGUGGUUGGCUCAAGUAACAAGAUCACCUUUUCUUUUCUAUUAUUUUUUUAUUUGUAUAUUUUUUGUAGUUCUUUGGUGGAAGUCUACAAACAACACUGGACACUGGGCGGACGGGCCGGGGCAGGGGCCGGGGCAGGGGCAGGGGGAGGGGCAGGCGCCCCCACCAUUCCGAAACUUCUACAUAUAGUAUUACUAGUUUAUUUGUGCCUCAUGCGAUGCAUGAGGGUGCCCAGUUUUUUGUGAAGUUGUUAGUUGUGUGUGUGAAGUUAAGAGUGGGUGUGUGCGAAUUUGAUGAUGAAAGAGUGGUAGUUCAGGACACGUAGACACAUUAUUUUGUAGCAGUCUGUACAUUAUCAAAAAUUGGUCAUUACAGGAUAGAAAGCUCAUACAAAGAGCUGUAGACAAAACCACUAUUUACAUUAACAAAAAUAGGUGGUUGCAUGGUAGAAAACUAAUGUCAACAGCUAUUGCAAAACUAUAGAUGACAAACAAACCUAUUUAACUAAAUUUACCCACACUCGACUAUGAAUAGAUGGAUAUGGGUAUCUUAAAUUUUUGCAUAUGAGUAUAAAAUGAGUUACCCAAUAAUACCCAUUUAAUUUUAUUGGAUAACUCAUCAAAUCUAAUUAAAUCAUUUAGAAUUGUCUUCUCCCAAACCUCCUCUCUUUCUCCACCCCUUUUUUUUCAGAUUCUUUAUUUUGUCAGGAUGUUAACUACUUUUGUUUCAUUAUUAUUAUUAUUAUUUGUUGAUUUUAUUUUAUCAUUUUAUUUUCUCUUAAUUUGUUAACUAGCUCAUUUUUUAGCAUUACCAAUUUAUGACAAAUUUUAGCCUAUUUUCCGACCUUUCCAAAAUGAAAAUUUAAAUUUACACAUGAAAAAAAUGCUAGGGGUUCAAAAUUUUUGGAUUAAAUUUUUAUGUUAACUUUUAUAGUAUUUAGUUCAAAUUUUUAUAUUCUUAUUGAUCAAUUAUUAAAUAGUAUGUAAUUUUGUGACAUAGAGUGUGGAUGAAAAAAAAUUGAUAAUCAGGCUUAUUGAACAUUAUAAGUAAAUAUUUUAAACUAAUAAUGAGUGUAAAGGGUGGUAUAAAUUGAUAACUUAAUUUGUAAAAAUAAAUUUAAAUGAGAUUACAAAAAAAUUAAAAUAAAUGGGUAAGCCUCCAAUUGCUUCCACGUAAUAAGGCAACAAAAGUAAAGGAAACUCAAUCUAUACAAUACUAAUAUGUUAAGGUGAAAUUUCAAAUUUAGCCACCUGUCUAAAGCACAUUUGCACCGUUUUUAACAAAGACAUGCAAGACAUGCAACUUCAGAAGCUCCCAAUUGCUUCCACGUAAGCUAACACCACCACCGUAGAUGUUAAGCAAGUCAAUCUGUCCAACACCAAAACAAAAAUGUGAAAUUCCAUGUUUAGCCACCUACUGAUGGUGCCCAUACGGGACCAUCACUAUUGCACUCAUAUCAGCCAACUCCCCUUUUUAUACUUCUUAUGAUUUAAGUUUGAACUCUAUUAUUUUGCCCCUCAAGAGUUCCUUUUUUUUUUUAAUUAGUUAUGUUUAUCUUCUUUAAUUUCUCUUUAAAAAUGUGUUUUGCAAUAGCUCAUUCUAGUUUUCUUAUAUAUAUAUAUAUAUAUAUAUCAUUUUUUUGAACAACAACAUUUUCUAUAAAAAAAGAAGAUCGAAAAACACGUAAAGUAAACCAAAAAACACCCAAAAAAGGACAAUAAAAACAUCUAAAAAAAAUAAAAAUAUGUCAUUCCCUCCCCCCAUAUCAUAUGAUGACCUUCCCUUCCAUUUACCUUGCUACAUAUUCCACCUAAUCACCCCAUCUCUUUACAUGCACAUGAUGACCUUCCCCUCUAUUCUCUUCUCUGCUACCUAUCUCACCUUAUAACUGCAUCUUUUGUGCUGCUCUCCCUCUCUCUUCUCAGCAUCAACUCUCAUGUAGGAAAUUUAUCCACCGGAAAACUAACAUUUGGCUAUGGAAAUAUUAAAAGUCAUCCAUUUGGCUAUGGAAAUAUUAAAAGCAAAAUGAUUUUUUCUUUUAAUACUCCUUUUCACUUUUCAGCGAAUCAGAACUCAAUGGACAGUCUCUUUGGCAUAUAAGGAUACUACUAUGACCAAUUAACUAACUAAGACUAAUCCGUGAUAGCAACAAGUUCAAGAUAAUUGAGGCUGGUCAUAUUUUCCUUUUUCACACAAUUUAAGGAAAUUUAGAUAACGUUAUUGGAAGAGUAAAUUUAGUUUACCUUUGUUUUUGAAACACCGUUGUAUUAAUAUUAUAUGAUUAACUAUUAUAUUAAUUAAUUACCACGACAAUCAAGACCACAAAUACAAUAGUUGAGAAUCAAAAUGGCGACUUUUGCUUCUCCUAGUGAUGUGAAUAGUUUUGAAACAAUACCAUGAUUGUGGCUUUUUGCCAAUAUUACAUCUCACCCAAUUAAAUAUUAUGCCUACAAUAAUUAAAUAAGGUUGGUGAUGUUCAUUGAUAAAGAAAGCACAUUACAAAAGAGUAUUUUAGAGAAUUUAAAAAUUAACUAUAUUUUUUAAUUGAAAAGUAAUUUAUAAUUUGAGAACGAUGAAAAAGAAAAAUAAUCCUAACACAUGAUUAAGUAGAGAUCACUAGCAUUCCUAACUACCGCCAGGUUGACCUUCUCAAUUCUGCAAAAUCUGUAUUGAAAGCUUAUUGGAAUACGUUUUACAUUAAUUAAUUAGUCGAGAAAAAGGAGACAAUUUCUGCCCAGUUGCAAUCUUCCUGAGAAUUAAGCUGCAAUCCGUUGAGAAGUUUUGAUCAGAAUCGCUUGUAUGAAAGUGCUUAAACCACCAAAAUUGAGGCGACAAGCAAGGGAUCCGUAAUUUUUUUUUUUUUUUGUUAAUUGAUGCCAUGCACUCGCAUAUAUUCUAUAAAUAGUUAAACCUUUGGUUUUAAGUUCGUGUCUCCACUUAUCCAUUUUGAGUUAAUUGAUAAUAUGAAGAUGUUAAACACAAUGUUGCUUCAAAUGUUUGUAACGUUUUUCCUUGUUUUUUCUCUUUCACAUUUUACCUCAACAGCAAAUAAUUCCCACGAACAUUUUGUCCAUUGCCUUCUGCGUAUAUCUGACAAUCCAAAGGCAAUGUCAAAAAUCAUUUACACACCAAAUAACCCUUCAUACUCUUCAAUCUUGCUGUUUUACACAAAAAACCUGCGUUUCAGCUUACCCAACACCCCUAAGCCCCAAGUCAUUCUCACCCCAGUUAAAAAUUCCCAAAUUCGGACAGCAAUUUACUGCUCUAAGAAGGUUGGUUUGCGAAUGAGGAUUCGAAGCGGAGGCCAUGACUUUGAGGGCAGCUCCUAUGUUUCCAAUGCUACCUUUUUCGUCAUGGACAUGUUCAAUUAUCGUUAUGUUAAAGUUAAUAACCAAGAACGAACAGCAUGGGUUGGAGCUGGUGCAACAAUAGGAGAAACUUACUAUGCCAUUAACAAAACUAAUAGCUCGCUUGCUUUCGCAGCUGGCUAUUGGCCUAAUAUUGGAGUUGGGGGUCACGUUAGCGGAGGAGGCUAUGGUCCUCUGAUAAGGAAACAUGGUCUAGCUGCUGAUAAUGUCAUUGAUGCUCGUAUUGUCGAUGCAAAAGGAAGAGUUCUCACUCGAGCAUCGAUGGGAGAGGAUGUGUUUUGGGCAAUCAGAGGGGGAACAGGUGCUAGUUUUUGUGUCAUUCUCGCAUGUAAAGUAAAAUUGGUUGCCAUUACCCCGAGAGUUUCAGCAUUUCGCCUUAACAAAACCCUGGAAACAAAUGCAACAAACCUUGUUCACAAGUGGCAAUUUGUUGCCCCAAAGUUGCCCAGGGACCUACUUCUUUCACUCCAAAUAACUAGUAUCAAUUCAGCUCAAACUGGCAGAAAAACGAUACAAGCUUCAUUUGUUGCUGUUUUCCAGGGAGGAGUUGAUCAACUACUCUCGAUAAUGCAAAAUCAAUUUCCAGAAUUGGGAUUGACUAGGCGAGAUUGCAUUCGACUGAAUUGGCUCGAUAAUUAUCCCUUCCAUCUGAACAUCCCAACAAACUCAACGGCCACUUUUUUGACAAGUAGAUUUCCUCCAGUUCCUAAAAUUUAUUUGAAAGGAAAGUCAAAUUUUGCCCAGGUGCCUAUUCCAGUUGAGGGGUUAAAGAAGAUAUGGGGACAACUUUUGAAGAUAGAUAAUCCACCUGGGAAAUUCGAAUGGACCCCUUUUGGGGGAAUUAUGGAUGAGUUUCCUUCCACAGCAAUUCCGUUUCCAUAUAGGGCUGGAAAUAUAUUCAUUUUGUUUGAAGCUAUUGAAUGGAAUGGAUCAGAACCAAAUCUACAAAGACAGCGUAUAGCUUGGAUUCGACAAAGGCAGAGGAUUAUUGGUCAAUAUGUAGCCAAAAAUCCAAGAAGGGCAUAUGUCGAUUACAGGGAUCUUGAUUUGGGUAUAAACAACUCAAAUUUCACCAGCGUUGAAGUAUCAAGAAGCUGGGCUGUUCCAUAUUUCAAUCAAAACUAUGAGCGAUUGGUCAGAGCCAAGACGCACGUUGAUCCUUUCAAUUACUUCAAUAUUGAACAAACUAUUCCACCUUAUAGUCCAUGUAAGUGAUCAUGCAAGAUAUACUGAGGGAAAUAUACAAUAAUGAAGAUAUACUGAGGGAAAAAAUGCAUAGCUAUUUGUAUCGUGUUCACUUGUAUUUUGUUCUCCUGUAUACAAGGCAUAUCGUUGUGGCUGUAGACCAGGUCAACACAAAUUUUUGCUCUCUUUCACAAGAUAAUAAAACUAUAAGGAUAUCAUAUAAUUAUAAUUUAGUGUUGUUCUUUUCUUUUUUUUUUUAAUUUUUUUGCACCAAUGAAAUUCAAGCCCUUACAUUUUUUUGAGGGGUGAAAUGUUAAUGUAAUGCAACUGUGGGAUCAUACUUCUAACAGCCAAAUGUAAAAAGAUCUAAUACAAGAACAUACUAGAGUGUAGAAUUUUUUUUCUCUUUCUCUUUCUUUUUCCUUUUUUAGUUAUCAUCUUUGGCUUUUUGUUUUUGGGCCUUGGAUUUUGUCUUCUGCUCUUGAAGAGGAAAGAGAUGUCAGCUCAAUGGUGUACUGCAUAUGCAAUUAUGCAUAGGUCUAAGUUUUUAAUCAAGAAUAGAAAUGGUGGAAGUCUAUGCAUUUUCAUAGUCUAGUAAUAGGCUGGUACUAACUCAUUGGGAAAAAUCCACUUUUCGUCUUUAAAUUUUGAGUUAGGGACACAUUUGGUCUCCAAACUUCUAAAUGCACCACAUUUAGUACAUGAAUUAAUUAUUUCGGGUCACAUUUCGUUCAAAAACGGUAAAAUAUUCAAUUAGAAUGGAGAAGACUGACGUGACCGUUAAUUUUGACUGAGAAAUUAUUUUUACUUAACGACCACAUAUCAAACACAUGACUUUCUCUAUCCAAAUUAAGCAAUUUACCGUUUUUGGACUAAAUGUAACAAAAAAAUAAUUAAUUCAUAUACUAAAUGUGAUGUGUCUAAAAGUUUAGGGACGAAAUGUGUCCCCAACUCAAACUUUAGUAACAAAAAGUGGAUUUUUCCCCUAACUCAUUUAACCUCAAACUAAUGAGAAUGCGUCUCCAUCGUCUCUCAGCCACUUCUCAAUCCUAACCGGCAUGUUUCAGAUUAAACAAACCAAUUUUGAACCCUAAAUUAAUUUCACGAUAUGCUUCCAAUAAUUGUUUACACUCAAUUUAUUCACUCGGAUUACGUUUACUUUCUGCUCUCUUCUUCAACUUAGCACGACUUUUGAAUUCUAAGUUCAAAUAUAAAAUUAUGGGAAAAAUCCACUUUUCAUCCUCAAAUUUUGUGACAAAGACACAUUUGGUCCCCAAACUUUUCGUCGGAACACAUUGAGUACAUGAAUUAACGAUUUUUUGCCACAUUUAGUCAAAAAAUGGGAAUUUACUCAAUUUGGACGGUGUAGACCACGUGACCGUUAAGAAAUAUCCAAAUAUCAAUUUAUAACCAACACAGGUCAGCCUUUUGUGGACAUUACACAAUUCCUUGAACAAGUUGUCCACUUUGAUAUUAUUUUAAGUUCUUAUUUAAUGGGCAAUACCUAUUCAAAAUACUAGCUUUUUGUGGACAUUUUACUCUCAAACAUUCAAUUUAUAAUAAAUAUAUAAAUGUUUUUAAGUAAAAUUCAAAAAGUGUUACAGUAAUUUCUUACGAAAAAAAACUAAUAGGUUAUCUAUUUAACAUAAAUUAAAUAUUUUUUAAAAAAGAAAUAUCCCACAAAGUACCAACUCUUUAUGGCUUUUCUCUAUUACAUGAACUAAGUACCAGGUUUUUAUGAGCAUUUUAUUCUGAAUCAUUUAAUUUAUGUUAAAUACAUAAAUAUUUGCAAAUAAAAUUCAAAAGGCGUUACACAAAUAUUUUUACGAAAGAAAAACUAGCAUGUUUUGUAUUUAAUAUAAAUGAAGUACUUGAAAGUAAAAAAAAUUGUCCAUAACAUACCAGUUCUUUACGAGUUUCUUCCAUUAUAUGAAUAAAGUACUAGCUAUUUAUGAGCAUUUUACUUUGAAUCAUUUAAUUUAUAUUAAAUACAUAAAUGUUUAUAAGUGAAAUUCAAAAAGUGUUACACUAAUAUUAUUACGAAAGGGAAACUAGUAGGUUUUGUAUUUAAAAUAAAUUAAAUACGUGAAAGUAAAAAACAAAAUUACCCACUUUUUACUAGCUCUUUACGGGUUUCUUCUAUUAUAUGAAUAAAGUACUAGCUAUUUAUAGGCAUUUUACUAUGAAUCAUAUAAUUUAUGUUAAAUACAUAAAUGUUUGUAAGUAAAAUUUAAAAAGUGAUAUACUAAUAUUUUUACGAAAGGAAAACUAGUAGGUUUUGUAUUUAACAUAAAUUAAAUACGUGAAAGUAAAAAAAAAAAAAAUUGUCCAUAACAUAUCAGCUCUUUAUGGGUUUCCUCUAUUACACAAACAAAGUAAUAGCUAUUUAUGAGCAUUUUACUCUGAAUCAUUUAAUUUAUAUUAAAUAUACUGGAUUGGAAAAUCUUUGUUGAAUCACUCCAUUAACUCUGCUAAUCUCAAGCAGCUUUUCACUUCAUUAACUCGGUGGGAAAGGGGGAAACUUGGAGAAGAAAAGCAGUGGGUUAGAGAGAGAGUAAAGUGUGGACUUGUGUUUGACUUGUGUUGGUUAUAAAUUGAUAUUUGGACAUUUGUUAACGGCCACGUGGUCUUCACCAUCCAAAUUGAGUAAAUUCCCAUUUUUUGACUAAAUGUGACAAAAAAUCGUUAAUUCAUGUACUCAAUAUGUUCCGACGAAAAGUUUGGGGACCAAAUGUGUCUUCGUCACAAAGUUUGAGGAUGAAAAGUGGAUUUUUCCCAAUGUCCAAAUAUCAAUUUAUAACCAACACAAGUCAAACACAAGUCCACACUUUACUCUCUCUCUAACCCACUGCUUUUCUUCUCCAAGUUUCUCCCUUUCCCACCGAGUUAAUGAAGUGAAAAGCUGGUUGAGAUUAGCAGAGUUAAUAGAGUGAUUCAACAAAGAUUUUCCAAUCCAGUAUAUUUAAUAUAAAUUAAAUGAUUCAGAGUAAAAAAUAAUAAUAAUCCAGUAUGACAAAAAAAAAUGAUUCAGAGUAAAAUGCUCAUAAAUAGCUAUUACUUUGUUUGUGUAAUAGAGGAAACCCAUAAAGAGCUGAUAUGUUAUGGACAAUUUUUUUUUUUUUUUUUACUUUCACGUAUUGAAUUUAUGUUAAAUACAAAACCUACUAGUUUUCCUUUCGUAAAAAUAUUAGUAUAUCACUUUUUAAAUUUUACUUACAAACAUUUAUGUAUUUAAUAUAAAUUAUAUGAUUCAGAGUAAAAUGCCUAUAAAUAACUAGUACUUUAUUCAUAUAAUAGAAGAAACCCGUAAAUAGCUAGUAAAAAGUGGAUAAUUUCUUUUUUUACUUUCACGUAUUUAAUUUAUGUUAAAUACAAAACCUACUAGUUUCCCUUUCGUAAUAAUAUUAGUGUAACACUUUUUGAAUUUCACUUAUAAACAUUUAUGUAUUUAAUAUAAAUUAAAUGAUUCAAAGUAAAAUGCUCAUAAAUAGCUAGUACUUUAUUCAUAUAAUGGAAGAAACUCGUAAAGAAUUGGUAUGUUAUGGACGAUUUUUUUUUACUUUCAAAUACUUCAUUUAUAUUAAAUACAAAACAUGCUAGUUUUCCUUUAGUCAAAAUAUUUGUGUAAUGGCUUUUGAAUUUUAUUUGCAAAUAUUUAUGUAUUUAACAUAUAUUAAAUGAUUCAGAAUAAAAUGCUCAUAAAAACCUAGUACUUGGUUCAUGUAAUAGAGAAAAGCCAUAAAGAGUUGGUACUUUAUGGGAUAUUUCUUUUUUAAAAAAUAUUUAAUUUAUAUUAAAUAGAUAACCUACUAGUUUUUUUUCGUAAGAAAUUACUGUAACACUUUUUGAAUUUUACUUAAAAACAUUUAUAUAUUUAUUAUAAAUUGAAUGUUUGAGAGUAAAAUGUCCACAAAAAGCUAGUAUUUUGAAUAGGUAAUGCCCAUUAAGUAAGAACUUAAAAUAAUACCAAAAUGGACAACUUGUUCAAGGAAUUGUGUAAUGUCCACAAAAAGCUGACUUGUGUUGGUUAUAAAUUGAUAUUUGGACAUUUGUUAACGGCCACGUGGUCUUCACCGUCCAAAUUGAGUAAAUUCCCGUUUUUUUGACUAAAUGUGGCAAAAAAUCAUUAAUUCAUGUACUCAAUGUAUUCCGACGAAAAGUUUGGGGACCAAAUGUGUCUUUGUCACAAAGUUUGAUGAUGAAAAGUGGAUUUUUCCCAUAAAAUUAUCCUUACCAUGUACGACCUAUUGACUUGCUUAUUAUAUACAUGAUUCUACAAUCAGUCAUUAUAUACUUGCUUGUUUGUCAAGAAUGGCACAAGUUUUUCAAAUAUCCGCUCUCUCCUCUUCUUGAAAGUUUCCAAAUUUUUUUUCUCCCAAAUUUCCAUUGUAACUUGGAACAUAAGAACAUAGGAGUUAGUAGUCCAUGGAUAGGAAGUCGGAAAGUAUUUGCACUUCGGAGGAUGUAAAGGGUCAAUUUUCUGUUGUAAUUGAAGAACUUUUUUUAUUUUUGAUUUCUCCUUAUUACCGCAUGUGAAGUUACUGCUUUAGUAUUUUACUUUCACGAAGACUGCAAGAAUCUUUAUCGGCUAUUGUGGUUUCUUGGCAUGUUAUUUGCACGAAAGAUUUUGAUAGGAGAAUACUGAAACAAAGGUAUACAAUAUUGAAUACUAAACCACAAUUAAUCUGGUUUUAUUACUUUUUUUUUUACCACAAUUAAACUGGUUUUCUCACCUCUUUUUUUUUUUUACUCAAGAUCUCUUAUUUAAAAUUUCUCUCACCUUAUCACCUAACCUAACCCUUUCCGGUAUUAUAUUUAUUUUAAAUUACAAUUAACCAAACAAUAUAGAACGAUGUGUCAAGUCUGAACGGGUCAGAAUUAGUUCCAAUAGCGCUUAUUCUCGUCAUAGUUACAUUUAGAGGAGGCAAAUCAACCCACUUAAUUAAAUUUACCCAUACCCGCCCAUGAAUAGAUGGGUAUGGGUAUCUUAAAUUUUUGUAUAUGGGUAUAAAUGGGUUACCCAAUAAUACCCAUUUAAUAAAUGGGUAUUAUUGGGUAACCCAUCAAAUCCAAUUAACCCAUUUAGAAUUCUCUUCCCCCCAAGUCUCUUCUUUUCCCCCACCCAUUUUUUUUUUCAAAAUUUUCAUUUUGUCAUGAUGUUAACUACUUUUGUUUCAUUAUUAUUAUUAUUAUUAUUAUUAUUAUUUGUUGGUUUUAUCUUAUUAUUUUAUUUUCUCUUAGUUUGUUAACUUGCUCAUUUUUCAGCAUUACUAAUUUAUGAUAAAUUUUAGCCUAUUUUCUUAUCUUUCUAAAAUGAAAAUUUAAAUUUAUAUAUGAAAAAAAUUUUAGGGGUUCAAAAUUUUUGGAUUAAGUUUUUAUAUUAAUUUUUAUAGUACUUAGUUCAAAAUUUUAUAUUCUUAUUAUUCAAUUAUUAAAUAAUAGGUAAUUUUGUGACAUAGAGUAUAAAUGAAAAAAAAUUGGUAAUUAAGUUUAUUGAAGAUUAUAAAUAAAUAUUUAAAACUAAUGACGGGUACAAAGAGUGGUAUAAAUUGAUAACUUAGUUUGCAAAAAUGAAUUUAAAUGAGUUUACAAAAAGUUAAAAUAAAUGGGUUAUAAAUGGAUAAUUGGAUUACCCAAUUCAUUUUUUGACUUACCCAUUUAUACUCAUCUAAUUAAAUGGGUAUAAAUGAGUUGACUCACUUAUACCCAUUACCCAUUUUACCCAACCCAAACCCGCCCAAGUCACCCAUUUUGACACCUCUAGUUACAUUAACCCCUAGCACCUAUUGUGAAAUUUCCCUUCCUUUCUAAAUAACUCCUGGAUCUCCUAUAUAAAUAAUUGUCAUUGCCAAUCUUCAAAUCUUGGCACACAAGAAUUUAGUUUUUAAAUUACCUCAGGACCAUGAUUUAAAUCUGAUUUGACGUGGUUUUAGGUGUUCAAUUUAGAAAUAAUGAGGAAGAUUAUGAGAAAUUUUCCUUGCAUCGUCAUUACCUAUUCCAUUAGGGUAUUAAAUCUUUUCAUCAACAAAUAGUAAGAAAAAACACAGAUAUCAUUUUCAACUGAUUUGCAUGUCCCAAAUUGAUAUUAUAAGGUAUGAAAGAGCUAUAAUUGAAAGUUUAGUGUCUAAAUUGCAAAUAAAUGAUAAAUUACCAAAGUAUACACUCUUCUGGAUUAACCCACCUAAUGGGUUGCAUCACCAAGAAUUCUUCACUGUCUUUCUUGACUACGGUGUCGUUGAAAUCUUGAGAAAAAAACUCUCAAAUAUUUAUACCUCACUACCCCCUAAUUAUACCUAGUGCUUUAAUUCAUAUUGGGUGCAUGAAAAUGAAGUUGAAUCCUAAAUAGCAAAGAAAAUAUGAAAGGUAUACCAUCAGAUAUUGAAAUGUAGAUGGGUUCACGAGAGCAUAAUUCUACACCAAGAUGCAUUAGGUAGCAGUGCUUGGACCCGGGAUGGAUACUAAACUAAGAAAGAAAAAUAAUAGCUAUUAUUAGUUAUUAGAAUACAUGGUCUUGAUUACCAUUUGGUAUUAAAAUUUCCUCGUUUAAGUUUUAUCCUAUCGACUUCCCCAUUUUCUCUUACAAUGACAUUCAAUAAAUAUAACAUGAUUAGUGUAACUAAUUUCCUACAAAAAUUAUUUUAAACUUAACUACCUAAGUUUAUGUUGCCAGUAUACCAACCAAUGGGCAUUGCAAUUAUCAAGUUAACUAUAAUCUUAUGAAUUAAUCUUCUAUACAUUGAUAGUAUAUAUACUCUCACUAUUGAAUGCAUAACACAUGAUUCAAAUUUGAAUUUCAAAUUCAAAUUUUGCAUAUGUGUCGUGGAUCCAAUCGUGAUAAUAUAUACACUAUUAGUGUAUAUAAGAUUUAUUCUAAUCUUUUUGGAAAAAUAGUUCAAAGAUCAAAAUCUUGCCUAAAACUAAAACAUUUAUAUAAAAGUAAUUCAUAUAAAAAUUGUGUAUUUUUAAGUGGCACACGUGUAAAUGUGCCCUUAACACUAGCUAGAAUUAUAUGAUUGACAUGAAAUAAGAAAGAAGUUGAUUUUCGUUAAUUUCUCUAGCCACUUAUUAAAUUUAUGAAUGUUUUUAUUCAAGGCUUUCACAAAAGAAGUAAUCUUUGUUAUUUAUCAAAUUCGUCCUCUAGUGCAUACUUUAGGGUCACUGGACAUUUGAAAUGAAACAAUUUUGACCUUCAGUAGAAGUGACCACCUUAUUAACCAAAAAAAAAAAAAGCUUACUUUGCACUUUCCCCCUUGUUUCUUAAGUAGUUCAUAAACUCAAAUAUACCUCAAUUUACCUCCAUCAAUCCAACUUCUACAACAUUCAAAGUCAUCCAUUUGGCUGCCAAAAUAUUAACCUAAUGGAAAAGAAUUGGGAGAUUUCAUUUAACGAGGUAUUAGUAUUAGGGGUGCCAAUCAGAUUCCAUGAGUCGAGUUUUGGCAAGUCCAAUGUUGCCUUAAAAAAUAAAUGAGAUUUUCUAGCUUUCAGACUUAGCCCUAAGUUAAAAGGCUCAAGUUCAACUUAUUAUUUACUAUGAGAUUUGGGUUCAUAUCAGAUUCAGUCCAAACUCAUAAUUAACUAUAUAAUUAUAUAUAAUAUAUUAAUAUAUAUAUAUAUAUUAUUAUAAAUUUGUAUAUAAAUUAUUAAUAUUUUAAUGUUAUAAUAUGUAUAAUUAUAUAUUAGAUAUAUCAUUUAGUUUGUAAAUAUAUAUAUUAUAUAAUUAUACAUAUGAAUGGACUGGGCCCUAAUCAAAAUUAGUUUUUUGGAGCUAAAUGGGCCAAGCUCGAGCUAUUCGAGCCCGUUGAUAGCCCUAAUUAGUAUGGUUCCGUGUGACAAUUCACUUCCGCCAUUAUAUAUAGGAACAUUUACCAAAUUGGUCCCUAAUAUUUACACAAAAAACUUUUUUAGUUCCUAACAUUUAAAAUCAACCAGAACAGUCCUUAACAUAUAAAUUAUGAUCCAUUUUGGUCCUAAUGCUCGUAUUUGCUCAUUUCUCGAACUAAAAAUAGCACGUCUCUCUCACGUGGACAUAUUUUCAAGGACAAAACUGGAAAACACAAGUUUUUCUCCCCUUUUCAAGGACAACAUUUUUGCAUAUUUUCUUUCCCUGUUUUGAAAUUAGGGCUUUUCUCCCCUUUUUCUUCUGGUCAUAGACUCUUUGCUAGCGAGCUACGCCUCUUCCGAUGAAGAACAAGAUCAAGAACAAGAAGAUAAACCACAGCUCUCAAAUCCCAAAUCCGCUGGAUUCCUCUCCUUCUUGCCACCCCCAAAAUCUUCAUCAUCUUCUUCUUCCUCAUCUAUCUCCUUUCCACUUCCCCCACCCCCCAAUCCCACCCCCCAAAGCCCCUCGUCUCGUCGUCUUUCUCAACCCUAAAUCCACAUAAAUCUAAUGAACUUCAAGAAGAGAGGGAUGGGCAGCAAUUGCUAAGAAAUCGGGAAAGUUUGAGACUUUUGGCAUCGCUUCCAAAACCAUCCUCAUCUUUGUUCACUUCGCUUCCUCAACCCAAAUCAUCUCUUUUCUCUUCUCUUCCGCAGCCCACCAAAACCCACAAUCUUGAUGCCCGGGCUUCGCCUCUUGCACAAUUUGCUAGAAAGUGGGUGGUGGUGGUUUCUUGACGGUCGGAUCACACAGCUUUAAUGGAAGGAUGACGGAAUCAACCUCGCCGGGUUUAAUGGUGGUGGUUCCUUGGGGGAUCAACAGCAGCAGCCACACCGUUAGGGGGGAUCAAGCCUCAAAUUGAUGCAGGUGCUUUUCAGUUUGAGGAGAAUAUACUGAAGUAACAGCAACAGAAGCUUUAAUUCCAUAUUUAUACUGAAAACAAUAGUAUUUUUUAGUUUUGCCCUUGAAAAUAUGUCCACGUAAGAGAGGCGUGCUAUUUUUAGUUGGAGAAAUGAGCAAAUACGAGCAUUAUGACCAAAAUAGAUCAUAAUUUAUAUGUUAAGGACUAUUCUGACUGAUUUUAAAUGUUAGAGACUAAAAAAGUUUUUUGUAUAAAUGUUAGGGACCAAUUUGACAAAUUUCCUUUAUAUAUAUAUGAACUAGUUGCGUUGCAGCUAUAUUACAUAGCUUUUUUGUGCAUAACAGCAUGUUCUUGCCUUAUUGUGAGCUAAAAGUAAAGGAAUUUGUACCUUGAAUACUUUAAUAUGUUUGCCUACACUCCUACACAUCAACUUUUGCUACCUUAUGAGAAUAGGAAAUUCAAUUGACCUAAAUUGUGGGAAUAUAUAAGAAAUAAAUAAAUAUACAUAAACAAAGAAUAGUCCCUUUGGGUUAUAUAGACAUAAACAUUCUAAACUCCUGCAGAAAAUAGUUCAACAAAUAGGGUGAAAUUGACUUACUAGAAUUGGUGAACAAGAGUUGACUUACACGAGAAAUAGCUUAGUAAGGUAACAAUUACUAAAUACGACGCUAAAUGCUGAACAAAAAAAAAAUCACUAGAAAGUUGGCUGUAAUAUAACCAUUGGAAACAAGACAUAUGAGAAUCCAGUAAGUUUGUUUGAAUUUUUUUUUUCAACUAAAUAUUACCAUCGCAUGUUCAAAAGAAUGAGCAAAUUGCAAAAGUUUGAUAUGAAGAUCAAUCAGCUAGCAGUUGGCCAUUUAAAAUAGACCUUAAAGAAAGAGAAUUACAGCUGUUGGGAUUAGAUGAAAACUGUAAUGUCCAUAGACACAGUAUUAGAUGAAAACUGUAAUGUACAAAAAUUAGUUUCUCUACCUACAACCUUAGUUGUGUUUGAUUUCAUCAAUUUUCCUUAGAAAAGAUAAAUGAAGUAUUAAUUCGUGUUCUUAUCUUAUGUGGUUUCCCUUACGAAAUGCAGGUCACUUCUUGAAUAAUUUUUGGCUAUUUUGCUUCCACACGGAAAAUUGUGCUAUUUCAUUCAAUGAGGAAUUAAUAGGGAUUGAUAACUCAAAUCACUUGGGCAAAUAAAAGUUAUCUUGACAGUGAUUAAUGUAUUGUUAAUAUAUUCUAAAGCUGCUAAUCCGAAGCUAAGACUAGUUGCCAUAAUUUUCAAUGGUUGACUUGACUGCUUAUCAUAAACAGCUGUUCUGUGCACAGAACCACAUGUUCCCACCGCACCCUUUCUUCAGCUGAUUAUCCGAAAGCAGGGGGGGGGAAAAAAUUGUACGUCGAUUUAUUUGUCUGCACCCCCACAUGUCAAGUUGUCAACUUGUUUGAUGACCACAUGUCAACGCUCGAUGAGGCAUUAAUUCAACGGCCAAGAUUAAAGUAAAAAAAGUCAACUUGUUUUGUCUGCACUCUACUCUAUGAAGUUUUAGGACCUUAUUAGACAAUGAAACCUUCUUCAUUGGGCAAUAGCAGUAUAAAAUAAAGGAGUCAACCUCUCGCCACUGCCAGUAUUAAUUGUAAGCUUAAGUAUCAUGAACGUGGACGUAGUAUCUUGAGUUUCAACUUCAUUUUUAUCUCAUCAAUAGUAGCAACGAGGCUUUUUUUUUUUAAUUGGCAUUUCAAAUUUAAACUUCGACUUACUAGUAUCUACCUUUUAUUUUCCUUUUUAACAUGAACAUCAUGGUGGGAUCAAUAUAUUUAUACUUUAGUUUAGAAUUAAUCUUUUAUAUACUGUCAAUAUAUUUUAGUUUAAGAUUAAUUUUUUUUGAAUGCAUACCACAUAGUCUAAAUUUAAAUUUGAACACCAAAUUAUAUAAUUAUAUAUAUAUAUAAGCAUGCAUCCAAACUUGUUAGUGUGUAUAUAUUUCAGUGCAUAAAAAAUUUACUCUAUAAUUUAUUAGUAUUACAAAUAAGAACCAACAAACAGUGAUAUGAAGUACCAUUUAAUUAGAAAAAAUUCACAUUUAGCAAAACUUGGAUUUAGGAUUUUUAACUCCUAAAACUUUAAUUUUGGCCAUUGAAUUAAUGCCUCAUCGAAAGUUGACUUUUAACACAGUACUAACCACAUGAGAAAUUUUUUUUUUUAGUCAAAAUCUUGAUUUUCGAGAAAUUGAAUCCAAAAUUAUCAUUCUCGAAAGUUCCAUAUUUAAUGAUUUGACAGAAUUACAUCUCUCUUCAGGAUUAAAUUAAUUAUUUUGGGUCACAUUUGAUUUUUUUUUCCCCUUCUCAUUCUCCUUUUUGUGUGUAUAUUGGUCUCCACGGACUCCAGGUCAAAACUACAGAUCGCAAUUUUAGUAAGUCGACCUCGAAAAACUGCCAAAGAGAAGAAGUACCUAUCUUGUUGGGGGACAUUUUGAAGAUUGAACCAUUUUAAUUCAAGCACAAUUGGGUAUUUAUUUAAGACUCUAAUCUCUGACUGAGUUGACAAAGCAUCUGAUUUUUCAAUUUCUCAUUUUCAGAAACACAUGUAAGACCAUUUGCGCAUAGAGUCUAAUUGAAUUAUAAUAAUCAAACGAAAUGUCCUUGGUACCAUAUAGUCUAAUUGAAUUAUAAUACAUGUAGUUACCAUACUUGCCUCUUUCAAUGUUCUAAUCUAUUAUUACUUCUAUGCUCAAAGUAGGGGAAGAGAACAGAAAAAUAAAGUAUCUAGCAUCUAGGUGCUCUUAUGAUACAAGGUGUAUUGCUGACAAACAAAAAUGGAAGCAAUAUUUUCUGAUUUUCUAUAACUUUCCAUUUGAGCUGUACCACAUUGUUAUUCGAAUAAAUCACGCGCCAUCAAAUCUGCUACAAAGCAAGGAUUAAUCACAUUGUUAUACUGGCAUCACUCAUGUCUGCAAAACCAUUAUGGCAAGCAUAAAUCUCCAGAAGUAGUAAUUAAGUAUGGAAAAAGAAAGUAGUCCAAAGUUAAACGGAAAUUGGGAUAAUUUUAGAAACCUCCCUUGACAUUUUUGACAAUUUCACUUAGACCCCUUGAGCUUUAUGAAAUUACACAUAUCCCCUUCAUUUCAUAGUUUUUAGUAACCAAACCUUAAAAUGACAUUGACUUGGUCAAAUUUUUAAAUGAAUAACCUAAAAUGCUCCUGUUUAAUGUAUUUUAAUUUACUUUCUUAUACAACUAUAAGAUUGUCUAGCAUAAUAAUAAGGAACAUGUGUCAAAUUUGUCAUGUCCAAAUCUAUUAUUUGAUAAACAACCAUAAUAAUAAUAAUUUUAUCACUAUGAUAGGAUAUUUUUUAUCAUGUUUUACUAGGGAUCUAAAUAUAUAAGGAAAAUGUGCCAUAAUUUGGCUGUGCUUUUGGGCCAUUUCAUUUUGAUUUAUUAUUGAUUUUGAUAAUAAAAAAAGGAAACAAUGAUCAGCAAAAGUUCUGGAUCACAUUUAAAGUUAACUUGUCAAAAAAAAAUCAAUAAUUCGACAUUUGGUUACAAUAGAAACUAGAAGCAAUAGUAGUAGUUCUUGAUAUAUUAUAUUGGCAAAAAAAAAAAAAGAGGAAUAAGAAGGAAAAAGAAUGAAAAAAUUAUUUUAAAACUCAUUCUUAGUAUAUUACCAAACAAGGGAAUUUCAUAAAAAUGUUUAAGGGUAGUAUUAUCAUUUUAAAUGGAAAGGGAGGUACAUGUAAUUUUAAAAACCUUGAGGGAUAUUAGUGAAAUUGUCAAAGAUUUCAAGGGAGGUUUCUGAAAUUAUCCAUAGAAAUUGCAAGACAACCUGUCAUAAAGAAAUACUAACGUGUACGGUUGCUUAAGGGAUGAGCUGCUUCCCAAUUUAAUGUUUCUCUUUGGCAAGAAAAUUAACGAUGCAUGCAUGCUAGUUAUAAUGCUUUGAAAAUAGUGGUCAGAAAUUUUUCUUGCCAAUCUGCAGAGCUGCUCUUCGUGAUAAGAGCUGCUCAUGUGGUUUUGCAGCUUGCACAUGACUGAAGCCAUCAAAGUUAGGCGGUAAGUUAGGAGUGAAACCAUGGACACUCUUUUUUUUUUAAUCACUAGAUUUGAAGUCAAUUCAUUCAAGAAACGCUAUAAAUACCAUACUCAGGAAUCGUGCCAAAAUCACCCAAAAAUGAGGAAAAUGUCCUAUUCAACAAUGUUUCAAUUUGCUUUCCUCCUCCUCUGUUCCAUCUCGUGGGCUUCUGCUUCUCAUCCUUCCCGCGGAGAUUUUGUUCAGUGCCUUUUGAAUUAUACCGAUAGCCCCUCAUAUUUUGCAAAAGCAAUAUACACCCAAAACAGCUCUUCUUUCACAUCAGUCUUGGACCAGUACAUCCACAAUUUACGCUUCCUUUUACCCGAAGUUCCAAAGCCCCUAGUCAUUAUCACUGCUUUGACUGAAAAUCAGAUUCAAACAGCAAUAUUUUGCUCUAAGAAGUACCGCUUACAAAUGAGAAUUCGAAGCGGUGGCCAUGACUUUGAGGGGAGCUCCUACACUUCUAACGUCCCAUUUUUCGUCCUUGACAUGUCCAACUUUCGUUCAAUCUCCAUAGAUGUUAAAGGUCAAACCGCAUGGGUUGGAGCUGGAGCAACCGUUGGGGAAGUAUACUACAGCAUUUAUGAGGCGAAUAGCACUCUGGGAUUUCCAGCUGCCUACUGCCCUACUGUUGGCAUUGGUGGGCACAUCAGUGGCGGAGGCUAUGGUCCAUUGGUAAGGCAAUUUGGCCUGGCCGCAGACAAUGUCAUCGAUGCUCGUGUCAUCGAUGCAAACGGAAGAGUUCUCGACAGAACGAGCAUGGGUGAGGAUCUCUUUUGGGCUAUUAGAGGUGGAGGCGGUGCUAGUUUUGCUGUCAUUCUUGGAUACAAGUUGAAAUUGGUUGAAAUUCCAGAGAAAGUUACUGUAUUUUCCAUCAACAGAACCUGGGAACAAAAUGCAACUCAACUUCUAUACAAGUGGCAAUAUAUUGCCCCAAAGCUACCACUAAACCUUGUUAUCACACCCCAAAUUGUCAGUAUCAAUUCAAAUCAAACAGGUAAGAGAACUGUACAAGUUACAUUUGUGUCUGUUUUCCGUGGCGAAGUUGAUGAACUGCUUUCAAUCAUGACCCAACAAUUUCCUGAGUUGGGGUUGAAGAAAGAGGACUGCACCGAAAUGCUAUGGAUCCAAUAUUUUGCUUAUGCCAGCGGUCUACCAACUAGUAACAUUACAGAGUCCCUGACCAGCAGAGUCUCUUCAGCUAAACUGUAUUACAAGGCUAAAUCCGAUUUUGUCAAAGAGCCUAUCCCUGAAAAUGGGAUUGAAGAGAUAUUGAGAAAGCUUAAUGAAUUACCUCCCUUUAUGGGAAUGCUGGAGUGGAAUCAUUUUGGAGGAGGGGUAAUGGAAACAAUUCCCGAAUCAGCAACUCCAUUCCCACAUAGAGGAAAUUUGUACCUCAUGUGUGAAGGGGUUUCGUGGGAUGAACAAGUGGUGUCCAAGCAGCGUAUUGAUUGGCUGAGAAAGCUUUACAAGGUCAUUGGAAAAUAUGUUCCUAACAAUCCAAGAGCUGGCUAUGCUAACAGUCGGGACCUCGAUUUGGGUGUGAAUAACAAAGGUAAAACAAGUGUUGAAAAAGCAAGGAUCUGGGGUGCUCCAUAUUUCAAGGAUAAUUUUGAUAGAUUGGUCCAAGUGAAAACCAAAGUUGAUCCUUAUAAUUUCUUCAAGAAUGAACAGAGUAUCCCAAUUUCUCAAUGAUCAUUAUGUUUGAAGAAGAAAAACGUUGGUAUCUUAGUGUAUCCAGGAGAUGAAGAAUUAUGAUUGUUGUAUUUGUUUUAGUGUUGUGUUUUUUUUUUACUCAACGAUGAGGGAAGCCAGCAAAAAUAAAAUCCAACAACUACUUGGGGUCGUUAAAUCUUGUGUUCCUUUAAUAAUACUCCUUCUGUCCGACUUUGAUAGUCCUGUUUUCUUUUUUCGUCUGUCCCAAAUUGUAGUUCACUUUCCAAUUGAAGAAUGUAGUUGUAUUUUAAUUUUCCUAAAAUACCCUUAUUCAAUGUAAGUUGUUGUUACUAUAAACCUACCCCAUUUAAUGAGAGUUGAUUCUUGUUUUAUCAUCAAUUCAAAUUCCCAUAAAGUUAUACUUUAAUUAAUGUGAAGGUAUUUUAGGAAAAUAGCUACCUAAAUUGAGUGGUCCAACAAAGUUAACUACUUUUUCUUAAAUUAUGUGAAAAAAAAAAGAACUAUUAAAGUGGGACGGAGGGAGUAAAUUAUGGGGCCAUAUUUCGAUUAAGAUUACUAAAAUCCCAAAGUGUAGUUGUAGAAGUUUUACUUGUACUUUCAGCAUGUCAUUAGGGAUCCAAUUUAGAAGUAAAAUGUUGUUUCACUGAUCAAACAAACCAAUUAACUUCACCAUACCAAAAUAGUUUUGGUCAAAAUUGAUCAGAUUUAUGACUUUGCUGCAAAUUGCAAUACGAUACUUUUCAGCAUACCAAAAUAGCUUUGGUCAAGAUUAAAAUUUUCACCUAAGUGGUUCUAACAUUCUAUAGCUGUAGCUUUACUAGAACGGAUUUAUUAUGGUCUUCAUGAAUCCAUCUAAUCAAGCAAUCUAAAGGGCUUUAUAUGUUUAUCACUGGUCAAGAUGCCCAUUCAAAGCACUCUGUUCUUGGCAGCUGAUAAUUGAACUACACUAUCAAAUUUAUCGUUAUCCAAUUUUUAGCAAUUUGUUAAUCGCUUUCACCAUUGUGAUUUACCUGUGAGAGCUAGAAAGGGGCUAUGAUUUUCAAGAAACACAAUUAGCAAAUCUUUUUCAAUUUAGAGAAUCUUAGACUUGACAAUUCAUUGUAAUGGAAAUGGCAAGAUAUUUUCGACAUCUACCACCAGUUAAUUUCGCAUUGUCCCUUUCCUGUCUGUGUGAUCAAACUAAAAGAGAAAAUUAAACAAAACCUGUAUAGACACCAAUACAUGUUAGAAACUUUCACCGAAUAUAUUAUACUCCGAGAACCAUUGAGCCUUGGUCCAAUGGUCAGGGAGAAUCCCUUUAAAACUCUCUUGUACAUUAAGUCGAUAGUUCAAACCCCACUUAGUGUAUCACACAAGAAAUAUAGCGCUUCUUGUUCUUAAAAAAUUCAGAGGGUAUAGUAUUGCAUUUGUAUGGUCUGGUAAUUCAUCCCGCAACCUCUAUAAAAGUUUCUUUAGGCUCCCUUCCCUCGUAAAGUAGGAAUAGUUUAAAUAGUUGGCAUUACCGACCCAAAAAAAAAUACAUAUAUAUAUAUAUAUAUUAUACUGAGAGACAAAAAGUAGAGCUGGCAAAUUAAAUCCAAACCCAAUAACCCACCCAAGCAAAUCAAACACAAAAUUCAAACCCACUAAUCUAAAAGGUUGGGUUGGAUCAGUUCAGUCAUGGAAAAGUUUUGAGUUGGGGAUUAGAAACCAACACAAUUUUUGGGUGGGUGAGAUUUUUCAUUGAGCAACCAAAUCACACAAACAAGUCAAAUACAGAAUCCAAGUGUUCCUAUAAGAUUACACAUCAAUAGCUAGGGGUGGGCGCGGGUCGGAUACCCGUCUCAUUCACCAUUUGGCUGAUCCGACGACCCGCACCUUGCGGGUCAGCCAUUUUCUGACCCUUACCCGCCCUGCAUAUCAGCGGGUACCCUAUAACGGGUAUCCGCUAAGAUAGGGUCGGAUUAGCGGGUACCCGUCCCGCCAAGUUUAUCAUUUAAUUUUUUAAAAAAAAUGAUUUAUACCAAUUUAAUUUUAUAUUUUACACAUUCAUCUAAGAUUUAAUUUUUUUUUUCUAAAAAAAGGUUUCCCACCAAUAAAUAAGCAUAUGAAGAGAAUAUAAGAUAAAGAAAAAAAUUAAAAGAAUUCAAAAUCAAUAAAAGUUUGAAAUAAGUAGCACAAUUUUUAAUAUAUAUGUUCCACAUUAAUUAAACUAUUUUCUAUAAAAUAUAAGAUCAUGGCCUUUACAAAUGAAUCUUGUAAAUAAACUAUAGUAUCUCAUAUUUGUAAUGCAAUUUGUUCAAUAAAAUUACUUAUUUAGUUCUAACUUAUUAUUUUUAUAGUGUGUGUAUAAAAAUAAAAAUAUAUAUAUAUGCGGGGCGGGUCGGAUACCCGCGGGUUUUUAAUUAUGUGACCCUAACCCGUCCUGAAUCUUAGCGGAUACCCGACUCUCUUUUGACCCGAUCAAAUAAUAAAAAUCGGAUAUCCUAAUUUUCGGAUCGGAUUGGAUAUGACGGGUUUUCGGGUUAACGGAUAAUUUUGCCCACCCCUAUCAAUAGCCAUUAGCUGCCAACGGAAACGACCCUUGCGUAGUAGCAAUUUUUUUCCCAUUUUUUUGGGUUAAUUACAUUUAGCUCCCCUGAGGUUUGACCAUAUUACCAAUCAAUCCCUGUAAUUUGUCCAAAUAACGGUCUCACCCUUUGAAUGAUCAAACAUUUAACAAAAACCCCUUAAUGCCGAAAAUGCCCUUAUUGAGGCCAUGUUGCAUUAAAAAAAGAACAUAUUUUUAUUUUAUUAAUCCUGAAACAAUCCAAAAAAAUAGAAAAAAGUUUUUGCUUAUUAUUUUAUAAAAACCAUAUCUUUACUUCCAUAAAUAGUUUUGAAUCAAUAAUUAUUUUAAAUCUUAAAAAUGAAUAUUAAAAAUUAGAUAAAUUGAAAGAAAAAUAAGAAAGAAGCAAUUAUUUUAAAUCCUCAAGUAUGGUUCGAAUUUGUGGUUCAAGGCAUGUUUUCCUCAAUUUGAACCAUACUCCAGGAAUUAAAAUAAUUUCUUCUUUUUUUAUUUUUCUUUCAAUUUAUCUAAUUUUUAAUAUUCAUUUUUAAGAUUUAAAAUAAUUAUUGAUUCAAAACUAUUUAUGGAAGUAAAGAUAUGGUUUUUAUAAAAUAAUAAGCAAAAACUUUUUCUAUUUUUUUGGAUUGCUUCAGGGUUAAUAAAAUAAAAAUAUGUUCUUUUUUUAAUGCAACAUGGCCUCAAUAAGGGCAUUUUCGGCAUUAAGGGGGUUUUUGUUAAAUGUUUGAUCAUUCAAAGGGUGAGACUGUUAUUUGGACAAAUUACAAGGAUUGAUUGGUAAUAUGGUCAAACCUCAGGGGAGAUAAAUGUAAUUAACCCAUUUUUUUUUUAAUCACAAUCGGAAUUUGAUUUUCAAUUUUAUUCUUUAUCAAAACAUUGAUUUUCAUUUCAUUUCUUUUAUUCUUUUUUUUUUUAACCAUUCUUCUCCCUCACCAAAACACAAGGCAGCCAUGGCCAUGGAGUUUCAAGGCUGUUGCAAGAAUAUUGUCUUUUCGCGAGGCCAGAAUUGUGCCACAAAAAGUCAGAAAAGCAUCACAAAAACCUUUUUGCAGCGCAACAGCGAAAGAAUUCAAUUGUCACAAAAAUAGCCGUUAAAAAAGAAAAUGAUGCAAUUUUUCAUGUAUUGCAUGUAUUUGCAUCGCUUUUUGCAACGCUAGUUUGAGUGUCGCCACUGUACUUGCGGCACAAAAAAUGUGCCAUAAAAUAUCCCUAUAAUGUUAUCGCGACAUAAAAUUGUGUCACAAAAAAUCACUAAUAAAAGUCAAAAAUCAAUUUUUUGAUGGUACAAAAUUUAUCCUGCUCAAAUAUACUAAAAUUGAAUAUCAAAAUAAAAUUAAAGUUCCACAGUAUACUAGAACAAAGUAUCAUACAUUGCUUCAGUCAAAUUUUACAAACUUUAUCGCAUGUCAUCAUUUUGAAAAGAAAAAAAAAAGGAUGAACUUCCUUGUAAUGUAAUAAGUUCAUUACAAUGACAAGAUAUUUCACAUAUCCCCAGAAGUGCUUGUCUUGAAAAGCACAAAUUCAUCAAACGUCUCUCAAAAGUAUCUUCACGUCUCAAAAUCCCGAAAUAACACAAAAAAAUAUAGUCAUUACCAUGCUUGAACACCAGAGUGUAAAAAGGUCAGCAAUCAAUUCACUUCCUAAUUUGGGAAAGUAACCAACAUCCACAACCCAAUAGAACCACAUUCCAUAAAAUUGCAAGGUGAGAGAUGAAGAAUUUAAGCAAGUCAUUUGCAAGUAGUCCUGCUCAUUUUCCAGAAACUUUUCCACUAUCUCAAGCAAGUCAUUUGCGAGUAGUCCUACUCCUUUUCUUCUUUGUAUGGUGGUUCUAGCAUAACAAAAGACUAAUCAAUUCAAUAUCAACAAGGAACUCGUGCACAAAUAGUAGUCAUCAAAUUAUUAAAAUAUUAUUUAAUUAAUCAUUUUUUGCUCAAGAAACAAGAAUCUGAAAAGCUCUUCCAGGUGAGACAAUAAUGAAAAAAAGUCUUAAACAGAAAUGAUAGACAUCUAUGUUAUGGGCACCUAGCAAACUUUAUGUCCAUACCCUUCUUGUUGCAAUCCUUCACUUUCUCCUUUAGGCUUUUGUGCUGCAGCUUAACAUCCCUGGCCAUCCAAAUUCCCAAUUAUCCAUAAAUAUUAGGAACAAAUUAAAAAGCAAGGUACGCAACACAAUUUCAUCUGAGUUUGUGGACUAAAGUGUACCUGGGGUAAUUGUUUCUUCAAUAUUCAAUUAUGACUAUCCAUACUUGACAAAAUGUAAUGUUUUUGAUGCCUUGGAAUGAUUACUAACAACUGCUGCUACGUGGGGCUUUCUUUCUCCAUGAAUGUUUGAUAUGUAAGAAGUUGCUUAUAUAAUACUUAAAAAAAAUAACCAAACAAAAGGAAGACAUGUACUGUUACUUGGGUGGUUCAUACCAUUCCAAGCAUUUCAAUCUCUUAAGCUGACAAAUGGUAUUGCAAAUCCAGGUAAAAUAUGGCAUCCAUCUUAAUUUGUUUUUACAUAUGUAGUGAUGCAAGUAGUUUUAGAUACACAAGACAAUUGAAUAGAUGCUCACAGUGACAGUUGAGAGGAAUUGCUAUCAGUAGAAACACCUUGUCUAAGAAAGCAUGGAGCUACCAAUAUUCUGUUUUAGUAGACACCCAUGAAGUUCUUCAAUAUUUGCUUGUUAAAAUACUUAAGCUACUAAUGCUCUAUUUCAAAACUUUAACCAUGUACAAAAUGAAGUAAAUGCAAGUAUUAUUCAAAUGAAGCAAACAUUUGAAUAAAUCUACAAAACAUAAUAUGCUUGGUUUUACAUUGAGAAAUAUUAAACAUCUUUAAGUAAUGAUGCACAAUCCAACAGAAGACUUUCUAGAAGAUAAACUCCAGCUUGAUUCACAUGCACAAAGUAGAAAAAGAAAAGGCAAUUUUAACAAAACAGAACACAUCAAAAAGGCACAACACCUAGAAAUAUUUAACAAAACAGAAAUUGACAGUGAAUUUCUGGAAAACCAUCUUCCAAUUAAUAGGAAUGGAAAAGAACGAAAUACUGAAGAUUUAAGCUAAUCAUAAUCCUUCAAAAAAAGAACAUAAAAAAGUAUGAAAUUACAUCAUUCGUUCCUUAUGAAAAAAAAAAACAGUAGCUUAGAAUUGACCGGUAACUUGAUUAGUUCAAUUGAUCAAUAAUCCAUAAAUAGAAGCUAGUAGUAUUCGAACCUUUUUAAAUCAAAUAGAAUUUCAUGAACAGAAUUACCCGAAGAUGUCUGCAAUAUCUGAUUCCAAUGCAGAGACAUUAAAAUGAAUAGGAAUUCCCAGAGAAAUUUCUUCAUUUUGAGAUGUCUGCUUUUGUUUUCUGCUCAAAAUAAAUUAAUAAAGGUUAGAAAUUCAAUUAUCACACAUUUAAGCUUAGUCAAAUUAAUUAACCAAAAGAUGUAUCAAACUUCUUUAACUAAUGAUGCAUGAUCAACAAAGGUUAUCCAGAAGAUGAAAGUUAACUUACUUCAGAUCCGUAAAGAAGUAAAAGAAAAGGCAACAUCAACAAAAUAUAACACACAAACCACGGCAUGACACCUAGAAAUACAUAACUCCAAAAUUAAUGUGAAAUAACGAUUAAUACUAUAGGCAAAACAAUCCGCUGUUCAAUCUAGUUCUUCACUAAACCAUAAAUGAGUCAAAAGCUCAAUCAUAUCAUGAUAACAAACACAUUGUCAGAAGCUAAUGGAGUAUGGUACAAUGCUGAUCAAAUUUUGAAAUUGUCCAAAAUUACCACAAGUACCUCUCUGAAAAUAAGGUGAAAUAUUUCAGAAACUCCAGUACAAUUUUGAAAGAAAAGAUCAAAUAAAUGAGAACCCCCUGAUAAAAAAAAAUGACAUUAUUAAAAUUGAUUGCUUAGCUAAAAAAAUGCAUUCAUCAUUCAAUACCUAAUCAAAGCAAAAGCAGAAACUUUUUGAACUAGUAUAUCACCUGAAGUUAACAUGAUAGUGAAGACAUACUUAAAUGCUCUGGCUGGAAAUUUGGGAAUAGGUCCACUAAGAUUGUUGCCAAGUACCUGAAAGUGACAGUGACUUCAUGAGAGCAGAACACAUUUUCAUUCAAGCUUUGAAAAGAAGUCUUCCAGAAGGAAAGUUUCUUGGAAAGCCAAAAAUUGCAGAUUCCAUGCUACUUCUUUCAAAGACCCUGAGAUACAACAGGUACUGGAGAAUACCCAAUAAAAAAUCAGGUAUAUGACCAAAGAACUUGUUACUGGCAAGAUUUUAUUUCUCAAGGUAUGAGAGAUUACCCAUUUCUAGAGGAAUAUGACCUGAAAUGCUAUUGUUUUGCAACAACCUACAUGAGGGGGAAAAAACUGUUAAAAUAACAAUUAGGCAUUAAAAGAAUGAGUAGCUGAAACACAUUAUUGGACUUCCAAAGUUCCAUUUUGCUGUUCAGAGUACAAAUGAUCUUGCCACUAAUGGCCACUUUACUUGGUUAACAAGCUGUUCACCAAACGCAAAGAAAACCCAAGCAGCCAGCAUAAAGAUGCGAAACUUAAAACAACGUAGUUAAUGGAGUAUACCAUCACAGCUAGAAGGUUAAUAUUGAAAUUCUUGUAACUUUGAUGGAUCCAAGUGGUUAGAAAAAAGGGCAUUCAAGUAAAUUCCGGAUUUCUUACUGAUUACUAUUGAGAUACUCCUUAAUUUUGUUCUAAUUCUCUCUAGCUAAUGCUUAAUUAGUAACAUGAAAAAGGGAGGAAGCUAAUCAAAAUAAAUCUCAAGAGCACCUAAACUUAGUUAUCUACUCAGAGAUGCAUAUGCAGCAGCCAUCUUUUUCACAAUAACCAGACUAGACAAAAAGAUCAGCCUUUUCUGUUGAUCCAUUUCCCUUUGAGAUGUCUCAUGAAUCAUAAUGGUGACAUACAAAGGUAUUGAUUCUAUAGGAACCAAUUUAUCCAAAGUAGAAGAAAACAAUGAAUCAUCUAUUAUAUACCUUGUUUCGGCAGUGGAAAAAUCUCUUCAAAAUCAUCCAUAGGAGAAGGAAACAUUUUAUACAAGUUCUAAAACUAUUUAGCCCCAAUCCAAAUCACAAAACGUGUCUUUGGGAAAAAUUCAUUAAAAAUGCAGUGCAAAUAAAAAAGAUACGAACAAAAAUGUAGUAAAAUAACAAAUACCAUAGAAACCUAUUGAUACAUAGCACUCACUCAAAAAAAAAAAAAGAUCCACAACAUCAAACAAAAUUUUAGUUCAAAUCCUAAAACAAACUCCAGAUAUGUACACUAAAGUACAACGCAUUUUGAAAACAGAGCUUCCAAAAUUCUACCUUAAAUAAGAUUAAAUCUCAGAUAAAUUAAAAAAAACUACCAUUAAAAUCUAAAGAUUACAAGGUUUUGAAAAGUUGAGUAAUUCUCCAUGAAUACAAAAAGAAAUUGCAUACAAAUAUCAAGCUGUAGUCGGAAAAAAAAAAAAGAGAGAAAAGCAAAGGUUAAUUACCUCAUAUUUAGAUCGACAGAGCUCCGACAAAGACUCGAAGAAAAUUCUGCAGCAAUUUCUCUCAAGAGCAAAGCUAGGGUUUCAUUCGGUGUAGAACAAAAUUACUCGGAGAAAUGAGUCGCGCUCGGUCGAUCCCAUGCCUUCACUUCACGAACAACGACCUGAAAAUGAACAAAAUUUACGGUGAAUUUCUCGAAAAUGUUGCUGAAAUUGAUCGUAACUGAGCAAAAUCCAUGACGAGAUUGGGAUUUAGCCAUAGCUAGGUAUUAAUCUUGCAAAUUUUGUCUUCAAGGCCGAUGGAGGAGAAGGCUAGCAAAUAGAGAGAGAGAGAGAGAGAAAGAGUAACUCAUUGAUUGCCACUGUUCAAUUAAGAUUUUAGAAAGAGAACGAAAGAGGGAAUGCUUGGGAUUGGGGGAAAGAAACGGAGGAGAUAAUGAUAUAUGUAUUUUACCAUUUUUCUUUUCCGGACUUCAGCGAUAAUGAUAUUGUUCAACUUAAUGCAGUACAUAUAUAUAAAAGUACACCGUUUCAUAGUGCCGUGAAGAACUCGGGACUGUAAUGAAUUUUGCAGCACAAUUCGAAUUACCCACCACGCUCUCUCCUUGUGAGCGGCAUCCCAUUAUUGACUGCCCUCUUCAGCCGGUGGAGUGUAUCCUUGAACUUGAGACAAUAUCAAACCUUUAAACACUGAGAAUGGAAGGAAACCUCACCCAGUCAAGCAUAAAACUCAUUUCACCUCAAAUCAAAGCCCACCAAACCGACCAAAAACUUCAUGCUUUUCCUUCCAGAAGUUUAGACAACGAAAUAUAUUCCGGACCAAAUAUAAAAAUUACAUCCGAUUCAUUGACAGUUAAAAUUUAGAAGUCUACUUCUUUCUUUCAUUAUAUUGGCCGGCUAGUACAAAUUGUCAAUGAAAAUUCCAAACCUUUCUAGAUUCAUAAUUUUCCAGCGCGCAUAAUUUCGCAGUUAACAUAAUCUUACCUGCUAAUUAACUUUCACUACAUUGGGAGAAAAUACUAGUAUAAAUAGCAUCUCAACUCUCUUGAGUCCUGUUCACAAAUAUGAAGAAACCAACCAACAUCUUCCUCCAAUUUUCUUUUCUCAUCUUCUUUUCCAUUUUAUCAACAGCUUCAGCCGAUAUCCACAAACACUUUGGCAGCUGCUUUAUCCACAAUUCCAAACACCCGAUUGAUAUUUCAAAAAUCGUCUCAACUCCCAAAUGUUCUUCUUACCAGUCAACCUUAGACUUGCAUGCACAAAACCUGCGAUUCACGUUACCAAAAACCCCAAAGCCUGUAGCUAUAAUCAACCCAGAAAAUGAAUCACAUAUUCAAACAGCAAUUUAUUGCUCCAAAAAGCAUGGAUUGCAAACGCGAAUAUUAAGUGGAGGCCAUGACUUUGAAGGUCGUUCAUAUGUUGCUGAUGUCCCAUUUUUUAUCCUCAACAUGUUCAACUUUCGAUCAAUCUCGAUCGAUGCCAAAAGCCAAACUGCUUGGGUUGGAGCCGCUGCAACUCUCGGCGAAACAUACUAUGCUAUUACCCAAUUUAAUAGCUCCCUUGCUUUCCCUGCCGGCUAUUGCCCUACUAUCGCUUUUGGUGGGCACGUCAGCGGAGGCGGGCACGGCCCGCUAGUUAGGAAAUAUGGUCUUGCAGGUGAUAACGUCAUUGAUGCUCGAAUAAUUGAUGCAAGCGGAAGAGUUCUCGAUAGAGAAUCAAUGGGCGAGGAUCUAUUCUGGGCCAUUAGAGGGGGAACAGGAGCUAGUUUUGGUGUAAUUCUCGCAUACAAAAUAAAACUAGUUGAGGUUCCAAAGAAAUUCACUGCAUUCAGUCUGACCAGAACAUUGCAGCAAAAUGCAACAAAAUUAGUCCAUCAAUGGCAAUCUGUUGCCCCAAAGUUGCCUGCAGAUCUACUUAUUUCACUUCAGUUGACUACUGUCAAAUCCAGUCGAACAGGCAAGAGUACUGUAGCAGCCACUUUUGUUUCUGCUUUUCAGGGUGGAGUUGAUGAGCUACUGUACAUAAUGCAAGAAAAUUUCCCAGAGUUGGGAUUGGUUAAGGGGGAUUGCACUGAAUUAAGUUGGGUCGAAUAUAUCGCUUUCCAUUUUGGCUUGCCAAAAGAAUCAACAUAUCAUAUGUUGCUAGGCAAAAUCACUGCACUACCAAAAAAUUACUUCAAAGCCAAAUCAGACCUUGUUCAACACCCCAUUCCUGAAGAGGGGCUUGAAAAGAUAUGGGAUCUUAUGAAGAAGAUGGAAUCCCCGCCCGGGCGAAUGGAAUGGAUCCCUUUUGGAGCAAGAAUGGAUGAGAUUCCUGAAUCAGAAAUUCCAUUCCCGCACAGAGCUGGAAACUUAUUCUUAGUGUUCAAAACAACGAGUGUAGAAUGGAAUUCAACCAGGGUAGAAUUGAUGCAAGAACGUAUCGCUUGGAUGAGAAAACUCCAUGCAGUUUUUGGAAAGUAUGUUGCCAAGAAUCCAAGAGGUGCAUAUGUUAACUAUAAGGAUCUUGAUUUGGGAGUGAAUAACGCGGGCAAUACAAGUGUUGAAAAAGCAAGGAUCUGGGGUGCUCCAUAUUUCAAGAACAAUUUUGAUAGAUUGGUCCAAGUGAAAACCAAAGUUGAUCCUUAUAAUUUCUUCAAGAAUGAACAGAGCAUCCCAAUUUCUCAAUGAUCAUUAUGGUUGAAGAAGAAAAACGUUUGGUAUCUUAGUGUAUCCAGGAGAUGAAGAAUUAUGAUUGUUUUAUUUGUUUAAGUGUUGUGUUUUUUUUUUCCCUUAUUUCGAUUAAGAUUACUAAAAUCCCAAAAAGUGUAUUUGUAGAAGUUUUACUUGUACUCUUAGCAUGUCAUUAGGGAUACAAUUUAGAAGAGAAUUGUUGUUUCACUGAUCAAUCAAACCAAUUAACUUCACCAUAUGAAAAUAGUUUUGGUCAAAAUUGAUCAGAUUUAUGACUUUGUUGCAAAUUGCAAUACGAUGCUUUUCAGCGCACCAAAAUAGUUUUGGUCAAAAUUAAAAUUUUCACCUAAGUGCUUCACUGGAACGGAUUUAUUAUGGUCUUCAUGAAUCCAUCUAAUCGAUCAAGCAAUCUAAUAGAGAAGGAAAUGGUGUUAGUCACAACUUGGCAAACCAAUUUAGUCAAAAAAAGGAUGUAUGAGCAGUUGCUCCAGUUGAUUCAACCUUUGUAUGGUAACUUUUAAUGAAAAUUCUGUUACCAUUUGAAAAAAAAAAAAGAAAAAAAGAAUUGACUUCUCCUUCGGAAGUACCAAUCAAGCGAAAAACCAGCCGUCUCCCAAUUCCCAUCUUUUUCCUACUUUAUAGCAAUGAAUAAAAAAGUAAACUCCUGAGCGGAAAAGGACUCGACCAACAAUAAUAUCCGUGUUACUUAACUAAAUACUCUACUAAUAAAAUCAGAAAUCUUCUUAAUCUUCAAUCAAAGUUUGCGACUCGAAUUAGUUCACAGGAAAAUCCCAAACCUUCCAGACUUGACAACAGAUCCUGGACACGCUCAUGUCAAACCGGUUCAUAGUCCCAUUUUUUUACAAUUAACACCAAUGAUUAAAUAUGAACGAUAUCUAUCAAUUAAUGCAAUAUUUGGUUCAAAAUAAAGGAGAGAAUAUCCACAAAAUUACUAACAAACUACACCCUAUCAAGAUUCUCAUUUUAUCGUGUUUGACUUGGAAGAAUUUUUUAUUAGCUUCAUUUAGUUGGAAGAACUUUCUCUUAGUUAUCGUAUCGGUCCAUGAUUGCGAUCGAUGCAUGCGAACCUCUACUGCGUAAACUCUCUGCCACCUGAUCUCUUACCGCUUAUCCUCUUUUGUCAAGCGGCCUAAGUUUCGAUUCCACGGAUAAUAUGCUUUUUGAUGUACUUCGGAAACAAAAUCUUGCUGCAGCAUUGGGAACCCGGUACGUUAAUUUGAUCCCAAAGAAAAAAUAAGUAAAUCAAUAAAAGGUGCAAGCGCCCCUAAAUUUAAUUGCUGCAGCAUUUGUAUUAAUUACGUACCAUCCAUCCUUUUCUUGACUGUGUAUUAAUUAGGACUUUGGGGGACCACGACCGUCUUGCAAUCCAACUAUAUGAUUGCUUGUGUACUUGAACAAGUACUCGACGCCAACUAAAUUAUUCCCCCUUGAAAAAAAGCGUUGACUUUUUCCAAAAAAUUUAUUUUAUAGUUUACAAUUUGUUUGACAGUGGGAUGAAUCUUCUGUCCCAUCCACUCUUUAUUUUAUUUUUUAUUAAAUUUUUAUUUUUCAUUCAUAAACACCAUAUUUUAGUUAUUUAUUAUUUUCUUGCGAUUCAAUAAUUAUUAAUUGAAUAAAAAAUAAAUACAAUUUAUAAAAAAGUAAUAUAUAAUUGAAAUUGAAAAAAAUACAGCCAAAAAUCAUAAAAAAUCUCAUUUUUUUAUGUGUUUUAAUUUUUGAAUUUGUUAAAUUUUUGUCCAGGAGAUGAAGAAUUCUGAUUGUUGUAUUUGAUUAAGUGUUGUGUUUCCUUUUUCUUAACGAUGUGGGAAGCCAGCAAAAAAUAAAAUCCAACAGCAAUCCCGUUCCCACAUAGAGGAAAUGUGUACAUCAUGUGUGAAGGGGUUUCGUGGGAUGAACAAGUGGUGUCCAAGCAGCGUAUUAAUUGGCUGAGAAACCUGCAUAGACACCAAUACAUGUUAGAAACUUUCAUCGAAUAUAUUAUACUCCGAGAACCAUUGAGCCUUGGUCCAAUGGUCAAGGGAUUUCCCUUUAAAACUCUCUUGUACAUUAAGUCGAUAGUUCAAACCCCACUUAGUGUAUCACAUAAGAAAUAUAGUGCUUCUUGUUCUUAAAAAAUUCAGAGGGUAUAGUAUUGCAUUUGUCUGGUAAUUCAUCCCACAACCUCUAUAAAAGUCUCUUUAGGCUCCCUUCCUUCGUAGAGUAGGAAUAGUUUAAAUAGUUGGCGUUACCGACCCAAAAAAAAAAUACAUACAUACAUAUAUAUAUAUAUAUUAUAUUGAGAGACAAAAAGUAGAGCUGGCAAAUUAAAUCCAAACCCAAGCAAAUCAAACACAAAAUUCAAAUCCACUAAUCUAAAAGGUUGGAUUGGGUGAGUUCACUCAUGGAAAAGUUUUGAGUUGGGGAUUAGAAACCAACAUAUUUUUUGGGUGGGUGAGAUUUUUCAUUGAGCAACCAAAUCACACAAACAAGUCAAAUACAGAAUCCAAGUGUUCCUAUAAGAUUACACAUCAAUAGCCAUUAGAUGCCAACGGAAACGACCUUGCGUAAUAGCAAUUUUUUUCCCAUUCUUUAAUCACAAUCGGAAUUUGAUUUUCCUAAUUUUAUUCUUUAUCAAAACAUUGACUUUCAUUUCUUUUCUUUUUUUCUUUUUUUUUCAACCAUUCUUCUCCCUCACCAAAACACAAGGCAGCCAUGGCCAUGGAGUUUCAAGGCUGUUGGCUACCAUUAAUGACUGCCACCUUCAGGCAGUGGGUUUUGACAAAGGCCAUAUCCUUGAAUUUGAAAUAAUUUCAAACCUUUAAACACUGAAAAUGGAAGGAAACUUCACCCAAAUAAGCAUAAACUCAUUGCUCCCUUCCCUCUCCAUUUCACCUCAAAUCAAAGCCACCAAACCAACCAAAAACACAAGAAAAUAUUCAAAAGCAAACAAAUCUCACAGACACAGGUAGAAAACCUAAAGAUGCAGCAUAUUUGCAUGAUUUUUUUUUUUUUUAACUCAAAACUAUUUUUAAGUCAAAUUUCGUUCAAAGUGGAUCCUAAUCCCUUGAAAGAAUGUGAAAGUUGAAAGUUGGAAGUGAAUGGUAAAGUACGUUGGGUAACGGUUGGGUUAUGGGUUAGAGUUGAUCCAAUUAAACGCAGUCCAACAUUAAUCCACUUCAUUGAUGGGUUGGCUUAGUAGUUCAGAUGAAAAUAACCACUGCUUUGGUGGAGGCUCUAGGAAAACUUAAAAACUUCUGUGAAAGUUCCGGCAAUCGUUCAAAUGUAAACUGAUCUUUCUGCCUCCCAAUGGCACCAGGGAAAUAUAAUCUUCCCCAGUAGGCGGAAAAGUUUUCGUCGUAGAAAUCAGCAUAGUUUCUCCAAAACAACAGCAUUCUUCAGAAGGAAUUUCACCAGCUGAAUCACAUUAGGCCCUGUUGUGUAUCAAAAAUGCAGACAAUCUUGAGAUGGUGAAAAGUGGCAUCACUUUAAUAGUUCAACCACAUGUACAUAAAAUUCAAGAUAUUACAAAAGAAAUAGAACAGCAUACCUUGUAUACAAAGCCCCGCUCAGAGUAGCUAUGCAUGAUUAAAAUUUGUAGAGAUCGCAAAUUUUUCAAUAACAAAGAAAUCCUAGCGUUGCCAGUUUGUCAAAGCAAGCUUAAGCACUAGUUUUUCUUCUCCCAUUUGAAAGAUUGGCAAGGUACAUUUGUAAACUUCCGUACGCUCAAACCCUGGCAAAAACUUAAAAGCACAAACAACUUGAACUUAAAUCAUAGAAUUUCAAAAGGUUCAUGAAUGAAAUCCAAAAUGUAUAGCAUUUCAAUCUUGAAAAUCUGCCUAAUGGAAGAAGCACUUCUUUUCUCGCACUGUAUUUGAAUGGUCAAUAUUCUACAGGAAAAAUUUUACCUAUAGAGCUAAUCGUUUGGCAAAUUAGUAAUUCCUGAAACGUACAAAUCAGAAAUUAAGUCUAAAAUACAUCAGUGAUCAUAACUUUUUUUGCAGAUGGCGUCUUGUUCUCUUGCAAAAGAUGUGAUCAGCAGAUCAGUUAUGCUGUUUUAUCACCUUAAUAUGCCAUCGAUUUUUCAUAUAUAAGGACUUGAAUUACUAAAAUAGUGCAUGCUUCUAAGGAUUAUGCUAUAAUUUAUUUAAUAUUUCCGACAAAAAUUUUAAUUUUCAUAAUGCAAGUUUCUUCAGUGAGGGCAUAAAUUAAAGUUCUCUUAUGUAUCAGCACCAAUUAAGCAUCACUGCAAUUACAAUAUAAAGAAGGUAUGAGGAAAACCCCAUAUGUAAUUGUAUAACUACAGGUUAAUUUAUAUGUUCUUUAUUUUUCCCAUUAUUUGUGCGGGAAAAAUUGUAAUGUUUUUCAUGUGUAAUGCCUUUGUAUUAGUGCUAAAGUUGAUAGUAAUCUUGUAUUCUUAUUUUAAAAAAUUAAACAAAUAUCUAUUUUUCACAAAAAUACAGAUCACUUGAAGAUUUGGAUUUAGUCAAAAUCCUGAUUUUUGAGAAAUUGAAUCAAAAUAAUUAAACACUAAACACAAGUUUCAAAUAAAGUGAAAAAAUUAAGGGUAAAUUACUUAUAAUCUCCCUAUAAUUUUAUAUAAUGCUAGAUGACCCCCCAAGAUUUCAAAAUAGCUACAUAACCCCCUUAUAUUUUUAUGUAAAGUGAAAAAUGGACAGAAUGCACAAUCAAUUACGGCAUUUAUAUCAAAUGCGCUCUAAAAGCGCGUGUGAUAAAAUAUUAAUUUUCGCGUUACCCGUUUAUGAUUGUAUAAAUAUUCACUUUACUCUCACUGUGAUUUUUGUAUUUGUCUGCAUAAUACUCCUAUAUUUUUAUACAAGGCAAUUAAGUCAUUCAUUGAUUAGCAUUUGGGUAAGAGCACUGUUGACAUUUUAAUUAACGAUGUUACAUAGGUUAACUUUCGUCAAAUUUUCACUUUAUAUAAAACUAUAAGGUGGUGAAGUGGAGAUUUUGAGAGUCAUGUGGUAAUAAAUGAAACUAUAGGGGUUAUAUGUAAUUCACUCAACAAUUAAGUAUCAUUCAUCAAAUUAUUUCCGGUUGAACUUUUCUUUUAUUUUUAAUUAUAUUUUUGGUUUUCAAUACCUUUUAAUCUCCAAAUCCUAAUGUCAAUGUUUUGUCAGAAGAUUAAAUUAAUGAUUUCGGGUGACAUAUCAAUUUUACUCUCUUGCAUAUUUCGGUUUUUUUCUUCUCGUGUUUCUGUCCACACCUAUUCCGGAUGAAAAAUACAAAAGAAAAGUUUAAAGUAAUUAUAUCUGGAAACGUCGUCCCGAUUUCUUACGUACUCCUUUACUGGCACACCUUUCUGGUCGAUGCAUUUACGGAAUUUAUUCAUAUUUUCUUUUCUUGGAUGGAGAAAAAAAUAAAAAAGGUAUACCAACUUGUUGGGGGAUUCGGUUAAUUCAUGCACGAUUGGCCCACUAGUAGGCCUGUCAUCGGGUCGGGUCUAGACCCGGAUCCGGACCGGAUCCGUGAAAUUAUUGCGGGUAUGGAUAGGGAUUUAAUUCCGUUUCCCGGAUCCGGAUCCGGAUCCAUUUUGUCAAACAAAAAAACGGGUCGGAUACGGAAUAUAGUAUUCCGACCUGUAUUAGACCCGGAUCCGGAUGUAAAUGAAUUAAUAAUUUAAAAAAUAUAUAUUUAUCAAUAUAAUUUGAUUAGGGUAAUGUAUUUGAAUAAAGUCAAUUUGAUUUCUUUUCUUAUUUGAUUUUUUCUUUGCAUUAGUUAGAAAUUAAUUUACAAAUAUAUUUUUUUCUCAUUUUUAUUAGAAAUUAUAAAUUUUGCUAAAUUUGUUCGGGUAGACCCGACCCGGAUCCAGGACCUGCCGGAUCCGGAUCCGGAACAUAGAAUAAAAGACCCGUCAGGUAAACGGGUCGAAUCCGGGUCCGGUAUAGUAAUUCGGGUCCGGGUCUGGAAUAAUGAAUUCCGGCCCGGACCCGACCGGUUGACAGCCCUACCCACUAGGCCUAGAUGCUUAAUGUAUUCAUAGAUCUAGACUUCACACUGUCAACUAGCAUUUCUGACUCAUUAUACCUCAAUAUGCCUAAUUCUGUCACCUUCUCCAAUUUUUGAUGUUAAAUUGAUACUAAAAUUCUUGGACAAAGUUAGAUUUCGGAUUGAAGACUCAUGGCACAAGAAAAAGAUUAGGCCAACCUUAACAAGUAAUGUUUUUGAUUGUUUAAUGAAACUUGUGAGUGUUUUGCCUUUGAUUGUGCUAACAAGACUUGUCCAGCCAGGAAACAAAUUGAAAUAAACCUUUCAAAAUUCAGAAUCUCCUCGAUUCCCAAAAAUUACAGGGCAUUUCUUCUUCGACCAUGAUCAGUGCAAAGGUGGGAUACUCUGCUCAUUCUUGAAGAAAUUAUAAGGAUCAACCUUGGUUUUCACUUCUGCCAGUCUAUCAAAAUUGUUCUUGAAAUAUGGAGCACCCCAGAUCCUUGCUUUUUCAACACUUGUUUUACCUUUAUUAUUCACCCCCAAAUCAAGGUCGCGAUUGUUAGCAUAGGCAGCUCUUGGAUUGUUAGGAACAUAUUUUCCAAUAACCUUGUAAAGCUUUUUGAUCCAAUCUAUACGCUGUUUAGACACCACUUCUUGAUUUGUUGCGUUCCACAAAACCUCUACAAAUAUGAGGUACAAAUUUCCUCUAUGUGGGAAUGGAGUUGCUGAUUCCGGUGUUGUAUCCAUUACACCUCCUCCAAAAUAACUCCAUUCCAUUAUUGCCAUAGAAGGAGGUAAUUCAUUAAGCUUUUCCAAUAUCUCUUCAAGCCCUUUUUCAGGGAUAGGCUCUUUGGCGAAAUCAGAUUUAUCUUUGGAAUAAAGUUUAGCUCGAGAGCCUCUCCUGGUCAAGAACUCUUUAACGUCACCAAUUGGUUGACCAUUGUGAAAGGCUAUAUAUUGGAUCCAAAGCAUUUCACUGCAGUCCUCUUUCUUCAACCCCAACUCGGGAAAUUGUUGGUUCAUGAUUGAAAAUAAUUCAUCAACUUUACCAAGGAAAACAGACACAAAUCUAACUUGCACAGUUCUCUUACCUGUUUGAUCGGAAUUGAUAUUGACAAAUUGGAGUGUGAUAGUAAGGUCCAGUGGUAACUUUGAGGCAAUAUAUUGCCACUUGUAUACAAGUUGGGUUGCAUUUUGUUCCAAGGUUCUGGUGAUGGAAAAUGCAGUAACUUUCUCUGGAAUUUCGACCAAUUUCAACUUGUAUCCAAGAAUGACUGCAAAACUUGCACCGCCUCCACCUCUUAUAGCCCAAAAGAGAUCCUCACCCAUGCUCUUUCUAGCGAGAACUUUUCCGUUUGCAUCAAUGAUCCGAGCAUCGAUGACAUUGUCCGCAGCAAGGCCAAAUUGCCUUGUCAAUGGACCAUACCCUCCGCCACUGAUGUGCCCACCAAUGCCAACAGUUGGACAUGUACCAGCCGGAAACCCCAGAGAGCUAUUGGCCUCGUGAAUGCUGUAGUAUAGUUCACCAAGGGUUGCUCCAGCUCCAACCCAGGCGGUUCGACUUUUAGCAUCUACCGAGGUUGAACGGAAGUUGGACAUGUCUAGGACAAAAAAUGGAACGUCAGAAAUGAAGGAUGUGCCCUCAAGGUCAUGGCCACCGCUUCGAAUUCUCAUCUGUAAGCGGUGCUUCUUAGAGCAAAAUAUUGCUGCUUGAAUCUGAUUUUCAGUCAAAGCUGUGAUAAUGACUCGGGGCUUAGGAAUUUCUGGUGAAAGGAAGCGCAAGUUUUGGAUGUAGGAGUCCAAGACCGACAUGAAAGAAGAGUUGUUUUGGGUGUAAAUUGCUUUUGAGAAAUCAGAGGGGCUAUCAGUAUAAUUUAAAAGGCAUUGAACAAAUUCUUCGUGGUGAGGAUGAGAUGCAGAAUCCCACCAGAUGGCAAUGAGAAGGAGGAAAGCAAAUUGAAGCACUGCUGAAUAGGAUAUUUUCAUCCUUUUUGGGUAAUAUGCAAUUUUGAAACAAUCAUGAUCAGUAGCUUAUUUAUAGGGUCUCUUGAAUGAUUUCACUUCAAUUAUUGUGUAGUAUUAAAAAUAAAAUUUAACCAAAAAAAAAAGGCAAGAAUGAAAAGUCGAUUCACUCCUAACUUGAUGGCUCCUCUCCUGUGUACAUUGGCAGAAAAUUUUAUGACAAUUAAAUGUCAACAUUUAUGGUUGAAACUUGAUUAUUUUCUUGUCACAGAAGAAAAAAGAAUAGUAAAUUGGGAAGUGGGGAUAUUAAUACUCCCUCCAUCUCAUAAAAUUUGUCAUUUUUGAAAGAACGUGCAAUUUAUGGAUAGUGAUAUUAGUAGGAAAGAGAACUUUUCUUUUUCUCUUAUAUUCUUAGUGACAGGCCAUCUUUUAUUUGAUGUAUUGAUAAUUAUGGGGACCAAGUAGUGGGUCAGUUAAUAAGUAAAGAUAAAAUUUCAUUGAAAAGGUUGAAUUGAUUUUUCUAAGAUAACAAUUAAUUUAGGACAAGAAAAAAUGGCAAACAUAGAACAAAUUUUAUGGGACAGAUGGAGUACUAUUUAUGUAGCCUCUAUUUGGCGAUGCGGUGCUUUUGUUAAAAACAUUUUCUUGGGUAGUAAGAACAUUUUUAAUAUGUUUGAUGAUCAUCAUAUUGCAAAGCUGAAGGUAGUGCUUUUUGGUCUCAAAAACACUUUUUAGCAUAAACUCAAAAUUGGAGUUCUCAAAUAAGCAAAGAGAAUUCAUAAGCACGAUGACUGAGACAGCUAUAGGCAAUUUUGCGUGCAUACGAAGUGCUACUAGCUAGUUGGCUAAUGCACAAGUAUAAUAGAUCAAAUUAUAUAGUAAUAUAUAUAUAUAUAUAUAUAUAUAUAUAUGCUAGUAGUUGGCUAAUUAAUUCAUUAGCAGCUCAAAUUAGCGGCUGAUAUCGAUUUGAUAGAUAAUUUCGACGAGUCAAAGAUGGCUGAUCCUUGCAUCCCAACUAACAAUACAAAAAGCUGCUCAACGUGUUUCAUGCAAAUUUUAUUACGUAAACAAUAUCAGGACUCUUUGCAGCUCAACGUCUUUCACUCUAAUUCAUUAAAUAAUAUUUCUAUUUGACACUAAAGUGCUAACGAUAUAAUUAGAGGUUUUUUUUUUAUGUAUUUUCUACUUUACAGAAAAUCAUAGAAGUUUAAGUGGAUAAUACUGAAUAUUAAUCGGGGACGGUGUGAUAAAACAUAAAACCACUAAAGGGGUAAACAGUAAUUAUAAUGAGAAAAUACAAUAGGCCAAUAGUAGUCAUGUUCAAUUCAAUAUAUGGGAUUUAAAUGUUCAAUUACGUUGUUGUACAUACUAAAUUCACCAUUAUUAAUACCUGAGGCAACCAAUGAUCAGCACCUUCCAGGCUUGUACAAAUUUUUAAUGUGAGAGAUAAGCUUUGUAGUAUUUAAUCCAUGGUUAAUGCCUUUAAGUUAACUUGAAACUGAUUGUGAAGCUAAUCACGUUGGUCCUCAGCGUCAAUGAUCAAACAAGCAGGCAGCAGGUUUUCACAAGCUGUAUUAAUGCAUUUGGGUUGUUUUCGUUUUAUUAUUUUAACUGAUUAUAGAUUUAAUAUUAGAUAAUUAUUUUUUUUGAUGUUGUCCAACCAACAAAAACACAAGGGGAAGAAUAAUCAUGACCCACAGUCAAAUUUUGCAGUAUCAAUUGGUCCAAGAACAUGCACCCUUGCUAUUUGCUAUAAUAACUCCUGAUGUUUUGGGGAAAAAAAAAAAGAAAUUAAGAAAAGAGUAUAGCAUGAUUCAAGAACAGCCAAUUAAGAGGUAUACCUCUGAGUUAGAUGAGAUUAUUGGCAGUCGUGAGCUGUUUUGCGGGACUUCUUGAACUUGAUCAUUUGAACAGGAAGAUAUGAUAAAUGAUAUUUUCCCCUAAUUUUAGGGAAUAUGACACAGUAGCAGAAGUGUGUAAAGUGAAGGGAUUAGAGGAACACCCUCCAUCCGAAUAAGUUAGAGGUGAUACACGAUCACUUUUGGGCAUUAUUAAAUAGAUUAACCAUGGGCAUUAUUAAUUUAUUCAUUUGUGGUCAAUUUUGUGAAAUGUUUCUCCUUGGUUUUUGGCCUGACAGUGCCCCUCCUUUUGGUUCUUUUCUAUUCCAAAAUGUGAGAGAUUGAUCUAACAUAAAAAUUUGACAAUUUCUUUUGUCAGAACAAAUAUGUAAAUCAAGAUGAAAGGAUAAAAGUAUAUUUGGAAGGGAUUGGAAUGGGUUGAAAAAUUAAAAACUCCAUUAAGUUAUAGAGGGUCCAUUAGGAUUUUGUGAUGUAAGAGUAUAUAAUUAAGGAUUUUAUAAAAGCAAAGAAAAACAUCUCCACAAAUGGAAGGUUGGUAGUGGCAGCACUCAUCAACCAAAAAAAAAAAAAAAAGAAUUGUGAAAUUGUUUAGAAAAUUGUGUUUAAUUGUCAUAUAUUUUUGCAAUUUCAUAUUGUUUCUCCCAUUAUAAAAAAAAUUCAUAUCUUUCAUAUCAUUCUUUUACAAAAUGAAGUCAGUAAAAUUUAGUUCCAAGUUAGGCUUUCAACCACUUAUUACCUUGAAUCUAUUACGUGAGUCACAUAUGAUCAUUUUUUUUAGGAGAAAAAAAAUUAGAUUCUAUUUGUAGUUAAAUAAAUAAUCCAAUCCAUAUUCAUUUUUAUCCCUAAAAAAUAGGAUUUAAUCCGAAUCAUAUUCAUUUUUCCUUCUAAGAAAGUAUAAUCGAAUCUAAUCCAUAUUCAUAUUUGGCACCAAAAAGUGGAAUUUGACCUUUUUUUUUUUUUUUACAUAAAAAAUAACUGCAUAUGGGCUAUGUAAUGAUUUCAAGUUGCAAAGUACUCAGAAACUUAUAUUCAGGUAUGAGUUUUUAUAAGUUGAAUUUGUUAUGGACAUAAAGUUAACAUUUUAAAAGUAAAUGACGAAAAAAUUGAUUCAAUGAAAUGUAAGAGAUGUUUUGAAUAAUUUUUUUUCAAGAAUAAAUACCAACUUGAGGAUUUAUUCAAACUCAUGAUUGUGCUUUAAAGCCCUGAUUCUCCCUCAAACUUUAUCAUUGCGUUUUUAAGCAUUGAGUCACUCCCAAACUUGAUCAUUUGUUAUAAAUUUUUUUUUUUUUGGCAUCAUAUGUUUGUUUGAUCACUGCCCUAAAACAAAAUUCUGGUUUUGUCUGUAGUUUGUGUAAACUUGCUCGAAGCUGAUAUAAAAAUAACCAAGAAAACUUGUUCGUGUAAAUUUACCCAUAUGCAGUUAUUUUUUUAUGUAAAAAAAAAAAGGGUCAUAUUCUAGUUUUUGGUGGCAAUUAUGAAUAUGAAUUAAAUUCGAUUUUACUUUCUUAGAAGGAAAAAUGAAUAUGAUUCGAAUCAAAUCUUAUUUUUUAGAGAUAAAAAUAAAUAUGGAUCGAAUCAUUUAUUUAACUACAAAUAGAAUCUAAUUUUUUUGCUCCUAACCAAACUCCAGUAGAUUCCGCAACAUUCUAUCUAGCCUAGCACGGGUUUGACAUCCGAACUCACUAGCUAGGCACACUUGACAUCUCUAUUCAACUUAAAGCAUCGUAGUUCCUAAAUUGCUCAUUCAACUUUUAGACUUUACUUUUUUUUUAAUCAGUUUUGAACUUGUGAAGUUAAAGGUCGUGGAUCAAUAAACGAGAGCGCUUUCAAUCAAAAUGACUGCUAAAACCUCUAAUGACACUGCGCUCAAUGUGCCAAGUCAGCAUUUGUACCACCGCUUUUGUUAGCCACAACACCAUCCGCCACCCUUUGUUUCAAUCAGCAGCAGAAAAAGAAGAGGAAGAAAGAAAAAAGAUAGAUAUCCCUGGCAUUGUAAUUGUAGAACUUCCACAGUUUAAUUAAUUGAUUUGUUGGAUUCCCAAAGUACGGAAAUUGCAAGUUUAGAAUCUCAGGUCCCAAUCAAAUUGCUAUUUUUAAAAUUUUUACAAAAAAAAUAUACCAUAAAAAAGUGAUUGAAAAAUUUAUUUGCAAAAAACGUAAAAAUUUUCCGUGAAAAACGGCAAUCCAUACAAUUAAUCCAAACAAACAAGUUCCAUUCCACCCAACCCCUACUCCUCUGAGUUCCUGCCUCUUGCCAUAUACAUACAACUUAAACACGACAAACUAGAGUUAUCUGCACAACUAAAGUAUAACAUGAAUUCAGUGCUUGGGUAUUUGUUGAUUGGUUCGUUUUUGUGUAAUUUUUUUGUCAACUCUGGUUCUAAAUCUAGAGGAGGGCAUCGGAAAUUGGAUGUGUUAAUCUUGAUGCUGAAAUCUAAACUGAUCGGUAUUUUGGGAGUUGUUGUUGCUAUUUCUAUGAUUAUUAAGCUUUGAUAUGGAUGCCUUCAACAUUAUUAUUUUGAAGAAUUACUUGCGCGCCUUGGGCGGAGUGGGUGUUCGGUGAUGAAUUUGUUGGGAUAUGCAUGAGGCAAUUGCUCAAAAAAAUCUCAAUCUUUUGGCUUCAAGAAAUCAAUUCUGACCUUCUUUUUAUUGUCAGAGGGUUUAAAUUGAAGAAAAAGGAAAAGAGUGGGGGGGGGGAGGAAAAAGAAUUUCCUGGGUCUGAUAAGCAGUGGCAAGUACUGAUUGAAAGAAAUUGGGUGACCGGUAUCUGCCAUUGCGGCGACGGGGAAGAUGACUAUUUCUCAAAAUCCACUUUUUGGUCAAUUUUUUUUGACCCACAAAGUACUCAACAAAUUACAUCUAACUCCAAAACUUAAUUUCUUUUAAUUUCAUCAUUCUAUAAAGGAAUGCUAACAUUGUUUCUUAUCGUAUAGUAAACCCAAAUAUCACAAAAAUAUACCCUUCUAUAAUUGUUUCUUAAUUUUUCAUAAUUUUAUUUUCAUUAAUUGAUAAUACUUUUCAUAAUUCUCAUAAAAUUUUUGUAUUUUAUUACUUUUUAACUACUAAAAGUCAAAAUUUGAUAAAAGCUUAAUCUGCAUCUUGUCUUACAAUGUUUUAACUUUUUAAACCACGGCUUCAAAUCAUUGAAAACAAGAGAUGCCUACCAAAAAAAAAAAAAAAAGUAGCCACCAACUAUAGGUGUAAAAGAAACAAAAAAAAUGUUGAUAGAACAUUAAUUUGCAGGCAACCACUUUGUCACCACCACCCAUGUCUUAAGGAUUCUUAAGCCUCUUAAGCCCUUGUCUUUUAAAUUUGAGAAAUUUGAGUAUGAAAAGGUAAUUGAAUGGAGUGUAAGUAUCCCGACAUAGUUGAAGAAUAACCAAAAAUUUAUAUUCAACUUUUUUUUUUUGAAUUUUAGAGUGAUAAUAAUAAUUCUCAUAAUUUUUUUUUGUCUACAUUGGGCAAACUCGUUUUGUAAUCAAACGAAAGAGAAUACGAUCUACCAAUUGAAAGUAAAAAUUUAACUAUCACAUCCAUUAAAUAUGGAUUAGGAUUUUAUUGAGAAUUAUUCAACAAGUAUAUUUGCUAUUGAAUGUGUAAAAGAUCAAGGUUAUAAUAAAAUCAAAAUGAUGAAUUAGUUGGUGCCAUUUAGUUAUAAGAUUGAUUUUUUUCUUUUCAUACUUAAGCAUGCAUAGUUAUUUCGAGAAAUGAAUAAUUGUGUGGUGUGAUAUUUGGAGUUUUUCUAAUUUGAGAUAUGAAUAUAUAUAUAUAUAUAUAUAUAUAUAUAUAUAUAUAUGUGUGUGUGUGUGUGUGUGUGUGCAGUAAAUAAAAUGUGUUAUUAUGCAUAAUGUAUAAUAAAAUAAUAAAAUAAAAGUAAGUUAUAUAUCAAUUUUUUUUAUACUCACAUUGGAUAAUAUUUGUAUAAUAAAGUAGUGAUUACCAUGUUAUUGAUAAGAACAUGAAUUUUCUUUUCUAGACUUCUAAACCUGUGAAUUUUAAAUAGUAGAUUUAGGACGGAAUUCGUUCAAAAUGGUAGUUAUUAUGGAAUAAAAUAAUUUAAAGUUAAAAAAUAUAGAUAUUUAGUGUGGAAUGGUCAAUUAGAAGCUUUAUAAUUGGUUUAGGUCAAACAACCAUAAAGAAUAUAUAUAGAUAUAAAUUGACGCAUGUGGAAUUGUCAAUAAUUGUGAGAUUGAUAUUGUUUAUUGCAUAUUGUACUUAACAAAAUUAGCCACCAUUAUAUAGUUAAUUAUCUUGUCAAAAAAAGUAUAAAUGUAUGAUGUUGCAUAUCAAACUUGAAUUUAGCAGAUAAAAGAUAUAAUUUAUUUUACAGUUUCUUAACUAAUUUCUUCUUUAAGAGUGGAAAGAUAACACUAAGCUGACACGAUUAAACCAAUACGAUUUACUUCAUCUCCCUUGAAGCAACCUCACUUGAAAUUAGUAUGUAAUCAUGAGAUUGAUGUUGUUUAUGGUAAUUGCAAUCAGUAAAAUUAGCAGAAAGAAUUUAGUUAAUUAUCUUUGUGAAAAAUAGGUAAUAGAAUUCUAUAUUACAUCAAAGUUGAGAUAGUAAGUUUUGAUGAGUAUAAUUUUCGUAAAACACAACAAGGGAUAUGAGAGUGUAAAAUGUACUCCAAGUUGGGACAAGAUGCAAUUGGGACAAUGAUGAAAAAAGAUAUUCAAAUAAUGUUUGAAUAUUAGCUUUUAUGAGAUUAAGUCCUAUAAACUUAAUUUCAGUUACUUAUACGUUGGUAAGAUUUAAUCUAUCUAGAUUAAUGUCUCAGAGUAUUAAAUUAAUUAGUUAAAUUUUUAUACAUAAUGUCAUGCUUAGUUAUCCCGACUCUAGCUGCAUUCUAACCCUGGUCAUUGAUAGCUUCUCCACCAACCACUUCCAAGCAGAUUAUUAGCCCCACUCCUCAACUAAUUUUAUUUAACCAUAAUAUUACUUAAUGACACCUCAAAUUUUUUUACAAAAGCUAUCUCUUUGACAUGGAUUUAUUAUCUCCCAAUCGACAUAUAGUGUGCACAAAUAUAUACCAGACAUUAUUUUAUGUGUAUAUUUACACAUUUGAUGUAAUAAUAUUUCAAAAUUAGACCAUUUUUAAAUGUAUUGUUGCUCCAUAUUUUAUUUUGGAAAGCCGUCGGUAGUUUUCCUUGUCUAACUUGCUAUCAAACCGCCUUGGACCAAGUCUCAUCCGUGCAUAUCCAUGCAUGAAUACUACACCGUUUAGGACUUUAAUUCCAAUUAGAUAGGCAAAUGUAUGAAACGGUGCCAUCCUAUUAAGGGUGCGUUUGAUAAAUCUAAAAUUUGAAAAAUAAAAUUUGAAAUAUGAAUCCAUUAACUUAUUAAAUUGUUAAGUAUUAAAUCUAAUACAUUUGAAUCUAUGUCACAUUCAGUGAUAAGUGAACAGCUUAUCACUUUUUUUCCGGAGUAAGUUUUGCCUAGAAAAUUCAGUACCACUUAAUUAAUUCCAAUGUUCAAUUUUUGGCUAUCAAACAAGUCUGAAUAUGUUAAGAUCUGAAUCCAUAAAAUUUAAUUGCUGAAUGAUUAAGAGCAUAAUUUUGUUAGAUGGUUAAGAGCAUAGAGGCUAUUGAAAUUCAUUUUAUUUAUUGUCUCAUCCUUCUUUUCCCUCACUUUCUUCUUCACUAUUCUUUCAUUCUUCUUCCUAUUUGAGCCUUUCUUCCCUAACUCUUCCUCUUUUCAUCCGAUAAAAUUCUAUUAUAAUCUGUAAAAGCCUCAUACUCUCUCUAUUAAUAGUAGAAGUCACCUUUCUACUGGCCUCCGCACCAUCAUUUCCUCUCUUCCUUUCUUCUUGAUAACAUGAAGAAGAAGGUGACUGACACUGCUGUGUGGAAAUCCAUUCACUCUCUCCCCUCUCUGCAAGAUGAAAAAAGGAGGUUGGAGAUCGUGGUUGAGGACUCCAAAUGCUGCCUGCAUCAAGAACUUAACAAACUCCUUCCCUCUUGGCAGCUGCUCAUUGUUUCCACAUCUCAAUUCAACGCAAUCCAAGAUCUUGCGAUUCUGAACUUUAGAGGAACUCUUGUUUUCUAUACUAGACAUGGUCUGACCGAGAAGGAGUUGAACUACAGAGCAGUCGACCUAGGUCUCAUAUCAGAGACUGUCCGUCUUCACUACCAUCGGCGUCAGUAGCAUCUAAUGGCAAUAAUGAAAUGUGUCUGGGGCAUGAUUCUUAGGCGUUUUCUAUUCUAUUUUCACUCGGUCCAUCAAGCUACGAGGACUCUGGCAACUAGCAACCACAGCAACACUACGGCAAGUAGUCAUCCGAGCAGUUGCUAGAAAGUGCAGGCGUCGAUAUUGAUUCUACUGUCGAGGGGUAUAUAUCUUUUUAACUUAUUGUUAGGCUUCUUACGAUUUUCUUGUUUCUUUAAAAUGUAUAUGUAGAAAUUUUGAAGUUCUUGAUUCGGGAUAUUAGGGUUUUGAUCCUCUUGGCUUCUUCCUCUGCUUGGGUUAAUUUUAGUGGAAUCUUCAAUUUUUGAGUUGAUUUUUGGUGUCUAAAUUAGUGAAUGUCUGACCCAAUUUGAUUCCUAACAUGGGCUUUUGGGAAAAGAAAUAAAAUGUAUGAUAUACUUUUAAAUAUUUUUUUUGCUCUGUGUGACUAUUGUGCAAUUUGGGCCAAAAAUGAAAGAUAUAGCAAAUUGUUGUGCCUUCUUUGUUCAACAAAUUGCCUUCGUGUCCAAUUACAAACUUUUGCUCAUCCUUUAAAGAUAAAUAGCAGACUACUAGCCUAAUGUACUGAAAUACUAUGCAAAAUCUAUCCUUAUUAUACAACUACUUCUAUCCCUAUCGUACACAAAUACAAAACAAAGUAAUUCUAUCCUAAUAAAGAUAAUAAAUAAAUUGAGAAUAUAUACAAAGAUAAAUAACAGACUACUAGCCUACGUAUUGGAAUACUACACUAAUUUUAUCCCUAUUAUAGAACUAAUUCUAUCCAUAUUGUAUAUGAAUACAAAACAAACGAAUAAUACUAUGCUCACGUUUACGGUACGAUAUUAGCAUAUUUGUAGCCUAACGUAUAUAAUAUUAUGCUAAUUCUAUCCUUAUCGUACAACUAAUUCUAUGUCUGUUGUAUAGGAAUACAAAACAAACUAAUUAUAUCCUAAGAAUACAGUGGGAGUAUAUCUAUCAUUAUCAUACAACUAAUUCUAUCCCUAACAUAUAAAAAUACAAAACAAACUAGUUCUAUUCCAAUCGUAUAGGAAUACAGUAGGAAUAACAAAUAUAUAGAACAAUUUUAUGGAGUGCAAUCAAUAACACAGCAAAAUUGAUGACGGGCUCUAAUUGCUUAUCCUUUUAUUGUUUUAUCAAUUCCAAGUGAAAUAUAAAGCAAUAAAGGAUUUAGCUUUUUUAAAACCAUAGAAACCAUUAAUAUUGAGCUUUUAACAUCCAUUAAAGUAUAAUAUCUCAAAAAUGGCCAUAGGGUUGUGGAAAACAACUUAGUACUAGUAAACAUUAUACCCCAAGUACGGGUAUGCAAAUAAAAAAUUUCUGAUUUUUUGAAUGAAUUCGAUUUGAAUUCGGAAAUUUGAAAACAAAAAUUUGAAAAAAGGAAAGGAAUUCAGAGUUUUCGUGUUUUCGUGUUUGAAAAUGGCGAAAUGGGUUCAAAUUCGGGGCUAUGAUUCUUAAAAACAAAAAUUCCUAUUUUGAAUUCACAAAUCAAAAUUAGAAUUUGGUUAUCUAAUUCGAUUUCAAUUUCAUAUAUAUAAUAAUAUAUAAUAUAUGUAAGUCAUUAUAUUAUAUAAUGAUAAUAAUAAUAGUAUAAUACCUAAAACUAACUAAUCUAGAUCAUUAUAAUAAAUGUAAGUUAUUAUAUUAUAUAAUAAUAAUAAUAAUAAUAAUAGUAUAAUGGCUAAACUUUUCAAGUUUGGAUGAGGUUGGAGACCUUCCAUGACACUAUUGAUAUUGUUGUUGUCACAAUCUCCUUUCGUGCCAUCCCAUGAAAGUUUUAAACCUCGAAUGCCUGAUUUUUCGGACAACUUUGCUUUUGCUGAGGAUUCAAAGCUGCUCACAUUCUCAAGUUCAAAUAUUCCUAACUCGCCUUGAAGGUUGCACAAGUGUUCCAACUCCUCAAGUUGACAUCCCUUGUCUUGGCUUACCACGAAGUGGGGCAACGUCCGAAGAUUAGACAACUGCCCAAUUCCCGGGAAUAAACAUCGGUCCAAAUGAAUCUCCAAAAACUCGAGAUGCCUCAAGUUAAUUAAAUUGCUGAACUUCUUAGGUAUCUCUGUCAAGUAACCUACUUUCAAGGUCAUCAAAUUGUAGAGCUUUGUGAUGGAAUCUGGCAGAGCAGUGAUACCAGUUCGUCUGAUAUCAAGAUGUCUUGAAUGUUUCAUAUCACCCACUGCAUUCGGGAGAUGAGUAACAUCCCAGCAGUCUACUAUUAACACACAAAGGUAUCUAGACCUUUCCAAGAUGUCUUCGAGCAUAAUACCAUCACCCCCAAGAUAAUAAAGCGUUGGAGAUUAAUCUAGAUUAAUUUUUUUUUAAAAUAAAUGCCAAACCAGUUUUUUUAAUAAAUUCUGUGAAUUCGGUAAAAUAUCGAAUUCCAAAUUGAAUUCGGAGCAAAUUUGAAUUCGAAAGUUUUGAAUUCAAAAUCAAAAUGGAUUGAAAUUUAUUAGGUUCAAUUUACCGAAUUUUCUAAAUUCAAAUUUUUGAAUUACUGAUUUCAAAUUUGAUGCACGCCCCUGACACCAAGCGUGGGUAGCCUAGCCGGACUCCCUUCUCGAAAGCUCGACGAGCCCCUCAUGUGUGACUUAGCAUCACACGAACCGACUACUUUCUUGCCGACCCAUUUACCCAAAUGAGGUUAUGGAGCACUCAAACCGACCUCAUGUACAUCAUCCCGAAAGACUAUGAUGUGGCUGUUAGGCUCCGCUUUUCAUUCAUUAACAGUCCGUAUUAGCUUUGACAGCGUUGAUUAUUUUCCAAUUGUGAUAUCAGGUUUGGUCUCCUCUUUCUCUCUCUUACAAAUUACUAUAAAUAUCCCUCACACUUCCCAAAGAAUACACAUUGGUCAUUACUUUGUUGGGCCGAACCAGUAACCGUCCGUAGUCGAAGUCCAUGUUGAAGAAUAGACGAAAAGCACAGGCCCCUGACUCUAAGGCUUUUUUCGAGGCCUUUAAGAGAAAACCCUCGUAGGCUACGUUUAUAGAAGAAAAGCCCGGAGUUGGUUAAGGGUGGAAUUACAUCAAAACAAAAGAAUAUUCUUCAAUUCGAUUAAGCACCCACACCAAGAAUAGAAAAAUAUCUUAACAUCUUGCUGACCAUGACAUAUAAUUUGUUGCAUGCCAUUGUCAUAAACCUUUUAUGGAUUUUAAAUUGCGAACUAAACUCAUUUUUAUGGAAUAAAAAAUCACAAAACUAGAUCCAAGUUAAAUCAUUGGAGUAUCUAUUUUCAUCUUUCAAUGUUCACCAUUAAAUCAUUAAGUAUGUUAUAUAUAUAUGUUGCUUGUAAAUCUUUUUUUUUUUUUGUACUUCUAUAGAAAGAAGAAAAUUAUACUCUUUUAAGCUAACGUUUACCGCAGUUAUAAGUUGUGAUUAGACUAUUGGAAAAAAGGAAGAAGAAAAGAAGUUAGUUUUGUACCUUUUACUGUAAAAUCCUUAUUGUAAGAUUGUACUGGAUAUUCCGCAAAUUCUAUAUGAAAUCUGCUGCAAUUUUGUGCUUCAUCAAAUGACUGAAGUAAGCCUUUAGUCAGAUUUCCAGUUGGCCAGAGAAAAAUUUUCCGUUGAUUGAACUAAAAGUGGGACAUUCCAUUUAUUGAACAUCAAUGACUGGAACGAAUAUAGUUGGAUGUUAGGAUUUUAUUUCGAACCCACAAAUUUCAAACAUUUGGGCCAUUACUUGUCAAACUCACAUGCAAAUGUCUACUGUUUUUCGUUUCCCAUCGUGGAGAUUUUAAGCAUUUGUCAACGUCGAAUUUCGGCAGGUAGCUAAAUGCACAAUCCUACCUUUUAUUAAACGGUCAAAGUUCAAGCAUAAUAUUAGUCUUGUUUGGAACCCAAGUUUUUUGCCAAGUUUAUCUGUUACAAGUUUUUUAAAAAACUUCUACAGUAAAUUACAGUAAAGUUUUAGACAAACUCCUAAAAAACUCAGGUGAACCCGACGAACUAAAAGUACACAGGUGGACCUGACAUUCUAUGGAAUAAAUGAAGCAAAUACCAAAUAAAAUACGUGAAAAGAAAUUAUCUCAAUUCUACCUAAAUCAACACAAGAAAAAGAAAAAGACGCCCACAAAUAUCAGCAAUUUUCCUGUACAUUUUCAAUGCAUAAUUACCAGGAAUUAUAACACGCUCACAAGAAAUGACUUUUUUUGAAGAUCACAGGAAAUGACUUAAUGCACCUCCUAUUGACUUUGUCUUACAUUCAACAAACAACAACUGAUGUACUAUAGCAGAAAGAUAUUAGGCAUAGCUUCUUGACUUGUGAUAUUGAAAGCUUUACUAUAAAAAUGUUAAGAGUAGACUAGGAUUAGACAGUCGACGGAGGCUCCAAGAGAGGGUGGAAAUUGAUGCUUUUAGCACUGGAAAUUGAUUAAUUUACCAUGACUAUCAGGCCGGCUUAGACCAUAAAUUCUCAUAGUCUUUGUUCCUUGGUCACUUCUAGCAUAAUGCCCGGAACCGGACGGCAAGUAAGUAAUGAUUACUUGUCUUAAUUAUUUUCCUAAUUCUACUUUUGAAUAGUAUCCCUUCUCAUGUUUUUUAUCUUUUAUUUUUUCUUUCCAUACAAAUGGUAAAUUUUUGCCCAAUUGUUUUUUUUGGGGUUAGAAUUUGGCUGCAGGUAGAGCUUGAAAGAUGCCAAGUCCAAGUACUAUGAUGGACAAUUAUAUUCCAGAGUUAACAACACAUUUACCAUUUCUGAGCACUCGACAAAUAUUAUUGAAUUUAGGCUCUCUGAAUAAUUUAAACAGUAGUUUGGGCAUAGGAUUCAAAUUAAUUAGUAACAACACAUAGUAUAAGUAAAAUCGUUAAUACCCCCAAAAUUAAAAAUCCAAUUUGUUAAUACCCCAAAAGAAAAAAAAAUCCAAUUAGCAUCUCCUGUUGUCCCUUCCCUUCCAAUGGUUUUAAUGAUUUUUGAUGGUGUAUAUAUUGUUAAUAUAUAUAAGAUUUACUUUAAUUAUAUAUAUAUAAUAAUACGAUUAUGUUCUCUUACUCAUGACUAAUAAAUAUGCUGAUGAAGACUGCAGAUUGAUUUUGGUAUAUCCGAAUAAAUUAGAAUAACUACAUGGGCUAAGCUCAUCUAGGAAAUAUAUUAACUUCCAGGAGAAUUCUUGCAGAUCUGCAUUUGAUAUCAAUUAUUUCACUAUAAUUUUGAUAAGUUGCUUGCGAGGUCUCCUCGAAGGCAAAAAAACUCCAUUUGAUCCAAAAACAGCUGCAGAAAAUUCACCAUUUGAUGUGACAUAACACUGGGGUAGGAAUAUACUCUUGAGGUGCUGAAAAGUAACUUGCACAUUGCUUCCACUCGCUUUCCUCGUCAAGUCAUUUUCCUUCAUGCCUAUCAUAAAGUACCCAAGGGGAUAUAUAUGUUAUAAACCUAAAAAAAAAAAAAAAAAAAACCUCAAACAUAGAAUAUCACAAUAAAUUUGAGUGAUAACAUAACAAACAAGAAUCUAAGAUGUCAAAAAGUCUAGAUUCUUGAUAUUAUAUCCAAGCCAAGAUAAUUAUUUAUUAUGAGUGUCUAGAAGAUUUGAAUUUUGUCUACAACAAAAAAAAAAAAAAAAAAAAAUUCCAAGGGUUGUGUUAUUUUCAAAAGUUGAGGUAAGUAGUAGAUUAUUCAACGCAUUCAGAACAUAGACAAAAAUCUUCAAAGGAUUUGGAUUCAAGCAGCUGAACCUGAAGGAUUCUGGAACCUUGAAAAUCAAAGCUAAGAUGAAUUUAAGAUCUAUCCAGCUGACAACACGUAUUAAUUGAAGGAGCAUUUAAGAUCUAAUUAAUCCAAAUACUUAAUAGGCCAAAUUGGCUCUGCAUAAUUGCUCUGUGUAAUUAAGUGAUUGAAGUCCACAUUUUAAAGAAGGCAAAUUGAAGUUAACCUAAAGGAAUGAAUGGUCAAGGCAAGAAGAGGAGACAGAUCAAAAGCUUACCAAAAUGCAAGGGGAGGAAGAUGGUGUGCAAGUACUGCAAAAACUGGACUUCUGGAGUUGCCUUUUAACCUCAUUAUGCUUCUUUCUCUCCCACCUGAAUCUUGAGCCAAUGAAGAGUGAGGCAUCAAUAGCUGAUGGUAGAUUCAAUUGCUUGGCACCACCCUCUAAGCAUUUAGAAUUCUCCACUGAUAAUGCAGUAUUCCAAGAGAUUGUCAAGGUCUUCCCCAAGUGCAGAACAAGAUUCAGCUUCUUUAGAUUCGGAUUGUUGCUGCAGUUCAAAUUUGUCAAACCAUAGCAACCUAUCAGAGUUAAAUCUUCAAGUGAUGGACAGCCAAGUAAGAUCUUCUCCAUCAUGUUAUCAUUCAACUCAAUAUCCUUCAAGGACAAGAUCUUGACCGAUUUCAAACUAAUCUCUCCCUGCAAUUCGAUAUUGCAAGCGGCCAACCUUAGUUCCAUCAAGUGAUCACUUCUGAAAACAACAUCAGGGACAGAGUAAUCUUCAACCAGCUCAAUGAAACCACACCCCAGUAAAUCAAGAUCAAGAACUUUCACUUUCUUGCUUGCUGCAAAACGAACUAGCGAAUCGAUUUCAUUAGAAGUACUUUUCAGCCAUUGAUCUUCAAGAAUACUGUCAUAACCCUUGUGGAAAGCGAACUUUAGACGCAGUUUCUCCAGGGUUCUGCUCUCAUUGAAUUUCACUACUUGAUGGAUCAAGUUCAUGAGCUUUUGAUUGCAAUAAGGACCGUUGUAGCAGGAAUGGUUCAGGCACUGAUCAAAAUCAAGAAUUCGAAUACUGCGCCACAGGUUUCCAAAUCUUCGAAUCAGGACCGUCUUUACAGCAUCCUCUAACGGUAGGAAGGAAAGUAUAUGCAGCAAAAUCUCAUCAGGCAAGCCACUCAACAAAUCUUGCUGAUCUUCUGAUUUCUUCAGCUUCUCAAAUCUACUACAAGUUGCAGUACCCUCAUCUUCAUCAUCAUUCUUGAAGUCCAUUUUAGCAGCUUGGAAGAAGCUGAAAUUAAAACAGGCAGAAGGGAUCGAAUUGCAAGAAACGUACAUAGAAUAUCACACAAACACGACGAUCAGGAGUGACUUGAAAAAGUACGCAACGGUUAAGAGUAAGACAUCGAUUUUAAGAAACAAAAUUGGAGUGUUUGGACAUUUGCAAACAUUCUUAACCAAGUCCGAGGAACUGAUUUGGGGCAGCUGCCAAGGCCACGAGACUAAAGGCUAUAAGUCCAUUUGGACCCUAAUGCCAGCUCAAGAUCCUAUCAACAUCGGAGAGGAAAGAUAUCCUGUCUCUGUCGGAAAAAGACAGAACAAGACUCAAUUUGCUUAUACGUUUCUGCCCUCCAAUAAAUUUUGCCAAGCAUGGAGCCAUGGACCACCAUUCACUACAAAUUGCCUAAAGAUAAUAGAAAAUUCAUCACAAAGGAAUUCGAUUGGCUGGAUGAGAUGGUUUUCUUUUUCCUUUUUGUUUUCUUGGUCAAAUUUGUCCCAGCAUUGGUACCCCCACCUGACUAAUAGAUGAAUUAAGCGGCAAAAUCACAAUAGUUAAAUGAUACAUAAGAAAGUUCAAUUGUUAAUAAAAACGUGUUUACUGAGUUGUACAUUUUUAAUUGUUAAUAAUAGCAUGCAUAUACAGGAAUUGUCAAUGCUUUCUUUAAUGAUGCAUUUUUAUUGGAUCGUUCUCUCUUCUUAGUUACGAACUGAUUUCCACUUUUCCUUUGGUAAUUAAGGAGGUUGACUUUUCUUAGUUUUUUUUUCUAUUGAGUGGGCCAAGACAUUUUCCCAAAGAAUAAAUAUCACAAAUUGUGAUUAAACUACUUAGAAUUCGCUAUAUUGGCUUGUAAAUAAUUUAUUUAGCCAAAACUGUCAUUCAACUAAUUGUAAAUAUAUAUUUUAUAAUCGAAAAGUAAAUGUUUCAUUAGUUCAAUGACCACAAAAUGAAAGCUUUUAUUAGUUGAAUGAUAAAAAAAUAUAUUACUUACUAGUUGAAUGCUUAUUUUGACUGAAUAAAAAAGUUUAAUGACAAAAAAUAAAUGUUAAAUAGUUCAGUAACUAUUUUUGCUCUUUAUUCUUUUCAAAUCUAAGAAACUUUCACUUCAAAUUUUUUUUCUUGAUUAAGAGAUUUAAUAAAAUUCUGCUGUCAAUCGGAAUUAGAUCACUAAUAUCUAAUACCAUCUUGUUUUCGUUUCUCACACCUUUUUUCUUGUGAAUCCCUCUGUAAGGACAUAAGGAAGAGAUGGCCUCUUUAAUUUAUGGUAAACAAAAGUUUUUCCAUCAUUUUUAGUGCAAAGAAAAAUAAAAAUAAAUAACUGGAUAUAUAUAUCUGUGUGUGUUUGUUAUUAGUUGUUCCCAGAAAAAUGUACUUUGGUUGUCUAUUAAAAAUGUUCAAGGUGUAAAUAUAUUCUAAAUAGUACACCUUAAAAUAGGCUCUGUCGAUUUUUUAAUUAAUUCAUAAUUGUCAAACAGUAGAAGGAGAAUGCGGAAAUUUAUGAGUUUCUAGAAUCUAAACAAGGAAGAAAUAAAACUAGGAAAAAUUAGAAGUAGCACAUUAUUUUGUAUACCUGGUGAGGGGAAAAUGGAAAAUGGGUAGUCCGAUCCAAGGGAAGCUAAAAGUGGGAACCAGUUCAUACUGAUGGCUGUAAUUGAACGUGCUUUUAUUGUUUUAUAAAUUCCAAGAGAGAUAUACCUUUUUCCAGAAUCAUGGGAUCCAUUAUAAUUGAGCUUUUGACAUAUAUUAAAGUAUACAAUUCAAAGAUUGCAAUAAUGUUCAGACAAACAACAUAACAUUAAUAAGCAUUAUAUCCCCACAAAGAAUAUAAAAGAUCCCAAAUUCAAAGAUUGCAAUAAUGUUGAGACAAACAACAUAAUAUCAAUAAACAUUAUAUCCCACAAAGAAUAGAAAUGAUCCAAAAUCUUCAUGUGCUGAUCAGGACACAUAAUUCGUUGUCAUUGUCAUAAAACUUUGGAUUAAUCUUUCAUAUAUUAACAGUGUAUACACCGUCGAUUUUAGAUGAAUGAUAAUUAUAUAAAAAUUAAAUUUAAAAUCUAAUUUUUACACAUGUAUCAUUGAUCUAAUGGUGAUAAUAUAUACAUUGUCAGUUAGUGUGCAUAAGAUUUACUCGAAAACUUUUUGGAUUUAAAUUUGCGAACGAUAUGUGCCAUAAAAGAACACAAAAACUAGAUCCAAUUAAUUUAGGCCUGUCCUUUUGUUGUUCUCACCACAUGGGAAACAAAUUUUGCCCAUGCUAUUUGUGCCAAAAAUUGAAAGAUAUAGUAAAUAGCUGUGCAUUUUUUGUUCAACAAGUUGCCUUCUUGACCAAUUACAAACUCUUGCUCAUGUUUUAAAGAGUUAAAAAACUUCAUUCUGUCCCAAAUUGAGCUAAUGCUCAAAGUUUGAUUAUAAUUUGACGGAACAAGAAAUCAAGUUUACCCCUUUUCAACACAAGUAGAUAACGUGCGAACACCAUUCGGCCAAAAGUUUCGUCGUCCUCUCACGUGCCGCGCAUGUGGUUGAGAGCGCUAUGUUGUUCGCGCAUUGCGCGCCGGGUUAUCAUCUUCUCCUAUGCCCGUAUCCCAUGUGCCUCCUGCUGCGUUGUCUGCCACGUUGAUAAACUUGCUUCUCUAUCUGGCAGUAUCACAUGCCCCUUCUUCCCCCUGCCCUCUCUCUGUCCUUCUUUUGGGCAAUGUUGCUCUCUUGCUUAUCCGGAUGUUUAAAGCCCUGGUACAGGAACCUGUUGAGACAUCGAGCCUCAGUCUCUCGCGUUCUCAUCCUCACCGCGCAGUGGUCCAGACGUUUGGUUCUCCUCCUCUUCCUCCGUUGUGAGUUUUCUUCUUCUUCUUUUUCUUCCUUUCCGGUGAGCUGCAGACUUUGCUGUUGGUUUUCUGCGUGAUCUUUAGCCUGAAACUGAUGUUUACAGGAACCUGUUGAGACAUCGAGCCUCGGUCCCUCGCGUUCUCAUCCUCACCAUGCAGUGGUCCAGACGUUUGGUUCUCCUCCUCUUCCUCCGUUGUGAGUUUUCUUCUUCUUCCUUUUCUUCCUUUCCAGUGAGCUGCAGACUUUGCUGUUGGUUUUCUGCAUGAUCUUUAGCCUGAAACUGAUGUUUUUUUCUUUGUUCUUUGUUCCCCUUCUCGAGCCACGCCACGACCAUCGAACCUCUGUCCCUCGCGUUCUCUGGGUUUCAGUGUUCUAGAUCAGCUGCCGUCAGUUCGGUUCUCCUCCUCCUCCUCCGUUGUAAGUUUCCUUGUUCUUCCUUUACGGUGAGGUGCGGUCUUCGCUGUUAGUUUCCCCUCUAAGUUUUUUUUUUUGUUCUUUUCCUUUGUUUCCCUUUUCAAGUGGCUCCUAUUUUUCUUUCAGGAGAGGUACGAUCUUGCCGUUCAUUUGGUUCGCCUCCUUCUUGUUCAUGGUACGUUUUCACCUUCCUUUUUCAUGGUACGUUUUCACCUUCCUUUCCACUGAGGAACGUGCUUCGUUGUGACUUUUCUAUGCAUGUUUUAGCCUACCGUUGAUAUUUUCGUCCUUUGCUACUUCCCUCAGCCCUUUUUCCCUCCCCUUCCGUAGCCCUUCUGUUUUUUCCUAUCGGGUGUGGUGUGAUCUUGCCCUUUUUUGGUUGUUUUUUUUUAUUGUUGCUCUCCACGUUGCGCUGCUUUUUGUUUGGUUGUUCCGGUGUCUGGUCUACAUGGGUUUGAUUUUGGUCUGCGUUCCUGGAAGCUCCAGUUGUUCUGCCUUUCAAACUCGAAAACAUGUACAUCAUGCGUAGUUAUGCGUUUUGUCAUGUGGUGUUUUUUGGUCUCUAGCCUGUUUCGAUUUUUUCUUCUUCUUCCUUCUCGUCCCCCGCCCUUUGAUAUUUACCUUGUUCUCCAAAAAAAAAAGGUUGUUCCAAAAAAAAAAAAACUCUUUUGUGCUUUGUUCUUAUUCUCUGUUCUUGUUAUGUUGCUGUUUAGUCCAAUCCUUACACCUAGGAAUUUGCUUCUUUAGAUAAGUUUUGACUCAUGCAUUUAAUUUGUUUUUUUGCCUAUCUCUGGAUAUUAUGUUUUGCAUGCCUUUUUUUUUUGCGUUGCUCAUCUUUUGUUCGUUCCAAAGCAUUUCCCUUUUAUUUUUUUCGUGUUACGCAUUCGGCCUCUAAAGCUCUUAAUCACGCUUGUAGCAUUGACUUCUCCCACGGUUCCGAGCCUGUCUUUCUUUUUAUUUUUUUAGCUGGUCAUGGAGCAAAAAUUUUCUUUUUUCAUACGCUUUCUGUCUGGAUGGACUAUGACUGUCAAGAAAAUAACAUUAUCGAGUUCUGUUGGUGCUGGUUUCAAGCAAUCAUCUUUUCUUUCCAAAUACAUUGCAGAUCUGUUCAAAAUUUUCUUAUUUUUUCAGCACUUUCUAUCGUCGACAUUUUUUUUCUUUCUUUUUAUUAGACUUGAUAUAACUAAAAUCAUCUAUUUCUGUUUUAUCUAUGCUAUUCUCCAUAUUGUUGUUAAUUCUUACAGUGAGCAAUUUUUACAGUUUUUGAAUCGCGUGAUUUUUCUCCUCUUGUGGAAUAUUUAGAUUGAUAUUAUGCUUAUUGUUUAAUUUGCUUUUUUAAUACGUGUGUUUUUCUUUUUAGAAAAUUUUUGGUGCUUUUGUUGUGCUACGUUCUCCUUCACUGAGUAAGUUCGCUAAUUUUUUUUAUGUAUGUAUUCUUAUCUUUUUAAUUCCUUGAGAUCUGUUUUAGUUAGAUUGAUGAUUGUAGGACUUGUAAAAUGCUUUUAGAAGUAAUUUAUACAUGUUUGUGAAUAAAUGUGUCUAUUCAUGAGCAAUUUUCUCUUCAUUUUUCCUUGGAUUUGAAUAUUUCUUCAUGUUUCCUUUUGUUUCUUGUUAGGUUUUUACAAAGAUGGAUGGUGAUUUUUUUGGAAAAGGGUGUAGCUCCAUGGCUGGAGUAUUACGGCAGAUGAAAGUUGUAAACAGGCUAAUUUAUUUUGUUCUCAGUUAGGCUAUGAUGAUAUGGUUUUUGUUUCAUUAGGUGUAUUUCAGGCUUUAAAUUGAUUGCCGUAUCUUGGCGAGGCAACCCUGAUUGCAUUUGAGGUUCAUUCUUCCCUUCAAAUGCAAUUGGGUCUGCAGCCAUGGCGGUACUCUCAUCUCUGCCUGACUUUUACUAACAAACCUAAGCCUUACUUUAAGCUACCAUAUAGUGUGUUUGGAUUGCUAAAAUCUGAAUGUAUUACUGAUAAUGCGCCGUAGGAUGUUUGGGCAGGUUAAAUAUUCCAGCAAAUGUACUCACACCUGAUUUUUUUUCCCAAGUCUUGUCACGUAAGCAUUUUUUAGUACUUUACCUCAACUUACAUAAUGGAUGAACGGCUCAAGAUUACUUCCCGUUGUUUUUGUCCCUUUGUGUAUGCACGUUAUGCCACAGUGCAAGUCACACAAAGCUGCAGGACGCUUUACUCUUUACGAAUCAACCACCCGACCUGCUGAACAUUUACAAAUCUAAAUUAAUGUCGUCUCUCUCCACUGAAUAGCCAUAGCCAUUUAACACAUCUGCAUCUGAAGUACCUUUCGAAGCCGUCGGCAAGCGCAUGGUAUAGGACGAAGAGUUGAUUUCUUCAAUUCAAGGCAAAGCACUGAUCAGUUAACUUGUCUUGAGCCUUCAUCGACGGAUAAUUUGCUAAUUCAACGAAGGAAAAAAGGGUUUUGGCAGACAAAUUCCAGCUAAAUCCAAGGUAUUUCCUCAAUCUUUCACUUUUAUUUUCUCCGCGGGUCAAGAAGCCUUCCCUUUCUAUUGCUGCACAGCAAGUGACCUUCUUUUAGCUUGCUGGGAAGUUACUCUUCGAAACAACUAAUUUGUAGACCCAGAUUUGCAUGUUUUGAGUUGUUAUGAGCUGAUGUUCUGAUGAAGUAUAGACCGAAAAACCUCCUAUUUUUAGAUCCAAACAGUGGCGGAUCUAUUUAUGCAGUGUAGUUGUAUUAAGUUGGUCAUUUAUGAUCUGUUAAUUGUUGAUGCCUUAAAAAUUCUUGAUAUAAUUUUAAUUGGUUAACUUGUUUCAAUGUGGCUCCUGGUACUAGAGUUUGAAAGAUUUCUCUGAAGUUCAUCAGUUAGCAACAAAAAUAAUUGGAUCUAACAAAAGACCUACUAAGCAUAAUUUUUACGAGUUUUGGCCGUUAACCAACAGUUACGUAUCGUGUAUUUCACAUUCUGGUGCAUUAUUUCGUUUUUCACAAGGAAAGAAAAAAGAAUCCAAAGUAUUGAAUAUCUGUACUUAUACUUGUGUUUUGGCUGCCAGAUAAACAAAUUAGUAGAUAAACAAAUUAAUUGAGUCAACUGGAUAGAAUCUUAUCUGAUAUUAUGUGGAUAAAGCUAAUAAUUUAUUUCAGUACUAAUGCCUGUUUCACUAAUACAGUAGUUCCCCAUGUUAGAAUAUCUGCUUUAGAACAGUUACCUGCUAAGUGCCAUAUGGUGGUAUUAGGAUUUUGAUUGCCAGUGGUACAUGUUACACAUCAAUGGGAGUGGCUGCAGUUUAUUAUGCUUAGUUUUUUCCUAACAGAAUGGAGAUAGUAAAUUUAACUCCGAACAGAAUCUAGAUAGUAAAGGAUAUCUAGAAUUGUGGAGGAUCUUUUUUGAUUUUUUUGUAUACUGCUGCUCUAUUUUUUAUCUCCAAACGGCUCAAGAUUACUUGGUUGUCUAAUAGAGUUUAUAAAUUGCACGCUACUCUGUGGUAGUAACAUUUAUCCCGGAAAUGGAUGUGAUUGGCAUGGGUGUCUGAGGGGCCAUCCUUAUUUGUAUGCAGCCAGGGAACGAUUAUCAACAGAAAUUAAGAGACUUGAAAGAUUGAUAUAUUAGAUCUAUAGGUCUGAAAAUGUAUAUGUAGCGGGAUGGAAUGGUUUGGUAUUAUUUCUGCACAGAUAUUUGUUCCAAGUCAUUGAAGCUAAAAUUGCUUCAAUGUUAAUCGAAAUUGAAGAGACACUAAGUUACAGAUUUGAUUGCUUAGAACUGAGACUGUUGUAGCAUCUAUUAAAAUGUAUUCAUUCAUUUGUGCUUACACUUAUAACGAAAAAUGAAAAAAUUGACUUAUGAAAAUAAAUUUCCUUCGCUGUAUUCAUUCUUUAGGUUGAAUGGAUAUUUGGUGUGGACUUUGUUCAAAAGUAGGCUCAGUAGUAACCUUUAAAAAAAAUUGACAUCUGCUGCACCUGUUUUGGAUAUAGGUAUUGCAAUUUGAGUUGUUAUGUGUUCGAUAAAACCAAUGCAUUGCUCAUUUAGCCAAUGACCGCAGCUAAACGAAAAAUUGACGACCCGUGUAAGUCCCUCUAACCUUUAUAAUUAUCAUAUAUUCGUUCAGGAUGUAUAACUGAAAUCAAUUCUUCUAUUUGAAGCAUCUCCUACUAGCUGCACAUCCUUUGAGUCUUCCAGCUCAUCCAUCGCUUCAAAUAACUAUCAACUGUGUAUGGAGAACUACAAUCAGCAUGUAAACCACGUUUGCCCUUAACACUACUAUUCUAUUUACUAAUUUUUUAGGCAUAAUUAGUCACAUUUACCUGCCAUGUUUUAACUUUUCAUGGCAAAAUUUGUGCUCUUAUAUGUAGCAGAUGAACGAGAAAUUGCAGUGGACUUCUACCAUGGACUUCAACUUUAGCACCACCUAUGUUGAGUGGAAGCAAACGAAAAAAAUGGGACAAUCACAAGACAAAUGACCAGAAUUAUGAUAUGCUUGCCACAUGUUUGCGGAAACAAUUUGAGAUGCAAGUCACCGGAGGCCAAUGCCAGUCAAGAAUGUAUAGGUUUAGGAAGAAGUGGAACGUGUUUGCCAAUCUUCGUGGUUUGUCAUCAAAAGCGGAGACUGUGAUUGGCUGGGAUGAAGAGAAUAACUGCUUUACGGCUUCCGACGAGCACUGGGCCCAAAUGGAAGCUGUAAGCGACUAAUUAAAACACCUGAUGCUCAUCCUUUUUUUUUUUGUGCCCAACUUGCUGCAAUACUAAUAGCUAUGCUGACUAGUCUUGAGCCGAAGUGUAUACCAAAAACACUUAAUAUAUUUUUAGAUGAUGGCAGUUAAUAAUCCAACCAGUUUUGCUGCUGUCACCAACCAGUACUUUGCCUUGGAAUCGUUGCGCUUGAUUUUACAUAAGCAUAUUAUUUUCGAAAGCUUUCAUCAUAUUACAUGGCGUACAUUCCUCCUACUUUUCAUAAAUUUAAAUGUUGGUCGAGAACUAACUUUUUGGUUUUGCAUUUUCUAGGUGAACAAAGAGUACAAAGACUUCAAAUUAGCUGGAAGUUGCUUCCUAUAUGAUCUGUAUACUCCAACAACAUUGGGAAAAAAUGCAACAGGUAGCUAUGCACAAUCUGCAAAGCGACCUGUCCCCGAGGGCGAACACCGACGGCCACUUCUUGGAAAGCCACAAAAGAGCAAAGGAAAGGGUGCAACCUCAGCUUCGGCUGCCUCUGGCUACCAGCAGUACCCUUGGGAGGGAGAGGACGUAUACUACGUACCUUCGGUACCAGGAGCGGCAUCUGGAAAGCGUCCCGCCUCAAGUCUUGGCACUCCCGGAGAUCGUGAGGGAUCUAGAGGUGCUAAAUCAACAAGAUCAUCUAGUGAUAGGGAAAGACUAGAUGAUGCAAUUAGCAAAAUCUCUCGCGUCACCACCGCUUCGCAAGAAUUUAUGAAAAUUCGGUAUGAAGAGGAAGCAAAAUACAGUGUACCGGUAGCUCAAGACAUAGUGAAAAUAUGCAACUUCCAAAAUCGGUUAAGCUAAAAGCGACAAUGUACUUUGCCGAAAGAAGAAAUGCGGGACAAAGAUGUGCAUUCGUACGCUUUGAUGACGCCGAGCGUUAUGAUUACAUUGAACUCAUUAUGGAGGAGCUUCGCUAUUCCAAGCCCUCACAGUGAACAUAGUAAUGUGCACAACGGCUUUGAGAAAAGGAUCUCAGUGUGUUCUACCUUGCUUAACUGUCGGUUGUCUGCUUGUGUCAUUGUCCUUUGUUUGGUUGAAAUUUCUGGAAUGGUGGUUGAACUUUACUUAGCUUCUAUAUCGGUUGCUUCUUUAUUGAGUGUUCUGGACUGCAAUUCCUAGACUUGUGUCUUGAGAUGUAGCAUUUGUUAAAAUAAUUGAGUGUACUUUCUUGAAUGAGUGUAUGUUGUAUUCAUGUUGAGUGUAUUUAUUUGGUUAUUCAAAACUCCCUUGUAGAAUUAAUGGGUGGCAUUGGACUAUCGUAUUCUGUAUUUACAAUUGAGUGAACUUAUGGGGUUGCUUUAAUACUGCCGACAACUUGUUGAGCUAUUAUAAAUGGGUAGCACCAGGCUUCUAGCCACCAAUUAAUUGUGCAGGUUUUUCGGCCUUAUUGACGGCCACUUGUUCUGUAUUAGUGCAGGUGCUUGAGUGAAUUGUGAAAUUGGUAAAUAAAUUGUCACGUGGCUUAUGUUUGCUUGGUGUUUAUAAAGGGGACAUGGGAAGGAUUUGUGUAAUCCCAAUUGUACUUUUAUUGCAAAUGUUAGGAUAUUUCAAGGCUGGAUAUUGUAGAGUUGCACCAAAAGUCCCACACCUCCAAUAUUUUAAGUUAAAAUGGCAAUGUACAUUAGUUUGUCUUUUUUCUUAAAGCACUCAAGGUACGAACCUUGAGUGCACGCUGGUCACUAGUGUUUUGUCGAUUUUACAAAAUUGUCUAUUAUGUGAUGUAGUCACGAUAGAGAGUCAGGAAUAUAUACACAUUGGGGGGAAAAAAGCCGACAACUUGUACAAUUAUAUCAAAAGCAGCUUGGUGGGAGUGGUCAUAUCUGGUCAGGCGUGGCAUGUGAAACAAUUGUCCAGGAAAUCCAAUGUUUGAAGGAAUGAUAUCGACGGCCACAAGUUGGAACAUGCAUUGCUGGAACGGUGGCCUAUUCUGUCAACAAGGGCCCGACUAGAAUAAUGCGCCCGUGCUUCGAAAAGAUUGGUAGUCUCCAGAGCUCUAUAUAUUAACAAGAGCCCGUGUCUAUGCAUAUCUCAUAUUACAAUUCUCUACUUUGGGGGAAAGCAUCAAAGGGCACUACAUCGAGGACAAAGCUCCCGUUCAUCGAACGACAUAACCGAACGCCCCGUGAAUAGAAGGUUUAAGUAUCGGAUUUCAGAAUUUCUUUUUCAAAGCUCUAUUGUUCAGUUCUUGCUUAACUCCGUUGUUGUAAUAUUCGAAGAACAAAGCCCACUUGUUGUAACUAUAAACUCUCUUGCUGUGUAUUUACUCCAGGGGAUAUGAAUCGCAUCCAAAAUAAUAGUUCAAGCAAUAAUGACGAAACAUCAGAUGAUGACCAGGAUGCCUUGCUACUUGGACUUGCAGCAGAGUUGAUACUUCUACAUCCGGAGGCAGAAAGGUAUGGAGGUCCAAAACUCAAAAUUCCACACCAUGAUGGCUCACUGACAGGGCGUCAAUGGGUUGAGGAGUUGAUCAAUGGUCACUACAGACGAAUUAUAGAAAAUUGAUGUAUUUCGGUUGACAAUUUCCUCCUACUUUGUGACAUACUAAAGUACAAUAAUUACGUACCUCAAAACUAUCAAAAAUGAGUGGAAAUCGAAGAGGCACUGGCCAUGACUUUGGUAAUGGUAAGUCAUAGUGCCCGACAACGAGUUUUGGCAAAGCGUUUUAAUAGAUCAACGGAGACAAUUAACCGCAAUGUAAGGGAGGUCCUGCGCGGUCUUUGUAUGUUUGCUUCACAAAUAAUUCGCCCUUUUGACUACGAUCAGGUACAUCCAAGGAUCAGGAAUUCGACAAAAUACUUUCCAUGGUUCAAGGUUAGGCCGUGAAUGAUCUAAAUACAAAAUGACAAAUUUUGGCAGUGAUCUUCAAUCUCAAAACUCACAACGUAUUUGUAAGAGUUCCAUCAUAAAAUUUUAUUUGUUGGGAAAUGCAGGAUGCAGCGGGAGCAAUUGAUGGCACUCACAUUCCGGCGUGCCCGCCCUCAGGCCACCAAAUGGUGUAUACAAAUCGACAUGGGUUUCAGUCGCAAAAUCUACUGGCAGUAUGUGAUUUCGAUAUGCGAUUCACGUACAUAUAUGUUGAGUGGGAGGGAAGUGCACACGAUAGCCAAGUGUUAGAUGAUGCUCUGUCACACCCGUCAGACUUCCCAAUGGCACCUGAAGGUAACUCCCCUGUAUUAUAAAGUACUCAAGUCUUCUGAAACGAAGGGUUUGUUUUCAUGAUGUUACGCUGUAGUGCUAAUUUAAGUAUAUGCUACUUUUUGGAUGAUGUAUAUAUUCCAUUUACUACACUUUUGUCACACGUAAGUCCAUAUAUUAGUGGAUCUUUUUUUUGGCUUGUGCUAUUAACAACUACUUAUUUGUAUAGCAUUUUUGAAAGGUAAUUUGAGUACUUUAAAAAAAUUUCAGAUAUUUCAGUAAGACGCUAAUUUUUUAAAUUAUAAAUCUAUGUUUGUUCUAUUUAAUGUAACUGGAUUUUGAACAAGGUAGUAUAUUUUUUAGUGGUACUUUAUUGCUCAACAUAUAGUACUAUAAAGUUUUCAUAAAAAGUAAACUACCAUCAUAGAACUGACACCUGUCGUUUUUCGAUUUAAGGUAAAUACUACCUUGUAGAUGCUGCAUAUAAGAAUGUUCCAGACUUCUUAUCGACGUAUAAGAAUGCAGCACGGGCCGGUCCAGAAAAAAUUUUAUUUAAUACACGCCAUUCGAAACUUAGAAAUGUCAUUGAACGAACCUUUGGAGUUCUGAAGAACAGAUUUAAGUUUUUAAAGGGACCGGUUCCAAAUUUUUACAUGAUGACUCAAGUCAGUGUUGUUAUAGCUUGUUGUGUAUUGCACAACUUUCUUCCCUUACACCAACCAGGCGACGCCUAUUUUCAACUGGUUGAGGACGAAAAUGUUCGAUUAGAGCACCAACAGGGUGGCGGUGAGUUACUUCACGUCCAGCCAUUGAAUGCAUCCCGAGCUGAGGUUAUGGCUUGGAAAGUUAGGCGAGAUGCAAUUGCAACUGAAAUGUAUGGCGCGUAACGUAGGAGAAGGCGCUAGAAAGUCAGGGGCGUAAUUUGGACCUACGUAAUACUAAAUCAUGGCCGCUCCAGUUACAUUUCUGUUUUUUGCAAGGGACCAGAUGGUUGCCAAGCUUUUAUUGAGGGUAUAACGAAUAAACUUCCAUUCCUUCUACUAUGAUGUAUCAAUUAGACUUCUUGAUAAUCGUAUAGAAGUUUCGGAUGCGUGGUUUGUAUUGGAUUAAACUGCUUUUUAUCCAAAAUUGAAAGUUUAUUUAUAAACCAUUCAUUAAUGUGCUCCAAAGUGAAUGGAAUGAGUUUCCCAUUGCACUUAAAUAAUCGUUAUUGCUAUCCAAACACUUAUUUGGAAUAAAUUCGACAAAUAAUUGUUAAAGUGUCCAAACACCUAUUCGAAAUAUACUCAUGUUGUCCAAACGAUUAUCUUGCACCCCUACUUUUCAAAAAGUCAACAAGUAAAUAUUUGCACAAUUAUUCCAAAUAAUCCACUAUCCAAACGCACUCAUGAUUACUGCGAUUUUUUUUUCUUCCUUCUUGUCCCCCGCCCUUUGAUAUUUGUCUUGUUCUCCAAAAAAAAAAGGCUGUCCCUCGCCCAAAAAAAGUAAAACUCUUUUGUGCUUUGUUCUGAACUCAUAAAACUCAUGCAAAAGAGUUUUAUGAGCCCCCAUGCAUGGAGAGGAGAAUCUUCUUCUGACAGAGACUGAUUAAUUGUUUCUGAGCCUAUUGCACGUUUUUGGUUGUUUUACUGACUAUAUUUGCUAAUGGGUCUGCUCAAAAGAUAGAGUGAAUGGGGGCUGGGGAUGGAUGUUGUGUUUUGAACUCAAUGGGCUGAUUAAUUUUUGCAAAGCUGAUUUUUUUAAAUCAUUAUUUGGUUUCCUAAGCUCGUGCAGGUUUUGUAUUUCUAGCAUUUUACAUUAGUUCUGCAACUUUUGUUUUGAUUUUGGUCCAGAACUUGGACUCAUCAGUGCAGUGAAGUAACAGCUCUCUGCUUUUGUAACCCUUCCAUUUUUCUGGCUAUGUGCAUUAAAAAUUGUCUUUCUUGAGAUGGAAUAGCUCCUAUUAUUGACUGCUUUCGCUUUGUGAUUGUCCCAAUAUGGAAAAAAGCAAGUGAUAGAACUGGAGUUCUUAAUGCUACAUCGUCAGUGAAAGAAACUCUGCAAGCAGCUGGAAUAAAGGUCAAGGUUGAUGACUCUGAUCAGAGAACACCUGGAUGGAAAUAUAACUUUUAGGAGAUAGAAGGUUUGCCUGCUUCUGUAGAUGUUUUGUAUCUUGCCCAAUAUCUAUCUUGCCAUUGGACUUCUCUCGCCAAAGCAUGAGUAAGAAUAAGAGAAAUUUAGGGAGAGGAAAAUUCCAAAUGCAUGGCCACAAGCAUUUCAAAUGAUUGUUUUUCUUAGAAUGUUAACGAGCGCGGGACUACAUCUAAACUACCUUCCUUGGAGCUUUAAGAUUCUUGAAGGUUAAUUCUAAUAUAUCUCACCAAGCUUGGUUACUUUGAAGACUUGUCACCUUACUUCACUUCACUUGAGCAUCUAGAGUUAUUGUUUAAAAUUAGUUUGAAAAAAAAAAAAUCAACUGGAGUGGUUAGGUUCCAAUUGCGAUUUGCUCAACCAAAACUUUUUGAAGACUGGCUUGAAUAAUUAACAAGUCAACUGAUAUCUAUUGAAGGCCAGCUUAACUAGAGCUACUUCAGUGAUCGUUGGCUUUGUUUUCUGGGGCGGAAUGUAGUUUCAAUGUUGAAACGUAUGCUGUUGCUAUUAAUAAUUCCAUAUUUGGAAGUUAUGUGUGUGGAUCUCAAGAAAUACUAUUUUACAGUUGAAUGUAAUACGAUUGUGCUUUGAAAUUUACCUAGCUUUUCUGCAGGGAGUAUCUCUAAGCAUUGAGAUUGGACCUCGUGAUGUGUCUACUGGAACUGAAGUCAUUUCCAGAAGAGAUAUUCCUGAAAAACAAGGAAAAUAUUUCGGGAUAUCAAUGGAUUCUUACAUUUUAAUUGCUUAUGUUAAAGGGUUGUUGGAUGAGAUUCAAAGUUGCCUGCCGGAGAGGCAACCACUUCAAUUCAUGAGUUUUUUUUUUGGAAUUUUAAUUAAACCUGUCCUUCAAGACAUUGGUUCUUUUCUUUUGUAAACUUUAAUUACUGGCAAAUUGUUAGCUAAGUGCGCAAGCAGUAAUCUCUUGAUUCUUUUGGUCUUGUAUUACAUUUUUUUACUCCAGUUUCUUUAUCUUUCAUAUAAUAGUAAUGUUCUUGUAUAUAUAGGUGUAUCUUUAAUAUUGUAUUUCAUAGUUAUUUAUACUAAAUUGGGCAUACACAUUUUUAUCGCCACCGCACAGGGCGCGGUUUAUACCUCCUAGUAUACUCUAAGAUAGGCAUGGCCACGGUUUCAAAACCGUCAGUUCUGAUUCUUCAAAGAGGUAGAACUAGAACCGCACCAUCUAAGAUGGUUCUGGUUUGAUUCUGGUUCCUUAUAGUUCUGAUUUCGGUUUUUUAUGGUUCUGGUUCCGGUUUUGGUUCCGUAUGGUUGUAUAUAAUUUUAUUUAAUUCCUUAUCCUUACCAAUUUUAAUACGAAUAUAAAAUUUUCAAAUAGAAUGUAAAAAAAUAAAUACAAAAAAAGAUCAUAUUUUAAUUUUAUUAUUAUUCUACAAAGUACGAUGUAAUAAAUAGAUAAUACAAAUUUUAUGAAAAGUACAUUACAUUGUCAAAUUAAAAAAUACAUUACACUAUCAAAUGGUAAUCAUUUUAAAUGGAAAAGAAAAUACAUGAUUUUUUCAUUGAAAUUGAGAUGAAAUAUCAAAACCCAUAAAAAAGAAAGCCCAUAAAAUUUAAACUUUCUUAAAACCUAUUAAACACAACUAAUUUUUUUUCGAAUUAUCUCACUAGUUAUAUUAAUUAUUUUUAAUUAUUUUUUAACGGUUCUGAAACCGACGGUUCUGGUUCUGGUUCUAUUUUUUAGAGAACUAGAAGUGGAACCUUUAUCCAAGGUUCUACCAUACCAUGGUUCUGGUUCCACGGUUUUGGUUUCGGUUCUGGUCAGGUUCUAAACGGUCCAGUUCCGGUUUCAAAUGGAAUCAUGGUCAUGCCUACUCUAAGACGGUUAUAAGGGGACACAAAUGAUUAUGAAUGGCGAUUUGAGGCAGUGUGACCAGUCUUUUUUUUUUUUUGGGUUGAGAAGGCAGUAUACAUAUGUGUGUCUAUAUAUAUAUAUGUGUGUAUAUAUCUGUGUGUAUAUAUAUAUGUAUAUAUUUUAACUUUUUUUAAACGGACAGGACGCAAGUUAAAUGCUUCGAGAAAAAAAAUAAAUGUCAAUGUUUUAAAAAAUCUAAAAUAAGAAAAUUAAAAGGGCUUCUGAUUUACCCUAAUAUUUUACAUCAAAAAGUAUCUUUUUUUUCCAUAUCAAAAUUUUUAUCUACUUGCGUAUAAUUUUUGGAGAGUAUAAUUGUCUUUUUAAUUUUUGUAUGCAUGAGAUCACUCAAAAAUUGCAUCCACAUUCAUUUCGGUGCAUUAUGUGCAGCUAAAAUAACAAUGUUGGAUUCAAUUUAAGUUUUGCCAAGUUGAUUGUAUUGUUAUUGACAACCAGCUCCUUGGGCACUAAGGUGGGUCUUAAGACCCUAUUUGGACUGUAAGUGGGGGUUCAAAUCCCACUUGCAACAAAAAAAAUUCAAGGGUUAUGCCAAAGCACUCCCUUGGAUUUGUGUAUCUACUAGCUCUUAACAUAAAAUCUCUUUAGGCUCCCCCUUCUCAAUAGUUUAGAAUAGAUAGGUUAUACACUAGAGGUUUUUUCUCCAGAAAAAAAAAAUUGAAAAGUCCAGGGGGGGCAGACUGGUCCAAUUGAACAAUAAGUGGGCAAAAUGAGAUUAAUUCACUUUCUGAGGGUGCAUUUUUGAAUUAACCUUUUUGUUAUUUUUAGCCGUCUCCUCAUUUCUUUCCUUUAUCCUUCUUUCCCCCUUAAUACAAAUUCAACUCUUUUGUCCAAAAUCAAUCUGACAUCAUCAUCACCAUCUUCAUCUUCAUCUUCAUCAUUCUUUCCAUGGUCACAUUCAAAUCCCACACAAAAAUCCCAAUGAAAUUCCCGUAAGAUAAACUUCAAUCGCCAGAAAAUUGAGGAAACAGAUAAAGGAAGAAAACGAGAAACCUAAGAAAAUCGUAGAUAGUAAUUCAAAGCAGCUGGAUGCAGAAUAUAAUACAAUCUUUCUGCUUCAAUUGGCUGAAAUCCUCAUAUUCCCCGCCCACAUGGGCCGCUGCUAUAGGCGGCGUAUUUGUCAUCGUCACGCUUAUUCUCUCCAUUUACCUACUGUUCGAACACCUCUCCGCUUACAAACAUCCGGAGGUCAUUUUCUUCAUUUUUUUCCCUUUAAUAAAUUUUGUUUAUGGUUAUUUUUGUUAGUUGGAGAGAGGGGUUUUGCUGAAUUUAGUUUUAUUUGUUUGGUGGAAUUGAUUUUGAUAAUAGGAGCAAAAGUUUUUGAUCGGAGUCAUAUUGAUGGUGCCCUGCUAUGCUGUUGAAUCUGUAAGUUGAUUUUCUUUUCCCUGGUUUAGUUAUUUAGUCUGUCAAGUUGAAAUCUUUUAUGAUUUUUUAGGAGAUUUGGGAAGUGGGUUGAGCUGAAUUAUGCAGUUUUACUGUUGUGAUGUAUUAUCAGCUGCAUUAUGCUGUGAUAGUGUCGGUUUCAGUUGGGUUUUGCUUUAUGGUGUGGUUAUUGUGUACAAUUCAGUUGUUCUAUGUUGUGGUUUCGUUCACUGACGCUGCAAAGCUUGUUUGUUAUUGCUUUAUUGGAUGGAUCUUGGUUAAAGACUCAAAUUUGUUAUGGAGAUGUUUGGUCUGCGUGGUGGUUCUCACGUUUGCUCUGAACUAUAAAGUGAUACGAGUGAGAUGGAGCUUUUAAUUGAUUUAGCCGUGUAGUGAACAUGUCUAUGUGCAUACAUCUAUCUUGCUGUGUCUAAAGGUUUGUCGUGGGAGAGAUCAAAAUCUAAAACCUUUGUUGACUAAAGGAGAUGAUAAAUGAAGAGAGGGAUAACAAUAGAGGUAAGGAUCUUGAAUUUCAUGUGCUUUUCUGAGCAUGAUUUAAGUGCAAGAGAUUCUACAGUGGUUAUUGGGAUUGUAUAUUACUGGUGAUCAGUUAUAAUGGUGUCUUUUGUAGAGGACUUCAGUUGUGUGAAUUGUAGAGUGAAUGUAGCAGGUACAUAUGCUUCUCUUUGGCUUGUUUCUUUCAAAUUUUCAUUUCCAGCUAUGAUGAGAUUCUGGAAUCUGUAUAAAUGGUUAAUCUUCCUAGCUAUUAGUGAACCAUAAGUAUUGCAAUAGCAGUUGCUUUACUAGUUUGUCUCUAUCUACGUUGGAUGAUGCUAAGUUGCAAUUAAAAGUCAUGGCAAAUAGUUACUUUUUACUUUGUGUUUAUCAAGUUUGACGGGGAGCAACAAAUUUUUUUUUGCCUGCACUCAUGCAUUUUUUGUCCUACAAAGUUUUCUGGACAAGAGUUAGUUAUCUGCAACAAUUUCAUUAAUUACUACUAACUCUGGCUUUCUCUCAGUUCUUUUACUUUCAAACAAACACAGAACAAAGUGAUUUGGCUCUCCUUUUAGUGUAUUUCUCUCAUGUCUUUUUUUAUGUUUAUUGUGCUAUUGAUGCUAUCUUUUCUAGUUAAGCGAGCUAAUUUUAUGUAGAGAUUCAUAUGGGAUCUGUCUGUUUCUUUUCAGGAUAAACGUAUUUUCAUCUUGGAAGUAUGAAUUAAUGAAAUUAUUUAUGAUCCCAGAGUUUUAUCUUGACUGUUUGCUGAUAUAUGUCCAGAAAAAAAAAACAAAUUGAUUUCAAAUUUGAACAAUUGAAAGAAAAUGAAAAAUAUGAUGAAAUAUGAAUGUGAAAAAAAACAAUAUUUUGAUCAAAAAUUAUGUGAUUGGAUGAAAAAAAUGUAAACAAAAAAAAAAAAACAAUUGAACUGCAAAAAAAAAUGUGGAUAAAUGAUGAAUGCAUUGAUGAAAUGAUCUUGAUAUGAAAAAAAAUGUGAAUGAAAUAUUGAAAAUAUGGAUGAUGACUGGAAAAAUUGAUGCAAAUGCAUAAAAAAAACAAAAUAAAAUUGAAAUAUGAUGAAUGUGAAAAUAAAAAAAUGAAAUGAUGAAUCAAAAAAAAUUGAAAUGGAAUUGAAAAAAAAAAUGAAUGAAAAUAAAAAAAAUGAACUGAAAAAAUGUAACAUUGAUACAAAAUGAAUAUUGUCUAAUGAAAUGAAUGCAAAUCAAAAAACAAUGAACUUGAAAAUGAAAUGUGAAUGAACAAACAAAUGAAUAAAAAAAAAACUGAACUUUAAAAUGAAAAAUGAAACAAAAAAUCAAUGAAAAAAUAAAUAAUGAUAUGAAUUGAAUAUGAAAAAUGAGAAAAUUGAUGAAUGUGUAAAUAAAUAAAAUUCGAAAUUAAAUAAAAAAGUGCAAUGAUGCAAUAAAAAAUAAUAAUAAAAUGAUGAAAUGCAAAAAAUGAAAUGAACAUUGAAAAAAAAUGAAAAAAAUGAAUGAAAACUGUGAAAAAAUGAAUUGCAUGAAAAAUGAUAAUUGGAUGCAUAGUUCACUGCUCUUACGUUUUAUAGAGCUUUGGGAUACUCGAAUGAAAAAGGGUCAGUAUUUUUUUUGGCUGAUCUUGUAUGCGAAGAGAGAGCAGAGACUGCUUAUCUUUCCCUUUACAUGCAGUAAAAGAUGGAUGAGAAAGGGAGAUGAGAUAGAGGAAGGUUUAGGUAGUGGCAGAUCUUGAAGCUAUAAUGUGUGUGUAUGAGCCAGUGUUAGAAGUGUCUGUCAGAGAGACGAGAGAGAGUGUUGUGGUUGUGUCACUGGGAAUGCGGAGGUAUUGCUACUUAAAUGAGUGAGUAGUAAUUCAUCAAUAUGUAAGGUAAGUUGACUUGGCUAUUUAGUGCCAGCUCAGCUUCUAAUAUGAAGCUUGAGAAAAUCGCAUUCAACCAAGUGAUGUUGCGGACUCCUUAUAAGAAUGCAACUAAAUGAAGGAGGGACUACUCCAUAAAGUCAUAUUUUAUUUGUAUUAUUUUGAAAGCAGCUCUGGAGCCUUUAAAAAUAAGAAAAAUUCCACUGUUGCCUGAGCUUAUUUUAAGAAACCAUAAAUGACGCUGAAUUCUUUUUGAAAAUUUGUUUUAGCUGGAGAGGAAAUUUAGGCUGCAUCUAGGUGACUAAUAUGUGUGAUGGGAUGGACUUUAAGAAGAAGAAGCAUGAAAAAGCAGCGAAGCAACCAUUCUUGAUGUCAUAACUCUGCACAGGAGAGUUAACAUAUAGCCGUAUUUUGGGGCCAGAGUUUGCGUCCUUCAAGAGAAAGAGUUGGAGGCAAGGUUCUGACAGCAUGCUGGAGCCAAUUCAUUGCCUCAGCUGAGCAUACAAAAUAUAAAACCACAAGCUGCGGGUUUUUUUUGUUGUUUUGUUUUUUUUGGAGGGCGGGGGGGGAGGGAGAGAGAGAUGAGGAUAUACUGACCGACCGUUGGAGAAGGACACGGCCGUUCUUGUACUUUCUACUGACUCUGACCUGUUUUCGUCGCCGAGGAGAGAGAGAGAGAGACUAAAACUACUCGUUUUCCAAGGAAAACAUGGUUUCCAGGAUGAGGAAAUAUUAGCACAGGGCUGCCUUUAGAGCACUUAUGCAGCUGGGUUAGGCUUGCAGAAAGGAUAACAAUAUCCUAGCAGCAUUUGGUGCAUCAAAGCAUUUGGACAAUUAAUAAAUCACCCUUACCCUAGAACCUAUUUUAAACAGCAAGAUAAACCUACAUAUAAAAUCUAGAUAAGCUCCAGUUUGAAAUUUUUGCAACCAACUUUCUUGUUUUCCUAUAAUACAUUCCAAUGUUUCCACUUUUAUCUGUAUCAUUAAGUAUUUGGGCGACUUUCUAAUGAGCUGCUGACAAGCAUCUGGGUCCUGUGCACCCCUAUUAAGAUUUCUCAGAUUAACUGCUUAUAACUGAUUAUUAUGAGAGUUUUUAUCUAUACUUCAUAAACAUUUACAUCAUAGCAUAAGAUAGCGUUGAAAAGUUACUUCUUAGCUAUAUAAGAACGAAUGUUAUUGCUUAGUUAGUGUGCUUCUGAAAGAGUGUAGGUACUUAUUUGCAUGUGCAUGUUUAAAUAUAAUUAGGCUCAUAUAUAGUGUUCUUUUAUUCCCUGAGUAUCAUGAGCUUUUCAUCUCCCUCAGAAUGAGUGGGAGCAAAUCUUAGACAGCUAGAAUUUUUCUAAAAGAAAAUUAUUAUAUUUAUGGCUAGUUAUUCAAACUUAAGUACUUUUGGGCCUUUUUACCAUUCUCAAGCCGAGGUACCUCCUCAGCUGUUUUGACUGUUUGUCAUUAUUUGUGCUUAAGUGCUGCUUUAGACUUCUUCUUACAUCUGUUAUGUGUACACCAUUUACAGUUUGUGUCAUUGUUGAAUCCAUCAAUCAGUGUUGAUGUUGAGAUCCUUCGUGAUGGCUAUGAGUCCUUUGCAAUGUAUUGCUUUGGGAGAUAUCUCGUUGCCUGUUUAGGUAUGAAUUUGAUAUUUGUACUUGUGUUGGUGCUGUUAUUAUGCACAUCAUCCUACUUUAAGUUUCAUCAUAAUAGCUAUAUUUUUCUUGUUAUUCUUUAUCUUAUUUUGUUUAUAUCAAAAUGUUUAUUAUCCCCUCUAAUAUGAAUAGCUGGCAUGCAUAACUGUCCCCAAAAAAAGUUUAGUUUCUUUCUUUAUUUAUAGUAAAGGACUGAUUGACAAUAUUAAAUUAAGCAAAAAUUAAUCUAAUCUCUGCUUUUGAAAGUGGCUUAUUCCAUUUUCUUAAUAUUUUCCGAUGAAGGUGGGGAGGACUUUUAAUCUUUUGGACUAUAGAGUUUCAAUGGAGAGGGAGUAUUGGACGUGUCAUAAAACAAGUUGCCAAAACGCAGUAAUUCCUUACUGUGGGUAAGAAGUCAAUAUCUUGAACUGCAUUGGUUUUGUCCUUAAGUAUGACCUAACACAACAUGUGAUUAAAGUGAUAACAAAUUGCAUGCUACAGCUAAAUAAAAUCAAACUAACCCAGGCAGAGAUACACCUAUGGAGAUAGAUUUUUGAAUUAGCACACGAAUGCCAACGUACUCAAUGGCAAGUCUGAUAGCUUCUUUUGACAAAUUUGAAAUGCUUAAUUUCUAGUGAUUUUGGUUUUGAAAAAUUCUGGUUGCGUCUGAAUUUGGGGUUUCAUAAAUUUCAGGGGGCUUAAUUUGGGGUUUGAAUUUUACACUUUGCCUCUGUUCUAGUUUUGGGCCUUAGGGCGCCGACAGCAGCAGGGAAGAAAUUUUGGAUAGAGUGAGAUUUAGUUGAGUGGAUAACCACAUUUUCAAGUAGAAAAUGAUUUCCUUUACUCUUUGAGUGCUUUUGGUGUGGUUUCAGUUUCCAUAAGUUCUUCAGUCAUUGGAUGUUAGCUUAUCAUAAGUGGCUAAAAGUUAUUCAAUUGAUUUUGAGGAGAUUGUUGUAGCUUCAUUGAAACGUUAAAGAUAAUCAGUAUUGGGGAAAUGUAAUUCACUUUUUUCAAUUUUCUCCCUUAAUAUCCUGGUAGAACCAUUCUCAAGUCUUGAAGUUGUUUCUUCUUAAAGUCAUUGUGUGAUUACUUAUGAUGGCUCUGAUUUUGUUUGCCUCAUAAUUCUUGUAGGUAUCCCUAUAUGGCCGUGGUUUUAAAUUUCAGUCAAUCGUGGGCUUUGUAUUGCUUAGUGCAAUUUUACAGCAUCACAAAGGUUGAAUUAGCACACAUUAAGCCAUUAGCCAAGUUUCUGACAUUUAAGUCAAUUGUGUUCUUGACUUGGUGGCAAGGUAUCUUUAUUGCCCUUUUCUAUGAUCUUGGCCUGCUAAGAAGCCCUAUAGCUCAAGCUUUGCAGUUCCAGUCAAGUGUUCAAGAUUUUAUAAUAUGCAUUGAGGUAAUAUUCCAUCUAAUUAGUUUCUUCUUAUAUCAAUUUGCCCAACUUUAUUCUCAUUUUAAAGUUUGAACAUAAUACUCAUACUCAUUGACAUGAUUGAUGAAAAGUACUUGGGUAACACAUGCAUGUAAUUUGUUUUAAAUACUUAUUUGGUAUUUUGGGCUUAAAGUUCUCAUGAUUACCAUCCUUAUCUUGCCGAAAUUGAUGGCCAGAGUUAUAGAUUGUUGAUAGGGUAAUUGCUGAUACCAAUUUUGUCAUUGCUCACUUUUUCCAUGGUCUAAAAAUUUUUAGCAGGCGUAAGUAUUGUGCAUUGUAAAACUGGGAAAGAGGGGAUGAAGUCAACUCCUAAUGUAGCAUAACUUCGAAAUAACACUCGAAAUCAUAAUGGAUGGCUUGUUCAUUUCUUGUUUUUAUGUCUCUGAGGGAAGAAGAGAAGAUUAUUUCUGGGCUUGGGACUUUUUUUUCUUUUGGCCCCUGGUGGCUUCUUCAUUGGUGGAGCAUGUCAUGUGUCACUCAUGGAGAUGAUGCCAGUUGCAUGAAUUCCUCCUUUAAGUCAUGGGGUCUACCAGAUAGAUACUGUUGCAAUUUAGCAUUUCCAAGCUAAUCAUUUUUGUGUUUUAUCCAUGUGAUUGUUGAUAGAAAUGUACUUUAUAGAAUUGCAAACUGACUUGUACCUCUUGGCUAUGGGAAUAAGAGUUUGCAGUUCAGUGUGGUCAGCUGAUGGAAAUAGGCUGUGAUCAAGGAGAUUUUUUUCCUUUCAUUCUCUCUUUCUUCCUUUAAAAUGAAUGAUAGAAAAUCUUUGGAGCUAAAUAAUUGACAUAUGUGUCAAAGACAAAUGGCCUCCUAAAUUCAUGUCAGACAAGCUCUUGAAUUCAUAGGAACAUUAGCCUUUUCCUUUGUCAAGUCCUCGAUCAUAGAAUUGCUGUCCAUUGGGUGUUUUGUUAGCAUAAUAGCAGCUAUGACAAACACAUGUUUAGAAGUUCCACUUUACUUUUUGGGUCACUUGGUUUCAGUUUCUUGAAAUGUCUGGAACUAUAAUUCUGAUCUGAUGAUUUUUUUGGAUUCAGAUUUAAAAUGUGAUUUUUCGCUUCAUGUUCACCCUUACCUAGACUGUGUUGUGCAUGACUACGCAAUGCUGAAAUUUUCAAGUAAAUAUGAAAGUUUAACUGGCCUUUGUAUUUAUCCAGCACAGAUGGGCAUCGCUUCUGUGGUUCAUCUGUAUGUGUUCCCUGCAAAGCCGUAUGAGCUGAUGGAAGACUAUUUCCCUGGAAGUGUUUCAGUUCUUGGAGACUAUAUUGGUGAAUAUCCAGUUGAUCCUGAAGAGGUUAGAGACAGUGAGCGUCCUACAAAAUUGCGCCUUCCCCAACCUGAAGUUAAUGUUAGGAGUGGAAUGACCAUCAAAGAAAGCGUUAAGGACGUUUUUGUUGGUGCUGGUGAAUUUGUAAGUUUUUCUUCUCCAUGGAACAGAGAUAAGCUAUUUUGGGUAGUUAAGGCUACCUUGGUGUUACCAAGACACUGAUAAGUCAUGUUCAUAAGCUCUGUUUAAGGAUAAUCAUCAUCAUGGUAGUAAUCUCUUUCAGUAAAGCUGGGUUUAACAGAAGAAUAGCCUGAAAACUCUUUAUUUACUUUAGUCAUCUCAGCCAGUGUCUGGCUUUUCUUGCUUUUAUUAAUUUGCUUCAUCUACUCUUUAUAUAUUUUUAGGUUGGGGUAGGGUAAGAUAUCCGUUCGUUGUGUUUCAUUUUCUGGAUUUCGGGUUGUCUGGAAGAUUGUGGGAUUUGAUCACAUGUUAAUGGAGGAUUUUCCGCUCAUGGAGUUUUGUAGAUUUUGAGGACCAUAAUGUACUUGAAAACGUUACUGCAUUGAAUGGAAUAUCAGAUAACAUAGAAUUUCAUUAGUGUUAGUAUGUAGGACCCUGAAUUAGUUGUUGCCUCACCAGCCCUUUGAACCUUAAGGAAUUACUUUUUGUGGUCUCGUUGAACCCAUUUCUCAGAUGGGAGAACAUGUGUAUUGGUCAUUGUGCUGUGGUGCGGGUGGUAUAGGAUGAUCUAUGUUAAUUUUAGUAAUUGGCAAGCAUGCAAACUCUUAUCUGUAAAUGUGGAUUUAAGCUUUCGAAGAAAGACUCUUUUACAAAAAGAUUGUGCUACAUGCUAUUCUCUCAUUGAUGCUUGUUUAAUUUUUUUUCCUGAACUUUUCUUUUUUGGUGUAUGUCAUUGUUUCCUUGCAGCAUCUCUGCCUUUUAUUUUGUUUUUUUUUUUUAGUUAUUUAUCACUUGUUUGGACACCUUUAACCUUAUUGUCCCUUUAUGCAUUUGGACUAGCAUCUUUCUUUGUUCAUGUAAACAUCUUUCAUCAGUUCUAAUUCUGGGAUUUUAAGCUGUGAUCUAGAUUGUGAAUGAUGUGAAGUUUACUGUGACACAAGCUGUAGAGCCCAUGGAGAAGGGAAUUUCACAUAUAAAUAAGAAACUGCAUAAGAUCUCUCAGAACAUGAAGAAGCAUGAAAAAGAGAGGAGGACUAAGGACGACAGCUGUAUUGAUCCUCCAUCUCGUAGAGUAAUUCGUGGAAUAGAUGAUCCCCUCUUAAAUGGUAGUAUCAGUGAUACUGGGAGUGUUCGGAAGAAGAAGCACCGUCGAAAAUCUGGAUACACCAGUGCAGAAAGCGGUGGUGAGAGUAGCAGUGAUCAUAGUUUUGGUGAUUAUCAGAUCCGAGGCAGGAGGUGGGUUACCAGAGACUAGGUGCUAUGAAGUAAUGUUGCACAUGAACAGACAAUUGUGUACAGGAGAUCCCUCGGCGUGAUCUUUUUUUCUUCAACACGAGGACUGCUCUCUUCAAAGCAUGUUUCUGCUGCAAUGAAGUUCAAAGUUUUCAUUUUGGAAUUACGUCAAUGCUUGGGUUUUACUCAUAUCAUCCGAUUGAAGUGGCAUCCUGAAAGGGUUUGUGGAGACACUUUGCCGUAUGCAUUACAUCAAACUUAAUAGGCAAAAAGAUUGUACCAUAGAGCUCUCUCUAUAUUGGUCGCGAAGUUCCCAAACCGUAUUAGGAUGAAUUUCCUCAACCAGUUUUUCGAACACUUCUCUUUAAAUGUCAAUCGAUGUCUUCAUUAGGUUGUUGUACCACAGACUCGUUUAAUUAUGAUCAGUUGCUGAGUUUCUCAUGGGCAGGGAUGGAUCAAGACAAUCUAAAGCUGUGUGCGCAACUUUCCAUCUCAUGAUUCUUUUCCAUAGUUGCAGUUCUGACAAGAGGAUUCUCCUUCACGACUUCAAAUAUUGCAUCUUCUCAGGGCUGAGGAUGAAUGGUGCAGUCCAAGGAUGCAGGCAAGAUUUGUAAUUUUUCACUUCUAGUUGGUUGUGAUCGAUCUGGAUUUCAAAAAAGGCAUAGCUUCUUUCGUUACUACUGCUAAAUAAAUGUCAUGUGGGACGACCCUCCUUGUGUAAGAUGAUUUUAUCACCUCUCAAAAGGGCUAUCACUUUUCCUAUCGAGCAUGUUCUCAUUUUAUGUAAUGUCAAAUAGGUACCUAAAAGGUUAUGUUUGGUGAGUCAAGUCUUUCUGUAUUUUUAAACAUAAUAAUCAAGUAGCACAUCAUCAUGAUUUUUCCUUUUUUAAGUUAACCUUGCUCGCGCAGCAUUGUUAAUGAGAAGAAUGAGAGCUUAAUUGUGUGUUCUUUGAUGACAAACUAUUGAACUUCCAUCACUUCAACCACUAGACUCAUUAUAAAGUAGUGCAAAGUAAAAUGGUACCAGCCUCCUCUCCCACUUCAUAUAAUCAUAAAUUUUGCAGUGCACAAUGCCCAAAUUUAUGAGCUACUUGAGGUAUGGGAAUGAACUACAAAGCGUUGUGUUUUAUAAGGUCUAAUUAAGUUGUUGUGACCUUAAUACUUAGUUUCAAAACACAAAACGCUUUGCAAAAAUGUGAGAUAUGCUAACUUUUUCUAUAGAUUUUAUCAUAUUGAGUUUGAUACCAAAAUAAUUUAGUUAGUAAAAGAAUAAGUCUUACAAUUAGGAUAUUUAUUAACCAAAAAUCUUAUUAGUUUGUUAACAAAUAUUUUAGCUAAGAUUUGCUAGUAGAAGAAGAUUAUAUUUUGUUGAGAUUUUUAAGAUAGUUGUUAGUUAGAUAUUUUGUUAGUAAUCAUUAUAAAUUGUGAGUUGAUGAAUGAAUAACAUAAUCUCAUUUUUCAGUUUCAUACAAGUCUUUUAUAAAUCAUUUUUGCAACACUAAGGUGUUGUUUCUUAAUUUAUGCCUCAAAAAACCAACAAACUUCCAUGGAAUCCUAGGAAAGAUGAAAGUCAAUGGGAGGAGGAGGGAUUCUAGAUGGUUAUUAAAAUAGGAAAAUGCAUCUAUGACCAAGAUUUCUCAAAGGCUCUUUGCUCAACAUAUGAGAAAAGGGCAGGAUAAAAGUCAAGGGACUUGGAACUUGAAGGACCUGUGUGUCACAAUAAUAUACGACAUCUAUUGUUUUGGUAGAUAAAUUUAGGAUUAGAUUGAAGAACCGUGGAAUGUCCAACUAUAAGGGAUCAAUUAAGUUGACUAUUUGGAUUUCCAAUUUUAAAGGGUAUAGAUAAGAUUGAUCCUCUCUCUAUCUCCGGUAUUAGAGUCGUUAUUUUGGAAAUUUAACUCUUUUUUUUUUUACGAAAAUAUAAUUGUUAUGUCUCCUUGAGAUGAUGAAUUUAUACAAGUAUCAUUUAAAUUCAAAAUAUUCCUUCAUUAAAUUGGCAUCAUAAUUUGAAAAAGUUAUUUUUUUAAAUAAUAAAAUUAAAAGCAAGUGUUAAAUUUGAAAUGGUAACUCCUUGUAAACCAAAAAAAAAAAGGUAAAACGGUGAUCAAAGAUGCGGUUUUGUUUAGUCAGAAACCACAAGUUGAUUUUCCUGAAAAUCCAUUUCACAAAACAACGUCGUUUCUUCUCAUCCUAUAAAUCUAUAAUUGACUUCCAAGUACAGUGCACGCUAAAAAGUACAAACUGCCAACGGUCAACGGAUCCCAAGUCAAAGGGAUGCCAGCCACAGCUCUGUAAAUAUCGUUCCCUAGUCUCCGAAGCCAGGCUAGCCAGCGGAUAUCUCAAGAUGGAAAACAUUCCUCAAGAAAUCUUGAUCGAGAUCCUGAUUAGGCUUCCAGUCAAAUCUCUAAUCAGAUUCAUCUUAGUCUCCAAAACCUGGCAAUGCCUCAUCACAAGUCCCAAUUUCAUCUUCACACACCUCAAAAAGAUCCAGAAUCAGCCCAACAAAAAACAUUCUCUUCUGCUCUGCAGGCACUAUAGUCGAAAUGACCAAACAGAACAUUACUCCUUGCACCCUGAUAACGAUGAUUUUGUCCAUAAAUCUUCCAAAAUCAGAUUUCCACUCAAGUCCAAGGUGGGUUGUUAUCGAAUUGUAGGCUGCUGCAAUGGGUUGGUUUGUCUGUGUGAUGAUAUGUUUGGUACGUUUCGCCUGAAACCCAUAAUUUUAUGGAACCCUUCAGUACAGAAGUCGAUUGAGCUGCCCUUACCCAGUAUUCAGCCCUAUUGGGAUCGUUCAAGAAUAUUUUUGCUUGGUUUUGGUUGUGAUUUUCAGGGAUUUGACUAUAAAGUUGUGAGGAUUGUGUAUGAUCGACUUUAUGGCUUGUCUGUUGGGGUUGAGGUUUAUUCACUUAGCACAAAAAGUUGGAAAGUUUUGGCUCAUGGUCCUCAAACUUGUCCUAGGUAUUAUAUCACCGGUUUUUGUCUCUCGCAGGUAUUUGUCAACGGGGUUAUGCAUUGGCUUGCACAUCGUAGGAAAGGAAGUUUUGGGAAUUCAAUAAUGGGGUUUGAUAUGAAGGAUGAAAUUUUCAUAGAGAUCUUCUUACCGGAAGCUUUGGUGGAUGAGCGUGCUGCAAAUUUGUUUCUUAUGAAACAUGGUGGUUGUCUUGCUGUGAUGAAGUACAAUGGAUAUGAGAACAUUUAUAGCCUUUGGGUGAUGAAGGAAUAUAGGAAUGUGGAGUCGUGGAAGAGGCUGUAUAAUAUUGGAUUAGUGGAAGGGAUGGAGAAUGUGAUUGGAUUUAGUAACAACGGUCAUCUUUUCGUGACAAUGUUUGUGGAUGAGAUGUUUGUUAGUGAUCCUGCAAGUGGAGUGCUGGUUUCAUUUGACCUUGAGAGCAGAAAAAUUAAGGAUCUUGAAAUUUUUGGGAAGCUUGGUUCGAUUUAUGUUGAAAAUUUUGUGGAGAGCCUAGUCUUGCUUGAAGGAUAAAGUGAAUUGCUGAUUGAUGCUUCUACUUGCAAGGAAAAGAGAGGUGUGUGAAAUGAAGAGUGGCUGUAAACAACAAUAGUAGUGGAAAAAGUGGAGCAAAUGACUGAACAGGCAAGGAAGAUUUGAUGAAAUUAUAUCCGUUUUGGAGUGAGUUUUUAUUGUAAUUUUUGUUGGUGCUGUGUUUCUAUUAUCCAACUUUGGUAGUCUUUAAAUGGAAUGCUAUUACCAUGAUUCUCAUCAUAGACUCGCUCGUUUAUGUUCCGCUAGCCUGUUAAUUUUAAAACGAACAUAAUGCUAUAAGCUGUAUUUAUAAUUAUAACUUGGUGUUACUUCUCUGUUGUUUGGUGGUGAUUCGUUGUUUUGUUGCUGCUAGUGCUCUAACCCUUUGAAAUGAUCUUUUGCUGUGUGCAACCUGCCCAUUCGAUGAUGAAGGCCGCUAGUCAUCUUCAUCUUCUUUUGUUGUUGUGUGAGGUUCAAUAACAGAGGGAUACCAAAUUAUUCUUGAUCCAUGUCAAGAUAGCUUUCUAAAGAACUAUGUGCCUGCCGUUCAGACUGGAACUUCACUUUUAGCUUACGGACUUGCCAGCCCUAGACCAUGCCAUUCCAAAUAGAGAACUUUUGUUAUUAUCCAUCUUUCUCCAAUUGAAUUCCUUUUCUUUCUAUUUAUUUUGCCAGGUGAAAACAUAAAGCAAAUAAUUACAGGGAAAAUUUAUAUAAAGGGCGAGAUUUUGAGCCGGGGCAUAUGUAGCUUUUUCCGUCACUAAAUUUUUCAAGAAACUCUACCAAUGCUCCACUCUUUCUUGGGGGUCUUUCUAAUUCUGAGCAGCUGCCCCAUCUCUCAAACCUGAAAAAUGGAAUUGGAAACUACCUAGGACAGCAUUCCCGAAGUAAUAUUGACUGAAAUCUUUAUGAAUGAAACAAUCCCAGUCAAAUCCCUAGUCAGAUUCUCCUAGUCUCCAAAUACUCACAAGUCCUAGUUUUAUCUCGAGGCACCUCAUUAGAAACCAAGGAAUAAUGUAGGGUCCUUCUCAGAAGGGUAGAAAUAAUGCCUAAUUCUCAAAACAGGAGUCAAGCAUUCAUAUUAUCUCUUGGCAAACCCAAAAAAAAAAAAAAAAAAAAAGGUACAGACGCAAAUCUAUUGCCCAUUAAUCUCAGAUAUUACUGGGUUCUGGAUCCUCAUGCUACACUUGAUAGCAAGAGUGGAAUGCAGAACCUGCUGCAGUGGGUCAUGAUCAAGCAUAGACUAACUGGAAUUAGGUGCAAAAGGGACACUCUGCUGUGUUCAAUAAGAGGCCAAGAUAUCUAGGAGUUUGGUCAACAGACAAGUUACUGCCAUUGGGACUGAUAAAACUUCAAAAUUAGAGGAACAAAAGCUGGACGUAUAUAAUCCAGUUUUCACUCUGAAACAAACAAAUUUAGUAAAAGGAAUGUGGUUAUUUUGGGACCAUGGGUAACAUAAGGUCAGAUCCUCUGGAAGCAAUCCAACAAAGGCACCGCUAGGAAAUGAGCAGUGUAGCAUAACUUUCUGCUUAGUGUAUGUUGGAAGUUUUAUAAGAACGUAAAAAAUGACGAAUUUAAGGAAUCAGCUCAUGCAUUUUCCUAUGAUUUUUCUGCAUUCUUUGUCUCACAAAAAUUGUAAACUUUUAUGGGGGGAACUAUUUAAGUACAAAAUAAUUUCAAUAAUUACCAUUAACUACUUGUUCCUCACAAUUUUUGCUUGUCAAACAUGCACGAAAAUAAUAAUACGGGUUAAAUGUAAAAAACCCCCCACGAACUAUAUAUCUAAUCGUAGUUCACCCCCCAAACUAUAAUAAUAGGCAUUUUACUCCCUUGAAUUAUAUGUUUGGACAACACUACCCUUACAAUCUUAAAUUUUUUUCUUUUUUCUCUAUUCUUUUUUUUCAUUUUUUUCCUUUUCUCCCAUUUCUUUUUCCUUUUAUUUUCUUUUUUCCCCUUCUCUCAUGGAACUAGCCAAUGUUUCCCUUCAGUGCUAAAAGACUUACCUCAAAAUUUUUAAUAUUUUUUGAACUACUUUUUUAAUUCGUUUAUUUGUUAAAUUCAUUCUUAAUAAUUCAUCAUAAACUCUUUGUUAUUACAAAAUAUAUGUAGCUUAUAUUGUAAAAGUGUACUAAUCCAGUAAUUCAACAAUUUAAAUACCUAUAAACCAAUUAGAGUUUACAAUUACUCAAUUAUUUAUAACAAAAGUAAAUUAUUAUACAUCACGUAAGAAAGAAAAAUUAACAAUUGUUUUUUGCAGUGAAAUAAAAAGGUAAGAAUAAACAACAAUAGUAAUUCAUUUUUUAUUUGUUAUUAAUACUAUUAAUAAUUGAUUAAUCAAUAUCUCUAUUUUGUUCUUAUAUAUUUGAAUAGUUCAACUUCUUACAUGAUAUUGGCUUCAACAUUUGAAAAAAAAAAUCUUCUAUAUCAUAGAAUUCUUUAAUAAAAUGUUGACAUGAGAAAUUAAGAAAAAAAUAAGUUUUGAUUAAUCUAGUAUAUUAAUUUAAACAAUGCUUAAAGAAAAUAAAGAAGAAGAAUAAAAAAAAAAAGAUAAGGAAUAAAGAAAAAUAACAAUGCUUAAGAUAAAAUGGGUAGAUUUGUCCAACUACAUCAUGAAAGGGGCAAAGCGCCUAUAAAGUUAAUUUGGAAGGUAAAUUGCAAUGAGGUAUAUAGUUCAUGGGGUUUUUUUGCAUUUAACCCGAAUAAUAAUAAUAAUAAUUUCAUUUUUCUAUUAUCUCAUUUUCUUUGUCAUGUAUACUUUUCAUAUUGCUUUCCCUCUAUUCAACUAGGCCUUGGAAAAAAAUUUGUAAUCGUAAUGAUAAAUAUAGCUCUUAACAUCAUUCCAACAACAUUUUUGGUUUUGCUCUAAUAAUUGUUGAAAUCAUUCCUUGAGAGAUCAUCAUAACGGAAAUUAUCAAUUAUUAUAUAUUAGUCUAAUCCAAUCUCAACCAAGUUAUAUUCAAUUUCAAACAUUUUAAUUUUCAUUCAAAUUUUAACCUUAUAUACUCUACUCAAUUCUACUAGAACAAAGAUUUAUGGGUAAAAUACACAGAACACCCUUAUGGUUUCGCGAAAAGAUACCUUACCCUCUUAUCGUUUAGAAACCUCUACAUAAAUAUCUUAAACUUCAUAACUAAAGUGAAAAUUGAAUUCUUAACCGGUUGAGUUACCGGCUGCAGGUCGAAUACCCAAAAUAUCCUCAUUUAUAAUAGAGAGGGAGAGAGAAUGAAGAACAGACUCUCUCUCGUUCAUCCUGUGUAAGAAAAAAACCUUAAAAUAGGGGAUUUGUAUACUAAAUUGUUGCUGAAAUAUCGUGAAUCUGAGUUGAAAACGGCGUGGCUGCAUUCGAUCGCGGAGAAGGGAAGGUCAGAUUGGUGGUUGUAUCUGAUCGUGAAGCUUGCUCGACAUUUCUAGGUAAGAAUCAUAACUUAUUAUUCAAUAUUCAGUCCAUUUGAUGUGUAGGAUUUGUAUUCUUUUUUCAAUUUGUUUAUUCCUUUUCCACUAUAUAUUGGGGCUUAAUUUAUGAGGUUUCUGUCAUUUUUAUAGUUGGUGGUCCAUAUGUAGGUGAUUUAUCAGAGAAAAUAGGGUUUAAAAAUGUAAAGUUCUUAACUUUUUUAGCUUUUUUGGAGUAAGUGGGUCUUUUUUGGAGUAUUUGGUUGAUGUCAAGAGGAAAUAAUAUGUGUCGGGUCUGGAUUUGACUACUAAAUCAGAUUUCACUAUGUAAUCUGAUUGUUGUUAUAACUAAUUGUUGUUAUAAUCUAAAAGUGUGAUGUAACUUAAUAUAGUUUAUUAAUCUAUAUUUGAAUUCUGAAAGUGUUGAUUAAUAAUUUAGGUUGGGGACCAUGUCAGAUCCUUUUAGGACAGUGAAUAUCGACAUGCACUAUAGUGGGUGAUUUAUACAUCAUCCCAAGAUUAGGUAUACAAGUGAUUUAGUGAGAGUGUUUCACAAAUGCGACCCUGAUAAAUUAUCGGCAUUUUCAUUAUUGAACCUGUACUCCAAAAUUGAAAAACAAGCGGCAUGUGCAAAAUUUUGGUAUCCAUUCCAGACCAUGAUGUGGAUGUAGGUGUUAUCCCAAUAAAUGAUGACGUUGACAUUUAAUUGUUGACUACCUGUUAUGAAGGGAUUCUUAUAUGCAUAUAUAUAUGUAGAGACAGGUCAAACCCUUAUCAAAAUUGUUUCACCGGAUGGCAAGCUCUUAUUCGAAAGAGUGACGAAUGAUGGUCCACUUGCUUUACCGUAUAACGAAGGUUCUUCAGAAAUCAAUUCAGAUCUAACUAGAAAUCUUGCUAGAGCUUCACAAAAUCCUAUUGACCUGACUGAUUUUGAACCAUAUGUUGGUGAUGCAAGACACCAAGAAAAUGACUUAGAUGGCACAGUAGAUGUAGAAGCUAAUGAUGACACAUAAAUCCCUUCGAAACAACUAAAAAAACAGAAGAAAGGGUGGUAAAACUCCAGUGAGGAAGAGACAAAUUGUGGUGCAAUGUGUGAAGAGAGCAGCUAGAAAAUCUGUAAGAAAUUUAUUUCAGUAGAAUACUAGAAUAGAUGCUGUCGACAACCAUCAAAAGAUUUUUUCAGUGAACUAAAGUGCAGAAGAAUGUGGAAAUCAAGGUAUCUUUGACAGAGAAGCAGACAUAGUCAAUAAAGAAGAGCAGUAAGGUAAUUCUAAUAGAGAAUCAAAUGAAAUCAACCGAGAACAGCACACCACAGUAAUGGAAACAAAGAACCUGAUCCGGAUUAGUUGAGAGAGCGCUUAGAAUUUGCAGAAGAUCAGGACAUCUUUGCAACUACAGGUUCAACUGUACCUCAAACAAAUCAGCAAACUAAUGACUUGAGAGCAGUAGCAACAACAUCAGGAACCAGAAGAUGAUUUAUCCACAGCACAACAUCAGCACGGAGGAGACAAUCAAAUCAGCAAACUGAUGAUUUGAAUGAGCAGCAGCAACAACAUCAGGAACCAGAAGGUAAGGAGUCCACACCACAACAUCAGCAUGGAGGAGACACUGAGGAAUGAAAUGAACCUGUGACUGCAGAUGAAGACUUCUUAUAUUCUGGUGAUGAAAAUGGGUUUGAAUACUCAUAUUUCCAUGCUACAGUGGAGUUUAACAAACCAAAAUUUGAAUUAAAGGUUGGAAAGAAAUUCAUUAAUUUUACAAAAUUUAGAGAAGCACUUGCGAAAUGGAACAAUAGAGAGGGAUAUGAAGUUUUAUAUGUCAACAAUGACAGUUGGAGGAUAACUGCCAAAUGUGCAAAAGGAUAUUCUUGGAGGAUUCAUGCAAGCAGAAUUAAUAGGACUGACACUUUUCAGAUCAAAACACUAAAGGGAGAGCACCAUCGUGGCAGAGAAUACACUAAUAAGCAUGCAACCUCAACUUAUCUGAGCAGAAAGUUUCAAGAGAAAGUUUGAGAUGAUCCUAAUUGCAGCCUGGAUGGCAUUAUUAAUGAUGCUAAAAGAAGAUUCAUGAUUAAUAUAAGUAGCAAAAAAGCAUACAGGACUAAGAGAAAGGCCAGGAAGACAAUCAAAACUUGUGAUAUGGAUCAAUAUGAACGGCUGUGGGAUUAUGCUGCCACGGUUAGACAGUCAAAUCUAGACAGUCAUAUAGCUAUACAAAUAAAUAGGAGGUCUAUUGAGCAAAGAGCAACAUUUUAAAGGCUGUUGUAUGAGUUGGGUGCUAUUAAAAAGGGCUUUCUUGCAAGUUAUAGACCAAUCAUUGGCUUAGAUGAUUGCUUUUUUAAGGGUCCCUUUGGAGGUCAGCUAUUAGCAGCACUUGGAAGGGAUGUAAAUGACAAUAUAUUUCCCAUAGCUAUUGUCAUUGUUGAAGUACAAAACUAUAAUAGCUGGACUUGGUUUUUAAAAGAGCUGAUUACUCAUAUUGGAAGGGGCAAUGUAGUGUCUUAUACCUUCAUUUCUGACAGGCAAAAAAGCCUAGUACAUGCUAGAAGGAGCUAUUUCCUGGUGCAGAACACAGAUUUUGCCUUAAGCAUCUAUUUGAGAAUUUUAAUGCAAAGUUCAAAGAUAGUGAACUAAGGAAAUUAUUUUGGACUACUGCAUCAGCAACUAAUGUUGAUGAUUUCAAGAGAGCAUUGAAUGCUUCGGAGAUAUCUCAGCCACAAAAUGGAGAGAACUUUACUGCUGCAGCUUGGUUAAAAAGCCUGCCAUAUCACUUGUGGUCUAAAGCACAUUAUGGAAUAGCUGCUAAGACUGAUAUUUCAGUCAACAACCUGAAUGAGAGUUUCAACAACUACAUUUUAAAAGCAAGAGACGAGCCAAUUGUGACUCUUCUUGAAUUUUUCAGAAGAAAGUUAAUGCAACAAUUGACAUUGAAGAGACAAGGCAUGGAGAAAUAUAGAGACAGAUUGUGUCCAAACAUUGUUGAGAAGCUAUCCAAAAGUGUAGAGAAGGGCAAACAUUGUAUUGCUAUAUUUGAUGGUGUUAAAUCAUUUGAGGUUGAUGGUUUCAACAGAACCUCUGUUCUGAACUUGCGACGUAAAAACUGUUCAUGUUGUGCAUUCCAGCUGACUGGAAUUUUAUGUGUGCGUGCUAUUUCUGCCAUUCAAAACAUGGGGAUGAAGGUUGAAAACUAUGUCGAUGAGUGCUAUAGUAAAGAGGCAUACUUGAAGGCAUAUGCUUAUAGCAUUGGAGCUGUUCCAUCCAAAGAACACUGGAUUGAUAGUGAAAUGCAACUGUUAAAUCGACCAUUUCUGAAGAAACAACUUGGGAGAUCUAAAAAACUUAGAAGAAGAGAUCCUGAUGAACCGAGAGAUCCAUAAAGAGCUUCCAAGAAGGGUUUGACAGUAUACUGUAAAAGAUGUUUAAAAGCUAGCCAUAAUAGGAGAACUUGUAAGGAACCUCCUCAUUCCAAAUCCAAGUUGUACAAGGUACAUUUAAGUACAUGAAUUUUUCAGCACUAUGUACUCUUGAUAAUUAUUUCAGUAGUAAAUUUUGUAUUUGGUUGCAGGCUCGAGCAAGCAAUAACCAGUGAGGGGCAACAACAGUUUCCACUUCAGCCCCAACCAAAGAAGCACCAGUGCAUCAAAUAUCUCAGCAAAGCAGCACUGCUGCAGUUAGUGAUAACAAUCCUAAUUCUUGAUCCAAAAGAUCUAAGAAAAAUUAGGAUCAGAAAUUUAUGGAUGUUACUUUUAGGACUUGUGUCGAUGUAAAUAAGUUGAAAUGGCAUAUAUGCUAUCUUUGGAGCAGACAUUAUAUAAUGGAUUAACAUGUUUUGUAAGUGAUGCUCUUUUUUGUAAUGACAUUAUUGGUAUUAUUGCUCAUUUUUGUAAUGCCAUAUAUUGGAUUGUGGUUAUCAUAUUAUGACUAUCCAAAUUACUAAGGGUUCAUGAGUAAACAGGUUGUAUAGUUAUUAUCUUUCUUUCAUUAAGGAAUACAAACCAUGACAAAAUUUGAAAUUUUUUCAUAAACUAAAAUCAUUACAUUAUUUGGUAUAUCAUAUGCUGCCACUAAUCAAAUUACUAUUUUCUAUAAGCAGCAAUAACUAGAGAUAAACAACAAACAAUAAAGGACAAAAUCCUUAUCACUUUCAACAUCCCCAUAGUGCCUUCAACCGUGCUCAACUUUGCAUGUAGCCUCAACAAAAUGUCACCAUUGUUCACAGCCAGCAUACCUUCAUUACUGUUCACUCUUGGAGAGAACCCACAACUUUCGUCUAAUCUUGUUUUUGGAUUUUGACUAGUAUAUUCAUUGCUCAUUCCAUCCCUUCUUAGAGGAUUGCACCAUGCCCAAAAGAAGUAGGAUUGAUUUUCACAAAUGUAAUAUAACUUAUCUUUUGAGGGUUUGUUCGAUUCCACGAUCUUGAUUUUUUGCUCUUUUCUUGCAGAAGCACCAAGACCAUUCAUAUCUUAAAUUUGUCAAACCUCCUCCAAAAUUUGCAGAAGUGGACAUGGCGACUUUGAUAUACCUUAGAUCUUCUCCCUUUUUCCUUUCACUCUUUGAUAGUUUCAAAUCUCUUCUGCUCUAAUAUGUCACUUCAAUAUAGCAACUAAAGAGUAGCUUGGGAAUGAAACUCAAGAUCUUUUCAAAAAAACCUCGCAUACCCAUCAUCAUUAGGUCACUCAGCGGGUUAUAGGUCAAUUUUUACUUUAAUUAUGAAAUUUAGAGUGUUUAUGUGGAAGUUUCUAAACGAUAAGGGUAAGAUAUUUUUUCGCAAAAUCAUAAGCGGUUCCGUGUAUUUUACUCAAGAUUUAUCCAUGUAGUAUCAUACAUGUGCGGCGCACGUGCCUAAGUAAAAGCACGUCAAAGCUCAAAAGCCUGCUAAACUCCAUCUUCUUCCCCACUCGGGUCCUACGCCAAAACCCCACCACUCCACAGCACAGUCACACUAGCACAGUAAUAAUCCCAUUCGGGCAUUUCAUCAAAUAUCAAUGCCUCCAAAAUCCGAGCCCCAAAACCUCUCCUCCUCCGCCAUGGAAUCUUCCGACUCCUCCAUCGACCCAUUCUUCCACGUCCUCAAAAUCCUUCCCUACUCCUUCCUCCGCCCUCCUCGUCUACGUCUAAAGCUCCCAUCCUUGACUCUUCCAUCCGCCAUGACCGUCUACGCCUUGAUCCUCCUCACCUACUUCCUUGUCGUGUCAGGGCUCGUCUACGAUGUCAUCGUUGAACCUCCGGGCAUCGGAUCUACUCAGGAUCCUCGCACCGGAUCAGUUAGACCUGUUGUUUUCCUCCCGGGUCGGGUCAAUGGGCAGUAUAUUAUCGAAGGGCUCUCCUCCGGGUUCAUGUUUGUUCUUGGCGGAACUGGGAUUGUGCUUUUGGACUUGGCUUUGGACAAAAAUCGGGCUAAAAGCGUCAAGGUUUCGUUUGCUUCAGCUGGGGUUGCUUUUGUUGUGAUUGCUUAUGUUAUGAGUAUAUUGUUCAUUCGUAUUAAGAUCCCGGCUUAUCUCCGCUGAGCGCUGUUCAUCAGGAUGUUAAGGAUUUUGAGAAAAGCUCGAGUUUUUAACUUUAUUGUGUUUUUUUGGGGACCUUUUGAAUGGGAUUUAUCUUAUUGUAAUGAAUUGACUUAUCAUAUAUGAAGUUAUGGAGGAAUUUUAAUUGCAUCUUAAAGUUGUAAUGCUGGUGAUCGGUGUCAUUUUCUGGUCACUUUCUUUCUUAUAGUGUUUAGAUUGAUGGUUGUUAUGAGAUAUGAUGGAUUCUUGAACGGGUAUUGAUAAUGACUUAUUGUAUUUGAAUGUUUUGGAGGAAUUUGAAUUGCAGCUUUAAGUUGUAACGCUGGUUAUCAAUGUCAUUUUCCAGUCAAUAUUGUUACUAAAAUGUUAAAUGUGAUGCAAGCUUAUGAAGCGUGAUGGUUUUUUGAACAGGUUAUAAUGAGCUUUAUGUGUGACAUCUUAAGCUUUUUAUGAGUUGUGUUUCAUGUGUUUAAUUUGAUAUGAAUGAGGUACAUGGUGGUUUGAUUAGUGCUUAGGGAACAGCUCUUGCGUGGAUUGUUUGGUUAGGUUACUAUGAAUCAAUUAGGUGAUCAAGCUUCAAAGUUUUGUAGUGUUUGAAGGUUUAAUUGUUGUAUGCUGAAAAUCAUGGACUCACUAUUCAAACUAUGGUUUGGAAAUUCAUUAUCUUCAGCCAGAAGAAGGGUUUCAUUUCACUGUUUAACUUUGGGCUAUGUAUUAUAUGGUUUUGAUAUGUAUGUUUUGUCAAGACUGAUUUGGUGCUAAACUAGUAAUCCAGUUACUGAUUUGUGGCCAUUCUCAGGUUUAGUGAAUAGUUUAGUGAAUAGAGAGUGUACUGUUACCCUUGGAUACUUCCAAGUGCCAUAUGUAAAAUGAAGCGUUUGGUGUUUGAAUUUGUUAACGGCAGUUAUCAAUGUGGUCAAGACUUCUAAUGCCUGAACGGUUGGUAAAGUAUGACACGAGAAUAUUAUUUAGCUCAGAUUGGGAUCUGCUCUUGUUAUUUCACUGUUGAAACUAUAGCGUUCUUGCCUUGAAUUAAAUGAUGAUUUGUCUUAUAUGACAUGAGGAAGGCUGAAGUUUGGUCUUAAGCUGGACGUUGUCCAGGGAUUAAUGGAUUCAUUGCUUGUCUGUCCAUAGUUUAUAUUGUAAGACAUUUUGAGAAAGAUGUUUUGUGUUCGUGGCAUAUCUGUAGAAGGAUUAAAUCUCUGGGAUAUCGUAAAUAGCUGACAGGCUGAAGGGAAGGCUUGAGUGAGUCUGAACUGCAAAGCAUUUAUACAACUUAGUUUUUCAUUUGCACGCAUAUUCGCUCAGAAUUUAGUUAAGUUGUAAUUGUGAAUACUUGGAUAUCUUUAGCAAGUUAUUUAAUGCUUAUGUUAAAAUGGGGUUGUUGGGAAAGGCCAAAGAAAUUGUGAACAAAGUUGUGCAGAGUGGAAUGAAGGUUCCUGCAUGCACAUGGGAUGAACUGGCUACCUUAUACUACAAAGAUAAUCAGAUAGAGAAGGCUGUUGAUGCAAUGACAAGAGCACUGUUUUUGUUGCAAAGGUUUUCAUUACAAUUAAACCGCAUUUCAUAUAUUGCUUGGUUUGAAUAGUUGAAAGAGAAACAAUAUGCACUGGAAGAGAAGCUUGAAAAUUUAUUGAGAGAACAGUGUAUUUUUGGUUUAUACUAGGGGAAGUUCUGAAUUGGCUAUGGUAAUGAACUGGAAUGCAUGAUCUAGAGCUUGGUUUUGUUGUUUUUGUGGUCAAAGAGGGCGUGCAUAAGGUGACUGAUGCUGAUAGGGAACGAAAAGAGCAUAUUUUUUUUAUGGAUUGGUUUUCUUAGUUAGUUUGCUGUUUGGUUUAUGAUGGAGUAUGUUGAUUCGGGCUUCUCCAAUUCCCUGCUGGUACGCUUCUACAAUUCUAAGGACCUUUUAGCUUAGUUAAAAAAUGAAUAAUUUUUUUUUUCCAAAUCUCUCCGUUUUAGAAUCUACUACUAGUUUUGAAAGUAGAUUAUUGAUUACUUUCUCCGUAAGAGCAAAUCGUCCUUCCAAUGCAUAUGUGAUCAAAUGUUGGAAGUUUUAUAAGCGCCGAAUUUUUUUUUUUUCGUAUCCGACUUUUAGGUUCGUGUAUAUUUUAAGAUGUAAUCUUCGAUCAAUUUGGUCUAAUCUGGAACUUUGAUUAUAGCAUUUUCUUGGAGUCACUAUGAGCAUAUUUGAGCAGUAAUUACAAAUGAUUACAAUGGAUUUCAGAACUGCUUAUUAUAAUGUGAAUGAUUAUACUGGAUUUAAGAACGGGUUAUUAGAAGUUUUAUGCGUCUGUUACAAAAAAAAAAAAAAAUUUCUUUUUUUUUUUGGCUGGGGGCUAUUUCACUUGGGCUAUGUCCCAGUAAAGAAUACAAAUUUGAUGUCAAACGUCAAAAAUCAUCUUUACGUGAAGAUCAAAAAGUUUCAUCUAUUAACAAUAAUAUAUCUAAGAGAGGGGCAAUCAGUCAUCACAAGGCAACAGAAAGCUUGAAAGUUUCUGGCAAAAACGCCCACAUAAAACUGGACUAUCCAUCCAUUCAAACUAGAUAAUCUUACUGUUUGAAACAAAAAGAGAAGAGAAGCAACAAGUGAAAAAUUAUGGUACAAUAAAAGUAACCAAACAGAAAAGUCUAUGCUUCACUACAUUUCUGCGAUCCUCGAGAAACAAAUCUAGCCCACCACCUACAUUCAAGUCAGAAUUAUGCCAAAACUCACUGUUGUUUAUCCACAUUGACAACAUUAGCACAGAAAAGACAUUUGCACUUGUCAAUCUUCUUAGUACCUCCCUUGCCCAGAGACAUAAAAGUUUGCCAAUCCGUCCGUAAUCCUGAAAUAAGACCACUGGUCAUCAGAUAUAAAUAUGAAUGUUUACCAAUAAAACGUAAACUAGGGAAACUAGAACAACAGUGCACAAGGUAUUGGGGGAGAAAAAAGAUAAGAAUUAUUGGACUUCUAAUCUGCAGGCAAAACUAACCCUGAAAGACAGUAAAACGCCACUUAAGCUACACAAAAUAUGUGCAUUCGUAAUGAAAGGAAACAGAAACAUAAUGUCAAAGUGACUUACAGUAGUAUUGCAUUAGUCAGGCGCAUCAUGCAGAUAUGAGGUACUUUAGCAUGAAUUGCCUUAGGUAUUACUUUGCUACUCUCUAUCUUACAGGCUUGAAUAACAGAUUAUCCAAGUUUUUCCCAACUGAAACUGCAAAUGGAAAACUAGACCUAGGAGUUAUACAACAAAUAGGAAUUGAAAUGGCAACUGCCAGAAGAACAUUGCAUAUUUUCAAGUUGUACAGCCACUUAAACUUCCACAACUCUAUCCCCUUUUCACCCCAAAAGCACAGUCUUGACCCCUUGAACAUGUGCAACUUUUAUUUUCUAAAAAUGGAAGGAGAAGCUUACAGGCCAAAAAAAAAGGAGAAUAGAUUAAUGCAAGGUACUAGUUUUCUCUAAGAAACAAAAUUUUGCAAAACAACCACUAAUUCCUUUGGAAUAAAUCCAACGAUAAGAAGUCUGAUUAAAGUCCACAGUUGAAGAACUUCCCAAAAAAAAGAAGAAACAUCCAAAAGAAGAUGCUGGAGAACCUUUAAGAUAACUAUGCCAACAACAGCAGGAAACGCUAAUGUCCUGACCUGUUUAUUGCCAAUGAGUCUGUGCAACAGUAAGUUUAAGAUAAAAGUACAAUAAUGACCCUUCAUGAUCAGAUGGACUAUAAAUUAGCUGAUAGGUAACAAUCAGCAGCUGUGUUACCUAUCAGCUCAUGCAAAACAUUUCAUAGGCAGUGAGUUACAAUUAAAGAAUGCCGCUCUACGAAAUAUGGUUGUGCCCAUGAAUCAUAUCUGCAUUCCGAUUCUAACAUAUUUUCCCAAGUUUCAUCUAGGAUGCAUUAAGAGAAAGAAAAACUCUGUUAAGAUAAGGGCUUCAUGUAAAUUUUCAAUCACUUCUGGCACAACUGUGUUGAAAUUGGAAAAAAGCAUCACCUCAAAAAAUUGAGAACAUAAAGGAAUGUAAACUGACAUUUAGAUUGGAAAGCAUUAAAGGAUAAACACAAUACGUUUAUAUUCUGCAAAUCAAGUUCUAGAAUACCAUCUACACAUGAGGGUUGUGGAGAUGACAAAUAUGUUUGGCAUGUGAAAAGCAAAACACAAAUGUCUUACGUUUCCUGUGCAUCAAAGUAAUCUUCAUUUCUGCUAGGCUCUUCAUCAAGGUCAAUUCCGCCAUUUUCUUGAAAAGCACGAGCAUCACCAAAUUCCUCUUCCUCCUCAACAACUGCAUUUUGUCUUUCAAACAAAACGAGUGUCUCUUCAAAAUUGUAAAUGUAAAACGACCUAGUGCUCCCCCAUAUUCCAAGAUCCUCAGUGAAACCAGUCUUAGGAUUGUACAAAACCAGCCCCUUGCUCUCCUUGGCCACAAAAACAUCACCAUUCUUCCUAAAUCCAACAACUUUUUCCAUCCCUUGCACUAAAUCAAUGGCAUACAACUGAGUCCAUGACUCCCAAACUCCAUAUUCCUCCAUAACCCAAACGGAACAGGAUCCAUUAUCCUCCCACCUUGGAUACUUAAUCACAGCAAGAGAACCCUUAUACACAGAUAUAAACAGAUUCGUAGCAAGCUCAUGAGCCAAGUCGUCUGGCAGCAUGAUCUCAUUGAACACUUCAUUAUCCAUAUCAAAUCCCAAAAUCAAACUACCAAAUGAACCACUAUCAUUAUCACUUCUACGUGGAUGAUAAGCAAUCCAGUGCACAGAACCAUUCACAAAAGCUUGUGACCAUAAGAAAUCAGCAAUGCAAACCUUAAUCCCAACAUUUAUUAAUCUCCUCCAAAAUCCCAUACUAAGGCUAUAAACUUCAACCUCAGGCGGGAGCAGAAAAUCAAAUUGCCCAUCUCUGUGAUAAACAAUCCUGACCACUUUAUAAUCCUGGCUCGAAUCAGCCCCAAAUCCCAAAACAAACAUAUACGGCAAUGGAGGAUUAAUAGUUGGAGCUGGAGAGGUUACUGAUUUUCGAACCGAAGGGUUCCACAAAAUAAUGGGUUUUGUGGUACCGAACAAAUCAUCAGACAAACAAAUCAACCCAUUGCAAGUUCCCACAAUUCUGAAAUACCCAAUUAAGGAUUUGAAAGGGAAGUCAAGCUCAACUGAUUUCUUGGCAAAUUGGCCAUUUCCUCCUCCAUUUUCAUGGCCAUCUUCUUCAUCAUCUAGGUUGAUUGUGUAGUGCUCCUUCUUGUCGUCCUUCGUAUAGCGUCUGAUGAGCAGAAGGGAGGGACUAUUGGGGAUUUUUUCUGUGUGGACUUUGGUGAGAUGAGUGGUGAUGAAAUUGGGGCUUGUGAUGAGACCAUACCAUGAUUUGGAUACUAAGGUGAAACAAAGGAGGGAUUUGACAGGAACCCGUGUGAGAAUUUCGAUCAAUAGCUCUUCAGGCAAAUUAUCUGACAUUGGUGGUUUCAAUUUCGGAUUUGAUUUGAGAAGGACGUUGAAAUGGGCAGAAGCCCUAGAAUUUUGGGAGAUUUGAGAAAGGCGGGCAGAUUUAAUAUGGGAGGGAAACUACUUAGAAGAGGUCUCAACUAUGCACAAAUGUUAAAUGCGCCCAACGAAAGUUUCUUGGAUUUUUUCCCCCAUUUUUUCAUUUGAAAAGUUUUAUUUCCUUAUAAAAGAGCCCUUUUUUUUUUCCAUUGGAGGAAAAAAAUGGGUGGAAGAGUUGACAAGGAUUACCCAAGUUAAUUAAACAAAUCUUGUUAGAUUAGUUUUUUCCCUUCUUUGUUUGGGCUACUUGUAACUCCUAGGUUAAUUAAUAGUAGUUACACACAUCAAAUAUCGAAAAAUAAAAUUUAUAAAUAUUUUGUAUCAACGGUAUGAUUUUCAAUCUCCAAUUGAACAUUGAUCUAUUUCAAAUGAUUUUUUGGUUUGUUCUCACCCAAUGUAACUCAUGAACAUCAAUAAUAUAUCUAACUAGGAACCAAAAAUUCCAGUUUCUUAUGUUUAGGCUACUGAAUACACGAAUUCAAAAUGUGAGAAUGAGGUAAAUUAGUAAAAUUAAUUACUCUUACAAAUAUUGUUUAGUGGUCAAAGAGAUAUGAAAAUCACUUGAAAUUGUGAGAUGCAAUUUUUUCACAUCGAAACAACAAGAAUGGUAUCAAUGUGACAUUAUUGAGAGUGUACUCUGUACAAUCUUUAGGAAUUCUAUUUUCGCACACGAAAAUGAAAUCCAAACGAGUAUUCUCAAGUUUUGGUGGCACAAUUGCAUUAGUAAACCAUAGCAUAACCUUCACUGACGUAUCAUAUUUUUGAGAAAUUUUUGGUUCAUUGAUGCAACUAUAAAUGUUGAAGGUGGCUGCUAUUAGCCAUAAAGAAAUUAAUAUCCUUCAUAGAGCUACCAAAAUGAAGCACGAAUAGAGCACUAUAAUCCCCCAUAUAUGCUAAUCUAAAGAUAGAGAAAGCUCGCUUCAUUUGCUUCUUGUUCAAUGAGCCAGAGAUGAAACCAAACUAAUUGUAGGGUCUCUAAAAGAUGAAGUAAUAGCUGAAAAGAUGGGAAAGAAAAACUUGGAAAAGGGUAACAUGAUUAUUAUCUAUUCUUAGGUAGGAAUUCUAUAACAUGAUUAUUAUCUAUUCUUAGAUAGGAAUUCUAUGUUUUCCUCUCUAACAAAUUGAAGUUGCUCUACACAUUGAUGAUGCACUAAGCAGGAAUAACUGCAGAAGUUUUGGCCUUAUUGAUGAAUAUGCAAAUGCUACAAAAUUAAAGAUUGAAAUUGAUGGAUUGGACAAUUGACAAGACCUCUCUUAUUCUGAGGUGCAAUUUUCUUUAAGACAAAUAAAGGUAGGAAUAAAUUAGAGUAACAUUAUCUGAGUAAAUAAUUGAAUGUAAGGUCAUUAUCACAAUACAAUGCCCACCUUAAAUAUGAGUUUGUAAGACCACUAAAUGAUUAAGUGAGGGCUUACAUGCUAGUUUGCUGGAAACACGAAAAUCAAUAGUUGGAUUGACCCGAUUAAUUAUAAUCAAGGUUUUGAAACUCAAAUCGUUUAUUUCGUUGGCUCAGAAGAUUGAUUGGUCAAGGAUUAAUUACAGAUUCAAUAGUUGGAUUGACCAUGAUUAAUUAUAAUUGGCCCAUGAUGUCAUGAAUAUUUUAUAUAUUACUUAAUUUACCUAAACUGGAGUGUUUGUAGAUCUUUUAUUCCAAUCAAAUAAGUAACUUUGUGUCAAUAAAAUGAUAGGCUCAUGUAAAUUAAUUUUGAACACAUCUUAACUUUAUUAAGAUGAAAAUAUCAUACAAAUAAAGUUUAUUAAUGUGUAGAAAGAAUAUAAGGACAAAGGAAAAAAUUGUCCUGAUAAAUGAGAAAAAUCACAUUACAAAGACAUAAAUGGAGACAUAAAUAAAUGUUUGUGUAAUUUGUUGAGAUAUGAAGAGGAUAGAAAAAAUUAGUGAAGAAAUUAAAUAUGUAUAUUAAGUAGGGAGACAAAAUAUUAAUUGAAAAUCACGUUUAAGCGAAGAGAAAAAGAGAGUAACACUUAACUGCCUAAAAAAAAUUGGUCAAAUUUGUCACUAUAUAUUGGAUAACUCUAACCAAUGAGCAUUACCUGGUUCAAUUUGAGCUAUAGAAACAUGUACACGAAUGUCGCACUUGAUAGCAGUUCAAUGGAGCCUUCUUAUUCUAGCAAUUGUUGCAAUACAAGAACAAUAUUAAAUAGUUUAAACAUGUCAUUUUACGUAUCUUUUGAGAGUUCCAUGUAUUUGAACAUGAAAUCUUGGUAGACCAAUUUUAUUUUGUAAAUAAUUUUGUUCUGUAAACUACAUGAUGACAAGUAAUCCACAAUGAUGGAUCAAUAAAAUACGUAUUAUAGCUCGAAAUAUCAAAACUGAUAACCCAUAGGGAAUUUUUUUUUUUUUGGUAGCGGAGAAGAGUUGGCUAAGAAAUCAAGUAGCAAAGAAGUUGAAAAGAAAUGGCAUGGAGCAUCUCGUACAUCACAUCCUCUCAGCUCGUUCCUCUCUGAAAAAUCGAUGAGGAAAGAAGUUACGAUGGGCACAUAGUUGCAUCGCUCCACUUCGCCAUUGACACUUUUCUUAACAAAAUCCCCAGUCUUAUUGAAGUUCCCUGUGGGGGAGACAGCAAAGCACCUUCAGUUUAGAUAGGGCUUUGCCCAAAGGGGAGAAAAACAAAUGAUCAUCUUGGCUUUUUCUGAUUUUUACUUUCCCUACUUAUUCUCUUGUUUGGCUAUUGCUUUUUGAUUUGUAGAGAAAAACAGAUUUAACUGGAUUUUUGUAUACGAGCAUAAAUGUUGUCUAACUCCAUUUAUGAAAGGUGGUGUAGUUAAUUUGUUGGCCGUUUGGUUCUUAUAGAAUGACAUUCUUGAUUCUUUCAAAAGGUGCCAUAUCACUUCAUUUGUUAAUAUAAUGAUAAGAAAAUCAAGAAGUAAAAUAUUCUCUUGUUUAAGACCACCAAUAAGAAUGCUUCAAAAAAAAAAAAUUACCACCAAUAACAAGCCUACGUACAUUGCACGUCAUAUGUAAUUGUGAACUAACUAAGGAUUAAUGUUAUAUACAAUAUCAAUGUAAAGAUUUUUUAUACAAUCAGUUACGAAUAUAUGAUAGAUGGGUAAAAAAUGAACUUAAAAUUUGAAUACUGAUGAUAUGGCAUUCAUUUGCCGAGUCCAUUUCUUUUUUAUUCAUUAAGAAUGAUUGAAAAGUUAUUAAAAAUUCUAUCUCGAGUUUGACAUUUAGGUUUCUUUAGAGAAAUUUUUUUUAAUGAAUCAAGUAAUGCGAACAGCUCUUUCUUUUGAUGCCUUUGCAAAUGUAAAAUAUCCCAAAAACUUGAAAGAAUCUAAAAACUUUUCAAUGAUUUUAAUGAAAGAACCGAAAGCUGAAGAUAUGCCCUGUUCCAACUUUCAUUACAACAAUAUUAUGAAUAUCUAAAGACUGGAAGACCAAGCCUUUCAUGCUUAAACUCACCCCGCACUGCUUUAGACAAUGACGCAAACUCCGUAAAAAUCUGAUCUGAGUUAACAGUGAGCCCAAAGUUAGACUCUAUCUAUAGCUGCUUUCAGAUUUUGGCACAACCCAUCCUAUUGUUACACCAGGUGAAUUUUGAUCUAGAAAAGCCAGCAUCUAAAACUUGUGCAUCCGCAAUAAAGACUAAAAAAUCUAUUGCUUUCGAGGGUAAAAAUGGCCGCCCUUCUCUCUUCUUCUCGGCAUCCAAAAUUAUAUUAAAAUCUCCCCCAAUCACCCAAGGCAAAGUCAAAGAGGCAAUAUCUUGCAUCAAACCUGUCCACAAUUGCAAUCUUUCCUUAGCAGUACACUUCACAUGAACCCAAGAAAAUAAUACUGGAAAGGGAUAAAAAGAAUGCUGAAUUGAGAGAGAAAGAUGUUGCUCACUUUGGCAUACAAUAGAACAUAUUAUAGAGCUUUGGUGGAAAACCCAGCAUAGGUAUAUGAAAUGAAACCGUGGAUUAUACCAAGCAAAAUACUUCUUUUUAAUUAGAAUCAAAUGAUAAUGUUACUAGUAUAUAAAGAGAAUAGAUCUAUAGGUUGUAUGCAUUGUACAGACACCCACAAAAUGACGCGUGUGAAAUCCUUAUUUCAAAUAAGAAAAAAAAUAUAAUAUAUUUCCUAAGAAAAUGAAAAACAUUAAUGAGGAAAGACAUAACUGUACAAUAUCUUCUCGACCCUAUCCAUGGCGCCUGCUAUCCUAGCGAGAGGAUGACGCACCAUCAUACCAAAAAGGAUUUAGAUAUCUUCAUCACGAACAUUAAUACACAAAGGAAAAAAAAUAAAGUUUAGCAAAUUUUUUCAUGCAUAAUAGUCAAGGAACUCAGGUCAUUGCUACUUUUGUUAUCAGAAUGAGAGUUAUCUUUUAUGUUUGGUUGACCAUGGCAUGAGAAUUUGAUCAGAUUUACACCUAUUCCAUAAGGGAAAAACUUGACUUCUUGAAUGAUCCUCUAUUAAGAGCUAAAUUGGACCUAUACCUAUUUCUCUAGCAGCCUCAGCAAGGCUAUUUGGAUUUGAUCUAGAUAUUGUUCCAGCUAAAUUGCUAAAAUAAUUGAAUUUUGUAGGCCUGAUUUAUUAGUGAUAGAACAAACAAUUCCCACUUAAAAGAAGACAAGAAAUUGAUAAAUGUGAUAUGAAGACAUCUAAUAAGCUGGAAUUAUAGCUGAAUAAUAUUCGUUAAUUAAUUAGGUUAAGCAAUCUAUGAACGGGUCAUUUCUUUAGUUUCAUUAAUUUUUUGUUUUAAGACUAGCAGAAAUAAAGCACAAUGGAAGCUGUUCCUUUUUUUUUUUUUUUGUUCUCUUGAUAGAUUGUAGAAUAGAAUAGUGUCAUAAGUGAGGAAUUCGUUCACUGACUAGGUAGCUUGAUCUUUAGGAAGUUCGGUCUACACAUGUCUACAUAGGUUAUUUACUAAUAUCAGAUGGAUUCAGAAAAUAACCACAACAAUCAUAUCCAAAAUCAUGAUGAAGGUGAGAACGUUAAAACCAAGAACCUGAGUUGCAACUUCCUCCUCUACCCCAAGACAUGCAAGGAUUUGAGGAGUUAAGUACAACCAUUGUAGAGCUCUUGAAGUACAGGUAAACAGCCUUGGCAUCUCAAGAUCAACCUCCAGAUGGUGGGUCGGCGGCAUCUACCACCAAUGGUAACCCUCUCCCACAAGAUCAUGCUAGUAAGUGUAGAAAUGUAGGGCUUCACCCUAAUGCAACCAAUGAUCGCCCUCUCUCAAUAUAAUGUUGAUGUUGGAAAUGAUAAUGACUCUCAUGAUGAUAUGCUUGUUGAGUCCAAUGCUAGAAGAACAUAUUGCGUAAUAUGUGCUUGUUGAGUCCAAUGCUUAGAAGGCAAAAAUAGCUAAUCCGUGCUAAUUAAGUGAAGAACAUAUGUUUAGAGUAAUAUUGACAAGUUGACCUGGCUUUUAAAAAACAAGAGUGGCCUAAUGUACUUGUUUAUGCCUUUGUUCUCAGCAUGUGUCUUUGUUUUCUUUUCCAUUUUAGCGUGUUUGUAACUUGUUUUUAGUAUGUGUCUUUGUUCCAAUGUACUCGUUUGUAUUUUUCAGUAUGUGUGGAAGUCUACUUUUUUGUAAUUUGCUUAAUUCACGUAUGCAUCUUGUUUGCCAGGGCAUGGGUAUACUGAUUUUGUUCUCUGUUGUUUGUGAUGAAUUUAAUCUAAUACAACCAUUGAGCUUAAUUUUCAGAUUGGUACAAGAAUUUCUAUACAAUAUUGAUUAAAUUUAAUUAUUCUCAAAGUAAUUCAAUUUUUUCAUUACAAUGUCAUUUUUGAGGUUGAUUUAUCAAUUCAAGAGUAUUUUCAAGAACUUGAUGUUAAAAGUCAAUGAUUUUCUGUAUUUUGAGAUGGUUAAAUAUGUUGAAAUUAACAAAACACUUUUUUUUUUUAAAAGCCCAUUUGCAGUCCAAUGCAUCCUCAAUUUCCAAUCAUAUAACUGCUUAUAGGAAAGGCAGAAAUGGUUAUUGAAGGUUGAGACCAUCGAUACAAUAGUUUCUAGAUGGUUUCACAGCAAACUAAUUUAUGAAAUGUGACAUGUCUAAUUGAAGAGAAUUAAUGAGUUAUGGGUCAUUUGGAUUUUACCCAUAUUGAAUAUUAUAUUAUAUGUUUAAAAAUUAUCCCUAAUUUUAAAAUAACUAAUCUUAUCUUAAUGAUAUCUAAAAUAACUUUUAAAAAAUAACUAAUCUUAUCUUAAUGAUAUCUGCUUUUUAUCAAAUUAUUACAUAGAACUAUAGUAAAGCCAUGACAUACUGCAAUUACAAGUAUUAAAAUCUUACAUAUUCCAUAAAUUACUUUCUUUCAUCACCAUAUCUUUGAUUAGUAUUUAAAUUGUUCAUCAUCUCUUCUCUCAAUUUUAAUUAACUUAGUAUAAAAAAGAGAAUUAAUUGUUACACCAGCAGAUGUACCAAUAUUGUUGAAAAACUAAAUAUUUAUUGAUGAAAAAAAGCGGAUUGCUAGAUCUUUUCUACUUAAUUAAAUGUGAAUAUAUAGUUCUAGAUUUAUGGUCAUUAUAAAAAUUUAAAUUAUCUAAAAGAAUAUUUAAAAAAAGAAUAUCUACCAAGUUUUUAAUAUGUGAUACAUUUUUUGAUGUAUACUAUCAUAUUAUAGUGAAAGUAUGUAAACAAAUUAUUAAAAAUUAGUAAAUAAUUGAACAUUUAGAAUACAUUAAUUUUUUAAAGUUAAUAUAAAUGGACAUGUAGGAUUGUUGUUAAUUUUCAUAUUUAAAUUAUUCAUAUUUGUAUAAGUUCACAAUAAAAAUAAGACCAUACUAAGGUACGAGCAAAAUUCUAAUAUUUAAUUAGUUUUCACAAUCAUUUGUACAUAUCAAAUUUUGCAAUAUUUUAAAUAAUGACCAUACAUUAUUUGGAUACUUGUAUUUGACAAUUGCCCCACCCUUUGCCCUUUGCUACAGAAACUCCAUGCAUUCCUCUAGUUAACUUGCAAUCUCAAGGACAUUAGACCUAGGCAUGGAUGUAUCCUUAACUCCUGGUCUAGUUAAGAAUUUUGUGUUGCUAUCCAAUAUCUUUUAAUAUUCUAUAACUAAUGUUUUUAUUGUAUAUGAAACGAACUAGUUUAUAGUAGGAUUUAAAUUUUUUCAAAUUUCAGUAUUUUCAAUUCAGUUUCAAAUACUAUAUUUUGGAGAUACAGGUAAUAAGAAAUUAGAAUAAAUGGAAAAAAUUAAGUAAUUCAAAGUAAGGGUAGUUGUCGUAAUAACGACCUAAAAUCAUGGAAUUUAGGAGCUGCCUGAAAUUAAAUAGUAAUAUAUUUGCAUUGAUACUAAGAAAUGGAGAAAUGUGAAAUAUAUUACACCCUAGAGGCUUAUAUACCUCUCUUACUAUCAACUUAAGAAUCUCCAUUUUUAUCCAUCCAUUUUAUUACUCUAAUCAACCUUGACAUUUAUUGAAAACUUAGGGUCGAAAAAAGUAAUGAAAAACAAUUGAAAUUUCUACAAGUUGACUAAUGUACAAGAUUGACAUUGGUUAAAAAAUUCUAGUCUUUUCCUUUCUUGCCCUUAACCAAUAUACUUUCAUCGCAAAUAACUUGCCUAUGACAUAAUUCAAAAGUAAUUUCCUUAAUUUUCCCUAUUCUAUUGUUAUGGCAUGAUGCCCUAGUGCAAUUUUAAUACAAUGAAAGAAAAAAAAAAGAAAAAAGAAACUGCUACUUUUGAUAACAAUCGAAGUGCGGACACCGUGCGACCAAUUUAGUAGUUUGAUCCUCAGGAGUUUAGGUCUAAGAAUGCAUAUAUCUUCAGCUUCUUUACUCUUUAUCAUUGUGUUUAUAUGUUGAUAUAAAUUCCCUAGUUACUAUGACAAAUAUCAGCUCAUUCACUUUCACUUGGGAAUUUCAAUCUCAUCCUACUGAACUCAUAACUCAUGAGAUUAAAAAAGUUAAAAUAUAAUCUUGAAUUAGUGAUUAAAUUCAAGUACUCUUACAACAAAAAUUAUUCUACUUUAGUUUAACUCUCUAAUUGUUCUUAGUCAAAUUAGUUAUCAUGUGUCAUGACAAAAAACAACCACACUAAUCAUAAAGAAAUUCCACCCCAUUCUUAGUCUUAGGAAGCGCCAGUCUACCCAUCUUUGUUUCAAUCCUAUCCAUCCUUAGAAUCUAAAGUCGAAACUAGCCAAUAGUAAAAUCUAGAGACCGCCAAAAGGUUGAUAUGUUGCAGAUGCAAAAUGAGCAAAACCCACAAGUGACUUUUCUAAAAGGCUAGAGAUAUCUGCAGCCUUACUAGUUCAAAAAAUCACCUUAGUGGUUUUCUCUUCUAGAGAAAAAUUUAAUUGUUUUGGCAGCGUUGAUGCGGUAUUCAGAGAUUUGAAUCCCAAACUCCUAUAUAAAUUGAUCCCCAAACAGCUAUAUCAAUUGAUCCCCUAUGCCUGGACGUUAUAAUACCCCCAGGGGAGGAAAGGAAGGAAAGCAUAUGAAAAUUUUGGCAGAAAUAGAUAUAUCCCAACCUCUUGUUAGAGGAUGUCCUGUCAAGCACAAUGGGGUUGAAGUAUGGGCUGAAUUUAGAUAUGAGAGAUGCCCGGAUUUUUGCUAUAGAUGUGGGGUGAUAGGACAUAAUGAUAAAACUUGCAACUUUGAGGAUAAGACGGGGAAAAUUUUGAGAGAAGGUCAGUAUGGAGCGUGGUUGAAAGCAGGGAACAUUAUGACAUCUCCUAUGCGAAGUCCAGUGGGAGAAAAAGUGCCAGUUCAGGAGACACAAACACAAAUCCAAAUACAAGGAAGGGAAACAUUGACUCCUGGACAAGAAAGAUGCAAAUUAAAAAAGAUGGCCCAAAGCAAAGAGACUCUAAAAAAAGGGGUGCCAGAGGAAGGACAGAAGGGUAUGGUGCAGAGUUAUAGUCAAGAGGGUAACUUGGUGGAAGGAAAGGAAAUAGUACUGAUCAGGAAAUUGGAGGAAAAGGAAAAAAGAAAGGAUGAGGGACAAGGUGAGGAAAAUCAGGUGAGUACUCCCUCAAAUACAGGGCCAAAUGAAUACACUGGGGAUCUGACAAGAGAUAAAGUACAGGAGAUGUGUGUAGAUGUAAGUGAAGGAGAGGGAGAGCAAGAGAUAGACAAUAGGCAGGAAGAAAAUGAGGUGGAGAAGAAUAGCACAGGGGAAUCAGGAAAGAUUUUAAAAAAGAAGGAGAGCCUGAAGGAAAAUGUGGGAACUGGACGAAAGUCUCGACUUGCAAAAGGGACCAUGAGAAGCAGAGGAGCCCCUCUGACAGAGAAAAGUUUGCAAUCAAAGCAGUUCAACCUGAGAGAGAAAAGGAAGACCAUGUUACGGGAUGAACCAGAGGACAUGAUUGUGGACUCAGAACCUACGGAACAGGGAAGAACAAAGGUUCAAAAGAAAGAAGUACAACUGGAAACACUGCUGAGGGUGACGGAGGCAAUCCCAAAAGGGCCUCCAUUGUGUCAAUGAAGGUUGGGGUGUGGAACUGUCGAGGUGCAGGGAGCCCCUUGACAGUUCCCCAACUUAAGGAGGUAAUACAUCUUCACUCCCCGGGAAUCUUAUUCCUCAGUGAAACAAAAAAUCAAAAAAAGUUUAUGGAAAGUGUAAGACAGAAGUUAAAUUUUGAAGAUAGUGUUAUAGUAGACUCAGUAGGUAAAGCUGGAGGUUUAGCUUUGUUUUGGAAACAUUGGAUAAAGGUGGUGGAGGUGGAACUCUCCAACUUUUACAUUGCUGCUCGUAUGAUGGAUAUGGAGGCAAGGUGUGAAUGGACUUUUAUUGGAAUUUAUGCUAGUACGGAUGAUGGAAGGAGAAGAAGUCAGUGGAGAGAGAUAGAAAGGACAAUGACAAAAUGGGGAGACAAAUGGAUCAUAGUAGGUGAUUUUAAUGAUAUAUUGUCAAAUGGAGAGAAGUGGGGUGGAAGACAAAGACCUGAGUGGAGUUUUGCUGACUUUAGGGGGCUAGUUACUGGGAAUGAACUAGUAGAUAUAGAAUACGAGGGUAAGCCUUGGACUUGGUGCUCUCAUUGGGAGGGUCAGGAGAUAAAACAACGACUAGAUAGAGCAUUGGCAAAUAAAGAAUGGACCAAACAGUUUGAAACAGCAAAGUGUAUCCACAUUGAAAAAGAGGCUUCUGACCAUAGUUUGAUUAUGCUUGACACAAUGCCAAGACGGAGAAAGGGGGGGAGGAGAUUUCAUUUUGACAAAAAAUGGGCUCAGUCGCAACACAUUCAGGAUUUGAUAAGUAGAGAAUGGGAAAAACCUCAACAAGGAUCCAAAAUGUUUAGAUUGACAAGGAAGGUGAACAGUUGUAAAAUGCGCUUGAUAGAAUGGAGUAAGGCAAAUGAGACAAAUUUUGGAAAAGAGAUAAAGUGUCUGAAGCAGCAGAUCAUGGAGGCUAAGGCAGGGGACUAUGGAAAGAAUAAAGGGCUCAUAGCUGAACUAAAGCUGAAGCUUAGCCAGGCCUACAAACAAGAAGAGCUGUACUGGGCACAAAAGGCAAGAUGCAGGUGGUUGCGAGAGGGAGAUAAAAAUACAGCUUUCUUCCAUGCAAAUGUGAAAACUAGAAGGCAAAGGAAUAGACUAACAUGCCUGCAAGAUGAAACUGGGAAAUGGUGUGAGACAGAACAGGAAAUUGAAGAGGAAAUAUGCAAUUUCUACCAGAAAGUAUACACAUCUUCUCAGCCAUCUGACAUUGAAGCAAUUACUGAGGGAGUUCCCCGUACAGUCACUAAGGAGAUGAACACAAUGCUGACUAAACCAGUGGAGGAGAGGGAGGUGAAGACUGCUUUAUUUUCUAUGCAUCCAGAUAAGGCUCCUGGUCCGGACGGUAUGUCCCCUUUUUUCUUCCAAAAGUACUGGAAUAUCUGCAAAACUGAUAUUGUGUUAGCCAUUCAAAGUUUUCUUUCUGGUGGGCAUUUGCUCAAAGCUUUAAAUAAAACUAUAGUGACCCUGAUUCCCAAAGUAGAAGCCCCUAUUAACUUGUCCCAGUAUCGACCUAUAUCUUUGUGUAAUGUCAUAUAUAGAGUCAUUGCAAAAGUGUUGGCAAACAGAUUGAAAAGAGUCAUCCCAAAGUGUAUUAGCUAUGCACAAUCUGCUUUUGUCCCAGGAAGACAUAUCCUUGACAAUGUCAUCAUAGCCCAGGAACUGAUUCACUUCUUGAAAAAUAAGAGAAUAGGUAGAAAUGGUUCCAUGACCCUAAAGCUCGAUUUAUCAAAGGCCUAUGAUAGAGUGGAAUGGCAGUUUCUUGGGAGAAUGAUGAUGAAAAUGGGCUUCUGCCCCAUCUGGGUAAAAUGGAUCCUAAACUGCGUCACUACUGCAGCUUACUCUUUCAAUGUCAAUGGCCAACAGGUGGGUUAUGUCAAACCAUAGAGGGGCAUAAGGCAAGGAGAUCCCCUAUCCCCCUACUUGUUCCUUAUAUGCGUUGAGGGGAUGUCUAGUCUGAUGCACCAGAGUAUACAAAAUAAAGCUAUAACAGGAGUCCAAGUGGGAAAGGCAUGUCCACAACUGUCUCACUUACUCUUUGCUGAUGAUUCUCUCUUUUGCUGCAAAGCUAGCAUCCAGGAAGCUGAACAAAUGAAGGAGAUGUUUGCUAUCUACGAGAGAGCUUCAGGACAAGCUAUCAUUACGAAAAAUCUGCUGUGUUCUUUAGCGCAAACACAAGCAAGGAAAUGAGAAGUAACAUCUGUGUUGCACUUGGGAAUAUGAAGGAAACAGUAAGUGGCAAAUACCUAGGAUUACCUAUGCUGAUAGGAAGGUCUAAGCAACAGGUAUUUGGAUACAUUCAGCAAAAGGUGAAGGACAAGCUCCAAGGAUGGAAGAGGAACCUGUUGAGUCCAGCAGGAAAGGAGACCCUUAUCAAAUCAGUGGCAAUGGCACUUCCCACCUAUACCAUGUCAUGCUUCAAGAUUCCCAAAGUAUUGUGCAAGAACAUAAGUAGAAUGAUAGCUGCCUUUUGGUGGGGUGGGGGAGGAAAUGAAAGGAAACUGCACUGGACUAGCUGGAAAAAAAUGUCUCAGGUGAAAGGUAGAGGUGGUCUAGGAUUCAGAGACUUGGAAAAAUUUAAUGAGGCACUCCUGGCCAAGCAAAUGUGGAGAAUAAUUACCAAUCCAAAUCUGUUGGUAAGUCAGGUGAUGAAGGCAAAAUAUCUAGCAAGACCACAGAACUGGAGUAAGGAUCCCCCAAAAUCAGCCUCGUGGGUAUGGAAAAGCAUAAUGGGAACCAGGAAACUGGUGCAAGAAGGAAUAGGAAUGCGAGUAGGAGAUGGGAGAUCAAUUGAUAUUUGGCAGGAUAAGUGGAUACCAGGGAGUGACAAUGGAAGAUUAACAACUGUAAGACAUCCACAAUGCACGAUCAAAAAAGUAGCUGAACUGAUCACGGAUGGAGAAUGGAACCAGGCAGUUCUCAAACGUUGGUUUAUAGAGGAGGAUAUCCAAAAGAUAAAGGCAAUUCCAAUAAGCACCACAGGCUGCCAGGAUAGAAUGUACUGGAGAUACACCAAGUCAGGUGUUUUCACUGUGAAGUCAGCCUAUGAUGCAGCAAUGGAAGCAAGUAAGGAACAGCUGAAGGGAAGGGUGCAAACAAAUAUUGAAAGCACCAGUUAUGAUCAACAGAACUCAAAAAUCUGGAAGAAUGUAUGGUCCUUACAGCUGAAACACAAAUUAAAGCAUUUCCUGUAGAGGUGUCUGCACCACAGUCUGCCCGUGAAUGAACAGAUAAAUAGAAGGACAGGCAAAGGCACUCCAAUGUGUAGAAGCUGUGGGGAGGAGGUGGAAACAAUUGAGCAUAUGCUGUUCUUUUGCCAAGAUGCUGAAACGAUUUGGAAGCUAUCACCAGUGCAAUGGGAUGGUUUGAAGGACAUGAGAAGCAAUUUUGUAAGGUGGUGGGAAGGGAUAUUAGGAGCAAAAGAAAGGGAUCACGAACAGGAGCAUAUAGCUCUCACCGUAAAUAUCCUAUGGCAAAUAUGGAAAGCAAGAAAUAGGAAAGUUUUUGAGGCACAAGAGGCAGAUCCCAGAAAGUCAGUCCAGCAAGCUCUAGUAGAGUGGGAAGAGUAUAUAGAGGCUCAAAAAGAUACAGCUGGAGAGUUCAUUCAACAAACAGUACACUCAAGCAAUAUAGGGAAAUGGAGUCCACCACCAGGGGGACUGAUAAAAAUAAACACAGAUGCUGCUUUCUCUAACAACAUGAGGAGAACAGGCAUGGGAGCUGUGGCUAGAAAUGCUGAAGGUAAACUGGUGAAAGUCUGGGCACGAGCUGCAUACAAAACUAGUGAACCACAAGUGGAGGAAGCAGCAGCAAUUAGGAUGGGAAUGCAAAUGGCUCACGAAGCAAACUGGAAGGCAGUAGAAUUCCAAUCUGAUUGCAAAGAGGUGGUGGAUAGGAUAAACAAGGAAAAUGGGCAGCAAUCAAGAGUAGAUGUUAUCCUGGAGGACAUUGCGAAUAUGAGAUGUUUGUUUGCAAAAUGUACUUUCUCUUUUGUCCAUAGAACUGGAAAUUGUUGUGCACAUAGUUUGGCUAAGUUUGCGGUACAGCUAACAAAAAAUGUUGAAUGGGAAGAGUACUUUCCCAUGUGGCUCCAUGAGAGUGCACAAAAUGAUUAUACAGGAAGCAAUCCUGAUGUAUCAAAUCUUGUACUAUCAAGUUUAUGAAAUGAAGAUUAUGGUGUUUGAAAAAAAAAAAAAAAAAAUUGAUCCCCUAUGCCUUCUUUUGGAGGUUCAUCACAAGCUUAAUGUUCAAUAUCUGAACAAAGAACUCACAACCCUUGAAAAUCAGUUGGAGGCUCUAAAGAAAAUAGUGAAAACCCUUAACCAGUAUAGCGAAAUCUGCCAAAAUUAUGUUAAAGGUGAUCAAUUGAAGAAAACAAUACAUGAGCCAGUAUGGAAAUCAAAAUCCAAAUCUCCAUGGGUUCAAUCCUUAUGGAAUGAGUUAGUUCGGCAUCAAUGCUAGGUAAAGCGGCCCUAGUGUUUUUGAUCUUUUUCAAUCUAAACCAUCAAGCAGCAUGGCAUUUACCCCAGGGGCUUGUCCCUUUAGGGUAGUAAAUACUGGCAGUUCAAUCAAUGAUGGCAUGUAAAAUGGUUUUUGCUGGGGAAAAUGGCCAAACUUCAGUUUCUUUUAGUCCAAAUUUUCAGAACCUGCUAAUGCAACUAUGCCUCCUCAACCUUCUCAAGGAUUCAACAGUGGCUAUGGUGGUUUCAACUGGUUCUAGAUCUAGGUUACCAGAAUCCCUUGGCUGCUACUAAUUAAUGGCUGUCAUUUUUCUUCUUCUUUUUUUUUUCCCUCAUUAAUGCACGACUGGUUUUGUUGUUUUUCCCUUGUUACCUUUAGCACCAUUUGUAUAUCAAGGUGUAGGAUUUGCUUCUUUUCUAUCUGAUGUAUUUUCAGUUGUUAUGUUGUUCAAAUAGAUCAGAAUCUGGUAGGAUUAAUGCUUGUCAUUUUCCUUUGCCUAUUAAUGCACGAAGAUGGUUGUUUUGCCUUUAACAUCCUGUAUAUCAAGGUGUAGGAUUUGGUUCUUUUUUAUUUUCUGUUUCAGUUUUUCAAUUGUAGUAUUCUGAUUUUUGUGCUGUACCUUGCCGAUCCUGCUUUUAGCAGCGAACUAUUUUCCUGUUUACUUAAACUUUUAAAUCUACUUUCUUUGUUAACUUAUAUGUAAUUGUUUCUUGAGUAAAUCUUUCCUACACUGACGGUGUAUACACUAUCAUCGUUGGAUUCAUGACAUGUAUACAAAAGUUGAAUUUAAUUUCAAAUUUUGCAUAGUUGUCAUUCAUCCAAUGCUGAUAGUGUAUACACUGUCAGUGUAUGAAAGAUUAAUCCUUGUUUUUCUAUCCUAUUCAGAACUUUCAGACUUGUACUAAAAUUAAAAAAAUUGAAACUCGAUAAUCUUAUUAGGAUAAAUUUUGCUAGGAACAUGUUUUGGUACUAAACUAUUUUACAAUCUUAUUUAAAGAAAAUUUGAGGAACCAACGUUUUGUAAAACAAUAAAUUCUAAUUCUUUCGAAAAAAAAUUGCAUUUCAAUGGUUCAGCAUGGUAGUAAAUUAAUUUCACACAAGAACACCGAGAAACCAAGAUCUACAUGAUCAAAAAAAAUUCAAGUUGCACCAAAUUAUGUAACCCAUUAUGAAACUUGAUAAAGUUUGACAACUUAGCCAAUUUUUGGCGACUCAGUCUUAUAGAAUGGUUCUUUUUUAUAAGGUGCUAUAUACGCUUGAUUUGUUUGAUGUAAUUAUCCAAAAUAAAAAUCAAGAAGUAAAAUAUUCUCUUGUUUAGGACACCCAAGAAGAAGCGUACGAACAUCGCACGUCAUAGUUGUGAACUAAAAACUUUUCUUUUUCUUUGUUUGGGUAAGCUAUUGUGAACUGAAAUUAUUUUGAUUUUUUGAGUGUCAAUUAGGAAGAAGGAAUUUAGCAAUCAUCAUUUACAGUUCAAUUAAGAAUUCAUGGGACAUUUUUUAGACCCUUUCAUUUUUCAGCAUAAUUGAUAUUUUCUAUACAAAUAAGAAAGCUCAGAUGUUUACCUGCCUGAUUAAAUAGUAAACUCUUUUGUAAUAUUGGAGUUUUCGUGUCAUGAAAAAAAGAGCUAGUACAAAUGCCUACCACGAAUUUUCACAAUUUUUUCAACAAUUAGUAAUAUUCCAAUUGCAUUUAUAUUUUUGUUCUAGAAUAAGAAAUUGAGAAUCAUAUAUGUACAAAUUAAUGGAAACUCUAGUUCCAAGUACAAGAAUGAAAAUGUUGUGCAUGUGAUGUUAUAGGCAAUGUUUUAAAACUUGAAUUAUUAAGUGAAUUGGAUGAGCUUUUCGUUUACAGUUCAAAUUGGUUCAACCAGUUUAAUUCAGUUGAAAUGUUUUUUUUUAUUCUUUUAUUUACUACGUAAAUUCGAUUGACUUUAAAAUUGAAAAAAAAAAUUAGUAUGAACCAAUUCAAAAGUCUAAUUUUUCUUUAUCUAUUUUGAUCGAUUCGACUUGUUCUUAACUUAAUUUGAUUGAUUUAAUUGAUUUUUUGGGUUCACUAGUGAACUGGACUAGUGCCAUGGCUGCUUCAUAGUUUGAUCAGUCCAAACUGACCAAUUUAGUCCAAUUUUCAAAGCACUGCUUAUAGGUAAAGUACCGAAGACUUGAAGGUGCUAUUUUGGCUAUUGUUUGAAUCAUACCACUAAAUUUAGUUUAAAAUUUUUCAAUAGAAACCAAAUGAUGAUUUUAUACCACUUUUUGAAUCAUACCACUUUCAUUUUAUUUUCCAAAAUGAAAUAUAUCAGUAUUAUUAUGAAUUGGACAUAUAUGUAUACAUUGACAAACCAACGCAAUUGUAUAGUACAUUAGACUAAUGAUCUACAGUGAUACACAAAUAUAGGCACACAAAAAGUAGAUAUGUAACAUGUAAUAAACUGUAUGUAUGCAUGUCUGAAUUUACAAAUUAUUUCUGCCUCUUUGUUACAUAUAAAGAUAUACUUAACGGGUAUAUAUAUAUUUUUUAUUAUGUAAAGUUUAAGAAUUGAAAGAGAAGGUUAAGAACUUUUGUUAUAUUAAGAAGAUAACCGAAUAAAAUCAAAACUCUAAAUCAUGUCUUGCUUGUAAGGUUAAAAAAGAAACGAAUAUGAGAAAUAUUUUCAGUUAAUUGGCAAGUUGGAGCAGCUUUAAUUUUCAGUUAAUUUCCAAGAUUUUCAGUUAAUUGGCAUUUUCUCUUUCCGGUCCCACACUACCAACGCCGUUCAAAUUCGCCGGCUGACUGUGCAUAAAAAUGACCGCCACUUCACCACGAUUUAAAAGAUUCUGUUUAUUUUUUAAAGCAAAUCCCUUGCUCCCUCAAUCUCUUUACGAGACUUGCUCUACGCUCCCACGGAAUAGUGGUGCUGGAGAUGCAGCGAGGUGUCUCCGUUACCUGUUUAAAGGGAAGAUCAAGAAAUCAAAAAAAUCUGUGAUUCUGCCCACCCUGUCCACCACCGGCGGCGAUGCUGCUUCCAAGACUCCCAACAAACCUAUUCCAGAGUCCACCACUACCGCCGAGAAGUGCACUGACACCAAUAACAAUGGUGACAACUCCGAAGAAGCAGGAGGCAGAGGACGUAAAGGCAGCUUCUUGGAGGAGGCAUUCGACACAAGCUGAGGAAGAUAUAUCAACAUGUUUCGGACUACCUCACAAGGAGAUGAAUCCAAGUAUUAGAAGCAGAGUUGAGUUCCUUGAAAAAGUCCAUAAAACAAAUAGGUGGUGAUGUGAAGGAGUUGAAAUGAGGGAUUGAAGAACUGAAGGAUGAGGUUGAACGGGUCAACAAGAAGGUUGACGAGAUGGAAAGUAAGGAGAAAAGAUGGUGGUGGAAGAUCUAUUGGCUGUUCUGAGACGAGGUAAUUCAGAUUAAUCAGAAUUGUUAGAUAUGAUCAUUUUUCUUUUUCUUUUUUCCUUUUCUUAUUAGAGAUUAAUCAGAAUUGUUAGAGAUGUGGUAAUUCAGUUGACGUGAUGCUAGCAAUUGAUGACAGCUAAUGUAUAGACAAUUAUUGGUGGUCGACUUUUAGGUCCUUAGUAAAGUUGCCUCUCUGUUUUUCUGAGAAGAAGCUUGUUGAUCUUGUCAGUUUUCUUCCCCGGGGAAAUUUUGGUCAUUUAACAAAAAAAAUUUUUUAUCUGAAUAAAAAAAAAUAUGUCAUGUCUCAAAUUGACUUAUUCUCUUGGGUUCGGAGGGUCUACAGUAUUUAUAUUUAUUAAGAUGUUGGUUUGUUUGUGGAAUUUAGGACCAUUUCUAAUUGGGGUUCAACUUCAUUGGGAACCCCAUCCAAUAAUGAUUAAUACGUGUCCCAUCCAAUAAUGAUUUAGAAUCUAACUUUUAAAAUAUCUCUCUUAACGAGACACUUAUUACUUUAAAAAGUUCUGUAAUAUAAAAAUAUGUAUCUAACUUUUAAAAUAUCUCUCUUAAUAAGACACUUGUUACUUUAAAAAGUUCUGUAAUAUAAAAAAUGUAACAGAAGAUUGAAACUAAUAUCAGGUGUUGUUUGUGCAUUUACGCUUUCCAGAGUUUGAUAUUUGGCCCAUGUAGUAUUCCCAAUGAAACAAUUAGCUGAUACAUUUUCAUAAUGCCAAGAUAUCUAAUACCUUUUACAACAAGUUGGUGUUUACUCUGUUGGAAAUAGUUAGUGAUAAAUCUCAUAUUGAAAGUAUGUGAAGUAAGGAAGAGGUUUAUAAUCAAGUGCACACCUAUUCAAGUCAAUUUGGUUUGUAGAAAAUUUUGGAGGGAAACUUCAAAAUUGCACAUGCAUUUGUCAUGUUGACUAUUAAAUUAAAAUAUAAAUUUAAUGGUCAAAAGAUUGGCACUUGGGCACUUGGGGCAUUUGGGUCUUAAGAACCGAAAUUAAUUUUAAUUAAUUUCAUUUUAAUAGUUAUUCUUAACUAAACGGUUUUCUUUUGGGGUUGUAUCUGGUGAUACAAUGCAUACAACCGUUAAAUGUCCAUUCAUUUUAAAAGGUACCUAUUCAUGAAGAAAUACAUUUUCAAAAGACAUGACAUUUCUUUUGGGCUAUCUAAACGUUAUAAAUAAUAGUGUUCAGAUUACAUAGGCCUUACUUUUACUUCUGCUUUACUAUUCUUCUAUAUUGUUCAAAACGAUAUUCUCUAAACCGUUUUUGGGAGAAUUUCUGCAUACAACUGUGUGGAAAUUCUGGUUGAUUUUGUUAUUUCUAGAGGGAAUUGCUGCAAACCAGGUAGUAGAAUAGUGGGGGCAAAUUUUUUUAAGGAAAGUGAAUUUUCAGGUCCAAACCAUUUCCUAUGAUUGUAGUUAUUACUGUUUUCCUAUAAGCAUUUUGGAUGGGAUUUAAGCCUAGACAAAUCAUAACGCUUUUUGCUCUCCAUCCUGGCUCACGGUCAUAAUUUUAUAUUUUCUAGAUCCAUUAAUCUUUUUUCUCAAUAUAGAUCCGGUCGUGGUACACACGGGUUUGUGGAUUAGUGCUACAUUUAGCUGGGAUGAUCAACCUUAUAAGAAACAUUGAGAAAGACGUUCCAACAAUUAAUAUGGAUCUAUUGGAAUUAUGGGCUCAAAUAUCCGGUGAGCAGCUCUGGAUUUUAAACACGCUAAGUGACUUGUUUUGACUCUUGAUGGAGAGAUUCUACAAUAUGCAUAGAAUAGAUUAUAUUCAAUCUCAAGUUGCCCCAGUUAACACUAAUUUAUUUCAUUGUCCGGUUUUUCACGUUUUCAUAUUUGAAAAUGAUACAUGCUUCUACUUAUAGAUAUCCUUCUAACCUUCCACAACAUAGAGCAUCUAUUUUUCUUGUAGUAAAGAACCAUUUACACAGCAAUAAUGAACCAGCAUGCGUUCAAUUUUAGCAGCUGCUUCACAGCAGAUAUCAGUAUCUUUUUUCUCCCUCUCCUCUUCCUACUGCCCAUCUUCUUGUUCAUCCUAAAACAUGUCUACAAAAGAAGCUCUUCUCUCCCACCAGGUCCAAAUCCAUGGCCAAUUAUUGGAAAUCUUCAUCAAAUAGGAAGCAGGCCACACAUUGGCUUGGCUCAAUUAGCACAAAACUUCGGUUCCCUCCUGUCAGUUUAUCAAGGGAGCCAACUUUUGAUUGUUGGAUCAAUUCUACUUUGCAAGAACUUUAUAUCUUAAUUAAUUCAUUACUUGCAUGGAAUUCAAAGAACUAAUACCAAAAUUUUGAAUCAGCUAACUUGUAAAUAAUUUUGAGACAAUAUACUUCGUUAUAAUUGAACAUAAGUGCGUAAUGCGUGCAGCAAUUUAGCAGCAUUAGGCAUCACGGAAACAAAUAAAACAAUAAUGUCGUUAGCCAAAUUCUUUGCCAAACAAAUUCAGCUACCGUCAAAAGACGAAGAGGGACACCUUAAAUCACCAAAUUUCUUCAACUCGUUCCUUGCAUAUGACCUCUACUAAUUUGAUAACCGAUAAGAAUAUCGAUCUCCUUAAAUCUGCAUGCAAAGAAGAAGCACAAAAAGACAUGAAUGAAAUUCUCCAGUUCCAAAUGUACUGAAAAACAAGAUAAUUUCUAGGAAAAUGAAUAUUCGUCGGAAAAAGGAAAAUCCCAACCGGAAAAGAAUUUAGACAUCUCCAUCACUAACAACAAAUAAAAGGAGGAAGAAAAUUAUGGCAACUUUUCAUGCAUAAUAGUCAAGAAACUCAGGUCACUGCAACUUUCCUUGAACAUCUAGGCAUUUUAAGGUUAGCUCUUGGAAUAAACAGAAAUGGUUAUUAUCUGUGAAGUUUUCAUUACGAUGUGAGCUAUAUAGGUCAUCACAUUUUAGUGUUGAUUUACUCAACUCAUCCAUAAGAAAUUAAACGAACGACAGCUUGAACACAAAGUCAAGUUUUAAGUUAUUACAAAAUCAAAUAAAUGGAGCCAUAACUACCAGAAGGUUAAUUAUGUAAUCUCUUGGUUUCUUGUAAACUAACUGAUGAUUUUUCACAUUAGUUUGAAAUGUUGGAUGCAAGCAAAUGUAUGCUCAAAAAGAUUAGAGUUUGCAAAGUAGACGUAAAGUCCAUUGUCAUGACCACUUGAUUAUGGACUUCAGCAACUGCAUUAAUUGAAUUAAAUCUUCGUGUAAAUUGGACGAAAGGCUAUUAAAUUGUUUCAAAAUCUCUAUUAAUUUCUAUAUAAUUUUUAUGUCAAUUGACCCACUAAACUCCUAAAAGUGAUCAAUUGGGUCAUUUCGGCUAUUCUUUUGUUAUAACAUACGGAGCUCGUGGCACACUAGCUGCACAUGACAUUUGUUAGGGUAUUUUUGUCAUUUCGUAGAUGAAAAAUAUUAUAAAGGGUUAACUAAGACUUAGAAAAGAUUAAUGACUGUGGGAGCGCUCAAUAAAGAAAAGAAAUUUCUUAGAAAAAAAAAAGCUAUUCUCGUGAUCCUUAAUCUUUUGGAAAAAGAAUAUAAGUAUGUUAGAAAUAAAGUAAUUGGAUUUACAUUUCGAGAACCACAAAGGAAGAAAAAUUACAAAAAAUAGUCGUGAUAAAACUAUUAUAUUCUUGAAUGGGUAAAAAGGAAUAAAAAGAAACUAUUUUUAAUUAGAAAAAGCAAUGCAGAAUUCUUAUUCUAAGAAAUUUCAUCUCUUCUAAGAAAUUCCUUUUUUUAAACAAGUUUUCUUUGCCUAUUUGCCAAUUCAAUAGUUACUUUCUUCUCGACUUUUUUCCCCCUUUUUUCAUACUAUUUUGGUUCCACCCCAUUCUUAGACUUAGGAAGAACCAUUUCCAUCCUACCUCAUCCUUGUUUGUUUCCACCCCAUUCUAAUUAGACUUGAGAAGCACCAUUUCAAUCCUAUCCCAUCCAUUGCUGUUUUGAAGACCAUAUGAAGUAGUACGUUGUAACUACGCUUGAUUCAGAGAGUAAAAUUUCCAUAGCAUACUUGAGCACGAAGUAUAUAAAUAGUUGACCCUGCAGAGUUGGUAAAGGCUACAUCAACUAGCAUUUUUCUUAAGGAAAUCAUACUCAAAAAAGCACAACAUUAAGAUGUGACCCGCUUAAAAAUUUUAAAGAUGAUAUCCACUUGCCCUGUGCAUUCUUGGAUAGUUCGUAUUACAGGACAUUUUAAAGUUUCUAGACAUUUAGCAGCCAUCAGAUAAAUGAAAUUUUUUUUCGUUGUAUUAUGUUUUUCAUUGUUUAGAUUUCAAUUUGCAAAUUAUUUCACCAUCUUGGCAUUUUUAAGGCUAACUCUUGGAAUAAAGAAAAUUUGUUGUCAUCUGUAAUGACUCCAUAUGAUGUGAGCAGUACGGCAUUAUUGAUUAGUUCUGAUUUACUCAACUCGUUCAUGGAGAUAUAAGUGAGCAUAGCUUGAAAACAAAGUUUAUUCAAGUCAUACAAUAAAUGCAUGGAGCAAUAGUUAUAAAAGGCUAAAUAUAUUAUCCCCUAAUUUUCUUGUACCUAUACAUAAUUUCUGACAAUAUUAAUCGCAUUUAACUAAUUAAUUGCAUUUAAACUAAUCAAUGCUUCUCAAAUUAGGCAGAAAUCUUAGUUUGAGAUCUUUGGAUUUUAGCAAAUUCAGGUCCGAAAAGAUGAGAAACAUAGUAAAUAAUUCAAUGGCACAAUUCAUUAUGAUAGUUCUUGUCCACAUCUCUUAAGGACUUUAGGAGCUGCAUUAAUUGGCAUAAAGCCUGGUUACCUUAACAAUUGCAAAGUGAUAACAAUUGAACAGAAAGCUCCUCAAGCAGGCAAUGGAACAGAAUUUCUUGAACUUCUAUCUUUUAACUUCUUGAGCCUCUUGAAUUUGAAGCCUGAAUUUCGAUUCCAUAGAUUCUUAGGCUUAGGAAGCUUCAAUUCCAUCUUUUUCCUAGAAUCUUAAUUAAGCAAUGGUGCAGGAGAAAAAAACUAGGGGCUGCCAAAAGAUUGAUACAGUGAAGAUGCAGAAUGAGCAAAACCUAUAAGUAAAAUUUUCUAAACGUCAUACUUGCAUUCUCAAGAAGGCUAGCGAAAUCUGUUGCCUUACUGGUUCAGAAGUCGCCUUAGUUAUUUUCUCUCCUAGAGAGAAACCUUAUAUAUUCUUUUGGCAGACCAAGCAUUGAUGCAAUGAUUCACAGUUUCGAAUCCCAAACUCAUACCAGUUGAUCCUUCGUACCAACUUUUGGAGGCCCAUCGCAAGGUUAGUGUUCAAAAUCUAAACAGCCAACUCGCUAUCCUUGAAAGUCAGCCAAGCUAACAAGAAAAUAAGAGAAACCCUUAAGCUGUAAAGGGAAGUUGGCCAAAUUCAUCACUGUUGAUAAGCUCAAUUUGAAGCAACUAGAGCAACUGCCGCAAUUAGCCUUGCUUGAGCUCCAACGAUUUGUUAAAGGAGAAUUGAAAAAACAAGAAUUGAGUAUGGAAACCAAAUUCCAAGUCCCAAAGGGAUCAAUCAUUAUGGAAUGAGCCAGUUUGGCAUCAAUGCUAGGGAAAAUGGCCCUAGUGUUUAUGAUCGUUUUCAAUCUAAACCAUCAAGCAGCAUGGCAUUUACCCCAGCUGCUGGUCCCUCUAGGGUUAAUGUUAGUAGUUCAAUCGAGGAGGACACCGUAGUUUCUGCAGCGGAAACUUCGGUUUCUUUUAGUCCAAUUUCAUCAGUACUUGCUAUUGCAACUAGGCAUCCUCAACCAUUUCAAGGAUUCAGCAGUGGCUAUGGUGGUUCAUCUGGUUCCAGAUCUAGAUUUCCAGAUUUUCUUAGAUGUUAUUAACUAAUGGUUUUUAUUUUUCGUUUUUAUCCCAUUAAUGCACUAAUGUUGUUGGCUUUUUCCGUCUUGUCUUUAAUUAGCACCUUUGUAGAUCCAAUGUGUAGGAUUUAGUUUUCUCUGUUGUUGUGUGUUUCAGCUGUGAUGUUGUGAUUUGAUGUUGUACCUUGCAAUAGUGCUAUUGGCAAUGUUGUGUUUCAUUUGAUGCAAUUUCAAAAUGUACUUCCUUUUGUCUGAGUAUAUAAUGAUCAGAUUUGUCCUAGUCAGAAUUUUGGAAUUGUACUCCAAAAUUUAAUCUUAAUUGUCCUAUAUAAUUUUCUUCUGUAAAGCACCAUAGAAUUUUAGCAGGGAUUCUGGUAUGGAGAAUGCCCGCUUAAUCCAUAAAACUGAAAAACAUUAUAGUGUAAAGGAGGUCAUAAACCUCUACUAUUGGGAACAACUAAAGUUCAAGUACUGACUGAAAAUGCCUACUCGAUCAUUUUUUAAGGUUAUCUGAGACCAGUUUUAAUAACUCUUCAAAAGUUUGGCAUGUUCGUACGAAGAUAAUUAUAGGGCUACUUUAUCUUUUAGUUCAAAUAUUUCAUGUAUCUAAACCACAUAAAAUUGACCAAAAUGCCAAUGCUAUAAUUUCUUUGCUUAUGGGACUUCUUACAUACAAUUUUCGAAGGUUGGUGUCUUAUUUUGAAACUAGAAGCUUAACAAAACAUUAUAGCAUCCACCGACGGUGACAAAAAAAAUUCGAUAAAAAUCCAAGUAAACUUGUAUACACGUUAUGUUAAACUCGAGACCACACAAAAUUAAUAGAUUAUAUUGUUAUUUAUCCUUUUUUUCUCCAUAGGAUCAAGGCUCAAUCUAUAUCUUCAAUUUUUAACAGAUAGAGUAAAUGAAAUUACAGAUCAAGGUAUACACAUUACAGACAAGCCCAUGUUCAAAAGAUAUGAUAUUAAAUCAUUUCCAAAUUUAGGUAAUUACAGUGAUUAUUUUUUCCAAAUUAGGAUAUAGAGACAACAUUCAUCGUUACAACAUCGAUAGGUAUAUAUUAAGCAAGACUCUCGUUUAGGAGCAACAAAUAGAAGUGCGCAUAUUACUUGUGAACUAAAACUUUUUUUUUUUUUUUUUUAAGGUUUGCAAAGAAAUAGGUUUUUGUUCACAAUGAAGUUCUCCAAACUUUUUCUUCUUGUAAAGUAGGGUUACAAGGGAAGUGAGUAAGUUCAGUAAAAACUCAACUCGAGCUCAACUCAAUAUAUUAAAUGCACAAAUGACAUGUAAGUGGAGCAUGGAUCUCUUAAGACGAAUGCAUUCAGUACUUGGCGUUUUAUUGUUUAAAUCAUUUUUGUUUUAUAAAUUACUUCCCCAUCAACUAGCUUUUUUUUUUUUCUUUCCUUCUUUCUUUUUGUAUUUAGAACCCCUCCCACAGUACUGCCCAACACAAGCCUCCCCCUACCAACUAGCUUAAAGUAUGUACUAGACUUUAACUUGUGUUGUACAGGUUGAUAUAAUUUAUAGCGAUUAGGAAAAAUUUUAACACUUACCUAGUAUAGAGUGUUUAAAACUUUUAAUAAAUUAAAGAUACAUAGAACUAUUAAAUAGGAUUAAAAGAAAGAGAGCAGAAAAAUAAAUACAUAAUAUUGCGUUAUAUUCUAAUUUAAAGAAGAAAAAGCAGAGAAAUAUGAAUUGGGUAAAAAUUAGAUUUGGGAACAAUAUUAUGUGUGUAUAUGUAUGUGUGUGUGUAGGAGUGAACUAAUUUCUAAAAACCUACAUAUUGUUUCUCUAAAAAAAAAAAAAAAAAACUUUAUCUUGCUUACCAUGCAAGUCUGUCUUACUUUCCUUGCCACACAUAAUCGAUUAAUUAAAGCAGAAUUAGGGAAAGAAAAAAAAAGAAGGCAUAGAAAGCAAUGAACUAAUUAACUAAACUAAUGUAAAUUAGAAGAACUUACACAUACGUUGUACAUUUUCAUGAUCGAAAGGUUAGAUGUUCAAAUGCAAUCUUCUUGGUACAAAGUUAAGCCUACAUUAAAAAAAAGAUUCGAUAAAUAAAGCAAUUAAGAAAGCAUGAAAAAAGUAAGAACUUACAAUGCAUUCUUAUAGUCAACAAAAACAUCACGCAAGAGCAUUGCAGUUUCAAAAAUAACCUUAUACACCUAAAAAACCUAAAAAGGUGGGCAAAAAUUUUUAAAACCUAUUACAAAAUUGAUGUAUCAAAAUAAUCAUUACUAAAUCGUCAUAAGGAGGCAUAAAGUUCCUCAAGGAAAAAAAGUAGAAAUCAGUAGAUGAACUAAAUAGUUCUUGAAAUGAUUGACAUCAUUACUUGCUAAUAAAUUUUAUAAUGACGGGAAUAGGAUUUCAAAUUUGGGGUUAAUCUGAUAUGAGAAUGAAAUUUUUUAUUUUGUCGAUAUGGAUUAUUUUAUAUCUGACUUAUGACAAUCGAUAACAGGUUUAUUAAAUCAUGAUCAAAAGAAAUAGAUACUAUCUACGUAAAAAAAAAAAGUAAAUACUCUUAUAAAAUAAAAUAAAAUCUAAUAUAGAAGAAGAUAAAUGAAAAAAUUUUAGAAGAUGUGGUGAUUUUUUUUAAAGCGUAAGAUUUUAAAGAUAUAUGAUUAAGUGUAUAAGAUAUGUUUAUUUUGAAAGUUUGGAAAGAAAUGAUUUUAUUAACACUAACCAAUUAAAUAGGACAACCUGAAACAAAAUUUUAAUCAUAAAUAAUGUUCAAUUAGGCAUGCCAAGUAGGAGUAGAAAACAUGCCUAAUUGAAAUAAUUACAUAAGAUAUGUCUAUUUUGAAAGUUUGGAAAAUAACGAUCUUAUUAAUAUUAACUAAUUAAAUGGGUCAACCUGAAAGAAAACUUGACUUAUAAAUGCUGCUCAAUUAGGCAUGCAUUAAAAUAUCCACUUAUAGUAGAUAUAUAGACAUACACACACAUUUACUUAUUUGGUAAAAUUUCAGGAUAAUUUGUAUUAUGUGACAUUUCCAAGUUCCUUGGCAUUUACCAGCCAUCAAAUAAAUGAGAUUUUUUUUCCCCUUUUCAAGUAAACAUGAUAAGACAAAUAAAGUACUUCAGACUAUUAUUUCUCAGUUGUAUUCAUCAAAAGCCGUCCCAAACCUUUGGACAAAUAAGAUUCACUUUUGCUUAGCGUCUUCCAAUAUGAAUUCCUUCCUAGAAACUAAGAGAAAUUAAUGGUUAUCAUCUCUAACAAAGACAUAAGAUUUUAGUUUGCAAAUUCGUUGAACAUCCAGGCAAUUUAAGGGUAACUCUUGGAAUAAAGAGAAAUGGAUAUUAUCUGUGACGUGUUCAUUAUGACGUGAGCUAUACGUCAUCACAUUUUAGUGCUGAUUCCCUCAACUCAUCCAUAAGAAAUUAAAUGAAGCACAGCCUGAAAGCAAAGUCAAGUUAUAAGUUAUUACCAAUUCAAACAAAUUGAGCCAUAAAAUUACCAAAAGGCUAAGCAUGAAUCUCUUGGUUCCUUAAAUAAAUGGAGCCAUAAUUACCAAAAGGCUAAGCAUGUAAUCUCUUACAUGAUUUUGAAGAAUAUUUUAGAGUAAAUUUUAUAUACGCUGACACUGACAGUGUAUGCACUAUUAUAGUUGAAAACAUAACAUAUGAGCAAAAUUUGAAAUUCAAAUGAGUUAUCAUGCAUACAUUUAAUGGUAAUAUUGUAUACACUGUCAAUGUAUAAAAAUAUUAAUUCAAUAUUUUAUCGGAUGUAAACUAAUUGAUGAUUUUCACAUUAGUUUGAACUGUUGGAUGCAAGCAAAUAUACAUGUUAGAAGAGAUUAGAGUUUGCAAAGUAAACGUAAUGCCCAUUGACAUAAUUUAUGACCAAUUGAUUAUGGACUUCAGCAACUGCAUUAAUUGAAAUAAUCUUUGUGUAAAGUGGACAAAUGGCUGUUAAAUUUUUUCAAAAUCUCUUUUUAUAUAUAAUUUUUCAUGUUAAUUGACCCACUAAACUCCUAAAAGUGGCCAAUUGGGACAUUUCCACUAUUUUUUUUUUAUCUUAAUAUAUGGAGUUCAUGGCACUUGAGCUGCACGCUACAUUUGUCGAGAUAUUUUUGUCAUUUCAUAAAGUGAAAAAAAUUAUAGUGGGUUAGAUGAGACCUUAGAAAAUAUUAAUGACCGUGGAAGCACUCUUUUGGAAAUAAAAAUAACCAUACCAUUAAAAAAAAAAAAAAAGGUGGUCUAAAUUGUAAUGUUUGAUGUGUGUCUCGAAGAAAGGAUGAUGAGAAGAAUUCCUGCAAUUUCGCACCUUCUUCUCUACUCUAGCCAUUCCCUCUUGGUCGAACAAGUAUAGUAUGUUGAUCCAAGUUUUUGAUACCUGAGUUUGGAACUUCCUGAUUUGUUCUCGGGAUAGAUGCACGAUCCCUCUCCAAUCCACUUUCUCCAAAAAUUUGAACAGUGGAGCACCUAGCUAGCUCUAAUGAGAAAGUUAUGUUCCUGCAGCAAGUUAUAUUCCACAAAUUUCUGCCAAUCAUCUCCCAGAGGCACCACCAUCGUCAGUCUUAGCUACUUUAACAGACCAACGGUUUCCAUACGGACUCUCAAGGAUUAUUCUUUUAGGCACCUCUUUUAGAACAUCCCUGUCAAAUUGUUGAGGAAUUUUCUGCAACAGAUAGCGAAACAGAACAAAUCAAGAAAACUAGUUUGGAAAUUUUUUUAUCAUUAAUCAUUAGCAUGAAUAGCCAAUUUUUUGGUGAUUCAAAUAUUGUAACAUGGCACCUUUGAUUUUUCUUCUCUCUCUCUCUCUCUCUUGUAGGGUGCAAUGUCACCAUUUAUUUAUUCUUGAUAACCAAGAAGGGAAAAACAGUUUCUUCCGCAGGAACAUUAAGGAGAAGAACACAGAUAUUGCACACAGACAUUGCACGUAGGACCAUUAAUGGCAGCGGUGGCGUGAAUCUAUUAAAACCGAAACAAUUAAUACUAGCCGUUCUAUAAUUUGUGUGGUUGUCUUACUGCUAAUUACUUUCCCAUUAACUAGAUUAAUUAAGUGUUUAUACAUCUACUUGCCUUCGGACAUUCUUGGAUAGCUCGUAUUACAUGACAUUUCAAAGUUUCCAGGCAUUUAGCAGCCAUUGAAUAAAUGAAAUUUUUUUCAUUGUAUUAUGUUUUUAAUUGUUUGGAUUUCAAUUUGCAAAUUAUUUCACCACCUUGGCAUUUUUAAGGCUAACUCUUGGAAUAACGAAAAUUUGUUGUUAUUUGUAAUGGCUCCAUAUAAUAUGAGCUAUAUGGCAUUAUUGAUUUAGUUCUGAUUUACUCCACUCAUUCGUGGAGAAAUAAAUGAGCACUAGAAACAAAAUUAAUUUGUCCUAGAAUAAAUGCAUGAAGCAAUUUUUUUUUUUUUUUAAAAGGUUUUUCUAAUGGGAGCCCAAAUGAGCACUCGUUAACACACCAAAAUUCUACCUAAUCUAUCACGUAUAUGCACACAUUAAUAAUUACUAUUAUUUAUAUAUUUUUCCAAUUAAUCUUACCUUUUGAAAAUCUAACCUUUGAAAUAUAUUUUAACUAGUAUCCAAUAAGCAUCUGUUAGAUAGACCUUUAAAAACAUGCAAGGAGCAAUAGUUAUAAAAGGCUAAACUCCCAAUGUUCUUGUACCUAUACAUGAUUUCCAAAGAUAUUCAUCGCAUGUAAACUAAUUAAUGCUUCUCAUAUUAGCACAUGAGAUCUUUGGAUUUUAGCAAAUUCAGGUCAGAAAAGAUGAGACUUUGCAAGCAUAGUAAGUAUUUCAAUGAUAAAGUUCAUUAUCAUAGUUUAUGUCCACAAGUCAAAAGGACUGAAGGAGCUGCAUCAAUUGGCAUAAAGCCAUAAAUUGCAAAGUGAUAACGAUUGAACAGAAAGCUCCUUAAGUCAAGGCUAUGGAAGAGCUUCAAUAGCCAGAAUUUCUUCAACUUCUAACUUCUUGAACUUCUUGAACUUUGAAGCCUGAAUUUCGAUUCUAUACAUUCCCAGACUUGGGAAGCUCCAAUUCCAUCUUAUUCCUAGAAUCUUAAUUAAGCAAUGACGGAGGAGAAAAGGAAUAGGGGCCAGCAAAAAAUUGAUAUAGUGAAGAUGCAGAACGAGCAAAGUCUACAAGUAACGUUUUCUAAACGUCAUACUGGCAUUCUCAAGAAGGUCAGCAAAAUUUGUUGCCUUACUGGUUCAGAAGUCGCCUUAGUGAUUUUCUCUCCCGGAGAAAAAGUUUAUUCUUCUCCCAUUUAUAAGUCGUGCUAUGUCGCCAUUUAUUUAUUUUUUCUUGAAAACCGAGAAGGGAAAAACACUCCCUUCCUUAGGACCACUAAAGAGAAGCACACAAAUAUUGCACGUGCUGAUUUUUUGUGAACUAAAACUUAUUCUAUCUGACGAGUAAGACCAUUUUGAUAUAAAAAAAAAUGCAAAAAUGAAAUGGCGAUGGUGGCUUGGAUCUAUUAAAAUCGAACCAAUGAAUACCAGACCAUUCAUAAUUUGAGUCAUUUUUUUACUAUUAAAUUAAUUACUUUCCCAAAAACUAGAUUUAAGUGGAAUAUCUACUUGCCCUGGUACAUUCUUGGAUACAUGGCAUUUCAAAGUUUCUAGGCAUUUAGCAGCCACAUGUCCUGAGGACUUUAGGAGCUGCAUUAAUUGGUUGACUUUAACAAUGGCAAAGUGCUCACGAUUGAACACAAAGCCCCUCAAGUCAAGGCUAUCUUCUACUCCCUCCCUUUUUUUAUAACUAACGUUUAAGAAAUUUGCUCUAGUGUACUUUUAUCUGUCGUUUUAUUAUCCCCAUACAGUAUUAAUUAUUUUUUCAUAAUUUUACCCUUUUAUUUUUCUUUUCCAAUACAGGGUUUUUAAUUACUACUCCUAGUAAUUAUUGCUUCUCUCUUUGUAACAACCCUAGUAAUUGGACAAUUAAUGAGGGUACAAAAGGAAAGUAGUGUACAGAUUCAAGCAAUGAAAAACUUUUCUUAAUUGGUGUGCAAAACCUUAAACGUCAGUUAUAAAAAAAAGGAGGGAGUAACUUCUUGAACUUCUUGAAUUUGAAGCCGGAAUUUCGAUUCCGUACAUUUUUAGGCUCAGGAGGCUUCAAUUCCAUCUUAUUCCUAGAAUCUUAAUUAUGCAAUGGCGCAAGAGAAAAAGACUAGGGGCCGCCAAAAGAUUGAUAUAGUGAAGAUGUAGAAUGAACAAAAUCUUCAAGUAACAUUUUCUAAAUGUAGUACUGACAUUCUCAAAAAGGCUAGCAAAGUCUGUUGCCUUGCUACUUCAAAAGUCGCCUUAGUGAAUUUUUCCCCAGGAGAAAAAGCUUAUUCUUUUGGCCGCUCAAGUAUUGACGUUUUUUGAUUGUCUAAAAUUACCCCAAAAAAAGAAUUACAAAAAAAAAGGGACUAUCAUAUAGACCUUGAAUUCAUUAAUUUUAAUCAUUUAACGGGGUCAUCAAACAUCCCUAAGUUAAUCCUAGCAUUAAGAGUUUAUAUAUUUUGUGAACAUAUUAAGCGUGAGUAGCCAAUCUUUUGGUGAUUCAAAUCUUGUAACAUGACAUCUUUGAUUUUUUUUCCCCCUUUUUUCUCCCUUCCAUAGUACCACUAAGGAGAAGCACACAGAUGUUGCACUUAUUUGGUGCACUUGUUUUUAUCUCUUUUUUUUGUCGCAAUCAUAACAUUUAUAUAACCUACUCUGACGUAGUCUAAGAGGAGGGGGAGUCGAUAGAAGGACGGACUCCUUUUCAGUCCCUUAACGAGUGAAAAUUUUCCAUAUACUAGUUGGAGUAGGGGCCUCACGCAACGCAGGCUAUAUAAGCUCUGAAUAUUAGUCUGUUUUAUUGAAUGAAUAAACCAACAAAUGAAUAGUUCAUGCUGAACAGAAAAAGUUAACUAGAAAGGUUUUAGAAAAUUUGAGGUCAUUAAAGAUUCUAGAUAGUAAAAAUAAGAUUGAUAUAAGUAUGGCGUAUCCAACCAAGAACAUAAAGUAACUAUACACGCAGUCAACAACAAAAGAUUAGUUGGAAUCAUUCAUAUAUACUAAACUUAUAUAUAUAUAUAUAUAUAUAUAUAUAUAUAUAUAUAUAUAUAUAUAUUUACAUACAUUAAACUGUUACAUAGGCUUGUGAUGUUUACUCUUUUUUAUUUUGGGUUUAUUUCCUAUAGUGUCUACAGACCAAAUUAAUAAACAAGAACUUCAAUUCUGUUUUUGUUGGGUUAUAAAUUAAAGAAGUAUACAAGAGCAAAAAUCAACUGUUUUUAUUCUGAUUUCUGAGUGCAACUUGGAAAAUGUGGGUCAUCUAAGCGUUGAAUGCUUAAUUCUGUUUUGAUGGGUAAAUGGAUGGUUAUUUUCUUUUUGCAGUUAUCCCGAGGUCCAAUGUUCUUUGAUUUUGAGUCAUGUAAUUUGGUAAUGCAAAGUAACCAAAAAUUGUAGCAUUAUAGUUGCCAAUUCUUGUAGAACAAGCAGAAGGCAGAAGAGGAUGGAUGCUAGGCAGUAUCAGCCGUUAUCUCGUUAAAAACUAGCAAACAAAAAUUACUUUCGAAGCUGCAAAAUUUUGACGGAUAUGUAUUAGUUUAACAGUUUAACCAUGAACUGUAAUAGAGGGAGAGAAAGAAAAAGCUUGAUACAACAAGAAAAACAGACGUUAACUAUGCAUAUGCGUAUAAAAACAUUGGCUUGGCUGUUCUCCACCAAAUUCAUUUGUAAGAACAAAAUAGUCCAAAGUUUCCAUCUAACUAUGUGUGUCUGUUUGUAUGUAUGUAUAUGUAUACACACAUAUAUGAAAGUUAUAUAUAUGUGUAUAUAUAUGUACGUAUGUAUAUGUGUGUGUAUAUAAAUAAUUUAACUUCUGAUGUAUGUAGACUUGAGUCAAAAUUCCCCACAUUAAAGGUUAUAUCUAACGUAUUUAAUUAGAAGGCAAAUGGUUUGUUUUUUUGGGUGGUUGGGAUGAAAUGCAUAUUUUGGUCUAAUCCUCGGCCCUAUAAUUACAAUUUAACCACAUCAAGAAACAUGACACAGAUUGACGUUAGGUAAUUAUUGACGAGAAGCUUUAGUUGGCCAAUAUAGAUAAAUUGAAGAUUAGGCAAAAAAAAAAAAAGCGAAAUCUUUAAGUAUGGGGAAAAAACAAAGAGAAAUCUAAGAUAACUCUCCCAUGGGCGGGUAAAUUAUAUUUCAUACGUUUGUUUUGCCUUUUACAGCUUUCUGCCUGCAAAAUUCCUCUCCCAUUAUGGAAAACUUUUAUUGUCGUAUCCCUAGAACAGUUUUCAUGGAGAUGCCACUUUCCGCUUACAAAACAGCACACCUUUUUGGUAUCUUUCUUCCUUUGAAACCUCAUUUUUUGUCCCUUUGCUUCCCAAUUCUCUCCGCUCCAAUUCAAUAUUUCACGUGUAUUGUAAAGGGCAACAAGAUUUUCAUACCAUUCAUCAGCCCUUUCUCCUUUUUAGUCCAGAAACGGCUAAAUUGUAGUCUUUGGUAAAACGUGAAGUGUUUAUCGCAUCAUCAUAUAUAGAAGUUGAACAAAGAGACGUGAAAACCCACUGUGUAGUUUCACCAAAACAAAAAUCUAUAUAUAUAUGAGCGACUUCUUCCUGGACUGGUAGGAGAGAAGGCGUCUCAGAGGAUCACGAAUAAUUCAAUAGAUUUGGUGAUUCUUUCUAAAAACGUGGGAGGACUUUGUGGUUUGCUUGUCAACCUGAAAUUCUCUCCAAUGGAUGCUGAUCAAAACAACCUCAACAACCGUGUCCAAAGCCAUCAAAACCAAGAUCCCAUGUCGCAACUUCCUCCUCUAUUCCGGAACUUGCCUGGACUUGACGAGCUGAGGGAAGCCAUUGAGGAGCUCCAGCGGGAAGAGAUGGAAGCAGCCUUCGAAGCCGGAGAUGAAGCUCAAGCUCCAGAUGACGUGCAUGUGGCUUCUAUCACCAAUGGCUUCCCUCCUCCCCCUUCUCCUCUGCCUCCUCCUUCUCCUCCUAGUUGGGCUGCUGACGGUGGAAAUGAAGGGUUUCACCCUAAUGCAACCAAUGGGAGCCAUUCUGCACGAGCCGCAUCCACCAACAAUGGCCACCUUCCUCCUCCUCAAAAUCAUGCCGCUGAGGGUGACCUUAUAAUUGAUUUUUCAACUGGCGGCGACUCCGAUGCUGAUGAUGCUCCUUUGAGUCCGUAGAUGGUUGGUUAAUUAAUUUCAUGGUUUAGUUUUAACAUCCAUCAAGGAUGUCCAAUGUAAUUUUUUUUUUUUUUUUUGUGUCUUAGAAUUAACCAACUUAAGAUGAUAAUUAAAUAGAGCCCUUUUCAUAUCCUUACAAUUAAUGGCUGAACGUUGCUUACUAAUUCUUGUACUGUAUGGCUCUUGCAAUUACCUCUAGUACUCUAAACAGGCAAGAGCUAAUUAAAGUUCAGAAAAAUGUUAUCUUGCAAUUAAUAUUUUGCUUCUGCAGUGUUUGUCGUCCCUUAAUUUUUCAACUAAUUAAUACGUUUCGAGACAAUCAUACAAUAAUAUAUCACAAAAGGGAUAUAAGUUGCUUAUACAUUAUUACGACUGGAGUACUCGAAUAAGGAAGCAAAAGUACGAGAGCAAGCAACUCACGAAUUAAUUAAAAAAAAUCAAUUACUAUUCAUUUAGUUGUUUUUGAGAAGUGGAACUUGAAAAAUGGUGUUAACAUCCAUUCACAUUAGUGUACUCAUGUCAGAAGAUAUAUGAGUUUGCAAACUGAGGUAAUAUCUGCAUGGGAAAUUUGUCAAAUUGGUCCCUAACAUUUACCAAAAACACUUUUUUAGUCCUUUACAUAUAAAAUCAGCCAAAAUGGUCCUUCACAUUUAAGUUGUGAGCCAAUGUGGUCCUAUUGCUCGUUUUUUGCUCAUUUCUCCGGCUAAAAAUAGCACGCCUCUCUCACGUGGUCAUAUUUUUAGGGGCAAAACUGUAAACACAUUUCAUUACCUGUUAAAAGUAAAAGGUGUGGACAACCACCAAAAUACACAUUUCACCUUUGGCCCUCAAAGUUUCAAGAAACUCUAAAUUGCAUCCCACCGCCACGCCCUCAACUGACUCAGCCGCCUCCUCCCUCGCUAUCCCUUCUCCUCUCUCCACUGUCCGUCCUCUCCCUCCCCCUCCUCAUCGCCAGCAUUUCUCCAACCUCCGGCAAGGUCUCUCCUUCGACGAUGAUAUUGAUGCGAGGGACUCGCAAGACGAGGGAGAGGAUGAGGAAGAGCACCAGGAGGACGAGGAGGAGCUUCUCGAGCUGGAGCCCCGAAUCGGAUCUUGCCGGGUCCGGGAAGCUGCCGAUGAGUUGUCUGUGGGAGGUGUUGAGGAGGCUCCCGCCUCCAACACUGUUGUCGGUGGCCAGGGUUUGCAAAAGAUGGAGGGACACGAGUAAGCGGCUUUGGCGGGCGGCGGAGGAGCUGAGGCUUAGGGUUCCAGCUAAGGCCCAAAUUGGAUUCGUGGGAUCGAUGUUGCACAAAUGUCCUGGACUUGUUAGACUCUCACUUAGAAUGGAAAGGUUAGGACUUUCGGAUAUAAGUAAACAAGAACCAGAUCUAUGGAUUCAUCAAGCACAUCACUUAUACAGGAGAAUUACAAAAUAAUUUUCACCACCAUUCGGGGAUGCAAUUCAGGUUUCUUGAAACUUUGAGCGCCAAAGGUGAAAUGUGUAUUUUGGUGGUUGUCCACACUUUUUACUUUUAACAGGUAAUGAAAUGUGUUUCCGGUUUUGCCCCUAAAAAUAUGACCACGUGAGAGAGGCGUGCUAUUUUUAGCCGGAGAAAUGAGCAAAAACGAGCAAUAGGACCACAUUGGCUCACAAUUUAAAUGUGAAGGACCAUUUUGGCUGAUUUUAUAUGUAAAGGACUAAAAAAGUGUUUUUGGUAAAUGUUAGGGACCAAUUUGGUAAAUUUCCCUAUCUGCAUUAAUGGAAAUAAAUCUUUGUUGAUAGCGUGCGUGUGUUUAUAUAUAUAUACUAGGGAGGUGUCCCGCGCAAUGCGCGGGCGCUAGGUAAAAGAGUGUAAUUGUGCUAAAGUUUUGUAUCUGUAUGUUGAAUAAAAUGGUUUUAAAAACUUAUUUAAGAAUGCAAUUAGUGAUUGUUCAAUUGAUGGUUUUUUAUAUUAGAAACCAGAAUAUAUUUUACUUAAACAUUUGAUAAUAUAAAAUGUGUUUAAUUUGAUAAUAUGAACACGUUUGAUAAUAUUUAACAUGUUUUAAUAUUUUAUCUAAACAUUUGAUUUAAACGUUUGAUUUAAUUUAAACACAUUAAAAAUUUUAUUUAAUUUGUCGGAAAAGUUAUGCUAUGGAUGACUUGACAAUUCCAAUUCUAUUUUUUAAAUUAAAUUCUUGAUUUUUUUUGGACAUGUUAGAAAUUGAGUUUAUUAUUAGUGCUGUGCAUAUGUAAAUUUAUUAAAUUAUAUGUGAAUUAGUAUUAGUAUAUAUUAUAUUUGUAUAUAGGUUUAUUGAAUUAUAUAUAGAUUAGUAUUAUAUUUUAUAUUUAUUAAAUUAAAUUAUAUAUUAGAGAGUGUAAUUGUGCUAAAGUUUUGUAUCUGUAUGUUGAAUAAAAUGGUUUUAAAAAGUUAUUUAAGAAUGCAAUUAGUGAUUGUUUGAAUAAAUAUAUAGCAAAUUACUUAAACACAAUUGAUGGGUUUUUAUAUUAGAAACCAGAAUACAUUUUACUUAAACAUUUGAUAAUAUAAAAUGUGUUUAAUUUGAUAAUAUGAACACAUUUGAUAAUAUUAAACAUGUUUUAAUAUUUUAUCUAAACAUUUGAUUUAAACGUUUGGUUUAAUUUAAACACAUUAAAAAUUUUAUUUAAUUUGUCGGAAAAGUUAUGGUAUGGAUGACUUGACAAUUUCAAUUAUAAUCGAGCAAUCCGGUUUUUUUAAAUUAAAUAUUUUGAUUAAAUUCUUGAUUUUUUUUGGACAUUUUAGAAGUUGAGUUUAUUAUUAGUGCUGUGCAUAUGUAAAUUUAUUAAAUUAUAUGUGAAUUAGAAUUAGUAUAUAUUAUAUUUGUAUAUAGGUUUAUUGAAUUAUAUAUAGAUUAGUAUUACAUUUUAUAUUUAUUAAAUUAAAUUAUAUAUUAGAGGGUGUAAUUGUACUAAAGUUUUGUAUCUGUAUGUUGAAUAAAAUGGUUUUAAAAAGUUAUUUAAGAAUGCAAUUAGUGAUUGUUUGAAUAAAUAUAUAGCAAAUUAGUUAAACACAAUUGAUGGUUUUUUAUAUUAGAAACCAGAAUACAUUUUACUUAAACAUUUGAUAAUAUAAAAUGUGUUUAAUUUGAUAAUAUGAACACAUUUGAUAAUAUUAAACAUGUUUUAAUAUUUUAUCUAAACAUUUGAUUUAAACGUUUGAUUUAAUUUAAACACAUCAAAAAUUUUAUUUAAUUUGUCGGAAAAGUUAUGGUACUAAUCGAGCAAUCCGGUUUUUUUAAAUUAAAUAUUUUAAUUAAAUUCUUGAUUUUUUUGGACAUUUUAGAAAUUGAGUUUAUUAUUAGUGCUGUGCAUAUGUAAAUUUAUUAAAUUAUAUGUGAAUUAGUAUUAGUAUAUAUAGAUUAGUAUUAUAUUUUAUAUUUAUUAAAUUAAAUUAUAUAUUAGUAUUUAUAUUUUAUAUGUUUAUAAUAUGUUUGAGUUAUUAUAUGCUUAUUACGUGUUGUAUUAGCGUAGAAAGGCAGUUAGUUGACGGUGUUAGAAUAUAUCUGGUCUUGACAUUUGGAUAGCAGCUAGAUGUUUUGGUGUGCAGGUGGUAUCAGACGUGUAAUUUGCAGGGUAGGAGGAGGGUAAAAAGUACAGGAAUUCACGGGUGUAGUAUUGUUUGUUCCCUACAUAGUUGAAGCUGAUAUAGGGAGAAGUAGUAUAUAUUUGGUACUUGUCUGUAGAUAGUUAGUGUGUGCAAAUGGCGAGCGGGAGCGCAAGAUUUCCCACUGUUCAACUAUAUUAUCCAGAGGUGGACGAAGAGGUUAAUCAGGUAGCUGUUGGUCGUGGAGCAGCUUAUCCUAUGGGAAAUGGCUGUCGGAAUCGUCCGGCAGAACCGGUUGCACGAGCUCAGGUGGCAAAUGUUUUGCUGAAAAAUGAAUUGUGUGAUUUGUUUAAAGAGCUUUACAGGCAUCAUGAUUGGGCUUCAGUUUUGGAAGCUGCGCUUAGGACUGGAAGAGGCUAUCCUAUCUUGGGGUUGAUUGCCAACAGGAUGAGGGUGGAAGUGUUAGAAGAAAAGUAUUACUUUCCCAGUCCGCCAUCUUCUAGUGACAUGGGCGGCGAAAGUGAUUAAGGAGUUGGAGUUUGGGAAAAUGUGUUUGUUAGUUUGGUGUUUGGCGUAUGGUUUUUAAGCAUUAAGAUGUGUUUGUCAGUUUCUGAAGGAUAUGAUAAUCGUGUAUUUGCUGCAUAAAGUAGCGUCAUAUGUAUUUCUGUCUGUUGUAUAAAGUACUAAUGUUUUGAUUUGUAUAAGUGUCUUGUGUUUGCCAAGAAUAUACAAAUGCGGCAAAGUAAUAAGCAAAGCUUGUGAAUUGAACGUGUUUACAGAUUUGUAUCUGUAAACUGAUGAAUGUGUAUGAAAAUUUGCAUCUGGAUUAAAUGCGUAAUAAAAUGAAGUAUAUUAUCUGAUGUUUAUCUAUAAGAUUUGGAACUAAUGAAUGGUGAAUAAUUGUAGGAUAUUGGAUUGGAUAUGAUAAAAUUGAUAGAGGUCUGUGUUUGAAGAUGUUUGGAUUGGUUAAUUUUCAGCUGUUCCAUGCAACACAUAUAUAGAUGUUUGGACAAUGUAAUGAGACAGGUUGACUAUUGAUUGCUUUUGUUUUGGUUCGUAGAAAGAGUAGGGGAUUCACGUGUGUAUAGUGCUUUUUUGUCUGGUAUAUAUGUGUUUGUUAUUAUUGUUUGGUUCACAUGUCUACAGUAUAUUUUUGUUUUUUGUAUUUGUCUGUUUUUGGUUUCUGAUGUACUUGUUCUAUAUAAAUUUGUUAGUUUGGUUGGUAUAUUGUGAUUUGUGUUUGUGAUUUUUUCUUGGUUUAAGAUGAGUUACACUGAUAAUCGUAUUGGAGUAUUGCGUGAUUUGCAUCCAGGUAUUGAGGUUAUGUUCAAUCGGUUAUCACUAAGUGAUGUGCGGGGAAAUUUGCCUGGCCAUACUGAAGAUAAUGGGAUGUUGAGGGGUGCAGAUCGAGUUUUAGCAAAUAAUAUUCUACUUAGGAAUGAGAUAUAUGAUUUGUUCAAAUGUUUUUAUCGGCAUCCAGAGAAAGCUCGUGUGCUGGAAAGUACAUUAGGAAAUAUUGGAGAAUUGCCGUUUCUGCAGAUAAUUGCUGGUCGUAUGGAAGUAGAAGUUGAAGAGCAGAGGAAAGCAAUUGAAAGUGCUAUGGGUGGAUUUUCUGAUGCAGCUGGGAGAAAUUUCUAGCGGAUAGCUAUGUAUGUUUUUAUGAGUUUUUAUGAUUUGUAUUAUGGAAAUGUUUGCUGUUGUUUCAGCUAUUAUAUCACGAGUGUUGUUGUUCAAGCUAUCAAAAUUCAUGAUAUUUGGAACUAAAGCAUACUCAUUGAUAUCUUUUCCCAUUGAUUGUAGGAACUGAUUUAUCUGGUACAGUACCUGGAAACGAAUUUGAUCAACUGAUACUUGUGGAGUUCUGCUGAUAUCUUGAGAUAAUGGCUCUUCAAAUUGUUCCCAAAGAUACCUGGCAUUUGAAGGAGGAAAAUGAACAAGUAGUGUGGCAAAUAAUCUUCUCAAAGUAUAUGGCAUGUGAUACAUAGCUGCUUCCUGAAGGCAUUGUUGUUGUGACUUAUCAGACUCAAAGUAACCCCUGAGAAUUGCUGCCUCCCGAAAAGUACGUACAUAUGCUCCAUUUAUUGUUCUUAAGUCAUCGAAUGAAGUUGGACUUUUGACAUUUGUGAGUAGCAAUCUGAGAAAGUAUCGUUCUCCUUCCAUUGGGUUGGCUGUUACUAUCCUACCUAUAGAGUCUUUCUGCUUUCUUGGUUCCCAUUUCCUCCUUCCUGGAUACCAAACAAAGUGCUCAGGAAACUGUUUGUAAGUACAUUUGAGAUUCUGAGCUAGAGAAUCAGUAGAAUUCAUGUAGAAAAAUUCUGUCAACAUGGUUCUCUUAGCAAAUCUAUUUGCUACUAUAUCACGUAGGUCUUGGUCUUCUCUGAAAUUCAAUGCUUGACAGUUUUGUAAGUGAAGCUGUAAGUGAAUAACAGCAGGAUGUAUUUGAAACAGCAGGAACCUGUAUAUUCUCCAUAUACCUUCCACAGCACAGACCCAUCUAGCCGAUUGAUAGUCUUUGAUCUCAUCGAUUGCACAGACAUGACCAUCAGAAUUCAGCUGAUUAGAAUCCUGUGAAUUGAGUACAAAAUGAAUCUUGUCAUGACCUUUGUAGAUAUACUUAUACAUGUACUUUACUGCCUUGACUGUAGAGCAGAUUUCCACGUUCAGAUGGCAGUUGAAUUUUGCAAGAAGGUAAGGAUUGUAUGGAACAACCCAUCUGUUAUCAAGCUCAUGUCCACGGACCAUCAUUUUGUAUCCAUUGUUUCUUCUUCGAUAAGUAGGGUAUGUGUUAUCUCCAUGAAAAGUCUUAUCGGCAAAUGGUUUUGGAUAAUUAUUCCUGCAUUUUUUCUGAUGUUCUCCUCGCAUACAAACAUUGGUUGGAUUUCUUUUUCCACAAGGGCCAUGAAUCAUGUGUCUGCGAACCAUGUUGAAAAGAUGUGGAUUUUUGCUUUCAUCUGGAAUCUCUGCACUAACUAUUCUGUCAUAAGAAUCUGUCGAGUAAAGUUUUGAACAUGGCUUCAAAAUUAUAAGGAAAUGAGCAUGAGGUAAACCGCGUUUCUGGAACUCUAUGACAUAUGUGUAAGCAGCAACAGAUCCGAAUAUUUCUUUCUUGAAUAACUCCUGUUUUAAAACAUCAAGCUUUGCGUGAAAGAUUCGAGUGAGCAGGUCCGGCCUGUUAUGUGCUUCAUCUGUUGAAAGCAUGAGAUUCUUUAUCUCUGGCCAUGAAGGAUUGCAAGUCAUUGUAAUGAAUAAAUCUGGUUUGCCAAAUUUCUGGACCAAAGCCAUAGCAUCAACAUAUCUCCUUCUCAUGUCUCGAGGGCCUCCUAUGAAUGAAGCUGGAAGGACUACUCGUUGGCCUACUUUUGAAGCUUGGCAUUGACCUGUUAUAACACUAUCCAUUACGCCUUGCAGCUGCUCUCUCCUUAUGAAUUCUUGUUUGCUUUUAUAGUAAUCCAAUCUCUGACUUUCAAUUUUGAUGUACAUAUCCACAACAUAUUGCUGAAGUAAUCUACCAGUGUUAAGUAUGUUUGGAGAAUAUUUGUCUCUGAUCUGCAAUUUAUAAGCAUAAUAUUCUCGCAUUGACACAAAUUCACCAUUGUUUUCAGGAUCAUUGGAAACUGAAAGUUACAAAAAUAAGGUAUAAGUAACUGGUUUCACUAUAUGAAGUUGCAUACAUUGAUAAGAUAUAGGAUCAUGUGAGACUAAUCGAAGAUAAUGCGAGUAGUAUGUUCUCAAAACAAGUAAUUCAGGAUCAGUAAUUAUGUAAGCAAGAUGUGAGCAAUGUACAUAAGUAAUGUAUAAGACAUUUGCAUAUAGAUAAUGUAUUAGUUAUUCAUCUUAGGAAUACCUUCUUCUUCAGCAGAUAUCAUGUCUUCAGCAGAUUUGAAAUUGGUGAGGACAGCAGUAGGUUUGUUUCUCUGAACAGAUCUUUUUCUCUUUUUGGCAUUUUCUCUGACAAAUCUUCUGAUUCCAGGAUGCCAGCCUGUUUCACCAAGUGCAAAUAAUAGUGGAUAUUGGAGAGGAUCGUAACAGCCAUAAUAGUACUGGACGAGGUGAUCCCUUCCUUCUUUUGUAUAAAUUUUAAUGUGUCUAGCAUAACUUGUUCCUGAACUCUCUGUUUCUGUCCAAAGAGCUGCAACCUGAGAAGCUGUUGGAUGGUUGAAUACUCGUUGAUCAUUCUGUGAAUGUGAUUUCAGGACUAUCUGAUAUGAAUCCAAAUUUGGAACGUUUCUUAGACUGCGCAGAAAACAUGCGUAUGGAUUAGACUUCAUGACUUCCAUGAUCUUCAUUACUAUACUCUCUGUUAAUCUUUCUGAAACUGCCAUUCUGUUUUGAAGCUCAUGAUCUGUAUCAUGAAAAUACAGUUGCAGAUAUAAUCCAGAUCCUCCAUGUGGAAUAAGGUCUUUGAUAAAGUGAUAGCUUUGUCCUUGAACUUUGAAGGUAUAAAUGCCAUUUGUUCUCUUGCAAAGUGAUUUAUCAUAGUGUACACCAAAGGAAGUAAAGGCAAACAUAUUAUUAUAUGUUCUGACAUAUGUACGAAAGGAUAAAGCUUCAUCAGAAUGACCAGUGAACAAUUCUACAAGAAUAUCUGGCAAUUUAUUCUCAUGGAGAACUACUUGUCCGUCUGAGCAACAGAAAUUGGGUGUCUCAGAGUGCAUUUUUUUCCCUCCACAGUACUGACAAUCAGCUUUUGCAGGUAAUCUAUCUGCCUGAUGAUUAAUAAAUUUGAGUGCAUGAACUCCAUCAACAGGCUGAUUACCUAUAGAUUUAGCAAUUAGUUCAGCUAAACUAAAGGUUGGAACUGAACAUAAGGAGGUAAAAGAGCAACAAUCAGUGAUUUGUAAUCUGUACCUCUGUUUUUUUUCUUUUUGUUAUUAAUAGCUUUCACUUGUUUCGCUGAUGAAUGCUUUUUGCCUGAAUGAUUCAAGUAUAUAUAAUUAGAAGCAGAGGCCAUAAGCUUUAUACAUGUAGUGGUAGUAAUAUGAUCAAGGUAUUUGUAUGAAUAGAAGUGGUUUGAGGUUACAUAAUGCAUACUGAAGUUUUCUGAUCAACAUCAGAAGCAAUUAAACAAUUUAAUAUAUUUUAAUGAGAUGGUUAUUUGAUGGAUUUUUUAUGGCAAAUUAGUUUACAACAAUAGUGAGAAAUAAGAAACUUGAGUGAGAAAUAAGAAACAAUAGUGAGAAAUGAGAAUCGUCAAGCAGCUCAUAUGGUAAUUUGAGUUUUUCUAUAUACAAGAUAGUAAAUUCAGAUCAAAGCUAAUAACCUGCAAUUCUUCUUGUUUUAGCAGAACAAUUAUCAGGGACUUGAUACAGCUGGUACAUUGGGAGGAUAGCUGACAAAUCUGUUCAAGGUAAAGUUCAUGGAAUUGUUAGACACAAUCGCAGUAGGAAUUUUUUUAAAAAGCUCAAAGAACAUUUGACCUGAAGUUUGUUCAGCUAUUUCUGUCAAGAAUUUGUAGCAGUUCAUGCAUAUGAAUGAUUUAUCUGAAAAGUAAACAAGAAUACUAAUAUAACUGAUCAUGAUAAUGUUGAUGGUUAUAUAUAAGAAGCAAUAAUCAAUGAUUAAUUUCGAAGCUUAAAUCACCUGCAUUGUGCAGCAUGUCAGUAGCUACGCAUGUAUGUUGUGUACCACAGUUAGAAGCAGAUCCUACGUAUAAAAAUUAGAGAUGGAGUAUUGUAUCAAUAGAAUACUGUUUAUGAUUUGAGUAAGAAAGAUAUAUGAAAAACAAAGUACACCAUGUACCUUUCUCAUAGCUUGAGAAGCAAGAAAUCUGUUCCUUUAAUUUUCUACCCAACUGAGCAGAAGCUAGUUCAUCACUGUUAUUUGCAGAGGGAGAAAUCCGAAUACCAGGUUUUGGAGCACCUAUUACAAUAGACAGAGUUCAGAUUGGUUGCAUGAAUAUUAUAAAAAAAAUGAAAUUCACAUUGGAUAACAAACAAUGCACAGUCUAAUUUACUACAAUAUAGCAAGAAACACUAAUACAUAUACAACUAAGUUGACAUGAAUUCAUUGAUUUAAAGUAGAUAGAAAUGGUACCUGUAAAGUGUUCUGUAAAAUGAGAGUGUGAGAAUUCACUACGUGAAUCGCCUGAAAGUCAGGUAGAAAAAUUUGCAAUUCAAUAUAUACAAAAGUAGGGGUUGGAAUUCUAAGAAAAGUUGGUAAAGGGAAAAAAAUUCUAUGACUAACCUUGAUUACAACCAAUAAUUCCAUGAACAUUGUCAUUGAGUUUGGAAGUUUGAGAACCAAUAGCUUGGAUAACUUUAUCAUUCAAAGCUAGUCAUCAACAAAAUAAGGGAAAUAGACAGGUUAUGAUAAAUAUCCUAUGCACAUACAGAUUAUGAGAAUAUAGUAAGAGUUUUUUAAUCACUAUGUACCAUGAGAACAUUGUUGAGGAGAAAGGCUACGGAUAACAGAUGCAGAAACUGGUGAUUGAGAAGCUUCUUGAAAUUGUUGUGGCAAGGACUUGGAAAGUAUUUUCUCCAAUUUUUUUCUGUGAUAAGCUUCUCUGUUUUUUUUUGCGCUGAGCCUGUUUCUCUUCGACAGAUAGAGCAGCAAAUUUUUCUCUUUUUUUACGAUUUCGCUUAUCCUUUUUCUCACGAAGUUUAUCAGGAUCAUCCGUUAUGGAUAGCUUGGAGCAGCUCAUGUUUUUUAUACAUAUAUACCAAGCAACAAACAAAGAUAGACAGAGGAAAAUCUAUGCGUAUGGACAGAUAUAUAUUGUUUAUAUAUAUAUCGAUAGAUAGGUAUAUAAGUGGUGAUGUGCAAGGAACAAACUAUUCAGCUAAAAAGGAUGAAGACUAUCAGUACAGAUGGAAUGAGCUAUGAACUAAAUAUAUUAAAAAACAAUAAAAAACCAGUUGAACGAAGGAAAGAGAGUAGAAAACCUCCAUGGAGACAGCAGACGAAGCUUAUCAAAGUAUCUCUGCUACUGCGUAUUAUAAGAAAUUGGAGCACCUCAGUACAGAUUAAAAUAAAAGAAAUUUCUAGUUGCAUGGAAUAGCUGAAAAACUCAUGUGAACUAAGUUUGGAUUAGCAUAAGAAAAUACCUGAUUCGAAGCAAGCUGUAUGAAGCAAGUUGUAAGAUGCAAGAUGCGCUGUAAUUUGCAUGUAAACUGGUUUUUUGAACGUAGCAAAUUGUUUGCAUGAAAUCUCUGGUGCCAAUGUAUUCAUCGAUGAUCAGUAAAAAACAAGAAAUAUGCAAAAUCGAGACAAAGAAUCUGGAAAUGACAAAUAUAGCCAACCUUAGGAAGAAAGUGGUCCACAAAAUAAGCAUCAGAAUGACUAAAACAGUAAAAAAUAGAUGGUAGUGGGAGACAAGUGAUUUAACCCCUAUGACACAUGAUUGAACUCUUUGGUCAAAAUUGAGGAAUAAAGUAGAUCUCAUGUUUAUCACAUAUGCAUAUAAAAAAAAUAUAUCCACUUAUCACUUAUCACUUAAUAAAUAUAUAAAUUUAUCUAGUUGUUCUCUUAUAUCCACCAUAAUUCUAGAUAUUUUUUAAUGCCUAUUAGCUUUAUCAAUUUAUCAAUUUUUUAAAAUAAAUAUAUAGAUGGUUAUCCUUAUAUUAGAAACCCCUUAAACACAAGUGAUGGUUUUUUAUAUUAAAAACCAGAAUACAUUUUACUUAAACAAUUGAUAAUAUAAACAAAAUGUUUGAUAAUACAAAAUGUGUUUAAUUUGAUAAUAUAAAGACAUUUGAUAAUAUUAAACACGUUUUAAUAUUAAACUUGUCGGACAAAGUUCAAUUCAUGGUUUAAGUUCAAUUCUAAACAUUGAUUAUGAUUUAAGUGAAAUUACUUUAAACGUUAUAACACAUGAUCAAAGGGAUUUGAAAUUUUUUGGGAUUGGUUAAAUUUUUUCGACAUCCACACAAUUGUGGAGUAGAACAAAAAAUUUAAAAAUCCCGACUGCAUAAUAACGCUGAAACCCGCAAGCGGGAUUCUGUGUUUUCCUAUUUCAACGUUAAAUCGCUUGUAAACAUUCAUUUAUAAUAAAUUUUAGAUUCUAAAAUUUGAAGAGCAAAAGACCACACAAUUGUGGAGUAGAACAAAAAAUUUAAAAAUCCCGACUGCAUAAUAACGCUGAAACCCGCAAGCGGGAUUCUGUGUUUUUCUAUUUCAACGUUAAAUCGCUUGUAAACAUUCAUUUAUAAUAAAUUUUAGAUUCUAAAAUUUGAAGAGAAAAAGCCUUUUUUCCUUCUCCAUCCACACAGCUCUGAAGUACAACAGAAGCUAUGAAAGCCAGCUGCACUAAAUAUAUAGAUGGUUAUCCUUAUAUUAGAAACCCCUUAAACACAAGUGAUGGUUUUUAUAUUAAAAACCAGAAUACAUUUUACUUAAACAAUUGAUAAUAUAAACAAAAUGUUUGAUAAUACAAAAUGUGUUUAAUUUGAUAAUAUAAAGACAUUUGAUAAUAUUAAACACGUUUUAAUAUUAAACUUGUCGGACAAAGUUCAAUUCAUGGUUUAGAGAAGAAUGCUUGAUCCAAAUUUUGUUGACAGGUUCAGUGCUGCAAUAUUUACGUGGCUCAGUAUGUUCAAUUUACGAGGUUCAGUAUGUUCAAUUUACGUGCUGCAAUAUUUACCAGGUUCAGUAUGUUCAAAGUCAGAAAAUAUGUGGAGCAUAAGAAAUUUCUUAUAUACUCACUGUGAUAUGAUGAUACUUUAAUCCGAAGUGUAACAAUCAGUGGCAUUGUGUCAAUUAUAUUUGCAAGUGCUUGGCCUUCAUCUGUUUCAUGCUCACCCCAUAGUGUUAGGAUAACUGGCAUCAUGCUGUAGUGUAUUUGAUUGAUAGAUGAACAUUUGUUAGAAGAGAUUAUUUGUAUCAAUGUGUGCUGGUUUAGAACUGAUAUAGAAUAAAUGGAUAGUUUUAGUUACCUUUUAUCUAUAAGUACCACUUCUCUAGUAGCUGUAGUGGCCCUUUGUAUCCGAGGAUGAACUUCAGCGACAAUGCCUAGGACAUCUGAUUUUCAAUUGUGCUGAGUUAUAACUAUAAUGUGUGCAGUAGCAAGUUAGUAGUAAGAUUUGUUGGUUACCUAUAUCUGUGUUGUCAUCCAUAUGUUGGUAAAAUCUUCUAUAGGGUGAGAAUCUGAACACAGCUGGAAUCUGAGGUGGCUCGACUUCAUUCACUGCUUGAACAACAGUAGAGUUGUCUAUGUACCAUGUGCAUUGAUUUGGAUGAGUGGAAUACUCUGAUGGUGUGUACUCAACUCUAGCAUUGCAGAGAAUGUAUCGCUUGUAAAGUUGGAAAUGAUUUCGGAAGAACUCAAUGUCUGAUUUAUAAAUCAUUGCUUCAACUGUUGACCCCUGAGAAUAGUCAUGGUUGUUUUGAUGUCAAUGUCAAAAUUGAGUAAUAAAGAACAUGACAUAAAAUUGAGAAUUUGUAUUACCUGCUCAUCAAUUAAUAUGAGUUUCUGAUAUCGGUUUCCUGCCUUUGAGAGUAAUGGCUUUUGCUUGUCUAGAACCUGAACCAUAGUUGUCCAGUUUUGUAGUCCAGGAAUUAUUUCAGCAAAUGAGAUGAUAUUUUUUUCCUCCUGCAACUCAUAAUAUAAGUAGCUAAGUGCUGGAUGAAGCGAAAGAAAGGUGUAAAAUCAUGAAUAUAUACAAAUAACUGAUAUACAAAUGGUUAGAACAGUGAUUGAUAAGCUAAAUCUAGUACUUCUGUAUAUACUAUAUUUUCUGUAAUUGAGUCUUCUUGGUCGUCAAAUAUUGAUGGUUUAAUCAGAAUUUUAAUAGAACUACUAUUCUUAGCUCUUGACAUUGCUACAUAUAGCUGUCCAUGGGAGAAAACCGGCUCACGCAAAUAUAUGCCGACAAAAUCAAGUGUUUGUCCUUGAGCUUUGUUUAUUGUCAUAGCAAAACAGGGUCGAACAGGAAACUGAAUUCGUUCGAAUGAUACUGGUGAGUCUGAAUUAUUCUCUGCUCUAAAACAGAUUCUGUGAAUGAAGACUUCUUUUCCAGCAAAUUCUCCACAUGUUAUGACUGCAUGUAUAAUGUUGGAGCUCAAGGAUUUGCAUAUCAGCCUGGUGCCAUUACAUAAUCCCUGAGGCGGAUCGAUGUUUCUCAGUAACAUGAUAGGGCAGUAUGGUUUGAGAAGCAGCUUAUGAGGAGGGAAACCAUUUGGAGUCAAACUGUUUAGCAAAUCUUCCAUGAUUGUCUGCUCAGAGCUAUCUAUACACUUGUCUCGACUGGUAUAUUCUUGCAAUUGUCCUUUGAACUGUUCAAUGAGCCUGUGAUUAAUUUGAUCCACAAAGUCAUUUUUUGUUGUCAGAAUAGCACGAUUAAUUGCAGAGAAAUUGUCCUGGCAAAAAGCGUUCAAAUCUGGGAACACUGUGCGGAUCAAUGUGUUCAUUGAUUCUUCCUCAUUGGUAUAUCUUAUCAGCAUUGAUGCAGGUAUCUGGAUAGAAUUCUUGGAGAUAAAUGGCUCUGUUCCAUUUCCGAUGCGGAGUAGAUAUUCAGUAAAUUCUGCAUCAUAUCUUGCUCUCAUAUUUUGAGUCAGAUGCAACUUAUGUAGCUGUGGCCAUAUGUAUGAGUUCACUAUACUUGCAUCGAUAAAUUCAGAUUUUGAUCCUUUUGUUACUACUGGCAAGACUUGACGAAAGUCACCUCCAAAAACAAUGACCUUUGAUCCAAACAAAUUGUUGCAGUCCAUUAUGUCUCUGAGAAUUUUGUCAACACUCUCAAUUGAAGUCUUGUGUGUCAUUGGAGCUUCAUCCCAGAUGAUCAGAAUUGCAGAUUGCAGCAGUUUUGCUAAUGAGCUUUGUUUACUGAUUCUGCAUUGCUUAUCUCGUGUUCCACUAAUUGGUAUCUUGAAUCUUGAAUGAGCUGUCCUUCCACCUGGAAGAAUCGAAGCCGCAACUCCACAGGAUGCUGUAGCCAGAGCUAUGUGUCCUUUUGACCUGAUUUCUGCUAGUAGUGCUCGAUAAAGGAAUGUUUUUCCUGUUCCGCCUGGUCCAUCAAUGAAAAAGGCUCCUUUUUUUUCAACAAAAACUGCAUUUAUAAUAAUAUCAAAAACUUUUUUCUGAUCAGCAUUUAAUUGUUCAAUUGCUAAUAAGUCAUGCUCUGGUACAGAGAUUGUUGUUUCAGCUAUUAUAUCACGAGUGUUGUUGUUCAAGCUAUCAAAAUUCAUGAUAUUUGGAACUAAAGCAUACUCAUUGAUAUCUUUUCCCAUUGAUUGUAGGAACUGAUUUAUCUGGUACAGUACCUGGAAACGAAUUUGAUCAACUGAUACUUGUGGAGUUCUGCUGAUAUCUUGAGAUAAUGGCUCUUCAAAUUGUUCCCAAAGAUACCUGGCAUUUGAAGGAGGAAAAUGAACAAGUAGUGUGGCAAAUAAUCUUCUCAAAGUAUAUGGCAUGUGAUACAUAGCUGCUUCCUGAAGGCAUUGUUGUUGUGACUUAUCAGACUCAAAGUAACCCCUGAGAAUUGCUGCCUCCCGAAAAGUACGUACAUAUGCUCCAUUUAUUGUUCUUAAGUCAUCGAAUGAAGUUGGACUUUUGACAUUUGUGAGUAGCAAUCUGAGAAAGUAUCGUUCUCCUUCCAUUGGGUUGGCUGUUACUAUCCUACCUAUAGAGUCUUUCUGCUUUCUUGGUUCCCAUUUCCUCCUUCCUGGAUACCAAACAAAGUGCUCAGGAAACUGUUUGUAAGUACAUUUGAGAUUCUGAGCUAGAGAAUCAGUAGAAUUCAUGUAGAAAAAUUCUGUCAACAUGGUUCUCUUAGCAAAUCUAUUUGCUACUAUAUCACGUAGGUCUUGGUCUUCUCUGAAAUUCAAUGCUUGACAGUUUUGUAAGUGAAGCUGUAAGUGAAUAACAGCAGGAUGUAUUUGAAACAGCAGGAACCUGUAUAUUCUCCAUAUACCUUCCACAGCACAGACCCAUCUAGCCGAUUGAUAGUCUUUGAUCUCAUCGAUUGCACAGACAUGACCAUCAGAAUUCAGCUGAUUAGAAUCCUGUGAAUUGAGUACAAAAUGAAUCUUGUCAUGACCUUUGUAGAUAUACUUAUACAUGUACUUUACUGCCUUGACUGUAGAGCAGAUUUCCACGUUCAGAUGGCAGUUGAAUUUUGCAAGAAGGUAAGGAUUGUAUGGAACAACCCAUCUGUUAUCAAGCUCAUGUCCACGGACCAUCAUUUUGUAUCCAUUGUUUCUUCUUCGAUAAGUAGGGUAUGUGUUAUCUCCAUGAAAAGUCUUAUCGGCAAAUGGUUUUGGAUAAUUAUUCCUGCAUUUUUUCUGAUGUUCUCCUCGCAUACAAACAUUGGUUGGAUUUCUUUUUCCACAAGGGCCAUGAAUCAUGUGUCUGCGAACCAUGUUGAAAAGAUGUGGAUUUUUGCUUUCAUCUGGAAUCUCUGCACUAACUAUUCUGUCAUAAGAAUCUGUCGAGUAAAGUUUUGAACAUGGCUUCAAAAUUAUAAGGAAAUGAGCAUGAGGUAAACCGCGUUUCUGGAACUCUAUGACAUAUGUGUAAGCAGCAACAGAUCCGAAUAUUUCUUUCUUGAAUAACUCCUGUUUUAAAACAUCAAGCUUUGCGUGAAAGAUUCGAGUGAGCAGGUCCGGCCUGUUAUGUGCUUCAUCUGUUGAAAGCAUGAGAUUCUUUAUCUCUGGCCAUGAAGGAUUGCAAGUCAUUGUAAUGAAUAAAUCUGGUUUGCCAAAUUUCUGGACCAAAGCCAUAGCAUCAACAUAUCUCCUUCUCAUGUCUCGAGGGCCUCCUAUGAAUGAAGCUGGAAGGACUACUCGUUGGCCUACUUUUGAAGCUUGGCAUUGACCUGUUAUAACACUAUCCAUUACGCCUUGCAGCUGCUCUCUCCUUAUGAAUUCUUGUUUGCUUUUAUAGUAAUCCAAUCUCUGACUUUCAAUUUUGAUGUACAUAUCCACAACAUAUUGCUGAAGUAAUCUACCAGUGUUAAGUAUGUUUGGAGAAUAUUUGUCUCUGAUCUGCAAUUUAUAAGCAUAAUAUUCUCGCAUUGACACAAAUUCACCAUUGUUUUCAGGAUCAUUGGAAACUGAAAGUUACAAAAAUAAGGUAUAAGUAACUGGUUUCACUAUAUGAAGUUGCAUACAUUGAUAAGAUAUAGGAUCAUGUGAGACUAAUCGAAGAUAAUGCGAGUAGUAUGUUCUCAAAACAAGUAAUUCAGGAUCAGUAAUUAUGUAAGCAAGAUGUGAGCAAUGUACAUAAGUAAUGUAUAAGACAUUUGCAUAUAGAUAAUGUAUUAGUUAUUCAUCUUAGGAAUACCUUCUUCUUCAGCAGAUAUCAUGUCUUCAGCAGAUUUGAAAUUGGUGAGGACAGCAGUAGGUUUGUUUCUCUGAACAGAUCUUUUUCUCUUUUUGGCAUUUUCUCUGACAAAUCUUCUGAUUCCAGGAUGCCAGCCUGUUUCACCAAGUGCAAAUAAUAGUGGAUAUUGGAGAGGAUCGUAACAGCCAUAAUAGUACUGGACGAGGUGAUCCCUUCCUUCUUUUGUAUAAAUUUUAAUGUGUCUAGCAUAACUUGUUCCUGAACUCUCUGUUUCUGUCCAAAGAGCUGCAACCUGAGAAGCUGUUGGAUGGUUGAAUACUCGUUGAUCAUUCUGUGAAUGUGAUUUCAGGACUAUCUGAUAUGAAUCCAAAUUUGGAACGUUUCUUAGACUGCGCAGAAAACAUGCGUAUGGAUUAGACUUCAUGACUUCCAUGAUCUUCAUUACUAUACUCUCUGUUAAUCUUUCUGAAACUGCCAUCCUGUUUUGAAGCUCAUGAUCUGUAUCAUGAAAAUACAGUUGCAGAUAUAAUCCAGAUCCUCCAUGUGGAAUAAGGUCUUUGAUAAAGUGAUAGCUUUGUCCUUGAACUUUGAAGGUAUAAAUGCCAUUUGUUCUCUUGCAAAGUGAUUUAUCAUAGUGUACACCAAAGGAAGUAAAGGCAAACAUAUUAUUAUAUGUUCUGACAUAUGUACGAAAGGAUAAAGCUUCAUCAGAAUGACCAGUGAACAAUUCUACAAGAAUAUCUGGCAAUUUAUUCUCAUGGAGAACUACUUGUCCGUCUGAGCAACAGAAAUUGGGUGUCUCAGAGUGCAUUUUUUUCCCUCCACAGUACUGACAAUCAGCUUUUGCAGGUAAUCUAUCUGCCUGAUGAUUAAUAAAUUUGAGUGCAUGAACUCCAUCAACAGGCUGAUUACCUAUAGAUUUAGCAAUUAGUUCAGCUAAACUAAAGGUUGGAACUGAACAUAAGGAGGUAAAAGAGGAACAAUCAGUGAUUUGUAAUCUGUACCUCUGUUUUUUUUCUUUUUGUUAUUAAUAGCUUUCACUUGUUUCGCUGAUGAAUGCUUUUUGCCUGAAUGAUUCAAGUAUAUAUAAUUAGAAGCAGAGGCCAUAAGCUUUAUACAUGUAGUGGUAGUAAUAUGAUCAAGGUAUUUGUAUGAAUAGAAGUGGUUUGAGGUUACAUAAUGCAUACUGAAGUUUUCUGAUCAACAUCAGAAGCAAUUAAACAAUUUAAUAUAUUUUAAUGAGAUGGUUAUUUGAUGGAUUUUUUAUGGCAAAUUAGUUUACAACAAUAGUGAGAAAUAAGAAACUUGAGUGAGAAAUAAGAAACAAUAGUGAGAAAUGAGAAUCGUCAAGCAGCUCAUAUGGUAAUUUGAGUUUUUCUAUAUACAAGAUAGUAAAUUCAGAUCAAAGCUAAUAACCUGCAAUUCUUCUUGUUUUAGCAGAACAAUUAUCAGGGACUUGAUACAGCUGGUACAUUGGGAGGAUAGCUGACAAAUCUGUUCAAGGUAAAGUUCAUGGAAUUGUUAGACACAAUCGCAGUAGGAAUUUUUUUAAAAAGCUCAAAGAACAUUUGACCUGAAGUUUGUUCAGCUAUUUCUGUCAAGAAUUUGUAGCAGUUCAUGCAUAUGAAUGAUUUAUCUGAAAAGUAAACAAGAAUACUAAUAUAACUGAUCAUGAUAAUGUUGAUGGUUAUAUAUAAGAAGCAAUAAUCAAUGAUUAAUUUCGAAGCUUAAAUCACCUGCAUUGUGCAGCAUGUCAGUAGCUACGCAUGUAUGUUGUGUACCACAGUUAGAAGCAGAUCCUACGUAUAAAAAUUAGAGAUGGAGUAUUGUAUCAAUAGAAUACUGUUUAUGAUUUGAGUAAGAAAGAUAUAUCAAAAACAAAGUACACCAUGUACCUUUCUCAUAGCUUGAGAAGCAAGAAAUCUGUUCCUUUAAUUUUCUACCCAACUGAGCAGAAGCUAGUUCAUCACUGUUAUUUGCAGAGGGAGAAAUCCGAAUACCAGGUUUUGGAGCACCUAUUACAAUAGACAGAGUUCAGAUUGGUUGCAUGAAUAUUAUAAAAAAAAUGAAAUUCACAUUGGAUAACAAACAAUGCACAGUCUAAUUUACUACAAUAUAGCAAGAAACACUAAUACAUAUACAACUAAGUUGACAUGAAUUCAUUGAUUUAAAGUAGAUAGAAAUGGUACCUGUAAAGUGUUCUGUAAAAUGAGAGUGUGAGAAUUCACUGCGUGAAUCGCCUGAAAGUCAGGUAGAAAAAUUUGCAAUUCAAUAUAUACAAAAGUAGGGGUUGGAAUUCUAAGAAAAGUUGGUAAAGGGAAAAAAAUUCUAUGACUAACCUUGAUUACAACCAAUAAUUCCAUGAACAUUGUCAUUGAGUUUGGAAGUUUGAGAACCAAUAGCUUGGAUAACUUUAUCAUUCAAAGCUAGUCAUCAACAAAAUAAGGGAAAUAGACAGGUUAUGAUAAAUAUCCUAUGCACAUACAGAUUAUGAGAAUAUAGUAAGAGUUUUUUAAUCACUAUGUACCAUGAGAACAUUGUUGAGGAGAAAGGCUACGGAUAACAGAUGCAGAAACUGGUGAUUGAGAAGCUUCUUGAAAUUGUUGUGGCAAGGACUUGGAAAGUAUUUUCUCCAAUUUUUUUCUGUGAUAAGCUUCUCUGUUUUUUUUGCGCUGAGCCUGUUUCUCUUCGACAGAUAGAGCAGCAAAUUUUUCUCUUUUUUUACGAUUUCGCUUAUCCUUUUUCUCACGAAGUUUAUCAGGAUCAUCCGUUAUGGAUAGCUUGGAGCAGCUCAUGUUUUUUAUACAUAUAUACCAAGCAACAAACAAAGAUAGACAGAGGAAAAUCUAUGCGUAUGGACAGAUAUAUAUUGUUUAUAUAUAUAUCGAUAGAUAGGUAUAUAAGUGGUGAUGUGCAAGGAACAAACUAUUCAGCUAAAAAGGAUGAAGACUAUCAGUACAGAUGGAAUGAGCUAUGAACUAAAUAUAUUAAAAAACAAUAAAAAACCAGUUGAACGAAGGAAAGAGAGUAGAAAACCUCCAUGGAGACAGCAGACGAAGCUUAUCAAAGUAUCUCUGCUACUGCGUAUUAUAAGAAAUUGGAGCACCUCAGUACAGAUUAAAAUAAAAGAAAUUUCUAGUUGCAUGGAAUAGCUGAAAAACUCAUGUGAACUAAGUUUGGAUUAGCAUAAGAAAAUACCUGAUUCGAAGCAAGCUGUAUGAAGCAAGUUGUAAGAUGCAAGAUGCGCUGUAAUUUGCAUGUAAACUGGUUUUUUGAACGUAGCAAAUUGUUUGCAUGAAAUCUCUGGUGCCAAUGUAUUCAUCGAUGAUCAGUAAAAAACAAGAAAUAUGUAAAAUCGAGACAAAGAAUCUGGAAAUGACAAAUAUAGCCAACCUUAGGAAGAAAGUGGUCCACAAAAUAAGCAUCAGAAUGACUAAAACAGUAAAAAAUAGAUGGUAGUGGGAGACAAGUGAUUUAACCCCUAUGACACAUGAUUGAACUCUUUGGUCAAAAUUGAGGAAUAAAGUAUAUCUCAUGUUUAUCACAUAUGCAUAUAAAAAAAAUAUAUCCACUUAUCACUUAUCACUUAAUAAAUAUAUAAAUUUAUCUAGUUGUUCUCUUAUAUCCACCAUAAUUCUAGAUAUUUUUAAUGCCUAUUAGCUUUAUCAAUUUAUCAAUUUUUUAAAAUAAAUAUAUAGAUGGUUAUCCUUAUAUUAGAAACCCCUUAAACACAAGUGAUGGUUUUUUAUAUUAAAAACCAGAGUACAUUUUACUUAAACAAUUGAUAAUAUAAACAAAAUGUUUGAUAAUACAAAAUGUGUUUAAUUUGAUAAUAUAAAGACAUUUGAUAAUAUUAAACACGUUUUAAUAUUAAACUUGUCGGACAAAGUUCAAUUCAUGGUUUAAGUUCAAUUCUAAACAUUGAUUAUGAUUUAAGUGAAAUUACUUUAAACGUUAUAACACAUGAUCAAAGGGAUUUGAAAUUUUUUGGGAUUGGUUAAAUUUUUUCGACAUCCACACAAUUGUGGAGUAGAACAAAAAAUUUAAAAAUCCCGACUGCAUAAUAACGCUGAAACCCGCAAGCGGGAUUCUGUGUUUUCCUAUUUCAACGUUAAAUCGCUUGUAAACAUUCAUUUAUAAUAAAUUUUAGAUUCUAAAAUUUGAAGAGCAAAAGACCACACAAUUGUGGAGUAGAACAAAAAAUUUAAAAAUCCCGACUGCAUAAUAACGCUGAAACCCGCAAGCGAGAUUCUGUGUUUUCCUAUUUCAACGUUAAAUCGCUUGUAAACAUUCAUUUAUAAUAAAUUUUAGAUUCUAAAAUUUGAAGAGAAAAAGCCUUUUUUCCUUCUCCAUCCACACAGCUCUGAAGUACAACAGAAGCUAUGAAAGCCAGCUGCACAGCCAGCAGUCGGAUGUUCAAAUCACCGCAAAAGCUGAAGCAGCAGUGGGAGCAGUCAACUCACAUCAAAUGCUUGGCUCCAAUUUAGCAAGAGCGGUCCCACCACUCAACGUACAAAACAGCAGCCCAAGGUACAAGAGCUUAAAGCAAACGGAUGCACUCGAAAUCCCCAACAGUAGAAGCACAAAGUGCUUCUUAUAUAUAGUAUAGAUAUAGAUAUAGAUAUAGAUAUAUAUAGUAUAGAUAUAUAUAUAUAUAUAUAUAUAUAUAAUAUAUGCAUGUAUGUAUAUGUAUAUGUAUAUGUGUAUAAAUAUAUAUAUGUAUAUCAAAUAUAUAUACAUUUAUAUAUAUGUAUAUGUGUGUGUAUAUAGAAAUAAAACUGUACAAUGUUCACCUUCUAACUAGUAAUUUGAAUUUAUCCCUUAUUCAGGGUUUGAGUUAUCCAUGUAGGGAAUGUUAACGAAAAUAAACUUAAGAAAUUGAAUUAUGCUUGCUGAUGAAUAUGCAUACACUCGGUGAGGCAUCCUAAUUUACGUGACCAAUUGGCCAACCUAUAUUUAAAAGAAAAUCUAUGUAAACAAGUAAAAAUAUUUAAUUAGGUCGAAUCAUAAUCUAACUAUAUGUUAAUUUAUAUUCACAAAUUUUGUCUAGCUCUAAAGAUUUCGGCUUGGAAUUGGAUUUCCUAUUAUUUACUUCGAACUUUAUUAAAAUCCUUAACCACUUUGCUACUUCUUGACGUAAAUGCAAAUGAGUUGUAAUUUAAAGUGCAAUUUCCAAAGUUGACAUUGCCUUUAGAAAAAAUAGAAAAAUGAUUUGUGUUACAUUCCAAAUUGUUCCUUAAAUUUAGAUAAAUAUUUUCGCACUUAGGGCUUCCAUAAUUCACAUCCUAAAUUUUUCUUUUCUAAAAUGACUUUUUUCUAAAUAUUAAAAAAAAAACUUUUGUGCCUGGAGCUUUCAUAGUUCAGAUUAUAUGACAUCACUCAAAUUAAUCAAUUACUGAUAAAUUUUGUUUCCUCUAAAUAAGUAAAUUCUAUGGCAGUUAAAUUUACGAGCACAAAAUUAGUUUAUUCUAUUCCUAAUUUGCUUUUGGAACAAAACCUAAUUAGAUUUUCGAACAACAAAAACACAAAAGAAGUCAAAUCUAACAUUCAUCACAUAUAGCAUAGUCCAAGUAGUGCUAGAAUAUAUUUAAAAAAAAAGAGAUUGUUUUUAAAUUAUGGCUCUCAACGUACUCAUUUGGAUAUAUAAAUUACAUCUAAUUUACAAAUUCACAUUUACUAUAUCACUAUAUUUAAAUAAUGUUUAGAACUAAUUUUAUUUUUGCCAAAAAAAUUAAUACUUGAAGCCCUUAUAUUUGAUUAUCCAUUAGCCAAGCUCUAGAGGGGUAGUGGUCCAACAACAACAGUACUAGGUGCAUGUCGGACAAUAAUUUGUCACAUUUUCUUAACCUAAAUGACAACUCAAGAAGUCUAGUCCAAUGCCGUUAAAGAAAAUUGAACAGUUACUAUUAGAUGAGCACUUUCCAGCUACAUCCAAGAAACGUGUUGCUAGAUCUCUAACCCCUUUGCUUCUCCUGUUUCCAUCUUGCUCUGCUGCUACUGCUACUUUUAAACUUGCAGUAAAAGCCUUCGAAAUUUGUCGGCAGGGAAGCAAAUCCUUAAUUUUUCUGAGAUAAGCUAGUAUGUAGUGAAAAGGGCUCAGCUGUUUUUUAUUCUUUCUUUUUUCUGAAAUUAGAGGAUACGAUUUGAAAUAGAAUGAGGAGGAGAGGGCCAGAUUUUAGACGGCCGGCUAGGCGGCGGCUUUCGAACGUAUUUUGGUUGACCCUUAUUGGGUUGCUAAUUUUGCUGUUUAUUGUUUUUCUUAGCAGAGAUAGCCAUCAACCCACCUCGAGAUCGCCUUAUACCAAGGUAAAUUUGGAUUCAAAUUUAUAUCUUUUUAAGAAAAAAUGGAAAUUGGGUUUUAUCUGCUUUCUUGAAAUAUGAAGAAAAGUAAUAGUAAUUUAAGCUCUGCUGAGAGAUAUAAUGUGCAGAUUAAGGUUCUUAUUGUUUUGAUUAAUUAGUACAUUAGAGUUUAGUAUCGUGAAUUGCUCUUACAUGUGUUUCUUCUGCUUCUUGUUCUGUUGGUGGGUUUUGGUCGAAAUUGAAUUGUGCUGUUAUCUCUGAGCUUAUGAAGUAAUUAAAGCUAGCUGCUUUUUUAGUUCAUGGAGAAGCUGACACAGACUGUCUUGUGGCAAAAUUUCUUGAAGGAGACUGGGGAUGUGGUUCUUUUUUUUUUUGUAAUGCUGGAAUGGGGAAUCAUUUGAUUCUUUUUGUCUUAAUAUGUAAGAUGUAGUAGCUCAGAUUAUUGCUCAAACAAAUACAAAAAUUUAAAACAUAAACAAAAAUUUUAAAAAAAUAAAAACAGAAAACAAAAGUUGCUUAGAUUAUUGUUAGAUGUAGAACAUUAUCACAUGAACAAGUGCUGGUAGUUAGUUAUUUGUCGCAUAGAAUUGCUAAAAAGAAAGGUAAAUAUGAGAUCUUAAGAGGCUAGGUUUCUAAUUUUGUGAAGGAGUUGCAUGCGAGUUUGCAUAAUGUGUGGAAAACUGGCUGCUUUAAUUGAUUGAAUUCAGAAGUAUAUAUAGGAAAUACAUGAAACAAAAGGAGAAACCGGAACAUUAGAAGGGUCAAGAAAAGUGGUGAUGCUAGAUAUUAAACAAGUUGAAAGCUUUUGGGAACGAUUUGAUGCAGAUAAGCAGUAUUAAAGGAUAGGACAUGUUAUUAAAUGUGGCUUCUUGUUACUCGGAAAGGAAACAGAAGACUGUCAGUAAAAUAUACCUUGAAGCUUAGAAAUUAAACGUGCCGAGUUCAGGCUUGAAAUGCCUGUCGGUCUGUUUGACAUAAAUCCCCAGGUGCAAGCAGUAUUUGCAUCUUUUUCUAGGCAAGGUAGUGAAAGUGGUUAUUAUUAACAAACUAAAAGCAAAUCUGGGUGAACUGAAGCUGAUGUGAAUGGUUUAUGUUUAUGUCUAUCAACAUUCAAUAUUGAAAAUCUAUUCAAAAAUGCUGAUCAUGGAUAAUUGAAUACCAAUUAUAUCUUUUUGUACUGACUACUUAUAUAGCAGCUUGUUGAUGUGCCUCAAGUUUGAGUGUAUUUUUCUGCCACUUGUAUGAGGUCAAAAUGAAUGCUUGUAAAGUCUCCUUGUGCAAAUAAUAUUGAAGCUGACGCUGAAAACUGUUGUGGGAAAUGAGCAAGUGGGCUUUUUGUUCUUUUAGUCGCAUUUUGGUUGCUCAGAGAAGUGUCUUGUUUCCAGCUGUAGGAUAUAUAAUUAGGAUUCUAUUGUUCUUGAAUAAAAUUGACAGAUGUUCAAAUUUUUUAAGUUUAAUGUGAUAUUGAUGUGGUAUUAAUUUGAAUAAAUGGCAUGCAAUUCAUGAUUAUUUCAAACAUAAUAACAGUAAUAUGUAGACUGAUAGUGGUAGUAGUGGUGGUGGCACGUUUCUGCCAAGGUUACUACGAAAUAGGGUUGAGAUGCAUGAAUCUCCAUCUGCAGACAACACGUCUACUUACAGAAAGAGAUGAAAAUGCUUUUUGACUUAGAAGAGUGUAGCUCACUGCAGGCUUUUCUGUUUCAUCUAGUGCUGUUACCUUCUUGAGUGGAACCCCAGGAAUCCAUCUAUUAUGCCAUACUUUGCAAACAGAUUUGAAUUGAGUACAGAUAUCAUCCUGAAUGUCACAUUUAUAUUGUUGGAUACAGAACUUUUAAUGUGACUGAAAUGCCAAGCGACCUUGUUUGGACUACAAGAACUGCUUUUGUCUACCUUUAUCCACUUGUGUAACCAUUCUAUGACUGUGGUGCCACAUUACCAACUUGAAGGUUUGAGGAGAAUUUAGUCUGUGAUCUUAUUGAUGAUAAUAACAGUAACACCUUAUGAGGAAACUAGUGCUGUUGCUUAUUAGACUUUGACGUGUUUGACACUUGCAUCACUUUUCAAGAAUCUCAUACUGAAAUCUAAUAAAUCGGGAAAGCACUAGAAUUUCCUGAUGUAAGAUAUUUUAAUAUAACAAAUUUGGAAAGUGGAAUUAAAUUAUUCAAUGAACUAGGAAAGCACAGAAUUUUCCUAAUGUAAACCUGGACUCUAUUGAUUUAAUAGAGUUAAAAAAGUAUAAUUAAACUAUUUCUGGAAUAAGCAGGGCUGAUUUUCUCUUAAAAUCGUUUUGCAUGGCUGAUUUUUUCUUGGAAUCCUUUUGCAUGGCUGAUUUUCGGAUGUAUCUGGAGAAGUGUCAUCUGGACAGUUUACAAGUAAUCAUAUUUGAAUUUUUUUUCCUCUCAUGUCGCACUUUCAGCAUCUUUCUUGCGUGAACUUUUGCAUAAUUAUUGUUUGCUUCCGGAUUUUAAUAUGUGAUACAUGGUAGGUUGCACUACAAGAAAGAUGAGGAACAGUUGAAAUAUGUGACCUUAUUUGUUUUAUGUGAAGAUAAAGCAUGAUAUUUAAAAGAAACUAGGAAUCUUGUGGCUUACUUAGACUUGUUGAGUUUUUCUUGUCUGAUAUCAUAGAAUUUAUAGGUCCAUGAACUUGAUGAACUUCCUUAGAAAACAUUGAUGUAUUAUUCGUAUGUAGAUUACAUGUAGACACUUGAUUGCAUGUGCACGUGGGAUGAUAAUGCUUGGAUCUAUGUUGUUUUUGUUUGAACUCAACUCUCCCUUAGGAUUUGAGGAUUAUUCUCUUUCUUCUCAGUUAGUUGGAUUGCUGUUUUUGCCUAGUGCCUUCCUUAUAAGUUUGGACUUGAAAAUCAUUUUUCCUCUUUUUUUUUUUUCUCUCUUGGUUCUGCAGAAAUCAUUUAGACAUGACAGAACCAUAGAAGGCCUUAACGUUACUGAAGAAAUGUUGAGCCCAGACUCAGUUGCAAGACAACUUAAUGAUCAGAUUUCUCUUGCCAAGGCCUUUGUUGUAAUUGCAAAAGAAAGCAACAACCUCCAACUUGCAUGGGAACUCAGUGCUCAAAUCCGCAAUUCACAAAUCCUUCUUUCAAAUGCUGCCUUGAGAAGAACUCCCUUGACUACUGGAGAAUCAGAAACUACAAUUCGUGAUAUGGCCCUCUUGCUUUACCAAGCACAACAACUACAUUAUGACAGUGCAACAAUGAUCAUGAGACUGAAAGCUAAAAUCCAGGGGCUUGAAGAACAGAUGAAUUCCGUCAAUGAAAAGAGUUCAAAGUUUGGACAAAUAGCUGCUGAAGAAGUCCCCAAGAGUUUGUAUUGCCUUGGUGUUCGGCUGACAACUGAAUGGUUCAAGAACUCAAAUCUACAGAGAAUACUACAUGAUAAAAGGCAAUUAGCCGCAAAACUGGAAGAUAAUAAUCUUAAUCAUUUUUGCGUCUUCUCUGACAAUGUCCUUGCAACUUCAGUUGUUGUGAAUUCAACAGCUUUAAAUUCUAAGGAUCCUGGUAAGGUAGUCUUCCACCUCGUUACUGAUGAGGUGAACUAUGCUGCAAUGAAGGCCUGGUUCACCAUGAAUAGCUUCCGUGGAGUUACAGUUGAUGUCCAGAAGUUUGAAGACUUCAGCUGGUUAAAUGCUUCUUAUGUUCCUGUUCUUAAACAGCUUCAAGACUCUGAAACUCAGAGUUAUUAUUUCUCUGGCAGUAUCGACGAUGGCCGAACACCAAUUAAGUUCAGGAAUCCCAAGUACCUUUCUAUGCUUAACCACCUGAGGUUCUAUAUCCCAGAGGUUUUUCCUGCACUGAAGAAGGUGGUGUUUCUAGAUGAUGACAUUGUAGUUCAGAAGGAUCUGUCUCCUUUGUUCUCCAUUGAUCUAAAUGGCAACGUUAAUGGUGCGGUUGAGACGUGCAUGGAGACAUUCCAUAGAUACCACAAAUACCUAAACUAUUCUCAUCCUCUGAUACGUGCACACUUUGACCCUGAUGCCUGUGGGUGGGCGUUCGGGAUGAAUGUGUUUGACUUGGUAGAGUGGAGGAAGAGGGAUGUUACAGGAAUUUAUCACUACUGGCAGGAAAAAAAUGUAGAUAGGACAUUGUGGAAACUUGGCACACUUCCACCUGGAUUGCUGACCUUCUAUGGAUUGACACAGCCACUAGAUCUUUCUUGGCAUGUGUUAGGUUUGGGCUACACCAAUGUAGACCCUCACGUGAUAGAAAACGGGGCUGUGUUGCAUUUCAACGGGAACUCAAAACCAUGGUUGAAGAUUGGGAUGGAGAAGUAUAAACCCCUGUGGGACAAAUAUGUUGAUUAUGGUCAUCCUCUACUACAACAGUGCAACGUUCAUUGAGUUGCAGUCCUGGUGAUUCAUCCCUUGCAAGGUAUAUUGGGGCUCAUUGAGGACCCUUUUUUUCCUUUAAUGCCGAGAAUAUUCACACGAGUUGUAUCAGGUCUUGCAGGGAUAUAGUGCUUGUAAUCUAGGAACAUAGCUGUAGUGCCUGAACUGUUGUUGUAUUCUUUCUCUAUCUUGGGUACAAGUUACACAGUCUACCUGUUCAGUAGCAUUUGUCCAUUAUGAUUUCAAAUUCAUGAAGUUCUACAUUGACCAGAUUUCUUUGUUGGAUACUGAUACACAAGAUACUCUGUUUGGAAGCACAAUGUUGGCCUGCAAUUGGCAUCAGUUGUUUGUAUUCUCAGGUUGACAUUGUAAAAGAAGAAGCAUUAGUUGUCUGGCCUUGAUACACAAGGCCAUACAGUAAUCAUUUGUAAUGAUUCUUUGAAAAUAGGAGUAAACAUACUCAAACUAUGAAUUUUGUUUUUCAUUAUAGCUCUAAAACUUCAAGAAAUAUCCUUAAGUUCUUUUCUGUUAAAUGUUAGUAAAAAGUUGGUUCUUGUUUUAGGUAAUAACCCAAUAAGCUAAAGCCACCAUGUCAGUCAAAAUAAAAUUUAAAAACGUCCCUUAGAAAUUAAAUAAAUAUAAACAGUCUGAUAACUCAAGCCAAUGAGGUCGUUGUAGUAUAGUGGUAAGUAUUUUCGCCUGUCACUCAUUUUAACUCCUGACAAUCUUUCUCAUAAAUUUCAUAUCAAAGAAAAAGAGAAUCAAUAAAUUUUUAAAUCACUUAGUCCCAUGGAAUCUAUCACUGACUCGGAAUAUAAUGAAAAUUUGCUUUGCUUGAAGUUGUGCAGUGAUGUAACAGAUGUGUGAAAGAAUAAUUUAGAUAGACAAUUUUUAUUAAUAUCUCACCAUGCACCUCCUCAUAUUGCCAAAUGUCUCUCUAUAUCCACUUCUAAUCUCAUCAUUCACUUUCUAAAGAUAUACAAAUCUUAUAAGUUAUAAUAAGCUUCCUCCAACAUCAACAGCCAAUCAGUUUCAAUCUCUGCAACCGAAAAAAAAAAAAAAGAAUUGAAAUGCCGGCUAAUCUAAUUGACAGAAUCCUGAAAAAACUACUCCAUUCUUAUUAAAACUUCUUGUUUUGUCUUCUGCACAAACAUCCAUAUGUUAAUCUCUCCAAAUCUUCAACAAUCAUUCAAACACUCAAAAACUUGUCACUAAUGAAAUAUCAAGCUAGCCCUUUGCCUUCAACAAGGUCAUUGCAAUUAGGCUUGGUUUUGGAAACCUUAAUUGGCUUGUUUUUUCACAUAAAAAUGGUUAAAUAUAGGGUCUCUUCUAAGUUGUUAUAGAUUUUGCAAAAAUCUAAUUAGUUAAUUAACAAAAGCUGCUCAUGCAAAUAUGUUAGACUUUAGUUUUUGAUUGUUCUAUUGUAAACUUAUUUUACAGGGUCAUCAAAUAAAAAAGUGAAACAAUCGAAUGAAAUUAUACUCUAGUAGUUAAAGACAAGUCUACAUAUAUUGAUUCUACGUGCUUUUGUAGAUUAUAUAAUCGCUAACUUCAUUUGAUUUGUUCGUUGCGAAAGGUCAAACCUAAUUAGAGACAAGAGUCCACACCAAAUAUCUUCUAUUCUUACUAGAAGUGUAGAAUUGUAGGAUGAGUUAAUCUUACAUACAAUAAAAGUGUAUACAUGAUCAUGAUUAUGAAUGACACACAUGAAAAUCAAAUCAAUUGUUAUACAUCUAAUAAUGAUAGUAUAUUUUUUUUUUUAGUAGAAAGGACAGUAUCGUUCUAAAAUCUAUACAGAUGGCAAUAAGUACAUCAAACAUGACACUGAUCCAUAUGAAUUUGAAAAUCAAAAGAUAGAUGACAUAUCUAAACAACUAUAAAUCUUCCAAGGAUAUCUUCCAUUAGAUAGAUGUCACAACAAAUAUGUAUCUAUAUCUUCCAUUAGUUAGAUAGUCAAAUUUGAUAAAAACUACUUCAAAUCCAAAGAAAUUUUAGACUUGACUUCCAUAUUUGGUUGUUGAGAUCUACCAAAUCUUUAAUUUCACUAUUUGUAGAAAGACAAAAAAUGAAGAUCACUCUCACAAGGAUAUUCUAGAAGAGAAUGAAACUCUCACCAGAGAAAUUGAGAGAAGAAUCCCUCACUAGAAAAUCCUAAUAGAAAACAUGCUCUCACUAAAAAAUCCAAAAGAAAAAUUAUUCAAACAAAGGAAAUAAAACUAGAAAAAGAGCCCCCUUCCACAGGGAUACCAGGUCUCUCUCCUUCCUUGUAAAUAUUGGUCAAAAGAGGUUUAGAAAGAAGGAAGAGAGAAUGAGUUCUAAAGAGACGAAAGAUAAUCAACAAUUGUUAUGCAUUCAAUAAUAAUAUAGAAGAUUAAUCCUUGUAAGAUAUUGUAAAUAGUCAAUAGCUUUAUAGAAAAGAAGUUGAAGAAUAUUAGCGGCUAAAAAUUCCAAUUGCCAAUAAACCAAAGUUAAUAAAACAAAAAAUAAAAAUAAAAGAACAAUGUCAUUGAAGUUAAUUUCACAGCCAUUUACGAAGACUCCUGUUGAAGCCGGCUGGACUACAUCUAAAUUGCCGCCACUUUUCAAGUGGUUGUUUUACCUAUCGGCUCUUUUCUUUGGCAACGUGACCAACAACAUCCAUGUGGAAAGCCCCCAGAAUCCCAAAUAUUUCUCAAACUUUAACCAUUCUUCAAUUCCCUCUCUUUGUCUACUGUGUGUUGUGCGUGUUUUCUGAUCAAAAUGCCUAGUCAAGAAGGAGAACCAUUGGUUCUUGAUCACCAACGGUUGAGGCAUAGGAAGGCCAAGUCUCGUGAAGUCAGCUCAAGAUUUCUGUCAUCACCAAGUUCAACUCCAUCAGUGGAAAAUGUGGUUAAUUCUCCAAACCAUAGUCCUUCUACUCUUCGACAAAAGCCCGGUAGAUCACCUACGGAUACUCGAAAGAAGAGCAACUUGGAUAGUACAGGGUUUAUGCGGGGGCUUUGGCCGUCAUCUUCACCAUCAUCUACAACUUCAACACAACCUUCAAAGUCCAAGAAUGGCACUCUUGCUGAAUGCAUUGGAAAUGAGAGACUAAUAGACCUUGCGCAGCGUAAGAACCCGGAGAAAUCAAAUAAUCCAUCGUUUCUGAAUAGGCAGAGAAGCUGUACAGAGUUUAAAAGAUUUGAGAAUGAAAACAAGAUUUGUAAAGAGAAUCAUAAGCCUCUUUUUGGUGCAUCAAUGCGUUAUACAGGGAAGUUUAAGUUUUCUCGAAAAUCAUCGAAUUCACCCUCAUCAUCAAAAUCACCUAACGUGUCUGAUGAUAAUAUAGCCCCUGGAAGGCUUUCAGUAGAUGAAACUGUGCUUCGAAGACGAAGAUCUGAUUGCUUGGCUGAUAUGGUGGUGGACUCAGAGUCUGAUCAGAGUGAAAUGCAUUCGGGCACGAGUUUUGAUUCUGCAGUUACUGGAAAAAGCUUUCCAGCGUCCUAUAUGGCACCAACUGUGAGUUCAAGAAUGUAUGGACUCGAAAUCCCAUCAAAGUAUUUGCAAGAUUCAUCGUUAAGGUCUCGUAGAUGGAGUUCAGAUUCUGGUACAGUUCAGAAGCCUGUAUCAGGAGACAAUUCGCCCAAAAUAUUUACUUUAAAGAAUGCAAUGAAGAGGUCCAAUUCACUGAAGGCUUAUGGCAGUGAGACAUCGAAAUUGGGAACAUCACCUUUGAGAUCUAGCUCACCUGCAGGGUCCGAAGAAAACAAGGGGAAGACAAUGUCGAAUAUGAAGCCUCCUACUAGUCCUUCAAAAGUUAAGGGAGUUGGAAAUCUGCUUACCAUGGGUCUUGAAUUGUUGAAGGGAAAGAAACACUCUCCAGGUGUCUCAUCACCUCUAGGAUUAGGCAUAGGGGAGAGUGUUCAUCAAUUACGUAUGUUUCAUAGUAGGUUGGUGCAGUGGAGGUAUGCAAAUGCCAGAGCUGAGGUUGUCAACUCAAAAAUCACUAAACAAUCUGAGGUUUGUAUAAUUGCUUUUCCAACAAUUUAGUAGCUCAGUAAUGUUGGAGUAUGUGUGCUUAAAUUGGAUACAAUUUGAUAUCAUUUCGGACAAGAGGAGAAAUAUUGCUUUAGAAGUACUAUCAACCCCUGCAUUGGGUGGUUGUUUGGACCUGACAGAGGUUCUCGCGUUUAGGUAGAGCCAAUAUUGCAUCAGAUUAUAUGUGUCUUUUAUAUCUCUAUUCUAUUUCUUUCUUUAAGAGAAGAGUGCAGUUUGCCAAAAAUAUUGUUUUAUCUUCCCUUUGAGGGAAAAAGUUUUGCUGAUUUUGAUAAAAUCCUUGUAAAAAUGUAUGAUCAUGGCCAAUUUGUUUUAGAUGACAAAGCAGAUAAUUCGACUGAUCAUGUAUACAGAUCAAAACACUUAUCCUGUUCCUGUACCAUUGCCAUUUCUUUCAUGGAGGCAUCAAAGAACUCUAUAUUUACUUUGCAGAAGAUGUAACUGGUAGUACUUAUGCAAAUAAUCCUUGAGAGAUCAACAGAUGUCAAAAACGUUUACCAAAAAAAUGUAUCCAAUUUGUCCUCAGAUACCCUCCAUCACAAGUGUUCUUUUUACAGUGCAAAAAUAUCCUUAAGCAUCAUUCUUUUCCUGGGGUAUUGGUACUUUUGCACCAUUUUGGGGUAAAAGGAACUUCAUUCUUUUGAUCAAAUUUCAGAGAGCCUUGACUGAGCAACAGAAAUCUUACUUUAGUUUUGCUUCUAAGAGAUCAGGUUGAAUGUUGUUGAUGAUGUACUUGAAGUUAGAAGUAACCUAAUAGAUCAGCAGUCAAACAAUUUGUCAUGUAUUAAGUUCACUUUUGAGUGUUCAGUCAGAUAUUGGAAUCAACAUAUUCUAGAAAAAAUAUUACUUUUAGUUGCACAUCAGACCAAAUUUAUAGCAUUUUAUGCUGUUUUAUUGAUAUUAAAUGGCAAACGAAAUGAGAAAGUGUUCUUGAUAUGUGCAGUUCAUUAUAGCAUUUUAUGUCUGUUUUAUUGAUAGGUGUAGUUUAUUAGUGACUUUUCCCUCGAAAGUGUUCUUGUUAGAUUGGUUGACAUUCAACUUAAAGUUACUGAUGAGUGCCGUUUUGAUUUUGCAGAGCAACUUAAUAUAUGCUUGGAACGGUAUAGCAAAGUUGCAACACUCUGUCAGACAGAAGAAAUUGCGGCUAGAGAGAGAGAAACAAGAGAUGAAACUAAAUUACGUUCUUCAAUCUCAAGUGUGUAAAAAUGCAUUGCUACUCUUGCUCACUUCUUUUAAAAUUUUCUAACAAUAGCCAGUAUUGACUAGAUCUCUUAUGCACUUAGAUAGAAGUGUAAGUAAUGCUUAUAUGGUGAACUAUAAGUGCAGAUCAAGUCACUGGAAGCAUGGGGUUCUAUGGAGAGGCAACAUAAAUCAGCAGUAAAUGUGACCAAAGAAUGUUUGCAGUCUGCUGUUUGUAAGGUACCCCUUGUGGAAGGGGCAAAGGUAGGUUGAUGAGCUGAGCUAACUUUUUGAGAAACUUGCAUUGUUUAUGGAAGGGAUAAAAACAACAAUAACAAAAAUAACCAAACACUGUGACGCAGAUAGAACCACAAUCACUCUCUAUGGUUCUUCGAGCUGCAUCAGAUCUCACUUCAUCAAUCAAGUUGACAAAUUCUAAGUUUCCGGCUAUGGUAUACAAAGAUUUAAUCCGUUAUGAAAAUUUCUUUUGUCCCUUUCCUCCAUAUAUACUUAGUUUUAGUCGCAAAUGUUGCAGGCUGACAAGACAGCGACAGCGUGUAGAGAGCUAGCAGAGAUAGUCACACAAGAAAAAUUGUUGUUAGAAGAGUGCUUGGAGCUUUUCAAGUUCAUUUCUGCCUUAGAGGUAAGAGUAUAACACAUUGAAAUCUGACUAUGUCUUUUAUUGACAAAUAAAGCUAUUUUUUGCCAAACAUAGUUAGUCUGCUCUUGCUUUUUUUUUUUUUACCAUGACCAAAACAAGUUCUCUUUAUAUUUCAAAUACGUGUGCCAACAUACAUAAUAUAGGAUAAAUAGUGAUAUCAGCAAAAUACAUUGAAAGAUUUUGGCAUAUAGUCAUUUGAAACGAAUUAAGUAGGCAGUUAUCUUACACUUGCUAAAUGUAUGAGAAGAGCAUCACCUAUUUCUGUUUAUGUUACGAUAAUUUUCCUCUGAUCAGUGUUUUUCUGGUUUCAUACGUCAGGUUCAAGAAACAAGUUUAAAAUGUACUCUCAUGCAACUAAAAUUACAAGCAGAACAGCAGCCUCAGCACCGAGCAAAUUCUGAAAUCCAUACAUAAGUUUGUUUCACGUUUCUUGUUUUUGUUCAGGCACGUAUAACUGAACAGAAAAUUUUCUGGAUUCCCAAAGUUAGCGUUAGGAAACAUAACUCAAGAAAGUAAUAGAGACGCAUGCUCCAGUCAGUCGGAAUGAUCGAUGUUAUGAUAGGAGCUUUGGAAAUCUUGAUACUUGCAGCAUAGAACAUCCCCAAAUCGAAACUUUGAGAGUUUGGUAUGGAGUUUGGAGUCAACAGGUUAUUCCUACAUUGUUUAUUUUUCAUUCUUUGUCCAAGUUUCUUGGUGGCCUGGUUGCUUGGUUAUGCUAAUUGUUAUUCUCCAUUUUUCACUUUUCCUUUUAUUUCUCUGUCCAUCUUCUAAAGCAGUUUUUCCAAAGGCGAGGAAGCAAUUGGGUGCAUAGUUACAAGACUGAAAGAUUCCGCGAGUCACAUGUCCAAUGUAAUGAAUAAAAGGAAUUUUCAGAAGUUCCUCAUUUGCUCUAUAGCAAAUGAAGAAAUCUCAAAUUUCCUAUUCAUUUUCUGCUAACCAAUUGGUUGCAAACGAUAAAUCCAUCACAAUCUUUUGGCUGGCCUGCUAAUGAUCAUUUUAAUGCUAAUGAUUUCUUGAUCCCAGAUUGAACUUGUAUUACCUAAUUAGCCUUCUAUUUAUAGGUUUAGAUAUAAAUUUACAAGUGGACCAGGUCAAUCCUAAUUCUUGGGACAAUUUCUCAGAAGUCAUUGUCCAAGUGUCUGAGGCAAAUUUAAUGAGUAACUUUCUCCACUUUUAACGUUAGUCCACAUGUUACUUUGGUUGAGCUUUGAUAACUACUACAUACCUCUAAUAAUAAUCAUCUAUUCUUUCCAAACAAUGAAUCAAACUUGUUUCUUAAUGAAGGCUUUGCUUUUGUCACCUUCUCUUCUUCCCUCAACUUUUCAUGAGUAUGAAAAUAGCCAUUGGCGAUUACAUGCUUACCUAGGGAGAGAAGAGAGAAGGUUAGGACAAGGCAAAUCCUCCCUGUGUGGAAAUCCUGCUUUCACAGGAGAACCUAAUUUGGCAAAGAGAGGAGGAAUUGUGCCCAGAGAGUAGUCAAGAUGAAUGAUCUAUUCUCCCAUUCCUUUAAAAAGUAUCAGGACAUCAAACGUCAGGUCAUUGACGAUCUUGAGGCUGGUAGCCCGUCUGGAAAUGAUGAUAGUAAUCUCAAUAAAUUUUUUGACGAUGUAGAGAAUGUCAAGAAAGACAUGGAAGAUGUCGAGAAACUCUACAAGAGAUUGCAAGAAUCAAAUGAAGAGAGCAAAACGGUACACAAUGCAAAAACCAUGAAAGAGCUCAGGUCUAGGAUGGACUCAGAUGUCUGUCAGGUUCUAAAACGAGUAAAGAUUAUUAAAGGAAAGCUUGAGGCUCUCGAUAGGUCUAAUCAAGCUAAUCGAAAGGUUCCAGGAUGCGGUCCAGGGUCCUCUACUGAUAGGACUAGAACUUCUGUUGUCAGCGGCUUAGGCAAAAAGCUGAAGGAUUUGAUGGAUGAUUUUCAAGGGUUGAGGGCUAAAAUGAAUGCUGAGUACAAAGAAACAGUAGGAAGAAGAUAUUUUACAGUAACAGGGGAGAAAGCAAACGAUGAUCUCAUUGAGAAUUUGAUUUCAAGCGGUGAAAGUGAGACAUUCCUUCAGAAGGCAAUUCAGGAACAAGGAAGAGGCCAGAUUCUGGAUACAAUUUCUGAGAUCCAAGAAAGGCAUGAUUCUGUCAAGGAGAUUGAAAAGAAUUUGAUUGAACUCCACCAGAUUUUCUUGGACAUGGCUGCGCUUGUUGAAGCACAAGGGCAACAGCUGAAUGACAUUGAAAGUCAUGUAGCACAUGCUAGUUCAUUCGUUAGGCGAGGCACUGAACAACUUCAGGAAGCUAGGGAAUACCAGAAAAGCUCAAGAAAAUGUACAUGCAUUGCCAUUGGUCUUGGAAUUGUUCUCAUCCUCGUUGUUCUCUUUCCACUUUGGUCAAAUUUUUUGUUGAUGAAUAUGUAGAAAAACUAAUCUUCAGGCCUUCCCCCCAACCCCCCAAAAAAGAGAGGCUGUUGGUGUUUCAGAUUAUGAAAACAGGCUCAGGUUUUGUAAUUCAGGAUACUUCUGGCAUUGUUCUCCCUUGUAAACCUUUCCUUUCUCUUGUCACCUUUUCUCUUUACUCAUUAGAUAGUGGAUAUCAAGUAGAAUACCUUCAGUUUCUUGCACUAAAUAAUUUCCAUCUAUUGGCACAAGCUCAUCCUUUGAUCUGCCAAACUGGACCUGCCACAAUAUGUAGUUGUAGCGGAUGAAGUAAAGCAGUCAAAUAUAAUAUAACUCAGAGUAGGAUUUGAUGUGUUCAUUGGAGUCAAUGCGUGAACUAGGCCAUACAAUUCUUCUCUUUUAUAUUCUUCCAAUGAAAGACUAGAGAAAUAUCAAGCAAUCAAAACUUGCAUAACUAGCAAAAAGAUGUGGAAUUCACAGCUAUUAUGUGACUGAUUUCAUGAUGCAUCUCUGAUUAAGCAAUAUAAGCAAAUUAACGUUCUGCAUUCUGUCCAUUUUCUUCUAUGUGCAAUGUCUAAUCCGGAGAAUUCCCGCUGUGGUACCCGACUAACCCUCUCAUCCUCUAAGGCCAUCACCAAGCUCCCCACAGAAUAUCUAAGCUUCAAACAAUUGCAAGGCUAGGUUCAAGAAAUUGCAAGUCCUUUCUCCCUGCACAUUGUAUAAUCGGGGGGCUCACGAUGAGAUGGGAAUAUUUUAUGUAUAUCAUUGGAUAGAUCAUGUGUAUUACGUUUUAUAUGUACAUGUUGUACUAGUAUCAAUCAUUCAUCGCUAAAUAAUGAUGGUGAGUCAUUCCUUAUCUAAUGAAUACUAGACAACAAAUGAUCAUUAUAAUACUUAUAACUUUUAAUCGAGAGUCAAUACUAAUGCACCAUGUGAUACUACACAUGGUGUACGUGAUAAUUCUUCGGCACAAUCCAUAAUUCAGCUUUAAACAUGAACUUGUAAUAGGUAAACAUAGUACAUUUUCUUUGACCCUCCCAUAAUUCAGCCCUAAACGUGAAUUUGUGAUGGGUAAACAUAUCUUUUUCUCUUCGACCACGUAUCAUUCUCUUUUAAUCUCUCGUGGGAGCAAUUCCAUGCUUUGCAUUUGUAACUACUAAGAUCAAGUGGCAACUUGCUCCUAGAGAGGAACAAUUCAUGAUUUUUACAAGGAUUAUAUUGACAAUGUAAAAACUUAAUUUGACCGACCCAUACAAUGAAAUUUGCGAAAUAACCAUUUGCUGUAUUCGUGGCUUAUAGUUAGAGUAUUCCACGCGCAACAUUCAAUUUCUGUUUCAGCAUAAGAUAUGUUCAGUUCUUAGGCUUUCAUUUUUCUUAUUCAAAAGAUUACCAAAUUUGUUGUGUCCAUGAUGUUGAAUCAAUCAAUUCUCUGAGAAAAUGACACCUAAUAAAACAUUCAAAUAUAUCACUUGGUUAUUAUUCGAAGUCUAAAUCGGAUUUUCAAUUAAAUUUUGCCCAAUUUCUUUUUCUCACCUUAUUCUGUGGAUUUUAAAAGAAUUUCAGAAAAGAAGAAAAAAGAAAAAGAAAGAAAGUACACUAUGCCAAAAUAGUAAUUGUCAACUUGUGAGGGCAAACAGAAAUAUUUGCUUCAAAAAAAAAAAAGAAAUACUGGGCGGUAUAGAAUUUUGGGUUAAUCACACUUUGCCCCGAUAAAUUUUGGGAGUAGGCACACUUUAUCACUCUCAACCAUUUCUUUUUUUUUUUUUUUUAACUCACAACCUUAAGAGAUACGCAUCACCUUCCCCUCCUCUCGUGAAGAAUAGCCAUCUUGAAAAUCUUAGCCCCAUAAAAGACAAGUGAGAGUUAUGGCAUAAUUGCCCAUUUUGUUGCUGAAAUUUUUUAUAGUUUACUAUCAUUGGUCCCCCCCCCCCCCCCCCCCCCCCCCGCGCCCACGGCCCCAAAACAAAAAAAAAGUAGUUUAAUUGAAUCUCUAUUUUUCUUCUCUAAAUUAAAAAAAGGGCAUAUCAAACAUUUUUAACAAUUUUGAUUAAAAGUUUAAUAGUUGAUCAAUAAAAAAUGAUAACAAUAUUAUUCUAAUAGUUUACAUAAACUAAAAUAAUAAACAACUAUUAUUUAAAAAAUGAAAAAUUAUUAUUUCCUUUUUCUUUCAAAAUUUUGCUAAUUGUAUUUAUUAUUAAUACUGUGUUACUUAUUCCUUUGUUUGAUUUAAAAUUUAAUAAAUUGAACAAAGUAUAUAUAAGAGCGAUUAAUUCAACAGGAAAAAUUUCAACAAGAAUAAACCAAAUAUAAACCUUUUUUUAGCCCUUAUCAAUUUGAUAUUUUGGUAUAAUAUAUAAUAUACAAAAGAUGUAUAUCUUUUAGCAAUAAAAGAAAAUAAUAGUAAAUUAUAGAUAAACUCACAAAUAAAAGUCAAUAGUGUCAUUACACUCACUUUUGUGUGUGUGUUUCUAACCUCAACUAGUUUUUAUGAGAAUAAAAGUGUAUAUUUUUAACGUUGACGGUCGUAAAAUGCGACUAUCCCCAAAAUUCGGGGGGCCAAGGUUUUAUUAACCCAAGAAGUUUUGCUUCUAAUUCUUGGUCAUCAGCUGCGUUCUUAUAAAGAAUUGUCGUUUUGAUCAUUUCCAAAGCCUUUCUUUGAUUCAUCACUUCGACUGAGCUAAAACCUCUAUCCAAAAAUGGCGUCUUCAAUAGCUUCAAUGGCGGCUCGACGAGCGGCAAUCCUGACAACUCGGUUCGCUUCUCCUCCCAGCUCGGCCUCGCAAGCGGCUUCUCUCGUCCACCGCCGUGGCCUCGCCUCCGCCGCCGGUACCAACUUCAAACCUACAUUAUACUUUUCAAAUCGAUUUCCAGCCUUGAAAUCUGACAAUCGUUUAAAAAUUUAAUCUUGUAGAUCAUCAUGGACCUGCGAAGGUGGACUUUUGGAAAGAUCCAAUGAAUCCGUCUAAGUGGAAAGAAGAGCAUGUAAGUUCUCUUUGUUUAUUUAUGUAUGUUUCUAAUUUGAAUCUUGUGGGAUCAUUUGUACUUUUAUUUGUGAGAUUAAGGUACCAUUCUAACUAAUGCUAUCAUAAUCUGAUGAGGGUUAAUCCUAGUUUUCUUUUUCUUUUGACCUUGUAUUCCCAAAAGACUGGCCUUUUUUUUGGGCUGUUUAUUCUUAAUGUUAAUUAUUCAGAUUAGCAAUACUAAUUACUUUUCUGAUUUGAAUUUUUUGGGAUUAUUUUGACUGUUAUUAGUGAGAUUAAGAUACCAUUCUAACUAAUUCUAUGAUAUCUGAGAAGCGUUGAUCCUAGUUUUCUUUUUCUUUUGAUCUAUAAUCACAAAAAAGCUGGCCUUUUUUUGCGCUGUUUACCCUUGAUGUUAAUUGUUCAGAUUACCCAUGCUAAUUACUUUACCUUAGCUUUUGAAGUUAGGCUCGAGUUUGGUUGAUAAGCAUAAGAUUUGAAAUUUAUAUAUAGAUAAAUCAAGCGACUCAAGCUGGGAUAGACAAAAGCUAGUUUCUUGAGUACAAUUUUAACCUUACAAUGCAAACCAGGCUUGAAUAUUGUAUUACUUGGCUCAAUUGGGCUCAUUUAUAUUGCUACUUUAGGUAAGGUUUGAAACUGUAAUAAUGGAUUGAAAUGGAAAUAUGGGUGUUGGGUAACUAAAAACUACAACAUUGGUUAAACUACAGUACUGUAGAAUGGUUGUAGGAGUAGGUUUCCCGUCGCUUCAGAAGGUAAUUUGCCUAGCAUUUAUUUGGACCAGGCAAAAGUUAGUACUUUAUUCCUGUUUUUGCAUGUUGGUUAGGUUGAAUAGGUCUAUGUGCCUAAAGGCAUGAAUUUUUUAUCCCUUUAUUGAGUUCUAGGCAUUGAUUAAUACAAUAAUCUUACUUGAAACUGCGAAGAUGUCUUCUCUAGGAUAUAUUCAUGGUCCUGUUAUCCUUUCCAAAGUAUUAUUUUAAUGUAUAAUUGUAACUUGAUGGUGCUAUGAAUUCUUGAAGUGGAGAAGAUUGGAAUUUUGCUCACUACGUGUCAUGUAUUGCAGCUUGUGAUUAUUUGUUGGACUGGCUGGGGUUUGCUUUUCACCACGGCUUACAAGUUUGCCACUGGAGGCAAAAAGAAGGAGGAAGGGGUAAUCUUCUCUUGCUUUUCAAGUUUGAUUUUUGUCAUGUAUUUAGAAAUUUGCUAGUUGUUAAAUUUAUCCUCAAAUAUAACUGGUUUUAACACUUAUAUACAUGUAUUACUGUUUACUUUCUGCUUUAGGAAACAGUACUUAAUAUGUUUGUCAUUGUUUGAAGAAGUAUCAAUGAAAGGCUAAUAUCAAAUGCCUCUUUUCCAGUGUCAGUAGCACAAGAAGGUUUUUCACUGGAGCAUUUUGCAGAUUUCAUGUUUAUAUCCAGAUUGGAAAAGCAAAACAUUUCAAGCAUUUGUGUGGAUCAAAAUGUCUAAAAUUGAGUAGUUUUCUGCUUUUGCAUUCAUAAAAUUGCUGAUACUGUAAAUGACAAAACUUGGUGUUAGUUUUUAUAAAACAUAAAUUCGACUUAGUCUUUUUAAUCUCAGAUGUCUUUUUCUCAGUCACACCUGUUUGAAGUAUAUAGUACAGUAUUGGGCCCUGUUAAGGAACUUUUUACUUGGGAUUUCUGUAUUCCCAUAUCAUAGAAAGAGAAAAAACCAAGAAAAAAGCUUUGUGUCAAGAAACUCUAAAUCCUCCACCCUGCCACUUGAGAAAAGAAUUCCCAUAUCAUAGAAAGAGAAAAACCAAGAAAAAAGCUUUGUGACAAGAAACUCUAAAUCCUCCACCCUGCCACUUGAGAAAAGAAUGAAUUUAUAAUAAAGGCGGAAGGCACGAUAUCGAUGUAAGUGGAAGCAGAUGACUCUAUUUUAACAAUGACAUGCAACUACAGAUGUAUGAAACUCAAAAUCUGAUGGCUAAUUUGGAACACAAUCUGCCCAAAUUUUUAGUUUACAUUGUCGUUAUUUGUAUCUUAUGCUGCUAUGACAUGAAUUUACUUGAUAUUUUGCAAAAUCUGAUGGCUGAUUUCUUAUUUUAAUCUUAUUUUUGCAGAAUGUAGUCGAAGCUUCAAAGUAGGCCGAAGACACCCAAAACCCAUAAUGUUAGAUGUCAGAGGUUUCCUUUCACAUAUGCACUUUACAUUUCCAGUUUCCUUUCUCACUGAAUUGGGAAGUUCUCUUGAUCCCUCUUCAUUGAAUAAGUUCUAAGACAAGAAUGCGAUGUAAUAUGUGUGAAUGACAUCUAUUGCUGGGAAACUAACUAGUCAGUUAUUAGGCAUUUGGAUCUUGGCAUUCUAAGCAUGUUUUACGUUGCCUGUUAGAAACAAUUUAUACAGCUGAAGUUUUUGCUUCUACACCAGAAUGUUUUCUCAAUAACGUCUUGGUGCACAGCCAAACUUCCUCCAUAAGCUUCAAUUUCAAAUGCUCUUAUUUUACUUUUCCAAAUAUGUAUGUUGAAGCCGCAGGUGGAAAUUGAUAAGGUUUUUGGAUCCUAAUUAUGUGCGGGGUGAUUCUAUCAUUGUCGUUGGGGGUAAACUCAUCAGAAGUGAUAAUCUGUAACCUAUUAUGGUUGUCACUUGUUAGACUUGUAUUUGACGAUUGAUCUCAUCAAUUUCAACUAUUUUUCUUAUGAUUUUGUCUGAAUUCUUUGCUAACUUUAUCUAACCUUUUCUCCUUCUUUACACCCCAAGAAUUAGGUUGGACAUUAGAUAAGGUUUUUCUCUUAAGGGAAGGUUUUUACUGUACUCUCUUGACUUGCACAGUUGCACUAGGCCCCUUCAAGUUCGAGGUUAAUAUCUCCUCACCCCAUUUUUUAGCUACUUAAAACCUAUUGAGUAAACAGAAAAAAAAUAACAACCUCGAAGUUACAGGCGGUUAAUGUUCAACUCUUCUGUCAUAUAAGAUUUAACAGAUCUAACAGUUGAAACACUUGCAUGCAGCUUGUAUCCAGUGAAAUGAUCAAUGAGACAUGGAAAUGACCAUAAGGAGCGUUAGACUCCAAUGAAAUGUCUCAUUUUCAUCGAUCGCCUUCUUCUGUUUGACGUCUGGUGCACGAUCAUGUUAACUUUACUGCAAAAGGAAAAGGAAAAGAACAGUUUCUAAAUGAGUAUAUCUAACGUUUAAAAGGGCAUAAACUUGGAGAAAACGUCACAAUCUGACGUGUUCUCUGGUAAAUUUGCCGAGCUUACCUGACAAAAAGGCCUAGUGGAACAGUGCAGUAUUUUGAUAAACAGAUGCAACCGCCAGCUUGAUAAGACCUGUUUUGUUAUGGCUAUGUAGAUAGUUUGAUAAGUUGGCUAUGGUAGCAACAUAAGGUUUGCUUUGACUGUUGGCAAAGGGAACUAAGAAACAGAAAAUAGCAAUUCUAGGUCCAGAGUGAUAUUGACAUUAAGCUUGGGAACGUGCAACUUACUUCAUUUUAAGACUUUUUUACCUGGUUGUAAAAUUAGCUAAUCAAGGCUGCAGUUUGUUUAUCUACCUCUACUGUCUUUUGGAAGUCUGUCAUCUUCACUAGCUUUUGGUAUACUUGCAAUUGUUCAACUUAGAUCUCAUAUGUAUGGGUAUAAAUAAUGAAGAAGUCCUUCAAAAGAUAAAGCAAUAAAAGUCCCCAAAUGCAGCCACGCAAGUAUCGUUUGAAAAGCUCCAAUUGAAAAAAUCUAAAGUAUCCAAUAAACAUCGACCGUCUAUAUGCACCUACUAAUACUCAGGCUCGUUAGAUCUGUCAGAGUUCAAUUCUCCAUCUGUUUCAAAGUUUGAUAAGGAUUCUCUGGAAGCAUCACUUUCUGAUUCAGUCUCUUUAAGAUUCUCCAUCUCAGGAUUGUCUAGUUCUUUGUCGUUGUUAUCAGUUUCUGUUUGUUCUGAAACCUCAUCUUUAUGAGCAUCUAUUCUCUCUUCCGGCCGAUGGAGCUCUACGGCUUGUUGCUCUGAUUCUUCCAGAUAUGGUUGUUCCUGAUGUUUGGCCUUUGAGGAUGUUGCUUCCUCAAUGUGGAUGGUUGUGCUUGUUGGUGUGUCCUCCAAGGGAAUAUUUUCAAGUUCAGUGCUUAUGCUUGUAUUAUUUAGUGUCUGCCAUUUUUCUGCCAUCAGAUGAGUGGUAAUAUUUCUAUCUUCUUGAUGUUUUUCUUGCUUUAGCAACCGAGUGCCUUUUGGCCCAUCCUUACCCUCUUCUGUGUUGUUUUCUGCUUUUUUCGGGUCCAAAUCCUCUUGCAGUUCACCAUGCUCUAGAACAUUUUCAUUGGCCUCCAUUUUCGAAUUUUCACCCGUCUGAAGAUCAUCAGAUAUCUUUUUAUCAUGAUAGACUGAACUGGAUUCAGUAACCACCGUCAAGUUCUCAUUAUAUCCGUCCCUUUCACUUUCCAGUGCGCCCUGAAUGAAGCUUUUAUCCUUUAUGACAGCAGCUUCUUUGCUGACGGAGUUCCCUGUGCUUCCUUUACUUCCAUGUAUUUUAUUCAGCCAUUUUCUUUUAGUCUUCUUUAAAUAGCGAUCUCUUUCCAGCCUAUUUUGCCAAAUCUGGGGUUGGUCUGGCAUUUCUAACUUCAUUCCGCCCUUGUAAGUAAUCACAGCAUCUUGAUUUUCAGCACCUUGGGCAUUAACUAUUUUCCCUGCAAGACCAUCCCCUGAUGUUUGAAGCACUUUACUCUGAGUAGUUUGCAUUUCAUUCAUAUCAUCUGAGGCCCCUUGCACUUCAGCAUCAUGGUUCCCAACAGCCUCAGUCCUUGCAAUGUCAUUAUUUUCUGGCACUACUAAAGCUUCCCCACUUUGAGACUUAGUAUUGAUGUUCUUACCUGCAUCUCCAUCAGUUCUUUCCCCAGCAGGGGUGCUUCUAUCUUCCGACAUACUUUCUUCUGAAUCAUCCACUUUAUGACUCUGUUCUCCAAUCUCUUCUCUGCUUGCAACAUUAGUUUCUCCAUUCUCCAUUCCAUCUUCACUUGGUGUUGUUUGUUCUUCAUUUUCACUGAUCACAGCUUUGCUUCUGCCGCUCUCUGCUUGUUCUGUUGAGCUGUCUGCAACUUCAUGGUUUGUGGAUUCAUUCAUCAUGGCACUAACUUGCUUUCCAUCAUUAGCAUUUGCUUGAUCCCUUUCUGUCAAACUUGUCUUGGUUUGCAGAUUUAUAGAUGCAUUUGAUGGAUCGUCUGUGCUCACCGACCAGAUCCUGACAGGAGCUUCAAGAUGGUUCUUCAACUCCUCAACUCCCGAUUCUUUCUGCUUUGCCAUCUGUGAUAGGGCUUUAAGUUGAGGGUUAUCAUUGCUGACAUAUGUCUCUCUUCCUCUGAUUAGUUUGAUCUCAUUUUGCUUUUCCUCGAGUACCAACUCAAUUGUCCUUUGUUCUUCUCUAAGGGAAGAGAUUGUAGAUCGCAUCUCCAUGAUCUUACCAUCAAGUCCCCUUUUUUGAGUUCGAAGAGUAUUUACUUUGGCUUUCAUCUCUUCAAGUUUCAAUUUAGUUUGUCUGGCAUGUUCUCUUUCCUUCUGAAAAAUAGUGCAUAGGGCAUGGUCUUAGCUCAGAGAUAUUGCAUUCAAAGCAAGUAUUAGUUAUUCCAUAUGCAUUACUAACAACACUGUAUAUGGAUAUGUUUCAUAUUCCAGAUUGCAGGGCAUGAGUUGUCAGAACAUAUCCUGCAUACCAUUAUUUGCAUAGAAUUGCAAAAGUUUUCUAAUUUAGACGGCGAAUCAUUGGAUGUUUGCAUCUCCCUGAACAUUGGAAACUUAAAACACAUCUCCUUCAUAAUUUGUUAAUUGGAAGUUUAACUUUGGGAAUUAAAGCAGAAAUCACUUGCAUUUUUAGAACCAUAAUUUGGAGUCGGACUUACUCGAGAUUCAUUUAGUUAAAAUUGGUAGGAACGAAAAAUUGAUCUCCAUCAUCACUUCUGGCCAAGCUUAUGUAGAAAUUGGGUGUGAAGUUCCUUGAAAUCGAAAAUUGCAGGUAUACUAUAAUUAUGCUUCUCAAAGGCAAUAAUUCCUGCUAUAAAAUUUCCAAUGUAACCUUAUUCCCUUGGGAGUUUUUCACCUCAUGCUCUCUAACUACCUUUGACUCACUAAUUGGUACGUUGUCAUAUAUCCUCUUUACAGUGGUUGUUUCAUGCAAAGCAAUAACAUAAUAGUUUCUUGGGAUAAAAAGGGAGGCCUAAUCUACUCCCAAAUAUGCUCAAAGAAUAUUACAAUAGCUGCACCCUUUUUUUUUUUCUAGUGCUAGGCAGGAGUCAAAAGAUUCAAAGCCAUUCAGGUCUUGAAUCUGUUUAAACUCGGUGAUUUCAGAAAUGAUUGCAGAUAAUCCUGACUAUGCUUUUCUCUAGAAAGCUAGGAAGAAAACAAACUGCAGUGCAGUCUAAUGCAAGAAGAAUAGCGCAUCAAUAGUAGGAUAGGAGAAGAUGAUUGAGGAGAGAAAACCCUCCACUGAAUUGUACAGAUACCAGUUAUAGGCAUGCUGCAACCAGCAAUUCUGUGUACUUCAUUCAUGCAAGAACUUCAGGAAUUGGGUCGAGUGCACAUGACUGAUAAGCAUUUGCAUAGACAAGUAAGAGAUGUAUAGACUCAUAUAAGGGAGAGAUGAGGAGCUCGAACCUGCAGUAGAAGCUGAAGAGCUGUGAGUUCACGGUCUUUUUCUGUGAGAAGAAGGUUGAAAAUUCGUCUCUCUCUGAACUUGUGCACCACCAUAACUCCAAUAAUGGCAGCUCCAAAUGCUAUCAGAAGCAUUAAGCCAUAAGGCUGCCCUCUAUUGCUGGUACCAUGUCCAUGAUGAUACACCUUCAUCAGUCCCCCCAUUCCCUUAAAUCACUCUGCCUAGGAGUGUGAUCAAUCUAACCUCAGAAGCGAAGCAAGAAAAGAAAGUGAUAGAAUCAGAAGUCCUCUCUCUUUUGGAAUCUCUUACGUGUUGUGCUUUUCUUUUCAAUCACAGCUCUCUUGUUGGUUUAGUCAUCUAAAUUGGACCUUCAAACUGCUCUCUCUCUCUCCAUACACAUUGUAGCGGAGUUAACAAGAAUGAAGAAGGUGCAUGGGAAUUGUGUCCAAAGGCUUAGAUGAUGGAGACUUUUAUGCAACUUUGGUUGUUGCUUUCGAGGAGUGUUUUGCAAAUGAGUCAAAGACUGCCCACAGCAAAUAGUGAUCAAUAGGAAAAAAAAAAUCUUUUCUUUUUUUUUUUUUGUUUUUCAGUUCAGGGCUUAAACUUUGAUUAAAUUUAAACUGGCACUUUUCCAAUUGUUCAUUGUGGCCAUCUAUACUUAAUGGCUUUUUGUAUGCCCUUUUAAACGCACAAGCAACUAUUCUAGCUUUUUUCAUGCGUAGGGUUGUAGUUCUUUUGUGUUGAGUUCAAAAUGGAGGAUAUUGACCGCCCAAGAAAUGAUAAUUUAAUUGACCCCAAAAAAAAAAAUCAAGAAAAAGUAAUGGAAAUCAUUUUUGGUGGAUGCAAAAUGUGUAGAUGAAUACAAAUCAAAGGAAAAAGAACAAUUAGCUUAAAGAACAAUCCCUCCUCUUUCUUCUUCUUUUUGUGUGUGUGUGUGUGUGUGUGUGUGUGUGUGUGUGUGUGUGGAGCAAACAACAAGGUUUUGACUCCAAUGAAGUCUUGUAUUUGUAUUAACAACUGGGAAAGGCGUGAAAGCCUUGCUUCACUCCCAAGCCCAAGUUCUUAAAUCCUGUCCCAUGUGGAGUUUUAUACUUUUAUGGGGAAGACCAUAAUCAAGAAACCAAAGCCUUGUAGCUGUGGUAGAAGCAUUACUGAAUCUCCUUUUAGUAUGACAGUUUUUAUCUAUGCACUAAUCAAUCUCCAUUCUUGUUAAUUAACCCCAUUUUCUGCUCUAAAUUUGCAUGGCUCUACCAUGAAACAUACAAGAAUUUGUUUUUUCGGUUUGGUUAGAAGCCUCAUAAGUCCAAAAUUUUGGCCAAAUCCACCAAAUGGCAUAAACUAAAAGUAUGGAAUUUAGGAGGGGUUGUAGCUGAAUUAUGUCAUAAUUAUGUGAUUGAGAACAGUUGUAAAAAUUUGACGUCUGGCGUAGCAAAUUAACCGUUUUAAAUUUAGGGAACGGUAUGGAUAUGGUGAGCGUGAUUUCUGUAUAGAGAUAUGUGAAAAAGCGCGAUAUUGUGUGCCUUUCACUCCAAGGCUUUAUGAGGCAUCGGCAAGAAGACGUGAUCCGUGAUCGAUCGAUCGAUGCAAAUUAAGAUUUAAGAUUUUUAAGCCCUUCUGUUGGUGUUGAGGGUGUGAUUUCUACACCUCCACACCUCUAAAUGCAUUUACAUCAUUUAAAGAACAUUUUCUUCUCUCUUUUGGCCGGGGAGCAAGUCGCAAAAAUGGUCAUAAAAUUAUUUGAUAUUUCAUGUUUUGGUCAUUGGACUUUUUAUUUUAGUUAAAAUGGUGAUUCAACUAAUUAAAACGUACAUUUUACAGUCGAAAAGGUAUACGUUUUCAUUAGAAGAGUAAGAAAAAAUAUAUACGUUGUUAUUAGUUAACUAACAAAAAUAAUACUUUUUUCAGUCGUUGAGCGACCAUCUAGACUGAAUAAAAAGUUUAGUAACCAAAUCAUGAAGUUUGAAAUAGUUUGAUAAUUAUUUGUGCCGUGUGCUCUAUAGGUGGAGACAAUUGUUCCAAAGGAGAUAUCCACUAACAUAAAAAAUUUAGAUAUAAGAAAUUCCAAAUAAUGUACGAAGUGUAACGGAUAUGUCAAUUAACACAACAAACAAAUUUAUAAAUUUAGAUAGAUAAAAGAAACCGGACUUGAAUAGAAUAAAUGAAAGAAACUAAAUUUGAACACAAUUUUAAACUCAUUCUCGAAUACUAGUAGAUAAUUAGAAUUUUUUUCCUCAAUAAAAGAUUUCAAACCUUACAAGAAAAAAGAUAAAGAAAGGGGUUCAGAGUCUCUUUACUAAUUACCAAUCAGCUAACCAAGGUCUUAGGGAUUAGACAAUUGGAAUUCAAUUAUGAAUGGCCCACAGUCGGUUCAAUAUUCUGAUCCAGUCCCGAUAAUUCUACGAACUCCACGCCCAGUCUACUGCAGCCCAUUAGCAUCUUACAUUGUUCAUAAUUGGUCUCCUUGGGCCAGAUCCACAUUGAAAGUCUACAUUCUUCCGCCCAGCAAAGAAACCAUAUCUUACUGAAACGUCAAAAUUUCCUCCACUCUUUUCACUUCAGAAGAAGAAAAUCCUCAUCGUAAUUGGUACAUGCCCAUUUUUAUACAGGCUCUAACAUUCCCUCUGCAAAAUUCUUCAAAUGAUUGACAUUUUUUCUAAUGUGGGCUGAUGCUAAUUAAUAUUCAUUUCUCUUCCAGAUUUUUUUAUUGCUUAAUAGUAUCAGCUAAUGCUUUUCUCCAAGAAUUUAAAUUGUUGUUUUAUUUUCAUUCUGUUUUCCUGUGUAAUUAGUCCUAACAUUGAAAUUGAUAUUCAUGCUCCAGUAUCUGAAUCGGAACUCUGCUUCUUGGAGUUAUAGGGUUGCAUGAAUAAUGUCCAAAAAUUUUUCCAGUGGUCUCAAAUUAUCUGCUAAAAGUAUUCAUUAUGCAGAUUAAGAGGGAUUUUCAGAACAAGAAAAGAUGUCAAAAUUGAUGUUAUCUUGCUGCAAAGUUUACAUAUCAGAAAGCAGGAACAAGGCUGCUCUUGAGGCAAUUGAGAGGGCUGCUAAGUUGUUCCCAGAAGCUCCAAUUAUUAAUAAGUUUGAGGAUGAAAUUUACAAUAGAGUUGGUUACACUCUUGUUUCAAAGUUGGGUUCAAAACCAUCUUCUGAUCCUCUGAAAGGGGCUGUCUUUGCCAUGGUUGAAGCUGCUUUUCAAAGCAUUGAUCUUGGUGCUCAUUCUGGAAGUCAUCCUAGGCUUGGUGUUGUGGACCAUAUUUGUUUUCAUCCAUUGGAGAGUACUAGUUUGGAACAAGUGGCUGGGACUGCAAAUGCUUUGGCAGCUGAUGUUGGUUCAAAUCUUAAAGGUCCGAAUUCUCCUGUAGCUCUAGUUUUAUACUGCAAAUUUGCAUUUUAAGACCAAUGCUUGAUUUUAUUUGUUGUCAACCAGCGUUGUUAAUAAGAUCAUAUGGUAUUCAGGACAAGCUACUUCCUUAAGAAUUUUAGUGAAAGCACUUGCUCACUUAAGACUGCUCGUUGGGUUGUGAGUGCAGUUUUUGUGUUGUUGUGGUUCUUUCCUGUCAGUAUUAGUUUCUUUUAUAGGAUAUUCUGUUCAAGAUUGAGGGUAGCUAAGUCUUCCCUUGUGGCUCACUUGGGACGAAAGGGGUGUGUGUGUGUGUUAGUCUGUGUAAUACGCUGUUUGUGGUGUCUUGAUGUUUUUUUGACUUUGUGAAGAAAUUAGCUACUUUUGCUGAUUAAGGUUUUUCCCAACAAGUACAUUAAUCAGCUAGAGAAUGGGGUACUGACUACAUUAGCAUCUCCUAAAUAACUUUCAUUUGACAGUUGCUUGAUUAUCUAUGCUGACACCUAAUGCUCCAACGUUAUGCUGAUGCAUUGUUAGUCUUUGAUGAAAAUUUCCUGUUAGGAUUUUCAUUUUAUUAGUUUGUUGCAUCAGAUUUUGAGCCGAAAGAAAGGCAAACCUUGUGCUGCACAACUGAAUAUCCUACUAAACCUCCAAUUACAAAAAGUCAUUCAUACCUGUUAGGUGUCAGGUGGCCAUUCUUAAUCUUAAUUCUAAUCAGUAGGAUCAGUUGUUCCCAUUGAAUUGCCUGCAUAUAAGUUUCACAAGACAACACUUUGCCCAACUUUGUCUUCUCAUUCUUUAUUCAGGCAACUUUGUUUUCUCAAUUCCCUUUUGGUUCAAAAUCCUCAUGUUAGCCUGCCAUAAGUAGUUUAGACUGGUUUAUAAAUCAAGCUUUGGAACUUCAAUUACUGAAAACACGUCAUGCAAUAUAAUUGUGGAUGCCUGAUAGAUGAACCCUUUGAAGCGUUUAGAAUUCCUAGGGCACUUCUUAACAUGGCAUCCUUAAAAAGCAGAUGUCUACUCUGUAGAGCUCCAAUACUUGUUGUUUGGUUUUGAUUACAUAGAGCUUAUGUACUUCAAUCUUAGUGUCCUAACUAGAACCUUUUAUAAAACAACAUCAAUCUGUUGUUGGAACUUCUGCUCUUUCUUUGAACUAAGAUAUGCUUCCAGGGCCAUUUGUAAACUUAGCCUUGUGAAGUAUCUUGGUUGUGACAAUAAGAGAUAACAUAGCUCAUUGGUGGAAAUCCUUAUUCUAGUAUGCUAUCCUCUGAAAACCGUGUCUUCUCUCCUUUGUAAGGCCAGCAGACAUGUGUUAAGCAAUGAUGAGCACCAGGCUUUUUGAGCUCCAGUCCAGUCCAUAGGACCCUUAAUAUUUUUUGAAAUCAUUUUCGUCAUUCUUAGUCUGAAUGACUAGCAGUCUUGAGCAUAAAUUGUAUGGUGCAAAUGUUGAAGUAAAUGAACAUUGGAAGUUUACCUGAUUCAUCCCCAAACAUGCGAUGAAGCUGCUGGCACACUGCUUACUCACACAUGUUUAAUACUCGAACUCAAGGAACUUUUUUCUGCUUAUAGCUUGAUUUGAAUAAAUUGUUGUUUGUUGCUCCUCCUCCUCCAUAUUGGUGAAUGACUUUCAAUUGUUCCAAUAUAAUCAGGUCCUUGCACAACAAUUAUAAAUAUUAACUGACUGAACCACAAAUAAGGCCAAGUUUCAUUAUCUUGAUUCAACAAACUAUUAAUCUUGAAGAUCAUUUUUAUGUCAAUGUCUGUUUUAUCCAAGAGCAUAUUUCCCAGGUUUUUCUGCAUUUUUUUUUGGUACUUUCACUUAAUUCAUUCUUCUGUCUUUAUUUAUUCUUUUUAUCUUCAUAACCCCUUCCUUUUUGUGGAGUACCUUGCAGUUGCAAGCACCUCUCUUGUGCAUCUUUCUGAGCAAAUCUGUUUCAUUAUCUGCAAACUUGACAUCAUAAUAGCCAAAAGGAUUGUUAGUAACAGUUCUCUAUAUUUUUUUUAUCCUUUUAUUCUGCUACUAACAUUUCCAGCUUUUCUAAGGAUCUACACAAUUACUUGCAGUUCCUACCUUUUUGUAUGGAGCAGCACAUAGGGAAAGAAGAUCUCUUGCUUCAAUCAGGAGGGAACUGGGAUAUUUCAAGCCUGAUUCUAGUGGAAACCAAUGGACAGGUGGGCCCAAAUCAGCGAUUUUACAGCUAAAGCCAGAUCAGGGUCCUGAUUUUGCAGUUGAAGCAAAAGGUAUCAUUGUAAUAGGAGCUACACAGUGGGUUGACAAUUACAACGUCCCAGUCUUUUGUAAUGACACAGCUGCUGUUCGUAGAAUAGCCAAGAGGUUAAGUGGAAGAGGAGGCGGACUUCCUUCAGUGCAAUCUAUGGCACUAACCCAUGGUGAUGGUGUCAUUGAGGUAGCUUGCAACUUACUAGAACCAAGUAAAUUUGGUGGCGAUCAAGUUCAGCUUGAAGUUGAGAAGCUUGCUGCAGAAGAGAAAUUGAAUGUUGGCAAAGGGUAUUAUACAGACCUUUCACAGGAAAAAAUAAUUGAAAGCUACAUGAAAGUGUGCAAAAGUUUAGACUAGACUACGCCUGCGAAGUUACAACUCCUAGGAAAUACAUCCAAGCUAUGCAUGGGGUCUCCAAAUAGGUCAAAUUUUCCUAACCUUGCAAACCUAUUACUCGAGGGUUCUAUCCUGUUGGCUGAUUCAAUCCAUUUGUAUCAUGUUCUGUAAAGUAUUACACAUGCAUAGUCUCAUUGCUACUUUCAGUUAUAUGCUUAUUCAUGACUUCUAAAUACCUCUUAAGAAGUAAGAUUGAGUUCGAUACUAUGCCUUUCUUAACAGAAAUAUUCAUUGUUCUUCUCACAAGUUGAUUUUGCUGAUUUUGUAUCACAGUCUGUAAAGUAUUACAUGUGCAUAGCUUUUGAUUUAUACUUUCAGUUAUAUGCUGAUUCAUUGAUGUGUAAAUACAGGUUAGGUUAAUAUAAGAUUGAGUUUGGCAUUAUGCCAUUCUUAACAGAAAUACUCUGUAAUUCUUCUCACAAGUUUGAUUUUACUGAAUAGUCAUCUUGUUCUAGGGGAUGCUGCUGCAACAAGCAAAGUUUAAGUGGAUGCAGGAUUAACCAUUUCUUCCCUUCUUUUUCUUGGGUGCCAAAUCUAUAAACAGCUAUUCAUCUCAAAUUACAGCAUCAGUAUUUCACUUGUUGCAUGGCAUAUCACCUGUAACUACAGAUAGAAGUUACUAUCAAUAAUUUUAUGAGUUACGGUUGAACUUUAAUUUACGAGUUACUAUCAGGAUUUCACGUGAUGACUUUCUUUUCUAGAACUAUAUUUUUUAUUACUUUUACGCCAUUAAUAACAUAAAAACUAACAUAAGAUAAAGCAUAAUUAAUUGAGUUUGGAGGAUGAGUGUCAUACUAGCAUUGUCACUAUAAUGGCUGAGGUUAGUUGCACGCAAAAAUUAGGUUUGUUGUUGGAGAAUUUGUCAUCAACCAUUACUUUUGCAUUACUGGAAUUGAUUUGUUAAUUCCAUUUGAUUUCACUAUCAGCAUUUUAUUGUUUGGUACCUUCCAUUAUUGGUCACAAUUAUUUGGAAAGCCAUCUAAACUUUAAUCAAUACAAAUAUCUUUUGUAUUUGUUCUCAGCUCAUGUUUCAUUUGUACUUGGAUUUUGCAAUAGGGUUUGUCUAACGGGUGUUUAACAGACACUCGUUAAAGUAUUUUAAAAAAUAAAGUUAUAAGGUAAAGUGUGUAAAUAUAAGGGAGGGUAAUAACUAUAAUUAGAAAGAAAAAGGAUUUGAUUUUUCUAAUGGGUACCCAGUAGGUACUUGUUAACACAGCUAUAUUCCAUCUAACCUACCAUAUAUAUACGCUCAUUAACAAUUACUACCAACCCUUGCAUUUACACACUUUCCCAAAUUAUUCUUAACUUUUUAAAAAUCUAUCAGUUGAAAUACAUUUUAAUGAGUGCCUUUAAAAAAAGGUAUGUAAAUGUAAGAGAAGUUAAUAAUUAUUAGUAUGUAUAUUUACAUGAUAAGUUAGAUACGAUUUAAGCAUGUUAAUGAAGAUAUGGGCACCUGUUAGAAAUCUCUUGAUAAUAAGAUGGAAACAAUUCAUGUAAUCCUUGAUUAACUCCAUCAAGGCCUAAUUCAAGUGAUAAUGUGCUCUGCAGUAGAUGUUGAUGAUCAAUAGUCAUACUUACCGACAAUAUGUACGAAGAAAGAUUGUGUCCACUCAUUUAAUCAGAUAUUAAUUGAUUUGUUCUAAAAAGACUGAUUUCAUUUACACGCCUAGUCACCAUGAUGAUGAUAUUUAUUCACAGGGUCUGUCUAACUGGGAUUGGACACCGUUAGAAUAUAUUUCAAAUGUCAUAUUUUUUGAAAAUGUACGACUAAUUAGAAAAAAUAAGUAAAUAUGAAGGAGGAUAGGUAAGAUUAAACAGAAAAUGUAUAUAAAUAUAAAGAAGAAUAAUAAUUGUUAGUUUGUACGUAUAUAUAUAUAUAUAUAUAUAUAUAUAUGACAGAUUAAAUGAAUUUUAAGUGUGUUAACGAGUGUUCAAUAGACAUCAGUUAGAAAAAUCCUUAUUCGUAAUAGUAUUUUUUUACGGGUGCCUAAUACCCCUAUAUUCUAUCCAACUUAUCAUGUAUAUACACACUAAUAAUUAUUACUUUCUUCUACAUAUAUACAUUUUUUUUAAUUAAUUCCCUUGCAUUUAUAUGUUUUCACUAAUUAAUCUUGUAUUGCUAAAAAUUUAACACUUAAAAUACAUUAUAACGAGUGUCCAUAUAGCACUGUCCGAAAGACAGUUCAUAAUAUCCACGUCGAACAAGUAUUUGAACUUUGGAUGAUGUUUACAGUCUCGUCACCACGAAGCAAAAUGCAAAAUAGAUGUUCAACCACAUUUCACCAACUUACUUCGAUUUGAAAAUCAUUCAUUUACAGCUUUGAUGGACAUCUAUAACACAUUUCACGUAUACUAGGGGAAGAUAAAACCAAAGUCCCAAAAAUAUGCCCCAAAAAUAUGAGGAAAGUUGAUAGUAAUAAAUUUGGCAACUUGGACAAUAAUAAAGAGAUCAUUGUCCCAAUUGUUCCAAUGCCUUGGGACUAAUUUCUUGUUUUUUAAGGGGCUGCUACUCCCAAGAUUUUAGAAAUCUUUUUAUGGCACUUUAAAACAAUCAAGCUUUUUACUUAUAUUCUAGUAGAAAUUAGAUUUUGCUCUCUCCCCCAAAAUGUUAUGACUUUUUCAGCAUCACCUUAAAAGCUUUAAUUUUUUUCAUGCAAAAUAUUAGAGUCCUCCCGCGCUCCACCCCCCUGCCGCCCGUCCAAAACACUAGGGUUUUGUCUGGAUAAUAGAUUUUUUAUCAAAAUUUUUUUGCUUGUGUCAUUGACAUAAUUUUCAACCAACCAUUUUUUUAUCUUAUGUAAAAGUGCUAUAAUAUUUAUUUGUUUGUAUCAUCGACAUAUUUCAAUCGUCUAUUUAUUUCACGUAUAAAUAUUAUAAUAUUUUUUUUCAAAAAAUUAAUUUCAAAUAGUCUAUUAUCCAAACACUAGGGCAUUAUUGUUCCAUCCAAAACCAUGCGUGGCAUGCGGUGGUUUUGUUUAUCUAGUUCUGGGCUCAGUUGCAGAUGAGAUUGACACAUGAGGGUGGUGGGGACAUUUGGCUUAGUUGUAAAUGUCUUGUGAUGUUUUUAGUGCUGAGUCAGGAGUAGGACACGUGAUCCAGAAAGGUCAUGUCAUAUUCAUAUGUAGUGUGCUAAAUAAAAGAAAUAUUUGUCCACGACUCCCAUCUCUUCUAGCAGGAGUGCUAAUUUCAAGAAAGAGGCAGCAUGGAGCUCAUAGACAGUUUGCUUGGGAAAAAAGGGCAAGACAUGGACCGCAACUGCAAGGUGAGGGGCUCAUCUUUGGUGAAGUUUCAUCUUUUCCGUUUUCCUUUUAUUGCUUGUAUUCUUAAAAAAAAAAAAAGGCUUAAAAGGACCAUAUUUUUGGUGAAGUUACAACUUUUUGGGAUCGAUCACAUUACUAAUAGUGCUCCACUGGCUACCAUGUGAUCAUUUCUGUCGUGUAGGAUUAUCUCAGGUUGCUUUCAAGAAAAGUUUAAUCAUGCAAUAUCUAAGAUAUCAUUCAGCUUGGGACGUAUAAAGCAGGAGAAAUUUUUGCCUGACCAAAUCCCCACCAGGGUAAAAAGUAAAACCGAGAACUCAAAAGAUUAUGCCAAUACCAAACCAAACAAGUGUGAACAAUGAAAAAAACCGAACCCCACCGACCAGGUGGGUGGUUGGGUGGUUUAUGACAGAAAACUAUGAUGGUUGCUUCUUGCCCUUCCUCGAAUAUGAAGACAUUUUGGAUAAAAUACCCGCGUGCUUCAUGCCUGGUUCUAGCUAUAUAAUCCAGUUCCUGGCUCAAUCUGAGAUGAGGAUGAAACAUGGUGAUUGUGGGACAUUUGGCCUUCAACCGUGGUGGUAUUAAGUUUGACUGUUAAGUCAGGAUUAGGAAACUAGCUUAAGUAAAAUAUCUCUGCAUUUCUUUCUUCUAUCCAUUAAUUUGAAGACAAAGGCUGCAGAGAGCCAUAGACAGUGGACAGUCGGUUGGAUUGUAGAACCCAAGAGAUGGAUUCCAUUUCCAGCCAGAGUAGCAAGGUGAGGGAUUGAUCACUCUCUUUUUUAUUUUUCUAAGCUUAUAUAUCUUGUAAACAGGCAAAAAAAGGACCAUAUCUAUUUUUCUAAAAGGUUUAAAGACAUUGAAAUGAGCCUUAAAGCCAUUUUAUAAUUAGGUUUUCCUUGUAUUUUUGCGUGAUUUUCUUGGAGAAUUUCAUUUUUGGCGGAAAUGAAUGAUGUUAUUAGGGAGGAAGAACAAUUUUCUCAGUCAGUCGAGGUUCCAUAGUUGAAAGCAUUUUAGUGAAUUGAAUUUGAUUACUUCAGCUGUCAUAUUUCACUAAUUUUUUGUGUUCUUUUCAACUUGAGUGUUCUUAAAACUCCACUCACAUACUAAGAAUACAGGAGAGAGAUGGGAACAUGAAAUUUCUGUUGACAAUGUAGAGCUUUGUAUUUCAGCUAAACUCAACUUUCAUCACAUUUCAAUUGCCCUAUUCAAUAUUCUUGUGAACACUGUUUCAGCUGAAAAUGGAAAGCCUUUGGAUUAUGAAUUUGCCCUCAUAUAAAGAUCAUACAAGCAGAUUGUUGUACAAAUAUGAUGAUGAACUGGUGACACACCAACCUUUUGCAACUAGAAAUUGAUCAAUUCUCUUUAGCUUAGCACUUGAAUAUUAACAAAGAUGUGCACUGAUGAAUAAAGGUGUUAAGCUGACUCAUGAUCUAACCAGGGAAUGGAUCCGCUAUCACAAUCUGAUACCUUAAUCAAUGCAAAAACCAUUCAUACAAAUUGUCACUGGUGAACUAUUUAGUGUGGAUGUUUGUAAUAAUCUAGUAGACCUCAUAACAUAUAUGGAUCUUCAGCUCUCUUAGACACAACAUCUAAUUCGAAGAGUUUGACAAUGCAGUCUAAAAGGAUUACCUGUAUGUCAUUUGCCUUCUAAACCUUGAAUGAUUAUUUUAAUUCUUGACAAUCUGCAAAAGGAUAAGAAGAAAACAGUGAUGCACUCCAUGCUGCUCUGCUGUAAACUUUAUAUAUCUGAAGCACGAAAUGCCGAAGCUCUUGAUUCCAUCGAACGUGCAGCUAAACGUGAUCCAGAAACCGUUAUCGUCAACAAAUUUGAGGAUCGUGAUUACAAUAGAGUCUGCUACACACUUGUCUCAUAUGUUGUCCAUGAUAGCACUGGCUGUCCAAUUUACAGCCCCUUGCAGCAGAGUGUAGUAGCCAUGGCUGAAGCUGCUUAUGAAGCCAUAAACCUUGAGCAGCACUUAGGGACACAUCCUCGUCUUGGCGUCAUGGAUGACAUUCUCUGCCACCCAUUAGCUCGAGCUUCACUGGAUGAGGCAGCUUGGCUGGCUCAAAAAGUUGCAGCUGAAAUUGGAAAUCGAUUUCAAGGUAACUACUAAUUAACUACUGGUUCAAUGACACUAUAAAGUAAGGGCAAUCAAUCUACAGUCAGAUGGAGAGUAUUAAAAUUUGCAUGAUCAUGUACUUGGUAUUUCUCUACUUAAAGAGCUGAUCCAGUUAACAUAAUUGCCUAAAUAUUUUGGAAGCGUGAAACUUUCUAAUGUUGCUUCCAUAUCUUGGAGACGCUGAAACAAUUUAUACUGUUCUGGGUCCAUUCCCCCUGACUUGACUACCAUAUUCAGAGUCACAUGUAUAUACUUACCUUGGUCUCUAUAAUUCUGUGCCAACAAUUUAUAUAGAGAAUCAUGGAGGCAAAAGUCCACAAAAUCUUUUUAAGAUAUAGAUUUAGGGGUAAUCAAUUCAGUAAUUAAAUAGGAAGAAAUAGAGUCACACAAAGAAUUCAGUCAUCAGCAUUUUCUUGGCUACAUGAUUCUAAGGUUAAUGGGAGAUGUUGUUCUGAUUUCUGAUGUUCCUUGGCUUCAGUACCGGUAUAUCUAUAUGGGGCAGCAAAUCCAACAGGAAAGGCUUUGGACACCAUAAGGCGAGAGCUGGGCUACUUUCGUCCAAAUAACGGCCACCACUGGGUUGGCUGGACACAGCCACAAGUCCUUCCAGAAAAGCCGAAUGAAGGUCCAGAAGUGGUCACCAGUGCGAGGGGCAUUAGCAUGAUAGGUGCACGGCCAUGGAUUGCCAUGUACAACAUACCAGUCAUGUCCACAGAUGUAUCAACAGCUCGACGGAUCGCACUGAUGGUCAGUGCUCGAGGAGGGGGGUUGCCUACCGUGCAAACUUUAGGCCUGGUUCACGGUGAGGACUCAACUGAGAUAGCAUGCAUGCUACUGGAGCCAAACCAGAUUGGGGCAGACCGAGUCCAAAACCAUGUUGAGAAGCUAGCAGCACAAGAAGGCCUAGAUGUAGAGCAGGGAUACUUCACUGAUAUCCCUCCACAGAUGAUUACUGAGAGAUACAGAAAAUUGAUAAAUGCUGAUUCAGAUUGAUCACUUGAGGCUCCUUCUGGUGCAUGAUUGUUGAUGACCUGACCCUCUUGAAACGUACAUUGAAGUUCUACAAAAUGUAGAUGAAUGAUCAAUGUGGUAAUUCUAUCCAAGCCAUGAUAAAAUAAGUAGUACAUGCUUCUCUGUUAGAGCUGAAUUCUUUAGUUCUUUCCACCAAUUUCUGCUUCCUUUUAUUUCAAUUAGAGGGUCAAGCAGGGGCUGCCUAUCUCCACUGAAAUUUUUUGGUUAUCAACGUUGGCUAUUUGGCUUAAUUAGAGAUGAUUAAUUGCAAAAGAAAAAUAAGCAAAGAUUGUUAGAGAUCAUGAUUUUCAUACUAAGUAUAAUCUAAAGUAGGAGUAAUAAUGCACACUUAUUGGUUGAAACCUACAUGAUUUAUUGAAUAACAAGAAGUAAAUUUUUGUUAGUGUUAAAAGUACCAGGAACUAAAAAAUCUCAGCUUAUUGAUCUUUACUAUUCAAACUUUCGGAAAAAGUCCAUGAAGGGGAAAAAUUAUGACAACCAUAAAAUGUCACAUGGUAGAUUUUUUUGUUUUUUUGCCAAACAAGGAUGUUUUUUCUUUAAUUAACUGAAUAAUUUCAAAAUCUUAAAGAUCAUCUUUAUAACACCCAAAUCUGAUAAAGUUCCGGAUUGUAUAUAGCCUAUAAUGCCUCUUUAGAAAUGGCACAUUAUUUUAGAUUUUUUAAUUAAAUAGCAAAACUUUAAUCCAGAUUUUUCCCUUUGGGUAAUUCGCCCUUUCUCAAAUUUAAAGAAAAAAGUAAAAAAUUGCAAAAGGAGUGUUCGUUCAGUUAGAAACCAUCCAUCUGGUAAUACUGGGCUCAGAGAGCAGCAGCCCGUUAUCCUUCCACUGCAGAGAGCGGGUGGUUUUCGCUGCUCUGUGAAGCCAGCCUGACGCAAUACCCACCUCUCUAAGGACCACAUGACCCAGGCCUUCGUCCAAGUUACGUAGCCCACCUCUCCGCUUGGAACGGGCGGGCCAGCAUUUAGCCACCCCAAACCCUACCAGCUGAACGGAAUCCAUGUUCCAACACGCCAAAUGCCCCCACUUGGGUUACAGGCUUGCGUUACUCAGCCCGGCGAACGAGAGCGUUCUUUCUACAGCUUAUGAUAUGAUCUGCAACAUUUCAAAUUUCCAAUGUGGGAUUGAAGGGGACGCUUUCUGGACACCUUAGUGCUAAAUGAUCAAACAACUUUGUCAUGCAUGAAAAUAACUGAAAAUUUAGGGAAAUUUGGAUCCAUGAGAAAAGGUAGUGAUAGUUGUUGUUUAUAUUCAUGGAAAGACCAUUUUUUAUGGGAUUCUAGAAAUUAGAAAUGAUGGAUAUUCAUACCAAAUUUAGUGAUGGGAUUUGGUAGUAUAUGAAUGAACGAAGGAAACUCUCAAGGCAUAUCUUAUGGCAAUUUGUGUGUCUAUAGCCCUAAUCUUCAUUUCAUUUUUCUGUUUUAAUACUAAAGCUUUGAUUUUAAUAAUUAGGACCACAUCAUGACAACUUUCCUUUCAUUAAUCAGCUGUCUAUUUGUGUUCAAGAAUUUCAGCAAAAUUUGCACCAAUCUACUGGAUCAAAUGAUACAGGCAACACAUAAUAAAACAAAACUACUAGUCUUAACUGAUGGAGCUGUAUUUCUUACGACUCAACAAAAAAAACCAGUUAAAUUUCAAAAAAUAUGUGAUGGUACAAUUUAUCCAUCUCAUUCCUGCAUUCCAAAUAUUUUGUCAACAUCCCAGGGGAAAUUUUAUGAACCAAAUAUGAUAUAAGCAGCUCUCAAAGUUUUAAGUAUCUUUAGUAUACAAAGGGAAUGAUGGAAAAGCACCAAGAAGUAGCUACAAUCUAUUGCAGCACCCAGGACUGAAAAAGAUUUCGGGGAUUCUUGAAUUGGACUAAUUAUGCGAAGAAACUUGGAAAUCUAUGUGCUGUUCUGUCAAUAUAAUCCAAUGAGAGUUUAUUUGCCAUGACCUGUUAUACUUAUGAGCAGAUAACAGGUUUAGAAUCUUUUUCCUUAUCCAGCAGAUAGUGAACAACAUGAAACUUACUACAUUCUGGUGUUCGAGCACAAAAUUGCUUAUCCAAAUUUGUCUUCUUCUGUUACAGAACUUUUAUUGAAAAAAUGAACAAAGGGAGGCAACAUUAACAACUGUAUGCAGGCUAACCGAAGACGAGACAACGAUAAGCUAGUAUCUUUAUUACUUCAAAGAACUCGAAGGGAUGGAUCAUGGAAGAUCAGAUGGUUAUAGAAGUAUGGGAUACGAAUUGUAGAAUGCUAUCUUGGCCCAAAUGAUGAACUUGCAGAUUCACCAAUAUUCCUGCCAUCGUCUUCUUCAAAGAUCUCGUUUGCUGCAGAAUUCUGAGGUUCAAAGAUGUCAUAUGCUGCAGAACUCUGAGUUACUUUGAAAAUUGAGUACAGGAGUCCAAUGCAAUCUGGAUGAGACUUCAUUAAAUCCUCACGCCAUCUUCUGCUUCCUUUUAUUUGCUUCAGAGACUGUUUCAGGAGCUGCCUAAUUUCCACGAAGAAGGGAAGUGCAGUAAGUUCAGGACAUUUAUGAACUUCAAUGAUGGAUAAUGAAUCACAUAUCAUUACCCUAUUCCAGCAGAUGCUUGUCAGCCUUGGCAAAGAACUUAACUUUAAUUUCUGUAAUCGUGGAAAUAUUAUUUCAGCAUUGUCCACUUGAGUCACGUCUUCUCCCCCUCUUUCAUCAUCAAUUAUCUCCUCAAUCCUUUCACAGUUUUCAAUAACAAUUUCUUCGAGGCUUUUUAGGUUCUGCACCAGCUCAAAUGACAAGACGGUCUUCAAAUCAUUACAUUGGCUGACAUGCAACACCUUCAGAUUUGCAAGAGUUCCUUCCUGUGGAAUUCCCAUGCAAAAAGUAUGUAACUUGCCCAAACCCUCGAUCUCUAACGACUCUAGGGUAGGAAAGGUGCUCCAUCCUGAAGUUAUUAUCCAUUCCAUAUCAUCACAGUGUUGAAGUUUACAUAUUUGUAGCUGUGAAGAAGCAAAGCUGAUGGAUGUUGGCAAGUGAUUGAUGCCUGAACAAGCCAAGAGAACCAACUCAUGAAUCCUACCAGGCAACAAAGCAAGUAUUUCUCUGUGAAACAUAUGGGCUCCAAUUAAUGCUACACUAUUUCUACCGAAACGCAUUGAGGAUUCCGGAUAGCCAAUACAAAAUUUGAAACUCUCAACUUGACUCCAGUGUCCUGACAUAGUAUAGUAAUUGAAGUCCUCAACAGUUCUGAAGUUAGCUUCAAACAGUGACAGGUUAAUGCAGCUUGUUAACUGAUCCACAAAUACCUUACCAAGUUCAAGUGACUGCCACAAACCAAUUAGCAGUAGAUUCUCCAGCAUUCUGUAAUUUGACAGAAAACUACUUUGAAAGUCAUUGGCUCUACACUGGGAGAGGUCAAGGCAUCUAAGGUUAGUUAACAUUUCCAUCCCAUGGGGCAUGUGCUCAAUGGAUGAAUAAGAAAGGUCCAAAACCCUCAACUCCUUAAGUUUUGAUAGCGUUGGUACAUAAUGCAAAUUCCAACAGCUACAGAGGAGUAGUGCACGAAGGUUUUCCAAAUUAGAAAAUGAAUCUGGCAACCUAAGUAUGCCUGUAUAAGAUAAAUCUAGAACUUGCAGGUUCUGCAUAUGGUUAAAGAAAGAAGGAUUAAUGCCUUUGGAUAGUGAAUUAUACUGCAAGAGUAAUGUACUUAGCUUUGGACAUCUAGGUUCACAAUCCAAAGAGCUCAAAUCAUUUCUCAUCAGUGAGACUCUUUCAAGAUCUGGAUGCCAUUCUUCAUGAAGAGGGGGCUUGUGUAUGCUCUGUCCAGCUCGAACCAUAAAGAUUUGGUUACCACCUGUGAGAGCAAUUGCCAUAUCCCUAAUUAGGUCAUGCAUCUUCACAUGCUCGUCUAUACUACCAUGUUGGUAGAUACUUUCCAACAUGCAAGCAUUUUUCAGCUCAUCUACUAGGAUAUAUCCCUGUUGCAUCUUGGUUUCCAUGUCCCCUAAAUUACCCAGUAGACCUUCAUAUAUCCAAUAUCUUAUGAGCUCUUCUACAUUGACAUGAUGAUCCUUUGGGUAUACAGCACAGAAAAGAAAACAGGAUCGGGUAGUAUCAUCCUUCAAUCUCUCAUAGCUAAAUCUCAGACGUGACAAUACCUGGUUCUCCAUUCCAUCUAUUCUUAUGGUGGAGUUUUGCAACUCUCUUAAAGCAAUCCGCCACUGUCUCACAUUAUAUUCUUUUCUCAAAGCCCGUCCUACUGUAGCAAUUGCUAGUGGCAGACCGCCACAUUCUUUGGCAAUUUCCUUGGCAACAGCUUCGAUGCUCAAGGAUGAAACAACUUCUUCACCAACCUUGUGUUUGAAUAAAUUCCAUGCUUCUUCACUAGAAAGCAAUUCAACUUCGACCUCUCUCAUCGUCUCCAUGCCACGGCAAACACUCAAUGAUCGAGUGGUAAUCACCAACUUAAAAGAGUUUGAGAAUUCUUGACUAGGAAUUCCAACCUCUUGAAGCGGAAAUGCUUCCCACAAAUCAUCUAUAAUAAGAAGAAACUUUUUCGGUCCCCUCAAGGCAUUCCAUAGUUUUGAUGCUCUGGUCAUCCCAUCAUCAUCGCUAUCAAAGCAUAAACCAAUUGAUUUGGCAAUAUCAUUUUGUAGUUUUGGGAGGUUUGACUCCCUUGAUGCUGUGACCCAAAUGACGGUAUCAAAACGUACAUCUUCUCUCACCAGUCGAUUAUUAAUUUCUAUCAUGAUUGUUGUUUUACCCACUCCACCCAUCCCAAAUAUGCCAAUUGUUCGAAUAGUCUCGUCCAUCAGGUAAUGCCAAAUCCUCCUUGAACUUCUUUUUGCAGUUUCUCCCAUAAGCAUAGUUGCAGGAAGUGUCUUCCCACGUUCAGGCAACAUACCAACCACUGCACCUUCUGAAAACUUUCCCUGCUCAAGAAGCUCAUUCACCUUAUGGAUCUGCUCCUCAACCAUAUUCCCCAGCUUCAGCCGAAAAUAAUAGUUUGGGAAACACCCAAUCAAACACCUUCUAUCAUCUGCACUAUCCUCCUUCACCUUAUUGACAGAGUCCUUGAUCUGAUCAACAUUUUCCAGCCAUAACUUAACUUCAGCUUUAGGCUCCAUGCCAUUCCGAACCCUUUCUAUAGUUAACAUUUGCCUUAUAUCUGUUUCUCGGGCAUUAAGAACUCUCAUUUGCUCAUUCAACCUUCCUAGAAUUGUUUGUGGUUUAUCAAAGUAACUACAUUGCUUGGAAACCGACUUGCGUAAGCACUCUUGUCUACAAAAACACUGCACCAAGCUUGCAAGUGGACUGAUGUAUUCCAUGCCAAAUAAUGCUGAUUAAGAAAACAAAUCCGAGAAUGUCAAUCAUAUGGUAUUCAAGGUAUUUUACUACAGAACAGCAUUAUGGCCAAUGCGAAAACAGACAGAGAUGCUGAUGAGCUUUCUAUUAUCUGACAGUGAUAAACUAUGUUCAGCAGUUUUAACAAAUUUAGUUAGAAGACAAUAAUAUAACAAGUUUUCCUAAAAGUUAGAGGAUGACAAAUUGGGUCCUCUCGAAUAAUAUACCAAUUGUAUCUCCUUUCUUACAUUUCUAUUAGACAGAUCAAUCAAUAAGCAGGAUCUGCAAGCCAAUACAAAACAUGGAUUAUCAAAAUUAAUUCUUUGUAACAAGAGUAAAAAAUCUAUUAAUUAAUAACCCUGAACCAUACAAAUUCUAUUAAUUGAAAGAGGUAUUAAUUAAUCAAUACAUUAAUAAAUUAUUGAUUUAUUGAGUGUACUUACAAUUCAAAGAAACACUAAUUUAAUCAACAAAAGUUUUAUUUUAUUUUAUAAAAAUAUAAAUUAUUCUAUAAAUAAAAGGAGACUAAUAUUCUAUAGAAUAUAAAUCAAUCUAUAUCUACUUGAUUUACAAGUAUAAUUUAUGUCUAUUAAUGUACGUAACUGAUAUCAUUUUUUUAUUACCAAUAGGUCAAAAGGAUUUAAGAAUACUAAAUGAUAGAUGUGUGUUCCAUUUUAUUAAAUGCAUACAAUGAAUCAAAUUAAUAAUAUUAUGUAUAUAAAUAACAAAUACAAAAUCUUCUUAUAUAUAUCAUUGUUAAACUAUGGCUUCCCAUUUGAAAAGAUGUUCAUAAAUAAUUGAUCAAAUGCAUAGAGUAUUAUGUGAGUACAAUAUAUGUAAUUUUAGUGAAUUAUUAAUUUACAAUAUAAAUGAGACAAAAGCGUUAGGUAAGGUUUUAAAAAAAAAUAAAACUAUUAUCUCAUUAUUUUAUUGAAAUUAUUAAUUUAGCUCAUUAACCCAAGUCGAGACCAAAAUAAAUUAUUAAUUAAUACAGAUUAUUAAUUUAUUGAGUAUUAAUCUAUAGAAGUUUCACUGAACAUACAUUAUAAUGCAUCAAGACUAAAAUCUAGGUUCGAAUUAUUUAAAUUUCUUUUAGAAUGUAUCAAGACCAAAACCUAGGUUUGCAUUUUUUAAUUUAUUUUUUCUAGAAAAGAGGUAAGAGAAGUUUAAUCAUCAAUAUCUUGGAUUGCAGAAACCAAGAAAAAUUUUGCCAUAUAUUUGCAAGAUUUCAACAAUAACAAAUAGUCAUCUUUCUUCUCCCAUAUUUUAUUUUAACUCAUAAUCAGUGAUUCAUCAUACAAACAUAUCAUAUAAGCAACACUUAAAAGUUGAACAUCCAACAACUAUGGCAGAAAGCAGAAGGCAACGAUCAUAUCCUUCUCAUGUUUAUCAUCAUAAAGAUACUUGUAUACCUUUUUUUGGAAGUGAUUGAUUUUUUUUCCUUUAUCCUCAAGAAUUUACAUACCCAACUACUCAAGGAUACCAAAAACUUACAUCGAAUGAUUCAAACAAAGGAAUCCAAAUAAUAGAGAAGCAAGAUAGUAGCAGUAGCAGAAAUUUAUGAACAAAAUAACAUAUAUAACUGAAUGGAAAAAAAAUUAUCAACAAAAUUAUGUACCAGAAGUAGUGGCAAAUUCUACAACGUUCAAAACAAGUUUGAGCUGGAGCUGGGACCAAUCAGUGUCAGAAUAAGAAGUUUUGAGCUGGAGCUGAAACCAAUCAAUGUCAGAGUAAGAAAGUAAGAAGUUUUGAGAUGGAGUUGAAGCCAAUCAGUGGCAGAGUAAGAAACUAAGAAUCUUAAAUUGCAAUGCAAUGAAAUAAUAUGUAUCAGGAGCAUCCAUAAUUGGUUGUGGCUAGACAAAUAGUGGAAUCUUCAUGGGUCGCUGACUCCAAAGUCCAAGUCUACCCGUCACAGCAUAACCAAGAAAUUCAUUACUCCAUACCCAAUUAGUGGCAGAGUAAAGACCCUUAAGUUGCAAUAUGUAUCAGAAGCAUCUAAAAUUGGUCAAGGCAAUUACAUCGCACAAUGUGAAGGAGUCUUCACGCGGUGGCUGACUCCAGAGUCCAAGUCUACCCACCAGGCACAGCCAACAAAUUCAUCAACCCACAGUUCACACUAUCAUAGAGUGGAAAAAUAGAUUUAACUCGUUGGAUUUUGGAUCACUCUGCAUUACAAAAUAUAAAGUAGAUUUAACUCAUUGGAUUUUGGAUCAGUCUACAUCAAAAUAUUUUUAAUCGGCAUUAUAAAAAGAAUUUGAUCUGUAUUCUAUACUACUAGAAUUCAACCAAAAAAAAAAUUCAUGAUAGGCUAUUCGCAUUAUAAAAGAAAAUAUUCCUCCUUUAUUUUCUUCACUUUGUUUUAGAGGCCCUCUCAUUAAUAGGAUUGUAGUAGUGUACGUCCUACUUCCUAACUAAUUGUGUCUUUUAAGUUUUAUCCAAUUGAACGCAUUAGAAGUACAUGGUGGAAUGAGCCAAUGAUAAUUGUCUAAAAUGCAUCUGCUUGGAUCCUUGAGUUUUUCCAAAAUUAGUUUUUCAAAUACUAUAAAAAAUUUUAAAAAGUACUCUAAAAAGUAGUUUUAAUUUUUUUAAUAUUUAAAAAAUAUCCCAAAAUAUAUUCUAAAAACUCUACUACUCUUAAAUAUUCCAAAAUAUACUGUAAAAACUCUGCUACGGUAAAAUUUUUCAAAACUAUCCCCAAAAAUAGCUAAUCCAAACGGAAGAAAUUCAAUAGUAAAUUGAUAAUUCUGACCCUAAAAUUGAUUUACAAUUUUAUCUUUUGACACUAGCUCAUCAAAUGAUCAAAUACCUGGGAUCCGAUGCAUCGGUGGCAUGUUCUAGUUUUGGAAUGGAAUGAAUCUCAUCUUUAAAAAAAACAGAAAAAAAAAAAGAGUUACAACAAAAACAACAACAACUGUCUCAAUAUCCGUAUGGAUUAGGUGUUUUGGAGUUUUUUUCAAAAAUUUUAUUGUAACGAUAUAUGUGAAAUGCUUUAUAUUAUUGAUUGUCCGUUUGGAUUAAGUGUUUUUGGAAAUAUAUUCUGGAGUAUUUUUUGAAAAAUUUUGUGAACUUAUUGUUUUGUGGGGAAAUGCAGAGCCAAAGUGCCUACAAAUCGAUGAUUAUAAAACUUUUUCACCACAGAUCUGUAAAACGUGUAACUAGUUUGUAAUUAGGAUCAAUUAAGGCCGAAAAUAAUUUAAUGGCCCAUUAGUACCUAAUGGGCUCAGAAACUACCGGCUCAACUUUUAUAUUUCCAAAUUUAUCCUUUUCUAGAAUUAAAACAGCUUUAUGUUUUCUUAUUUUGUAUGUAUGGCUUCCAAUUAUAUAGUAAAUACGAAUAAUAUGCUACUUAUUAAGUAGAUAAAUCAAAACAAGUGAUUCAUAUUUCAACAAUUAUAAUUACUAAAUAACAUUUUUAAAAAAAAGAGCAUUACGUUUUUACAUGUUUAAUUGAUCAACUAUAAUAAGCAACGUUCAUGAAGAAAUUUUACAUUGUUUCAUCCCUUCAUUUAUUAUCACUCCAUGUGAUACAAAUGAUUCUCGAACUCUUUGAUUGCUCAUGCUUCCAUUUCUGGCACAAUUUUCAUAUUUUGAUUUUACCAAAUACGAUUCCAAAUUGUUAUUCUUCAAUUUUCACUUUAUCUCACAAGCCUUAAUGAAUUAAUUGUUACAAUACACAUUUUUACCAAACCAUAUUACACAAUGUUUAAAAAAAAAAAAGAAAAAGAAACAAACAAACACGGGUACCCCAUUCCAGCGCCUGUGCGGGACUGUGUCCUAAUACUUCCACCAACAAAGACCAUCGUGCAUGAUGUCUUGAUGGUUGUCAAUACUCAUUUGGUCCCUUGAUCGCCAGCAAAACUUUAAUUAUUUUUUAUUGUGGGUAGAAAAUCAAGAAUUCAAACCUUAUUUUCCACUCGCCCACGAUUUAUGAUUUGCCGCCCACGAUUUAUGAUUUGUCAUUUUCAUUAGCUUCCUUCCAAACUACACAGGACCUCAAAUAUUUUGUAAGCUUGACAUGAUAUAAACUACAGUGGUAAAUCUUUAGCCGGCCAUCCUUCCACCACAAUUGACUAUGAAACUUUUCAUUACUAAUUGUUUUUCAUUUUUUUAAAACAAAAUUUUACUACCAUUUGUCCCCAAAUUAGUGAUCAAGUUUAUUAUUCUUUUAUACUUCAGUCAAUUGAAGUUGAUACAGGCGGAUAUUGAUGAAACUUGUCCAUAGAACCUCCAACUUCUUAAUUUGAUUCUUUCUUCUGGCUAGAGAAAGGAGAUCCAGUUUCUUGAUUUGCUGAGAAAAAAGUAUAUUUCCUUGCAGAACUGACUAUGCAUUAUGCAAGAGAGAGAGAGAGAGACCCAAAAUUUUUUGCCUUGACAAUCUAAAGAUGUUCAUUGCGCUAAUUUACACUUGGGUUACACUUAACUCUCAUCUUUGAGAGAAUACCACUUGCUCCAAAAAUUGCAAACAGCUUCUCGUACAGCAGCCACUAUCUUCUGGCAGCUGGUUUCUGACCUAUUCAAUUAUCUUUGCGUCGAAUACAGAAACAGAUAACACCAUUUUGCACUCUCAGCUCUGAGAUUGACACUGUUUGCUUCGAAAAUCUUCGGAUAAGAGAUUUUUCAUUAGUUCCUCCAACCUCUUGGCACCAGGUCCGGGCCUAAACACCGAAUUAUCACCCCUGAAUGUGCAUGGAUCAGCCUCACCUUCUGAGCUCCCAACACACCAUGCGCCGGGUGAGAAACGAUUCUUACGGCCAAGCAGGUCUUUAUCAAUUUUGUCUAGAACUGGAUCGUCUUUGUGGAACUUUCUGGCGAAUGGUGCACUGCUGUUUACCAUUUGUCUGAAAUCCUUAAUGGUCAAUGAUUUAGGGUGCUGCUUGGGAGGGGUGUCCCAGGCAAUGUAAUGGAGGUCGUGGCCGAUUGCAGUGCUGCGAAACUCUUCAGUAUUGCAAAUAACUGUAUGGAAAUAGCCUUCUGGAGAUGAGACGAAAUUGGCAUAGUACAUGAGGAUGGUCCGGGGAAAAUUAUCCCAACCCCAGAUGCAGUAUUCUACAAAUGACCUGGUUAAUAUCACCCAUGCUGAACCUGUAUAAGAAGCAAGACAGGGUUGAAAAUUUGCUGGCCAAGCGUAGGAUUAACAAAUUCAUGGCUUGCUUUCGAGGUCAUUAGCUUUUUUUUUUUAAGGUGGUCAUUAGGUAUCCAGUAGUAAUCACACAAUAGGGACCCAUAAAUUGAGACAAAGAUGCCAGAUUCUAGAUGCAUUCUCAUCUUAUGUAAUGAAGGGUAUACACCAUAUUUUACCACAAUGCAGUACUCAUUCUGCAAUUUUUGAAUACCUGACUCAAGUCACAAAAGAUUCAACAUUUUCAUGUUCAUCAUAUUUAGGGUUAGGCUGCUCAACUUAAAAAACAAAUGGAAUGUCAAAAGAAAAAAUGGUGUAUUAAUGACAAAAAAGACAACACCAGGAACAGGAACUGAACGAUGCUUUGACUCACCAGUAAACAGCUUAAAAGAUGUUGGUAGUGAUCGACGUUGAGUUGUUGUAGCAAUGUCAGAUUUCUUUGAUAAGUAAAGACCUGGAUCAAUGAUGAUAGGUUUUGCUCUUUGGUUCCUGCAAAUAUCAGUUGCAAUCAACAUUAGGUGUAAAUGCUUUCAUACUUCAGUUGAAAGAAGGCCUUUGCUAGAAAUUAAGAAUAUUUGUUUACUCACAAUUUCCAGCCACGAAGCUGUGUAUGUUCAAUGAAAUUGAGAUUUCGGGACAAAUUAGAGAACACAUGAAGCAUAUCUGCAAAAUCAGAGCCUAAAUAAGUCAUCACAUGGCAAAAAGCUACAAAAAUUAUGCAAAGACCCUAUUACUCGCUUUCCUCCCCCCCCCCCCCCCCCCCCAAAAAAAACCUCCUUAAAUAAAUCAAGAAUUUUUCGUUGAACCUCUUUUUUUUUGCCCUAUCUUCCAACCGUAAAAACUGUUCAGAAAAACAUUUCACAGAAGAUGAUGAUGCUAGUAAAUAUUCACCUACUGGUGUAAAUACUCAUAAGAAGGCCAUCAAAAUAGAUGGGACAAAAUAGAUGAGAAUAUAGCUUCUGAAUAGAUACAGCAUGCAGAUAGUUCUAGGGCACCAGCCUGAGGAUACAGAAACCUCAUACUGAGCAUGUCAAGUAUCGAGCAAGACUUGGGCCUCUUUUCUAAAGAAGCACAUACAAAAGACAGCAUUGAGGCAGAAAAUUUAGCAAGAAUCACAAAGGACAACAUGACUAUGGAUUGCCCUAAUCUUCCUCCAAAGCAUUGAAGAGUUAGGGAGAAAAGAUGCAAGACAUCACUGUAUAAUAAUUUCAGUCACUAAAAAUGGGUGAGCUGAAGCAUUGGCAUCAAAGAGAUACUCGUUUCCGGGCAAAGGGAGUUAAACUGAACUUAAUUAUGCUCUUUCCAGAUGACUUUUAAACAAGCAUCACCUUUGUUUCAAUACUAUGAAAUCAUAAUCUAAUGACAAAGAGAUCAAGUUAUUCAGUCUCUGCUCCUUACUAUUUACAUUUUUCUUUCAAUGUCUCCUGCAGGAUGGAACUAUAAUCAGAAAGUCUGGUCGCAUUCAACAGCCUGGACUUUAAGGCUUAGAUUUCUACAUGUAUUCCUGUAACACAUGUAUCUUGUUGCAUCACCUCUAACACAUGUAACACAUGUACACCAGAAAUCUAUGCUUUAUGGCACGGAAUGAGUCAGCAGUCAUGAUGAAGAUUGUCAAAACUACUAAAAUGAGAAACUGAGGUAUCACAGGUACCACAUCCUACAUGCAUCAUGACAUUCCAAGAAUAUAUCAAAGAGGUAGCAUCUCAAACCUGAAUACUAUGAGGACAAAAACAAUUAGAGGAUUGAGAACAGGGGAGUAGAUGUAUAUCUACAUCACUGCUUGUCUGCCACACCUUCUACUACUGUGAUGAAUGGUAAUGUAGCAUAAUUAACAGGGAUUGGAAGACAAAAUGAAGGCUAGACCUCACAUGAGUUUCUUCAGUAGAUAUAGCCAGAUUGUAACACCAAGCUGGUGUUCUUGGUCUUAGGAUCUAAUAAAGUUUAACAAGUGAAAUGAUUACUGACUUUUAGAAAGACUUUACGGCCACUGUGAUCAUUUCUUGACAACUUAAAACUGGAAAGCCUAUACAGUGCUCUAAAUUCUAUUAAAUACAAAGCCAAUGCCAACAAAAGAAGCUUCAUGGAAGAAUGCUAUCACGCAUACAGAUAGAGCUUAGCGCGUACCUAUCUAAUUUACAAAUAAUGAACAUGUAUGUUAAUCCAACAACCAAGUGGACGAAGACAUGAUGCAGCAAGCCAAAGUGCUUUACCAACUGUAUGGUAGAAAAUCACUUCCGCAAACUUAACAGAUGAAAAGUAAAUAACUACUAACAUAUACAUAUAGAUAGAACAUGUCGAGUAGAAUUGAUAGACGGAGAAAGUAAUGUACUAACCAUCUUGAGUCACUACAGGAUAAUCUGAAGCACUCAGAUUUAUAAACCAGUCCCAGUUCUUACUCUCCUUCAAUAAAAUUGCAAUAGCCUGAAGGGUAGAGGCAAUCAUUGUAGGUCCCUUAUAUGUCACCAAAUUCGAUUGUGCCAUAACACGGACAUUUUCAACUUCUUGGAAGGUAGGAUCAUUCUUCACUGAAAUCGUCAAAUCCAACCUCUCUCGAGGUGGAGCUUCAAGAUCCAUAUGCAGAAUAUACUGAUUUCGGGGAUGAUAGACAGCAUCCAAUGUCCUCAACAUCCUUUCACUAUCACCCUUUGUACCUGAUAUAAGAUAGGCAAAUCUUGGUGGCUCUAGGUUGUGAUCCCCAUUUGAUCCAAGUGACCUUCUUAAAUCAUAUUCUAUGAAAAAAUCACUGGAAUCCUCUUCUUUAGCAAAUGAGAUGAUAUCAACUUGCAACUGAUCCACAGCAUAAGAUGACGAAUAGAAGCCAAAUAUUGUCACCGUGAACAAGGUAACGGACACAAGCAAACUCACAAAGAAUGGAAUUUUCCACCUCCUGUCACUAAACAUCCUCCCUGAAUGUGAACCAGCAUUUUUUCUCAUAUUCAGGUAUUGCUCUUUACAAAAAUUCAAAAACAAGUUUUAUAUAUAUAUAUAUAUAUAUAUAUAUAUAUAUAAUUAUCCUCCAAUACAGAGGCCCAACUUUUCCAAUCUUAUCACAGCCAAGAAAUGUAAAGAAUCAAACCAUCGGCUUCAUCUCCUCAAUGAAACACAGCUUUCUCUUAUACUAAACUUAAAGCACAAAACACAGGCCUUAAUGGUGAGGAUACAUAUUCACAAAAACCAUGUCUCUCGAAUUGGGAUGUUCCAAAAGGGAGGCAAAAUGGAUUGAUCAACUAAAGUAUCCCAAAAAUUAAAAAACGGAUAAAGAUAGACAACAAGAAGAAGAAGCUAUUAGUAGAUUGAUUAAUAUACAAGUAUAUAGAGUAGGUACCAAAUGAACAAUACAGAAAUGACCAAAUUUCAAACCUAACAGCUCAAAUUUCCAAUAAGCAAUGAAUUAAAAACCCCCACCUCACAAUCUUCCUCCCGAUCAAAUCCACUUCAAAAUACACAAGAAAAAGAAAAAUGGCAGGUAUUUGGGGAUGAUUAGAAUUGAAGGGGUUUAUAUUGCUUCAAGUGAACAACUAAUACCUUCAGCUUUCUGGGUAGUACCCUGCUUGGAGAAAGACAGAGGGUGCAAAAAGAAAAGCUGAAUCCAGAAGGGAUUUAUCAAAGAUUCAAUUUUUAAGCAAAGAACAUGCCAGGAAAAAUCAAAAAGAAACAGAAUAUAGAGAGAUGCUAAAUCAGGAACCUUAAAGUAGGAACCUUUUUCAUUUGUACAGUGUGGAGCACACAAAAACCAUUUAACUUCUUAACAGAAUUGUACAAAAGUAAGCUGUAUUAAUAGAUUGGAGAAAAGGGUAGACAGCUUACAAUGGAAAAGAACAGCAGAGGAAGAGAGCUAACAAGUUAAAAGUGAAGACUGUUGCUGCAAGAUUCAGGCAUGAAAGAGUGAGAAAAGGGGUUGAGAAGCUGAGAAGGAGAGAGCCAAAAAUAGAGAGAGGGGACCGUACAGGUUGCUUAAAUUGCGGGCAAUAACACCAAUUAAUGAGGCUUGAUUACAGUUUGUAUAAAUAAUGGGAUUCUAUAAGUUGAAUCUAAUGUGAUAAGAUAGUGGAAUUAUAGUGGAUUAAUAACGGGGUCUUUGGAUAAAAUAUUUAGAAUGAGAAAAGAACUGAUUAAUUGAUUAUUGGGAAAACUUUGCUGACACGGAGAUGCAAAUGCCGGUUUUUGGAACUUUCUUUUUCUUCUCUUUUUUCUCGGCUGUUUGAUUUUGAAGUUUGAAUUCUGUUUCCAUUUUUUUUUUUGGGUACAUUUUUGAACUUAAGGAAAUGAGUUUUAUUUAUCAAAUUAAAAGUUCAAUCAAAAGGACGCUGUCAUGCUGAGCUUUGAAUUGUAAUAAAAUUUAAUAAGAUGUUUUGUUACGUGUCAUGACUUUGAGAUACAUUUACACAAAUGGCAAAUACUUGGGUAGAUUGUAAAUCAUAUGGUUCAAAUUCUACUUAUGCAACAAAAUUUAGACGAUAUAAUCUCCAUAAAUAAAGUCUAUCCAAACUUUUGCCUAUACAAAUAUACCACUUUGAUCUAGGUUCCGUUUGAUAAAACUGAAUCUGAAUUCUGAAGUUUGAAUUCUGAAAUCUGAAUACUGAAACAAUUAAUUUGCUGAAUUUUAAGCACUGAAAAAAAUAUAUGAAUGUCUGAAUUUUAAUGCUAAACCUAUUUAUAUUGUUUGAUAAAUAUUUAUAGCUGAAUGCUUAAUAAGUUUAAUUUGAUAAUUUUGCCCUUAUAUCCUUUCAUUCAAAAAAUAAAAUAAAUCUAUGAUUUAAUUAGUUUAAAUUUGUUAGGUAUGAAAAUGACAAUAUUUAUUUUUAAAUCAAAUUAAUAUAAAAGAUGAAAUAUAUUAUAUGAGGAGUAUGGAGAAGAUGUGAAAGUCAUUAAAAAGGGAGAAAGAGAAACUAAAAAUCGUUAGAUAGAGAAUAUUAGGUUAUUUAAUUAAAUAAGAAUUUUGAACAUAAUUAACAAACAAGGGUAGAUUUGGUAGAUAAAAUAAGGUAGUUGAAGUAAUUCUAUUGAUUCUUAUCAAAAUUAAGCAUUCAGUUAGGAUUCUUGUGCUGAAAAAAAUACACACAGGUUCAACACUGCUUAACAAGUUCAGCAAAUUGAUUUUCAUUUAUCAAACAUUCAAAACAUCUGAAUAUCUGAAACAAUUCAGAUUCAGCACUUUUUUAUGUUAUCAAACAGACCCUGAUCUAGACUCUAGGCAUCUCACUUAAGAAGUGCUGAAUUUGGAGGAGCACUACUUAUUAGGGAUGGGCGCGGGUCGGGUACCCGUCCCAUUCAUCAUUUGACUGACCCGACCCAUACUUUGCAGGUCAGUCAUUUUCUGACCCUUAUCCGCCCCGCAUAUCAGUUGGUACCCAAUUAUAGGGUAUUCACGGAGAUAGGGUCGGGUCAGCUGGUACCCGUCCCGUCCCAUUUAUCAUUUAAUUUUUUUUAAAAAAAUUAAUUUAUACCAAUUUAAUUUUAUAUUUUACACAUUUAUGUAAAAUAUAUAAAAUUUUUUUUCUAAAAAAAGGUUUCCCAUCAAGAAACAAACAUGUGAAGAGAAUAUAAGAUAAAGGAAAAAAAUAAAAGAAUUCAAAAUCAAUAAAAGUUUGAAAUAAGUAGCACAAUUUUUAAUAUAUAUGUUCCACAUUAAUUAAACUUUUUUCAAUAAAAUAUAAGAUCAUGGUCUCUACAAAUGAAUCUUGUAAAUAAACUAUAGUCUCUCAUAUUUGUAAUGCAAUUUGUUCAAUAAAAUUACUUAUUUAGUUCUAACUUAUUAUUUUAUAGUGUGUAUAUAAAAAUAAAAAUAAAAAUAAAAUAUAUAUAUACGGGGCGGAUCAGGUACCCGCGGGUUUUUUAUUAUGUGACCCUAACCCGUCCCGCAUCUUAGCGGGUACCCGACCCUCUUUUGACCUGAGCAAAUAAUAAAAAUCGGAUAUCCUAAUUUUCGGAUCGAAUAUGACGGAUUUUCGGGUUAACUGAUAAUUUUGCCCACCCCUACUACCUAUAGUUGAUUAAGACUACCAGCAAAAUUUAAAUGACGUGCAUUGGUCAAUCAACAAUUAAGAUGCGAGCAUAGAUAGGUUCACUAGAGUGAAGAUAUUUCAUUGUUUAGGGCUAUAUCUAAGUUCAAAUCUUAUCACUUUUUCCCACAUGAAAAUAUAAGAGAAAUGACUAGAGUAGUGACAUCACAAACACGUAAUUUUAAAAAUAGUUUUUCUAACAAAUGUCUAUUAAUUCUAUUUAACUUAUCAUGCAUAUAUAUAUGUAUGUAUAUAUAUGUAUGUGUGUGUAUAUAUAUAUGCAUUAACAAAUAUUAUCCAUCUUUACAUUUAUACACUUUUUUUUAACUAAUUCUUAUUUUUUCCAAAACCUAACACAUAAAUUAUAUUUUAACUAAUACUUAAUGGGCAAUCGUUACACAAAACUUUUUAAAAAUUACAUACACGUCUAAAACUUUACGGACUCAUCUAAGAUUUUGAAAGAUUAGCGUUAGUGUCUUAAAGAAAUGUUCAAAAUUGGCGAGGAAGGAAUACUUUGACUUUUUAAAAGUUAGGGAUAAAGCAAUAGACUACUAGUCUACUAAUAGAUUGAGAAAAUUGGUGUUUACCAAUAGUUGGUAAUCUUGAAAAUUACACUCUAUAAUCUUUCUAUUUUCCUUAUAGAAAAUAAGGUAGAAAAUGAGGUACAAGCUAAUUCUAGAUUGGCUUGAGAUUAUAUAUAUAGAGAGAGCCGGCCCCUUGAACUUAUACCAAGAUGUUUUACCCAUCUGUCCUUUUUCUUUUUUUUUUUUUUGUCGAGACGACAGUUUCUUACACUAUUGGGAGGGGGAAGAUCUGUAGAGGUCAUGAGGUAAUUUGGAGGGGAUUGAACCACCACCGGAUCAGACGGGUGCACUACACACCCGUCCGAAUUUUUAAGCAAUGUCGCAUUUAAUUGUGACAAAUUGGUGGGAACCUACCAAGUUUUAAUGCAUUAGUGGUGGCCAUCAAUCCAAAGACUGAUGGUUGUUUUACCCAUCUGUCAUUUACAACUUUACAUAUAUUGAACAACAUUUGCGGUAACUUCCAAAAUUUGGCAGCAGAGGACAAAUACUCCUACAAGAUAACCUGAUGAAGAAUUCUUAUCUACGAAAAGGUUCAAAAAACAUGAUGCCCAAUUUUUAUCGGUAUUCACUAUUUAGGAAUACAAGGGAUUUCAAUUUUCAACAGGUAAUAUGUCGACAUUCUUGCAAACAUGUUUACUUUUCUCUACUAAAACCGGCCCUCAGAAUCUUUUAUUUAAUACCUAAAAGUGGAAAUUUGUGUAGUAGUUUCUUCAUAUUUCCGAUACACUUGCUUGAGAGAGCUCGAAGAGUGAGGGUAAAAUAAAGCCAAAAAACUAGCUUUACAAGAAAAAGAUUUACUAAAAUGGAGCUCGAAGAAUGUAUUGCAUGAGAAAGAUUAACCAUUACUAUAACUGGAUAACUCUUUUUUUUCCUAAGAAUUUACAUUUUAUUUACUUUUUCCGGCGAGAAAUACAUUCUUUUGUGUUAAUAAAAUUUUAAGAUGGCAUAACAUCAUUUUGACCCAAAAAAAGAGAGUACCAAAUAUUGUUUUGUUUCUUAGCUCUUUGUUGGUCUUUUUACCUUUUCUUUUUAGGUUUCUUUUAAGUAGAAUUUUGAAUCCAAAACCUUUUACUUAUAAUCUUUUCCUGUUCACCACCCAACCAAACCCCUCUCUCGCUUUCCUUUUUAGGUUGUCAGUACCCAUUAGAUGUAUAUAUAUCUAUUGUAUGCAGCGCGUAUAUGAAGAAUAUUUCCGCAUUUUAAAUUAAGAUAAUUUUGCAGCUUUUGUAGAUGUUUUAUUUGAACUCUAACAAGUUCAAACAAAACGCAAUCAUGGAACCGAAAAAAAAAGGUGGUUAACUCAAGAUUCUUACAUCAUAUGCAGGAUGUUUUGGUUUAAUAAAUAAGAGAGUAUUUUCUAGUGAUUUAUUCUAUCCCAUGCAAACAGGAACCUGAAUGUUAUUAAGUACUUAUUUACCGUGGUAAUUCUCGUGUAAUUAUUACCAUCUGCAUAUUUGAAGUGUGACGGCAACUCAAUCCCUCCUAGUCAUUUUGAAAAUUUUGGUAGGUGAGAUUAUGGUUUUACACACCUUAUUACAGUGUCGAAUUCGGUAAUACAAAAAAUUAAUUACUAUUAGUUAAUAAAAUUGUGUCUAAUUGUUGUAGUUAUUACAGAAUUUGAUCUAUGGUCACAUGAAUUGUCGUUAUUUCCUUUUUUUCAAAAAAAAAAUCAGUGUAAAGAAACAAAAUUGGAAUGUUCAACAAGCUAAUAACCAAAUCAAGUAAGAAAUGUGAUAAAGGCACCUAAUUGCAAACAGAUGAUAGUGACAGCAGACACAACGUCUGAUUUUCUUCCAACAAUAAAUAAUUAAAAUGAAUAAAGAAAUGGAUUUCUGUACCCAAAUGAUAGUGAAAGAAUAAAAAACUUAAAGAUUAUUAUGUUGAAAGACAUACAAACCUUGAUUCUUAAUCAACUUUGCAACCAUGCUUAACUCACAAACCUUGGUGUUAAAGUUCAAGUUUCUUGAAUUCAAACAUUGUACUAAUGGUAAUCCUUGAAAAUUUUUUGUUUUUUGGCUCUAUUAAUGUUUUCUAAAACAUGGCUACUCUUAAUCAAUAAUGGUCCUCAUUUAGAAAUUUAUUUACCCCAUUUAUUAUUCAAAAAUAUGCUCUUAAUAUAUCCUAAAUUAGUAAAAUAAACCAAAACCUCCACUGUCCUUGAGAUAAAAUAAGUAAAAUAAAUUAGCAUGUUGGUAACUUGAAAUAAGAACAUAAAGAUGGCAUUAGGAACAAAUCUGUAUUCUGCAUUCUUUUUCCUUCUUUUGUAUCUUUAUGAUGCAAAGUGUAAAGUUUGCAACUCACAUUUGGCAAUGGAACGAAAAACAAAAAAAGGGCUUCGUUGAUUAGCAACGUACCAAGAGAAGACGAAAAAGAAUUGAAUUAUUAAAAAGGAAGCAAACAAAAUUGCAUUAGCCGUAGAAAUCAAAACUCUUGAGAUGUUCAUCCCGUAUUCAUUGCCAUAUGUGACGUUGAUGUGUUCUAUAAAUCUAGAAUAUGGUUGAUUUUUCUUUUGUUAUUCAAAGUCUAUAUUUUGUAAUAUUUUAUGUUAUUUGCAAAAAUUAAAUAGUUGAUGCUAGUAAUUAAUCUUUCAUCUACAAGCACAUAGUCCUUAUUCAUACAUGAUAAGCACAUAAAUAAUAAAGAAGACUAAAUAAGGAAACAUUAAGUAGUUGUUUUUAGAUUUUGAUAAACCAUCUAGGGACAUAAAUAGAAGUGGAAUAGAUAAAUUGUUCAAUUUGUUUAAGGGAAAAGUUAAUCACACUUCACUUUUUGUUAACCGAUAUUCUCAUAAUUUGUUUUAUUAUAUGGUCUAAUAAAUAAAAAUUUUAUGAAAGUAUGAUUUACAAAAAUUGGAACGCGAUUAACAUUUUUCUUUGUUUAAAUAUACAUACUAAUGACAGAUAUCAUCAGCAAAAUAGCUUUACUCUUUUUUUGAAGGAUAUUUUCUGUCUCAAUUUUUUACAUUAGUUGGUACCUUUUUUUUUAUGGGCGCAUUAGUUGGUACUUGGUAAUCGCUUGUUAGCUUAAUUUUUAUUUUGUUUUUGAACCAUGAUUCAUCAUUCAUAAAUGAGGAGAAUAAAACGGGCAAGCACUUGAGCUAGCUCAGCCUUUUGACAUCUGUUUGGGUUGGGUUUGUUCUGCCAUUUAGGCCCAGGUGACAUGUUGGUUGGAAAGGAUACCCAAUUAAAUCUGUCCAGAUCCGACACAGACUAUCAGUGUUGGUCUAUUAUUUAGGAGUGGGGUGGGUGAGGAGAGAUUAAAAGCCUUCAUUUAGUGGGCAAAUUAAUUACAUGACUAUGUCAAUGGGGUCGGAUUAGUCGGAACUUGACUUAUUCGACCCAAAAAAAAGUUCGAUAAGCCUAACUUUUUAUUGAGUUGGGCUUUUUUUGGACCUGAAUAUUAGACCUAAAUUAGAUAUGAGAUAAACUUGGGCUUUAUUGGGCUCAAAUUUGAUAUAGGUCCAACCCUUUAAUUAGCAUAUAUAUAUAUAAUAUAUUCAUAUAUUUAUAGAUCAUACUGAUAUUUUAUAUUUAUAAGUUAUGUGUAAAAAUAUAUUAAUAUAUAUAAGAAAUAUUAAAUAUACCAAACUAUGUCAAAACAUUCGGAAGGACAAAUCUUAGUACAAGCAAAUUAAGAACAUUUGAAUAUAUAUUGACUAUUGAUUAUGUUUUAUUACUUGUUUCCAUGUACUUUGAACUAAUUAGAUGUAUUAUCUAUGAAAAAAUUUUGGUUUAUAUAUUUUUUUAAUGAAUUAUUACUGGUUCAUGUAUCUUUUUAAUGUUAUGGUUAUGUGGACGUUAAAUUAACUUUGCAACAUAAUAGUUAUAGUAAUUAUAUUAAGAAAAUUAAGGGGCAAUAAGUGAACUUGAGCUAAACCCGAAUUAGACUCGCACCCCAAAUAUUUUGUGAGCCAAACAUAAGUUUCAUAUUUAUUAACUCGAAAUUCAUAAAUCGAAACUCGAAAAUAAUACUACCUACAUGAGUAGUCGAGUCAAGUUGAAUUGGUUAAAACUCGACUUAGAUGGCUCAAUUGACAGUUUUACAUGAUUGUAACAUUUCCGGUUCAUUUCUUCACGCUUAAGAGUGCCUCUCCGCUGUUUCCUUGUAAAGUUUGGAGUUUUCUUGAACACCAAAAAAUAAAAUAAAAUAAGAUCAAUAAAUGCAUUUUCUUAGUAAAGUUCUCAAAUUUUGCCCAAAAAAGGUUCUCAAAUGUCAGCAAGUAUCAUCCUAAGAGGAGCUAUAGCCACGGUAAAUUGUAUAAUCGUGUAAUUCAGGGGGAAAACGUGAAUGCAAAUGAAUUGAUUUACUUUUGUUUUUUUAUACAGGAGAAAUUUUUUUCACAAAUAUUAAGAUUUAUGUUUUUAACUCGAAUUGCAUUAUGCAUAGUUUCAUGUCUUGCUGUAUUUAUGAAAAGCAAAAGAAAAUUGAAGUAGUGUUCUUAUUUGUUAAUAUUGCUUGCUACCUAUAUGAUCAUAUGUCACUAAAUUUUAUGAAAAAACGUGUUGACAUCCGUGAUUGGUUUAGUUUGCAACAUUAGAAUGUAAUACACUCAAACUGUCACGACUUUACAGAGGAAUUGUAGUAAAAAUAGUUGUCAACACAACCGUUUUCAAAUAAUUGUAAACAUUUUUCAUGUACAUAUUUUUCAAUCACCUUUUUACCUCGUAUAUAUCAAAUCGCUGCAUAAUUUUUUUUAAAAAAAUCCAAAAAAAUGUAAUCCAAACAAUUGUCACAAUAACUUGUGUAAUUUUAGAACACUAUUCAUUUUAAAAGGCAGUACAUGUAAGUUUUUUUUCUACCAUUAGCAGUAAAAACACACACACAUCCUCUAAUUAGAACGACGCAGAAGGCAUCAGUAAAACCAGCCCGAAAGCAAUCUAAGGGGAUACACAAAGAGAUCGGAUCCAGUUAAUUGAUAACAGGACCGUACUCUUGUAGACCUUAAACCCAAAAUAACUACCUACGAUUUUCAAAGAGCCCGAAAGCAGUACAUGUAAGUGACCUCAAAAUUAUGGGGUAUGCUUUGCAGUUUUGCUUUGUUGACUAAAUCUUGAUUUUUAGUAGCUAAGCAGCUGUUAUUGUCGCUGGUCAAUAAUUGAGAGGGUAGAAUAAGGAACCGUAGAACAUGCCUUAAUAAUUCUUAUUGGGAUUAAACAAGUGAUUUGAAGAAUUCACUGACAUAAUUUGCAGAUAAAUACAGUUGACUUUUUAGUUGUAGGAUGGUAGCCGUUAGGCUUUAUAGGACGGGGAAAAACUGAAAAGCAUCGAAACGACGGCCAACAUGAUAGUCUACCUAAGGGCUAUGUUGAAUCUUGACCGUACAAAAGUAUGAUCAGAUUUCUGAUUGCUAGUUAGUUGCUGACAAGUGGAGGUAUCUUGUGAAUUGUGAAAACAAAAUUAAAGUGACACCUACUUUCUAGGCUCUUUGGACUGGGGGAGAUUCCAUGGCGACAAAGGUGUGUUUGAACAGGAGUUUUGGGUGAAUAACCACCAGAAAGGACUAAAUCACUCUUUGACCUGCAAGUCAUGGUUCGAACUCCACCUCCAGUAGAAAAAAUUCAAGUGAUAUGCUAGAGCGCCAUUUUGAUCUAUCUAUAUAUCUGCUAGUACUUUACACAUGUUUUAUUUGAAAUAUUAUUCAAAUUAAUUAUUAUAACGUUUUGUUAUAAUAUGAUGUAUAUGAGAUAAAAAUAUAAUUAAAAAGAUAAAAAUGUAUAUUAAAAAUAUUUUUGUGAUGUAAGUAAAUAAUUUUUUUCUAGAAAUCAUUCCUAUCCAAACACACCCAAACCUGUUAAGAGCGUCUCGGUUGGUUUAUUUUUGAGAAAAGUGUAAUUAAUUUAAAAAAGAGUGGGGGUGGGAAUUAGGGCUGCAAAUGAGUCGAGUCGAGUAGAGUUUUGUACUUAUCAAAUCGAGUUUGACUUAAUAACAGGUAGACUUGAGUUCGAGAAGCCAAGAAAAUUGAGUUCGAGCUCGACUCGACCAAGGAAAAGCCAGACAUGAGCUCGAGUCGACAAAGCUUGCGAGCUGUAGCUCGAUUUUUGGCUUGUCAGCUCGUAACAUAGAUUGAAUUUCUGACUUGUGAGUAGCUCAUUAACUCGAGUUUCUGAAAAUUAAUCUAAUAAAAACAGCAAAUAAUUAUUUUUCUUAAUAAAUAAUAAAAUAUUAAGAAUAUAUAUAUGUAAUUUUACUAUUAAAAUAAAAAAUUAAUAUAUAUAUAUAUAUAUAUACUCGACCUUGCAAGUCGGUUCGCGAGCUAAUGAACUUAAUAUUUUGAGUUCGAGUUCGAUUUGGCCAACUCGAGCUCGAUUCGAGUUCAAUAUUGAUCGAACUCGAAUUGGCUCGCGAACGGUUCGGUUCAUUUGCAACCCUAUCACAAAUGGUUCGGCUCGUUUGUAACUCUAGUGGAAACGAAUGAGUUGGAUGAUAGAGGAAAAGAGACUAUAAGUAAGAUAUUUCAAAUUCGAAACCUACUACUUAAAAGAAAAAAUUGACAAAGAAUGUGAAUACAGGAUACAAUAAUUAUAAUCGUGUGUAUUUACAUGAUAAAUUAAGCAUAAAUUCAGUGACACGUAACUACAAACCUUGUAGAAUAUGUAGGAAACCAGAAUACUAAUGAUUAGUCAUAUCAUGCUAGGAAAAAAGUACUAAAAGAUUAGACUGAUUAGAGCUAACUUGAGCCAAUUGAACGUAAAGCCAACUAUUUAACAGGAGAACGUACUACUUUAUACCAAUAUUUAUCAUUCUUCAUUUACAGUUAUGCCAAUCUUUUCCCUUUUCUGAACUCAAAGAAACUCCUGCGCUCUACUAGACUACUGCUUGUGCUGUAACUGUAAAUUCUUAAAUAGGAAGCGUGGUCUUCACCAUUAGAUCCUGGGUAGGUCAGUAAAGAAACUUCAAGCCCUUUGCAUAGGUGACCGUUUUGGUCUUCAUGAAAAUACUGUUUUACAAAAAUUAUUCAAAACAUACUUUUAAAGGACAUGGUCAAAGAAAUAGAGCCAUCUGUAUCCCUGGUUAAAUAAUGUCGUACGUGGUAGGAAAAUGCCAAAUUGGACAAAGAUUUCCAGCCGAUUUCUUUUAGCCAUAAUCAACAUUUAGCUUUGUUUCUUCUGUUCAUAGUCAUGCAGCAGAGCAAGUAGAUCACUAGUUGUCUUAAUUUUUUCUUGAUGAAGUCCACACCUACUUCCUUUUUCCCAUGUUUAACGUCUACAAUCCUGAAAACAGUAGAAAAGAUGGUGCAAUACUGUAAAUUGUGAUCAAUGUUGUGCUAAAGGAGCUUGUUUGAGUUAAAAAAGAAAAAGAAAAAAAAAGACAGGUUGUUUGAGUUCACGGGCAUUAGGAUCUCAAUAUUGGCGGACUAGGGUCUUUGUGACAAAUACAGUUCGAAAGAAUUACUCUCUCCGUCCUAUUAUUAAUGUCAUGUUUUCACUUGAUGUUUCAAAUAAGAGUUACCAUUUUAAAAUUAACACAUUACUUUUCAAUCUUAUUAUUUAAAAAAGUAACUUUUUAAAAUUUCAAUUCACAUCUAACUAGAGGAUAUUUUGAAUUCAAAGAAUACGUAUGUAAAUUCACUGCUACCGUCUCAUCUGGAUAUAAUGAUUGCUGUGUUUCUAUAAAAAGUUGAAUUUUCAAAAAAUGACUCUAAUAUUGGGACAAAGGAAGUAUACCUUAGUUUCCUCAAAAAUUAUGGGGUGGCUUGCUUCUAUGAGGAUAAGUUUACAAGUUGUCUAUGAUAAAAAAUUCUAAAAUCUCUCAGUGGUCAGGUAACUAAGUGAUCACCAGUUGGGAUUGUAGAUUAUUGUCAUACCAAAGUAACCAAGGGCCAGUGAAGAGCUUUUAGAAUCUUCUCCACCGGGACGCUAUCAGGUUUAGAAUUCGAAUUUUAUGUCUGAUAAUUAGAGGUGGGAGGCGUGGAAGGGUAAAAAAAAAAAAAAAGUAAUCAAUGACCAUGAUCGCCAUGAACGGUUAAGGGGGCAAAAAAUCUGGCGAAAAUCUGAGAUUUUGGACAUAAUCAAUAGUCAUUCUCAAACCUCAAAGAAACUGGAUGCACAUACAUAUUUAAUUACUUCUUAAUUGUCCUAAGAAAUGACCAUUGAUGUAGCCACCAUAUCACUUUAAUAAUAUCUGCAUGGAUGAUUUUUCUCUAAACCUUCUAUUAAUUCCUCGACUAUAUAUUUUAAUCAAUUUACUAACUUCUUUUCUUACAAUUCACAUGUAUAUACAAGUCCUGUAUUGACAAUUCACAAGUAAAUAUAUGAGUUAAGUCCUUCUUCUGCAUUGACAAUUCACAAAUAAAUAUAAGUUCUUCUCAAAUUAACCAUCCAUCUGGGCUGAAGCAAAAUUAUAAGAUUCCUCGUGGAAAAUUUUAAUUGCCACUUGUCUGGUUAAUUUAUAUUAGUGAACAUUUUCAACUCCCUAACCAUACGUGGAUUAAUCAAAUCAACGUUGUAAUAUAAUAAUUUAGAAAGGAAAGAAGAAACGUCAUGCUAUAGGUAAUAUCAAUAGUCUUUUUUUUUGGGUGUCUUCUCCCAAAUGUUACCACGACAAAUCACAUCUAAUCUAAAUUUGGAAAGCCAGAUAUAUAUAUAGGUAUAUAUAUACAUGCUUAGCAAAUAUAUUAUAGGCAAUUAGGCAUUACUAAUAAUCUAUGAUAAAUGGCAAAUUUUCUAGACCAAAACUUGAGGUUUAUUCGGCUGUUUUAGGUGUGAGUUGGUAAGGAAAGUGAACUAGACAUUUGAGAUGUCAUGUUCAAACUUCAAAGCUCCAUCCCAUUCUAUCCAAGACAUAUAACGCUUGAAGCAUCUCGAGCACCGUCCUUGAUUUUUUCAACUACAUUAAUCUGCUGUCAGACACAAGAUUCGAAUCUUGAAUCUAAUAGCGAGAAAGAAUCUUUCUCUGACUAUUAGACUGAACAUUAAUCCAUUUAGUUAAAACAACUGAAAUUAGUUUUAUUUUUCAAGAUAAAUGUCAAAUUUUGUUCAAUUAUUAUCGUCGAAUGAAUUAGGCAUUAUAUUCAUCUUUUCUUAAUCCAUCACAAGCUUUGGAUUAGUCCUUAUCGAAAGAUACAAAGAGAAAAAAAUGAUUUAUGAAAUUGGAAGGAAAUAAUAUUGUAACACGCUAAUCCACUAUUUAUUACAUAAGCUUGAACAAGUUGAGUGACUAGAGUAGUAAGUAUUACAUCAAGUUUUUCCUUCUCCCUUCCAUGGUUGAAAAGAACCAAAUAAUAAUGAUGGAAGAGUUUUAACUUUAAAGGUGAAUCUGAGCCAAACGCUGCUUGAAGGCUGAAGCUGCUACUUUUCGCACUUCAAAAAAACAUAUCGAAUGACAGAAACCUGUUAAAAGAUAAAAAGCUGAACAAGGGGAACAUGCAAGCGGCCCUGCCGACAAAGUCGAGUAAGCAGCAGAACACGUACUUCGCUUUUAUAUGUUCCUCCUACCUGUCUUGGUUCAAUCAUAUUCUUAAAUGAUAAAAAAGUAGAAAUUCUUAAAUGAUAAAAAAGUAGAAGCAGCAGGUGUCUGUGAAGAGACAUUCGUUUGAAUCUUGUGGCAGUUUAAUCUUCUCCCAUUCUCUUUGACUUUCUUUGAUUUACUUCUUCUCCUUAGAUAACUUUGUAAUUUUUUUUUUUGAAGGAAUCAAAAUUAGUCUUCAAAUAUUUAAAGAAAAUUUUCAAUUUUUUUGUUACAAAUGGUAAAAACUAUAGCACCCUACUCUAAAGGGGUGAAAGAAAUCUAAAUGGAUUAUGUAAGAUAUUGAAGAAAAAGACCUAUCUAAAUUAGAACAAUGCAGUGAUGCACCCUCUAGAUUAUUUUAGCGGUGGAGUGAGAAGUUUGAACUCCUGACAAACAUAUUCAUUUAUGAUGUAAGUCGCUCAAAUUUUAAGAACUUUCAUUAAGGGCGUGGAUUCAUUCCAUAAGCCCAACAAUUUUAUCCUUGUUCAGCUUUGUUAGUUUUUUGAGAUAAUUUCAAAAACCUCUACUUAGAUUUUUGAUAGUAUCAUUUAACGCUCUCAAACUUUAAAAAAAUAUCGCUUGUCUCCUCUAGUUUAAACUUUUUAUAACAUUUGUAACUAUUUCGAAAUAUAAAAUUGAAAAAAAAAAACUCAUUACGGGAAAGAAAAUAUAAUCUCACUCCAAAUUUGUCCUUUUCUUGUGGUCUCUUAAUUGUCAUAAUAUGUCACUUUCAUUUUCUUUGUAAGCUUGGUCGAUAUGAUUUUUUAAUGAAAAUUUAAAAGUUGAUAAUGGGGUUGAGAGGCACUUUUAAUAUAUUUUUUUAUCAUUUGUUUGGAUAAGAAAUACUAAAAUUUUUGAAAUUAUAAAUACUUUACAUUGCUUAUAAAAAUAACUUGAAAUGUGUUACAAUAAUGAAAAUAAAUUUUGGCACCAACUUGAAAAUAUCAUAAACAAGUUUGUAUAUGGUUUUUCGCAUUUUAUAUUUUUCUAGUUUUGAAGUAUUUAUAAAAUCCCUUAAAUUAGCUCAAAACAUUUUAUAGUAAUGAAAAUAAUGCUUUUGUAAUUUGCAAAAACCUCAAUUAACUUUCAAGCAUAAACUAUUUUGUAUAUUAAAAAAAUAAUUGCUGCUAUAUUUUAUCCCAUCAGAUUUAAACCUCCAUGCUCUUUGUUUUUGGUUUCAAAUUAUUAUCAAUAUACUCAGGUUUUGUACCAAAGAGUAAGACAAUAAAUUGAUAAAAUUCGAAUGAGAUUAUAUUCUCUCUUCUAAAAUGAGUUUUUUAAUAUUAUAUUUUGAAAUAGGUUGAGAAUGUUCCAAAAAGUUUAAAGUAGGGAUAGCAGGUCGUAUUUUUCAAAGUUUGGAGGUACUCAAUAAUACUGUUAGACAUCUUAAAGGAGGUUUUUGAAAUCAUCCCUAGUUUUUUUUUUCUUCCCUUGAACUUUGAUACUUUAUAUUGGGAGUUAGCUUGAAAUUUUAGAUUAUAUUUUGCCUUGUUUGGGAUUCUAGCUAUAAUAUUUGCCUUCUUUGGUAUUCUGGCUAUCUUUUUCAGUACUUUCAUGUUUUGGGUGCUAAGUUCCUACUAAAUACGUUGAAAACCAGCAAGCUGUUGGAUUAGGUGAUCGUGAUAGAUGGAGAUGUAAUUUUUUUUUUUCUCGUAGUUGCACUUAUAGGUGAAGUCCAAGCAUUAGUACCUUGGAGUCGACAGCUGCCUAAAACGAAAAGUAAAAACAUGCAUACAGAUGGAGAAAGCUCAACGAACAUAACAUACACUAAUAAUCAUUUUAGGGUGAAGACUAAGAAAUAUAUCCUCUUUUGCUCUCUUAUUCAACUCGAAUUAGGCAGUCAAACCCACGAAGCUUUCAUUGGUAAUUAGUGGUAUGAUAAAUUUUUAUGCAUCAACUUGGAGGGUGGUUUUAACGCAUUAUUUGUCGCGCUUCCAAUGUGCCAUUGACCAAUAUAAUUAUCUCGUAGAGGCUCAAAAUUUUAAUCCAUGAUUAAGAUUUAAUUAUCCUAACAAAAAAAUUUAAUUACACUAUCACCAUCACAAUUUUAACUUGUCGAAAUUCAAUUGCGAAACACGAAUUCUUUUUAUUUUUUUUUAAGUAUGACUAGAAGCAACUCUUUUUUUUUUUUUUUUUAGGGUUUUCCGCAGGGAGUGGAUCCCGCAGACUAAUCCCCUGCCCCCUGCAACUUGCUGGCAACUCACACAAAUGAGUUCUCAGUACAGUACAAUUCAAUAACAUUACAAUCCAUAAUUCAUAAAUAAUGGGAUACAGUUAUUGAUAAACUCGCGUCGGUCAGCUGUGACGAAACAUAAAAUUCUAUGGGCAAAGACAAAGUUUUUCUAACCAAUAAAAAGAAUCAAGAGUGCAUUAUCAAACCAUGAACUCAUGAGUUCAAAAAUUACUUUCAAUCUAAUUCUCAAACCUUGAAAUCUAAUUUAAGGGUUCAAACUUCAAAAUGCAAUUUUCUUGUUCUCAUAGGUCCUAUAAUGUGCUAAAAGAAACAGUAUCAAUAUAUAGCUUGUUUUUUUUUUGAUGUAGAAGCUUUGUUUGAGAUGCUCUUGUCAUUUAAAGGUUGUUAUAUUUAGCCUGAAAUAAAGGAGAAUAGAUAGACAUCAGCAUUACAAAGUCUAGCAGGAUGUUGGAUUCUAGUGUGAAGAGAGGAACUUUAGUCAUUGUAAGACAAAAUGAAUUAGGUGGAGAAAGUGGGGGGAAUAGAUACUUUGUAAAGUUACUUGCAAGAACAUUAUAGCAUGAAAAAAAGCUAGGUCAAUAAUAAUGGUUAUCUAAUUCAAAAUGGUAGGCCAACUGUCGAGCUGAAAAAAUUGGUUGGUUUUCAAGAAGAAUCCAAUGUAUAAUUCCUGUGUCUGCAAGUAUUUUAAGACUGCUGCUUCACGCUUGGAGUUUGGAAAUUGAAAUAGCAGUCAACAAGAGAACAUCCUCGCGUGGAAUUAAAUGCCGAAAUUGCUAAGUCAACCCGGAUUUUCCAAUGUUUUUCCACAAUGCAGCCAAUAAUAUAUUUUCAUGCAUGACUAGAUUUUAUUGUAAAUAUAGGAAUAUGUCCUUUUUUUAAAAAAAAAAAUUGUAAAGAAUUGAAGGAUGGGAUAUACUUAGCCAAAAAUAGAUUUCGUGACAAGGAAUGAAUCGAAAAAUCAAGAACGUUUUCAAUAAAAAGAUCAACUCGCGCUCACUGAAACAAUUGACUUUUCGACGAUCCAAAGGAAAAUAAAUUCCGUGAUGUGAUUGAAUUCUUAUCACACAAUCAUUGUGACUACAUUCCCACAACAAAUAUCUCAAAGUUCUAGCUAUAUUAGCCUUUUAAUUAGUUACGUAUUGAAAACAUGAAUAUCUUGCUUAGCUUGUGAACGUAAUUUUCUCUCAAACUUUUAUUUUUUUUUAAUUUUUCCAAAAGCAGUAGUAAUAUUUGCUAGGGCUUUAAAUAGUCUUGCAGGCAUGCAGUUGGACAUCUUAAGCCUGUCACUGUUACAAAACCAUCCAAAUUUAUGCUGGUUUUGAACUUUGAAGCCAUAGUAAAUCGAGAGACAUGCUGUUUAUAUUUCGUUAACUUUGAUAAUACUUCAACACUUUCAAUUCAGUAUCUUCUCUAUAAUUAAUGUUCCAGAUUCAGUAACCAGAAGAGAAAUAUGCUACUUUUGAGUAAUCUGUACAUGUCUGAACAUCAAUGACCAAAACCAUACUUCAUUCAUUAUUUGCAUCUGGCAGGGAUCAUAUACUGGUUUACAAAGCACAAAACUGAGAAUAUAGAUCUUGCCAUAUAGCAUAUCAAUUACAGUGUAACAUCUGUUCUGAGAAUCUCUCUCUCUCUCUCUCUCUAUAUAUAUAUAUCUAUAAAUAUAUGCGUGUUGCAAGUUGACCAGCAUGAUAAGAGAAAUGCCAUACAUGAUAGAGCCCACAACUCGAGCCAACUUAGAAAACAAAAAAAAUACUACCCUCCAGACAACUUGAACUCUGAAACCACCAGCCUAUUCUAUCACUAUCUGACCCUUGUCACAUUCACAAACACCACAAAGCCUGGAUUUUGCACAUAGCUGGACAGCAUUGAAGCCUUGAAACAUGUUUGCUCAGAACUCAAGAGCCAAGAGUAAAGAGUACUUUCAGCUUCAAGCAGCAAGCUUUUAGUUCACAAAUUCUUCUGGGAUAUUCUUUGAUUAUGGACUUUCAUGUUAAAGAUUACGUAUCUAGUUGGGAAGUAGCAUAGUUUGGUUCAUGGCCUUGCGUUAUGGCGGCGCACGCUACUGGGAAAAUGAUUAAAAGAUGCAAAGCGAAAGUAAAGCAACUUGACUCUGCCCCUGAGGAAGAGAACCACAUGAAAGAAAGAACAUUAGUUAAAAAAACAAAAGGGAUGGUUGUCCUGAAUCCUGAGGUGUUCAUGGUUGGCGGGUGGGAGAAAAAUAUUGCAUACAUUACAUACAUGCCAAAGCCUUAAUCUGUACUAUUGAAUCAAGCAAAUGUGGUCUCACUUUUCUGCUCAAACAGGCUAAUACAAAUAAAAGUUAAGCGCCGCAGAAUAUUACCUAAGUUCUCUCUAGCAGGUGACUAGACAGUAGACAUUGAGCCUCAAAAGAGAUGAGGAGGCUAAGUGUAGAGCACAUGAGAUCACAAACAUGCAAGAAUCAAAAAUGUGGUAUGAUUUACACAAAAAGAGGCCACCAUCAGAGUAAACAUAUAAAAACCAAAUCUACGUAUCAUAUACUAAAUUACACUUUCAUUGAGCUAUGGCAUUAUAGCCCCCAUAUAUAUAUAUCAGCAGUUAUAAACUAUAGUCGGCUCAAUCUGCUGGAAAGACGAGACACCUUCACAUGGCAAUCAACACUUUGGUCUCUGUGAGAGCUACUGCAGCAUGUAUGUUUUGUUAUGCGCAAACUCAUCAUGCCUGAUACGUUGUAGUCUAAAUAAAAGUGUCAAAAUAAAAAUAUAGUAUUAACUCAGACUUUGCCUAUAGAAAUAUCGAGAUCAUGAACAAGUCAAAAACACCUUUGAAUAAUUGACUACCACAGUAGUUGAUAUGAUUUCCCUGAGUAGAACCAGCCUUGGAUUGGUAAGGAAAAUGUACAGUUACCAAACGGACAUGUUUGCCUUAUUAGUCCUGCAACUUUUUAGAAGGGUUAAUGGUUCUUGCAGAAAAGGAAAUUCUCCUUUCCACCCAUACUGAAAGUGGAGAAGUUUUUCUACUCGUUUGUUGAUUGUUCUCCUUUUGUGGAAACCAAAAAGAAGCACUGAAAAAACAAUUCCACCAUAUCAUGUCAUGUCGCAAUGGAUGAUAUAUAGCUCAUGAAACGCUUAAUUAGGAGAAAUGCACUUUGCACUAUUGUAUUCCAAAGGACAGCAAAAAAUCACAAGCCAAAAAUAGAACGCAUUCAAGUAAAGAGGCAAGAGUGUAAGGGCAAAAAGUUGCUAUACUAUAAAGAAAAUGGUGUACUUAAUUGCCUCUGCGUUUGAAUGAAGCAUUUAUAGGCUGGAAAAAACACUUAAUAUAUAUUCUCUUCCUACAUAAUUCAUCCACAUCAGUUGAGGGCAAUCAUUUCUACCAUCAUUAUUGAGCUUAAAAAAUAUGAAAUAAUUGAUGAAACCCUCAACUAGAAGAAUCUUUUCAACUAAAAUAUGACAAAUUACAUCAAACAUAGAGCUACUAAGUUGUCCAUUACCAAUCACGCCAAAAAAAAAAAAAUAGCCUUCCAAGGCUAAGCAUGCAACAUAUAUCACCAUCACAUAGAAUAAAGCUCUGAAUACCAAAAUAAAAACAAAGUACCUAAAGCCAUAUCUACUCGUCUAGGCAAACACCAUUUUCAAGCAUCCUCCCUCAGGGCCAUGACUAAACUUUAUGCUACUUGCUUAUUUCCUAUAGUCCUUUUCCCCUCCCCAUUGUGAUUUGCGACCGUGCUACGGUGCGGAUCAACUAGCUGAUGAUUUUGGGAUUUCUGUCCCGUGGUUUUUUGAUUCUAUCAGUACCCAACUCUGUCCCUACACCACACAUAUUAUAGUACUAGUACAUAGACAACUAAAAUUUUUUACUGUACAACAGUAAAAGAAUCACAGAAAACCAUCAUGUAUACAGUGCCUUUUUUAACCGUUUAACUUCUCCUCCAAAGUACAGUAAAAAUACUACUACAAUACCACACUUCAAAAUUCAAAGACAAAAAGUGCAAUUCUCAAAAAAAACCUCGUCCUCCCCACCACACCCUGAAACUCACUGGAUUUUCCCCACUUCUGCAUACCUUCCAAGUUCCACCCACACAGGUCCCCAACCCCAUUUAAUCCCUGGUCGUCAUGCAAGACUGCAACUUUUACUAGUUCUCCAACCAAAUCUUUCCUUCUUCUCCAAAGCCAAAACACUCUGCUCCGUCUAGAAAACAAGAAAACUGGCCUUUAAUGCAAACAUGAAACAGAAACACCCCUCUAUCCUGCCAUCCAAUCCCACAGAAGCCCACCCCCAAAAAAAAAUCCCCAUCCCCCAAAUCCCACAAAGUGUAUAAAGAAAACAGUAGUGUGAAAAAAAAAGGCCAAUUUGUACAAGCUAUAGACAACUCAUUCACUACUCAAUGUUCACUUCCCUUUUCUGUGGCUCUCACCAACCAAUCCACCGCAGAAGGAAAAUAUAUCCACAUCUAAUCAUAUAUCCUACGCUGCCUAAAGACGAAAAAAAUAAAGAAAUAAAACCCACUAUAAAAAAAGGGUAAGAAAAGAAAACAGAAAACCAAAUUCUCUCUCACACACUGAAAAUCACACACAUUAGCUAGUAUUACUACUACCAUCUGCCUAUAUAGCGGCACACACACAUCACACGCUCUUCCUUUUCAACGCUCUCUCCUCUUCACCAGAUCUCUCGGACUUAUUCUUCCUUGGAGAUGCGUGCUCUUUGAGCAGAUUUUCCCCAAAACCCCCCAAAACUCCCCAGCCCAUAACCGCUUCUGGCUCCUUCUCCUCCCCAUUGAAAUCCAUCCACAACCAAAAGCAUCCAUUUUUAUGUAAUAUACACUCAUGUAUGACGCAAGUGGUUGAGAACCCAUUUGUUUUUUUCCUUCUUUUUUUGUUGUUUUCUCACCGUUUCGCCCCGAUUUUCUGAUCCAAAGCCCUGUUUUUUCUUGUUUAUUUUUUGUGUAACAGAGCUUUGUGUUCUUGAUAAGAGUUCUUGGAAAUGGAGGAUACUGCUAAUGCUAAUACGAUGAAGAUGAGGUUGUUUAGUGAAGAAGAGGUGAGGGAUAUUAGCGGGUUGAAAAGGGGCUGCGGCGGUAGCCGUGGCGGUAGCGAUGGCGAUGAUUACGUAGAGGUGACGUGUGGCUGCACCAGCCACCGAUAUGGGGAUGCUGUAGGUCGACUUAGGGUUUUCUCUUCUGGUUUUCUUGAAAUCACCUGUGAAUGCACCCCUGGUUGUCAGGAAGGUCUCUCCCUUCAAUCCAUCCUCCCAUCCUUCCUUGGCUCUCUUGGACAUAUACUCUUAUGUACAGCAUAGGAGUUUAUAUCUUGACCUCAUAUGCGAUAUGGGAUUUUUUUGAAUGCAUGCAAUAUAGGUGUUUUUGUGCGUAAAUUGUAUAAAGGGAUCUGUUUUAUUCACUGUUUUACGCCAUACAAUGGAUGGUUGUACUGGGAUUUUGUAGAUGUUGUGUAUGUUGAUUUGUCUAGGAGAGGUUGAGUUUUGAUCAGUUAUCUUAGUUCAGUAUCAGACUCUUUGAGUCCCUUCUUUGGUGGUGUUCGUCUGUUCAGGUUUGGACCGAAAGAUGGUAAAUUUUUGUUGUUUGUUAGGAUGAAUAUUACAGUGAGAACGAUGUUGACGGUAAGGAAACAACCUACAUUGUAUUUGUUUACGUGAUAAUGGUUGUAUUUGAGCUAUUUUUCAUGUGAAGUGUGGAUUUUUUUGAGGCAGAGUUCUGUUCUUGCUGUCUGAACAAUGCGGUGGUGGAAUGUUCAUGUAUACUUUUAGUGGGAGGGGUUUUACUUAAUUUUGGUUCAUGAUUGGCUCUUUUCACCUUCAUUGCUAUGCCACGGUUUGUUGUGUUCUUAUAAAGCUUUUGUUACUCAAGCUAUUUGGAAUGAAAAUGUUGUUAGGACUUAGUUUACUGUGUUGAGCACCAUCUAAUCUAUGCAUUUGUAUUACUAUAAAAAAUGAGCAUCUUCGCUAAUUGAAGUUUUGCGUGCUUGCCCUCCUGAGGUAUAACAUGUUGCUGCACAUUGCAUUUUGUACUUUUGCGUAUAGCUUAAUCAGGUUUUCUGACGGUACAUUCUUCAGUAUGUCAAGACUGUUGUUCUUGGAACUGUUGUCUUGGAAUGGCCAUCUUUUGAAGUUUACCGUUUCGUAAUUAGAUUGGAAGGGUUGGGUUAGACUUGCGUUUCAUUUAGCCAUCUCAAGUAAUUCUAUUUGGAUAAUUUUGACUACCAGCUUUUACUCAAAAUGAAAAAACUGGCAGGGAGAGCUGUAAUAGUUAAAAUGGCUGCCUCAGGUGUUUCAAGGUUAUACAGCUUAAAUUCAGUCAUUUAAUAAUGUUAAAUUUGCUGCCAUGUAUGAGAGCUCAAUGCAGUCAAGUCAUAUAUACUUCUCAAGCUUUGACUUUUCCAUCAGCAACUAUGUUGAUUCUAUAGUUUUUGGUAUGCAUUUGAAUAUGCUCCUUUGCCUGCUGAAAAUAUCUGCUUUAGGUAUGGUUUAUGUUCUCCAUUAUGUCAUUUUUGUUGUCUUCACUUUUGGUAGUGCUAUUUACUUUUGCUUUUUACUAAUAUAUGCAACUUGUUAUUAGACAAACUCACACCAGCUGCGUUUGAGAAACAUUCUGGAAGAGAAACAUCUAGGAAAUGGAAGAAUAAUAUCUGGGUUAUUGUUGAUGGGGAGAAAGUGCCUUUGUACAAGACAGCACUGCUCAAAUAUUACAAUCAAGCAUCAAAAAAUGCUAAUGGUUCAAGCAGAUCACACAAUGGGAAAUUCCAUCGUGAUGAGUUUGUUAGAUGCACUGAAUGCAACAAAGAGCGCAGGUUCCGUCUCCGCAACAAAGAGGAAUGCCGCAGUUACCAUGAUGCUUUGGCAGAUUUAAAUUGGAAAUGCUCUGACAUGCCUUAUGAUGAGUAUGCUUGACAUGAUUAUAAUCUAUAGCUCUAAUACUUGCAUCAAUUUUUAGUUAAAGAGUACUUAUCAAACUUGGUUCUACUGCCCCCCUCAUCUUCCCCUCUAUCUGUCUAUCUAUUGUUGCCAUUGUUUAGUAGAAUAAAGCAUCGCUCAAUUCUUACAGCAUUUUUUAGAAGUAAAUAUUAUUCAGUGUUGAAAAAUCUUGUAGCUUGUCUUUGUUUUUAUAGUGCUAAAUAUAUUAAGCAAUGAAUAGCAUGUUUCUUCCAUUUCUGCCCAGUUAGUAAAGACACAAUGCACCUUUUCACAUCUAUCAUCAUCUAUAAAUAGUGAGACUAUGGGUGAUGCAUUAGUUCAUGACCAUAGACCUGUGUGUUUCUGUGUUGAACUCUUUGGUCAAGCAGCUAAGUUGUUCAUAGAGUGUUUUUUUUUUUGGCGAAUAUUGGGAAUCUCAUUUACAUGGUUUCUGUGAUAAGCUAAUAAAAGCAAAAACAUGAACCAACCAGGAAGUGGUACUGGUUUUCUAAAAAGGUCCAUUGUCAGCCUGACAUGAUGCACUUGUCUGAGAGUUGUUUGUGUGGUAGAAAUCUUUUAACUUCCAAUGCUAAAAAAAGGUUCAGUAAGUAGCUGAGUAUGCGAUCUUGUCCUCUUUUAGAUCAUUUAGCUUUCUUUUGAUAUUUGAGGUCAUCUGCAGUUUGGGUAGGUGCCAAGUUUUGUUGGGGGGGGGGGGCAAUGCAUAGACAGCGAAGAAACUAUUUUAUUGAAUAAUCCCAGACACAUGCUUCAAUGAAAGCUAGAUAAGACUGGAUCAUAUUGUAAUCCCCCUCCUGAAGAAAUUGUAUGAAAACUCAACUUGUAGAAAUACGAAUGAAAGAUAAAAGGGUAGAAACUCACUCAUUAUACUUUGUUAGACCUUCAUGUUAACUAAAUAGUUGUUUUUGUCAUUCUUGUUUCAUACAGCUAUAACUAAAGAUUUCGAAACACUUAACAUGAACUAGAUCACUAAAUCAUCAUGUUAGGAAGACUGGGAUUUAUAUGGGAAAUUUAAAGAUGUUAUAUGGACAAUCACAUGGUUGAGAUGGCCAUACAUAGAAACUAACAUUUCGCUUGUGAAUCGAGUAACUUUUAUCUCUUUUUAAAGAAUAGAUAAAUCUUGGUGGAAAAGGGCAAGAACUGAUGCUGUUUUACUCCGGCCUUCCUUUUAAGAAAAAUAGGCAACUCCCUGAAAGGCAACCAGUUGGGUAUAAGCAUGGAGGUUCUCUUUGGGGCCAACUGAGAUUUUGUAUUUGAGGAUUAUAUCCAUAGAUUGGUCAAAUUGAAUGAGUUGUGAAAAAAUGUUAUAACAUGACAUAAUUAGAUGUGGUCAAGGAAAUGCAUACUGCCGGUUGGGGCAUAGACUUUUUGGAGGUUAACUUGAACCUUCGAAGCUUUUUUGCCAAGUUUGGAUGCUAAAUGUUUUUAUAUCUCACUAACAGCUAAAAAAUCAGUGUGAUUUGGAAAUGCUUCUAAACUAAAUUAAGUGGUAGAUUUUUUUUUUGACUAUGAAAUUUGUCUGCCUGUAGACGGCUUUCGCAUCUAAUUGUGAAUUAAUGGACUCUCCACUUUAAUGUUCUCUGUCGUUUUCUUGUGAAACAUUUCUUUGUGUUCUUUGGGUUGAUUGGGGAAACUCAGAGCCUGUUUUAUUCAGAGUCCUACCUGAUUGGCUUAAAUCAGUUCCCACCUUUUGGUUUUGUUUUCUGAUUUGUCUUGAUUGCACGUAUGGUAACUUUUUUACCAUGAUGUAUCCAAUAUAGGCAUGACGCUGGCCUAAUUUGAGCUAUAAUAGUCCUUCUUAGUUGACCUUCCAAGAAAAAGUAGGCAAAGAGAUUAUUGGCACAUAUUGGGGCUUCAUUAGAUGUAAGCCUUGGCUCUCUUUAACCAAUCAAGAUGGAGCAAUUAUGCUUGAGUAUACAUAUAGGACUUUGAUAGGAUAUAUACUGGUGAUGCAGAUAUGAAUGUGUAUAUUUCUUGAUGAUCAAAGUUUUGGUAAAAAAGAUCUUAGCAAAGUUCUCAUAAACAGAUUUUCAAGUAGUUAAAAUGGAAAACAUUUGAUGCUUCCUUGUCUACCUGAUGCAUAUUAAUGUUUACGUGCAUUUGCCCUUUUUCUUUUUCUUGGAAUGCUAAACCAUGUGCAUACUUGUGUUCAUAACCUAUAUUUCAGGGUUACAUGUGAAGAGGAUGAAGAAAGAGCAAGUCGCAGGGUCUACAGGGGCUGUUCCCGAUCUCCAACAUGCAAGGGUUGCACGUCUUGUGUCUGUUUUGGUUGUGAAAUCUGUAGGUUUUCAGACUGCAGCUGCCAGACUUGCUCUGAUUUCACUAGGAAUGCAAAAGCUUAAGUUAGCAAUCUCACCAAUACAUCCCUUCUCAAAUGCUUACAUUUCCAUUUUGUUUGGUAGAUGUUCUACCAAUCAUUUCUUAAUUAAACCUUAGCUGAUAUUCACAGAAAGCUCUCUGACAUUCUCUUAGAUCCAAUUUAAAUUUCAGCCUUCAGCACAGGUUGCUGUGUUUUUGUUGACUGAUCAAUAUUUUAAAGUAUUACAAUAUAACUCCUUUGCUCGCCAUACUAUAAUUAAGAGGAAAAUUGAUUCUUUAUAUCUAGUCUUUCAUUUAUCGGGUUAAUUUAUGUUUAAAACUUCCAUCUUUCCAGCUGUGUAUGAUCACGGUAAAAGCUAGACUUGAAUCACUAGAGUGAUAAAUUGCUGAAGCAUGAUAUGUAAUGCUAGCUCAAGUAAGGCACCAGGCAUGCCUAAUUGAAGGUUUAAUCUAUUGCUUCAUCUGCAAAAUUUUGCUGUUGUUAUUGGCCAAGGAAGAGCCUUGUCAGGCUGCUGGCUCUAAUCUACUUGUACUUCAAACUGACAGAGAAUCUAUCUUGUUCUUUCUUCAGUGAGUUCCUCUGCUUCUAUGGGGAACUUAAGAAUUUCAACAAUGUUCUACUCUUUCACCAGCAAAUAGUUCACUAAGUUUCUCCAUUUCUGCUUACUACAAUAAAAAAAGUCCUAUUUCAUCUUGAUCUAACUUGAAGUAAGCUCGGUUUGGCUAUCUCCACGAUAGGCAGGCAUUUGGAGUACUGAAGGUUUCUGUUAUCUUCAAUCCUAGUGAAUGUCUCAAUUCCAGACAUGGAUUUGCAGUUAUGAAAGGCUUUUGUUUAACAUCCAAAGCUGUAUCAGAUACUGCAGAUGUUUUUAGCAUGUAGAACACAAAUCAAUUGCGAAUUAACUAGAAUUUCCAAUUCUGUUCCACAUUCAUUUGAGGUACUUUCUUGUUAAUGAUCUUUUUGCGGUUUGCAGGCAAUCAAAGUGAGCUUCCCAUUUACAUAUGAUAUAAGAAGACAUACUUAAAACAUUUCAAGUAAAAUAUUUUGAAAUCUAAGAAUUGUCAAACAAUUCCACGGUGUAAGAAUCUGUUACAAUGUACUAAGAGCUAGACCAUUACAUGCUAUUAGAAUCUCAUAGAUGAUGAAGAACUUGUCCAAUAUGACAUUUAGUAAUCACGCAAGCACUUCGCUUAAUGUUAGUCAACAGUGUGUUAACAAGCUACAAAUUCCUACUUCGGCCAAUGGCCAAGAAUGAGAUCCACGUUUUCUAUUUCAACACCCCUCCCCCCUAGUGAAGUUAUGCAAGUCGAACCGCUCGAUUGCUCGACUCAUUUAGGUUCGUUCGUGUUCGAUAACGACUUGUUCAAAAUUUUAUAUGAGUUGAAUUCAAACAAACAUUUUGACUCGAUAAGUAAUCGAACGAGCACGAGCCUUAUUCGCGAAUUUAAAUGAUCAUUGGUGUAGCCUAAUUGUCAUUUCACAAAAUUUAGGGUUAUAUGGUUAAUUUAAUGUUGAAUCUAUUGAUUAUUUGAGAGAAAGAGCCUGAAUUCAAGCUUCUCGAGCCUGUUCAAAAUCGGUUCGUUAUGCUAAAUGAGUCAAACUUGAACUAGGAUUUUAAUUAACUGAACAUGAACAGAGAUUUCGAGUUCGAAAAUUAUCAAACGAACACGAGCCUUGUUCAAGUAACUUAACAAAUAAAACUCAAACAUGAGUGACGAAUAGAACUCAAACAUGAGAUACUCGACUCGGCUCGCCUUGUUUACCACUCUAUCCUCCCCCGGGGGGCUUCCCCCCACAAGGAAAGAAAAAAGAGCUUUCGUUUCAAACUUAUAUAAUGCAAUUCAUUGGUGAAAAGAUAAUUCAAAGUCAAUCUGCUAUUACUUGUACACAUUCACAAGGGCAGCAAGUCCACGGCUAGAGAGAGUCAUUAAAGUACUAAUGGAUUCUAAGUUGCACAAAUUGUACAAACAACACAGAGGUCGCCAUCAUACGGCCAUAGCAAGCAAGACUAUGUUCUCUAUGAACCCAAGCUGACACUUCCUAACCAAGUAGCAUCCACAGAAACAUGCAUAAUACAGAUUAAAUAACUAAGCCAAUGCACAAAGCCAUGAAACCAAUCAACGAACUGAACUUAGCCAUGUUGUUGCCUGCCCCUUCCACCUCCAAAUUGACCACCACCCCUACGAUUUGGUUUUCUACCUCCACGAUAAUGCUUACCAUGACUAAUGCUUCGGUACGUGUCCCGUUUACCAGUAAAAGAUGCAAGUUGCUGUGGUUCAUAAUUGUGCAUUGUCUGAGACAUGUUUGCUGGAACUGCUUGUUCUCCUACAUUUAUGGGGAGGGAAGCCUGUUGACCUGGUGUAGUCACUCCAAAUGGUAAACGGUUAAAUGCAUUUUGACUCGAGCAUGAAGGUUCUGCACCAAAACCUGACUGCAUGCCUGAUAUAACCAGGUUAGAAGGCAAAUUUUGACUAGCAUUAAUUUGCUGUUGGAACGACAAUAUGUUCUGCGAAGGCAUUUGAUGAAGCUGAUUAAUUUGUUGCACCCAUGGGUUAACAUUUACGGGUAACUGAGGAAAGCCAAAACUUAGAGGCUGCUGAAAUGGGAUUGCAUUUGCCCCACCAGAAGUUGCGCUAAAACCAGAGCCCAAGGAAAGUUGGACAAAUGGAGAACCCAAACCAGGCUGAAAAGCCAAACCUUGUCCCAGACCAGAGAAUGACCCAUUGCCUUGAUCUGGUGGU